GAAAGCACUCAAUGGCCAAGGAUACCAAAGGUUCCUCAGAUGCUGAGGGGGACCCAGGAUUUCAAGAAAUUCUACGAACCGAGGGUAAUUUCAAUCGGUCCUUACCACCAUGGCAAGCCCGACCUUGGCCGAGUGCAAAUGAUCAAGCCUCUAUGUGCCCAAAAAUUCCUGGCUGAUAGUAACCAGAACAUCGAAGCUUUGUGCACAAAAAUUCGAAGUAAUAUCGAGACAGUGAAAAAGUGCUAUGAUUGUAGUAGUAAAAUAAAGUAUAAUGAUGUGGAACUCGCCAGGAUGAUGCUUCUGGAUGGGUGUUUUUUUACUAUAUUUCAUCCGCGGGGGAGAUGUGAAACAGUUUCUUAAAGUUCACGAAAUAGUUUGUGUGGUGCAGGACUUGUUCUUGCUGGAGAACCAACUUCCCUAUGGAGUCCUCAAGUUGAUUUUUGAGGCAGCAAAAUUCCAGGGUGGUCUACCAAUGGAAAAGAAUAUUAUAAUAAAAUUCGUCUCUGACAUCGGAAUGCCAGAAGGGUUGUCAUCAGAAAUACAGCUGAAAGAGGUGAACGAAGAGCCCUCUCAUCUCCUCGACCUUUUGCGAAGUGCUCUCCUAGGCCGGUUCCACAUGAUUAGGAGUCAGCCCGAAAAAGAGCAGCAACCUAAGAAAAAAGGAAAGUCGUCGUGGAAAAAAGGCAAACAACGGGGCAUUUGGCAGUCUUUUCGACACAUCAAGGAGCUUAAAGCUGCCGGGAUCUAUCUCAAACCGAGUAGAACGUGUUUCUUGAGAGACGUUUCUUUCAAAUCCUACUUCUUCUUUGGCCACCUGAAACUUCCCCCAAUAACUAUUGAUGACUUCACGAAGACCAAGUUCUUGAACAUCGUAGCCUAUGAAAUGUGUCCAGGUCCAGGUGCCCCAGAUGACUAUGCGGUCACUUCUUAUAUAUGCUUCCUUGACGACCUCAUUGAUCAUGCAGACGAUGUCAAGGAGCUGAGGUCUAAGCACAUUCUCCACAACCUUCUUGGCAGCGAUGCAGAUGUGGCCGAAAUUUUCAACGAGAUUGGCAAUGGCUUGGUAGAUCCCGGAAUUUAUGAAGAUGUGAAAGCUCGUAUUCAGAAACACUACAAGAAGAGAGUGAAUACUUGGAUAGCUCAAGCCCUUCACAACCAUUUCAGGUCUCCAUGGACUGUCAUGGCUUUCAUUGCUGCUCUUUUGGUACUAUUUCUUACUGCGGUUCAGACCUACUACGUUGUUUGGUGUGUGUGAUUAGAAAAAUAAAGAUUCUUGUUUGGUGUGUGUGAUUAGACAAAUAAAGAUGCUUAUAUUGUUAAGUUGUAUCACUGGAUUUCAUGCAUGCAAUAUUAUGAGUCUUUGAAUACUCUUCAACUCUUUUAGAAAUUUUUAAUCUUCUUGGAAUCUCUUUUAAGAGAUUUAGGGCUUUUCUUUAGUUUUUUUUGUCAAAACCCCAUGCACAGAGAUUGAGUUAGAAAUGAAAAUGGAGAAAAGAAAAGUACUCGAUAGUUUUGCAUAUUACUUGAUAGAACUCGUUAAAAUUGUUUAUGUCUCUGGCACUAAAAUACACCUUGUAGCACUUAGCAAUCAAAGCCUGUUUUUCCUCCUUACUUCCAAUUUAGACAUGGAGAGGUGACACAAACUUUGGGAUAUUCAAUGAUUCAACAAAGCAUUCAUCAAAUAUUAUAUUGUUUGCUUUGAUGGAGGGGCAAAGAUGAUGAUACCAGGAGUUAGUUUCAUGAGGGAUGCGCCUAUCUUUUGAGUGGUUGGAUAUGAUGACGUUGUUGGAAAGUGUCUUAGAAAUUAUUUUUGAGUCAAUUGAAAAAUUAUAGAUAAUCUCCUAAUACAAAAUAUUAUUAUAUUUGAGUUUUCUAUUAUUAUAUAAUGGGAAUAUUAUAUUAUAAGAAUUUUUUUUUUAGGAAAAGACACAUUUGACAAUUAUACAUUUAGUUUUCUAUAUGCAAUCUUCCUAUAUAUGUAAUUAGGAAAAUAUACAUAAGAAGACAUUUAAAAAAAAAAAAUUAUCUAUCAAAUGUUUUUCUAGAAAACAUUAUAGGUGACAAAUAUAUGAAUUUUGGAUGAUCACGAGGGAUAGUCAUCGGCAGUAGACCGAAGUUUAUGAAGAUGUGAAAGCUCCUAUUCAGAAACACUACGACAAGAGACUGAAUGCUCGAGCCCUUCAGGACCAUUUCAUUACAGCUGUUUUGAUACUAUUUCUUAAUGGGGUCAGACCCACUACCGUACUACGCUCUUGACCCACAUCGAAUUAUUGCUGCUACUCAUCCAUUCCUGGAGUGCCAGCUUGCAUCUGGUUACAAAUAUAUCCUGGAAUCCAUCCCCACAUUUCCCCGUGAACUAAUCUGUUUGGUUCCGGAAACCACUAAAAAAAAUAAAAAAGGAAAAUGCUAAAAAUAUAUUUCUUUAUACUUGAUUUUGUUAAAAAAAAAAAAAAAAAUGUCAAAGAAAGUCUGAAUAUAAAUAAAAUUAUUAAAAUUUUUAUAUAUUUUUUUAAUCCUUAUAUAAAAGAGUUAAAUAAUUUAAAAAAGUUUAAGGUACUAUAUACUAUUGAUUUUAAUUUUUGAAAUUUUAAUUUUUAUUAUUUUUCCUUUUAUCUUUUCUUUCUAUUUUCUUUCUUUUAUAAUUUUCUUUAAACUUUUCGGGAACUAAAUAUAACUUAAAUAACCUAUUAAUUUGAGGUUUAUUGUUGUUGUGUUUUUUUUAUUUAAAUCUAAAUAAAAUUUAAUUUAAUUUAAUUCUACAUAUAAUUUAAUACUAUUAAGUUGUUUAUUUUUUAUUAUUUUAUUUUUAUUAAGUAUUAAGUAUGAAUAGGUGGGAGUUGCGUUGAGGUUGUGUUUUAGUUAUUUUAAAAAGCGGUGAUCCAAUUCCAUGGGAGACCUGCAAGAAAGGAGGAACGUUGGAGAGAAAGAAGGCGGUCAACCAAGUAGGAACAAUGGCGAAACUGGCCCCAAGCCUAAGGAGCAUAGGAUUGACAUUGUUGAAAUCAAUCCUACGGUGAAAAAUUGUGGAUAAAAAUUGUGCACAUCACUAAAGAAAGUGUUUUCUAACUUUUUUAAUCCAAUAUGCAUUAAAGGUGUUUCUUGAAGAGACACAUUCCAUAAUUUAACAAAUUUGAAUGUCUCAUGAAUUUGAUUUUAAAGCUAAAGAUGUCUCUUGAAGAGAUAUUUUCUACAAUUCCUAAAAAUUUUAAUUUAUACAAAAGGUGUCACUUGAAGAGACACUUACCAUAGUUCCACAAUUUCACAAAUUCCAAUAUAUAAUAAAGGUGUCUUCUUCAAGAGACACCUUCUACAAUUCCAAAAAAUUGGAUUUAUACUAAAGGUGUCUCUAGAAAAGACAUUUUCCACAAUUCCACAAAAUCCAAUAUGUAUUAAAAAUUGUGUACAUGAUUUUAAAGCUAAAGAUGUCUUUCUUCAACAUAAAUUCGAAAUUUUCUACUGUGUAUGAAAAUUGUGGAAAGUGUUUCUUCAAGAGACACUUUCAGUAUAAACUCAAUUUUUUUUUAAAUUAUGGAAGGUGUCUCUUCAAGAGACACCUUCAGUGUAGUUCCAUUUUUGAGAAUUGUGAAAGGUGUCUCUUGACACCUUCCACAAUUUUAAAAAAAUUGGGUUUAUACUAAAAGUGUCUCUUCAAGAGACACUUUCCACAACUUAACCUCUAUUGAUGGUGACCUUUUAGUAUAAAUCCAAUUUUUUGGAAUUAUAAAAGGUGUACCUUUAGUAUUGUGGACCCGCAUUUUUCACGUGCGUCCCCAUUCGGUCGGCGAGACUCUCUUUUUAUUUGUGAAAAAUUAUUUAGUUUUGGAAAAGUUGGAGCCGUCACUUAUUUUAUUUUUAUUUUAAAGGGAAAAUAAAACAAGAAAGAAAAACCCUAAAAUGUGACUCCAUAAUUUUUGGAAAAAAACAUGUCUUUGAAAAACCUGAGUCUAGGUCCGAGGAUCAGGUUACUUAUUGGGAAGGUACCUCUAGGAGGUAGCACCCUUCUAAGCCCUAAAGAGGUCUUACUAAAUUGGGGAAAUGGGGCAAUUAAUUGAUUAAUUGUAGAUACCUAAGUAAGCUAGGUGAUUUUCAGAAAGUAGCAUGCUAAAUAAGGAGAUCAAUCACAAUAAAGGAGAGUUAGGGUGCGUACCUGAACCACUUCUUAAGCGCUAUCAUAAAAUAUCAAUGGUUAAUUCAGAAAUAUGACACACGACAUGCAUUUUAUCAAGGAUGAUCAAACAAGCAUCGAGACAAUCAAGUAUGGCAUCAAACAAGGGCAAUGACAUGCAUAUUCAUGAAAUUUUGGGAACGUACCUGGAUAGCAUAUAUAACUCCUAAUGUGCUUCCUCAGGAUUAGAUAAUAAAUAAUAAAUAAUAAAUCCUAGCAUGCUUAUCUAAUUAAUUAGCAAAAAUUAUCAGAAUUGGGAAUAAUUAAUUAUCAUACAUAUCUUGUAUACAAUUCCUACAAAGAAAAAAUGUAAAUAUGAUUACGAUAAAUAGCAGGGUGGUAGCAAAAGUAAAUUUUGAAAAAAUUUUCUUAUAUAGGGGUUUCACCAAUUCCCCAAAUUAAUAUACACGAAUUUAGCCUAAAAUUGUCCCAUUUAUUUGGGACCAUAAGCUUUGAUUCGCGUUUUGUUUAAAACCAAAAUUUUUGUUGAAAAUUGAGAAGGAUGCAAACCGAUUAAGAUAUGGUUGCAUAUUAUUUUUUAAAAAGAAAAUAGAUUUUGAUUCUAAAGGCUUUAAAUGAAUAAUAAAAAAAAAUUUUAAAACGAUUUUUUUGAGAAAAAGAGUUUUGUUUUAAAAUAAAAGAAAUUAAUUUUUAAAAUAACAAAAAUAGAAAACAAAAUAUCAAUCAAAACAAAAAACAAAGAUCACGAAAUAAAGAUUUUAGAAAAUCUUGUCAAUUAAAGUGGUGAGAGUAAAGGCCAACCUUCAUGGAUUUCCAGUGGCCCUAAAAAAAAAUUUGACCAACAAUCACUAAGGCAACAAAUUUAUGACUUCCUAAUAAAACAAACUAACAAAAUUAUCAUCCAAAAACUAACAUUUAAAUUUCAAGAAACACAUGAAUAACUAGAAUUAGACUAAUUGAAAUUAAAAAUGUAAACUUUACCUCACAAGAUCGAUUAAACUAAAGAAUUAAGAUCAAUAACACAUUCAAAUUAAAAAUAAACUAGAAUUUAAAAUAAUCGGAAUUAAAAAUAUAAACUUUACCUUACAAAACCAAUUAAACUAAUAGAUUAAGAUCAAUGACUCAUUCGAAUUAAAAAUAAACUAAAAUUAAACUAAUUAGAAUUAAAAAUAUAAAUUUUAUCUCGCAAGAUCAAUUAAACUAAAGAAUUAAGAUCGAUAACACUAUUCAAAUUAAAAAUAAACUAGAAUUAAACUAAUUGAAAUUAAAAAUAUAAAUUUUACCUUACAAGACCAAUUAAACUAAAGAAUUAAGAUUAAUAACAUAUUCAAAUUAAAAAUAAACUAGGAUUAAACUAAUUGAAAUUAAAAAUAUAAAUUUUACCUCACAAGAUCAAUUAAACUAAUAGAUUUAAGAUCAAUAACUCAUUCAAAUUUAAAAAAAACUAGAAUUUAAACUAAUCGGAAUUAAAAAUAUAAACUUUACCUUACAAGUCCAAUUAAACUAAAGAAUUAAGAUCAAUAACAUAUUCAAAUUAACAAUAAACUAGGAUUAAACUAAUUGAAAUUAAAAAUAUAAAUUUUACCUCACAAGAUCAAUUAAACUAAUAGAUUUAAGAUCAAUAACUCAUUCAAAUUAAAAAAAAAACUAGAAUUUAAACUAAUCGGAAUUAAAAAUAUAAACUUUACCUUACAAGUUCAAUUAAACUAAUAGAUUUAAGAUCAAUAACUCAUUCAAAUUAAAAAUAAACUAGAAUUUAAACUAAUCGGAAUUAAAAAUAUAAACUUUACCUUAGAUCAACAACUCAUUCAAAUUAAAAAUUAAACUAGAAUUUAAACUAAUCGGAAUUAAAAAUAUAAACUUUACCUUACAAGUCCAAUUUAACUAAUAGAUUUAAGAUCAAUAACUCAUUCAAAUUAAAAAUUAAAGAUCAAUAACUCAUGCAAAUUAAAAUAAACUAUAAUUUAAACUAAUCGGAAUUAAAAAUAUAAACUUUACCUUACAAGUCCAAUUAAACUAAUAGAUUUAAGAUCAAUAACUCAUUCAAAUUAAAAAUAAACUAGAAUUUAAACUAAUCGGAAUUAAAAAUAUAAACUUUAUUUAAACUUUCAUGUAAAUUAAAAAUGAACUAGCAUAGAACUAAUGAAUUGCAAUCAUAAAAGAGAGACAUUUAAUCUAAGAAAAAUAAAAGAUCGUUCGAAAUUGAGAUUUAAAAGAAUUUAUCACAAACAAUUAAUUAAACCAAACAACUAAAACCCAAAAAAAAAGGAAAUACGGUAUCAAAAAUCGAAAACUAACCUGUAUUGUAUCGGAAAAAAUACUCUCUUGAUGUUUCAAAAUGGCAACCCAAUUAGUCUUUCAGGUCUUCUACCGCUCCCUCCUAAAAAAAUUGCGUGUGUUCCUCUCCUUUAAAAAAGAUUGCUUUUUGUAUGUGAAUUUCUGCUCCCAAAAGAAAAAAAAUCUCCCUGCCAAAGAAAAAGUCCCCCACUUGUCUUCGAUCUCUCUCCUCCAGAAAAACAAUCCCCCCUCUAAAAAUAAAACUUCUCUGAUCCAAAAAAAGGAAACCCACUUUUCUUUCUUAUUUUCUACCCUUUUAUAACCAAUUUUCCCAUGGAAAUAAUAUAUGUGCUAUCAUUCUAAAAACAAAAUCUCCUCUUUUUCAAAAUUCUGUUGAUUCUCCUUCCAAAUAGAUGGCGACCCGUUUCCUCAUGCCCAAAAAGCUAAGAAAUAUGAUUUAGAAAACUAGUAAUAAGAUAAAAUAAAAUAAAAUAAAAAUAAUAAAGAAAUUCAUAUAAGCCACACAAGUCAUGUAGGCCAUGCAAUCAUGCAAGUCAUAUAAAAAGUGGGUUUAAAAAUGCUUAAAUGGGCCUAAGGCGUUCAAGAAAGUGCCUAAGUCUAAAUUAGGGCUGCCAAGGUCAUAAUAAGGGGUUAGGCAAUCCUUCAACCAGAGUCUCCGAGGUGGUUCAAGAAAGGUAAGUAGUGUGAGUAGAUAUGGGCCACCAAUGAGCUAACUGUAAAGUAUCGAACAAGUAUCUAAUAAGACAUGUGCUAGGAGGACAAAAUUGAGGGUUUACAAAUAUGCCCCUCUUCGGUAGAGAUCACGAGUGUAAGGAAUGUGAGUAAAAAUACGAACAAAGAAUGGAACGAAGUGAACUAUAUCGAAGAACUAGAGAAUGACCAGAGAUUUUGUCCUAGCACAUGACGAGAGUAAGAUCGGAACAUGGGUUUGUGACGACAAGAAUGGAACAACUCUACGUAGGGGAAUGAUAGUGAAGAGAGAAAGGUAUGUGAUGAGUAGCACAAGAAUGAGAAAAAAAAAGAUGAAAAUGAUGACCCAAAGUCAUGGAUGAGAUGAAUAACUCUAGGUCAUGGACAAGAUGAACGACUCUGGGUCAGAAAUAAGAUGAACGACUCUGGGUCGGAAAUAGGAUGAACGACUCUGGAUCAUGAGCUCAAGGCUAUAAAUUUUAAGAAUGACUCUAGGUCAAGAUGGAGUGAAUGACUCUAGGUCGUGAGCUCCGGGCUCUAAACGGAAAAGAAACGACUCUGGGUCAUAAAUGAAAAUUGACUCUGGGUUGAGAACUCAGGGCUCUAAAUGGAUAGCCGAUCAGGAUGCUUUCCGACUCAUGGUGCCGGGUCGAGGCCACUCACAAGUGGCUAAAAUGAUGAAACGAAACAUCUCAAGGAUGUGAAGGAUGCAAACGACUCUGGGUCGUAAGCUCAGGGCUCGGGAUGCUAUGAAUGACUCUGGGUCAUGAUGCGAUGAGUAACUCAGGGUUAUGAUGAAUAGCCCAAGGCUAUGGAUGGAAUGAAUGACUCUGGGUCAUGAUGCAAUAAGCAACUCAGAGUUACGAUGAAUAGCUCAGGGCUAUGGAUGACAUGAAUGACUCUGGGUCAUGAUGCAAUGAGUAACUCGGGGUUACAAUGAAUAGCUCAGGGCUAUGAGCUCCAGGCUCUAUGACUGAUCGGCUAGAAGGAGAAUGCGAUACGCAAACUCCUGGUCAAACCACUCAUGGGCGACCAAAUGAUGAAGGCUUAGCUCAGGGUUGGAAAGACUCUGGGUCUAUAGGAAACGAUAGCUCAAGGCUACCAGGCGCAGGACCUAAGGGAAGAAAGAGAGCUCAGGGCUAUAAGACUCAGGGUCUAGAAGGAGUGGAUAGUUCAAGGCUAUGAGGCUCAGGGCCUAGAAGGAACGGAUAAAGAAGACCAACUCGAAAGUGGAUAGGAAGUAAAUGGGCUCAAAGUCGUAUACUCAAAGUGACAAGAGUCGGACUACUGAGCUCAAGAAGGGAAAUAUGACCCAGUAUCCAGGGUGCUCACACUGCUAAAACAACCAAUAAAUCAAUCAUCCGCUGAAAUCAAUAGGUCAGAAACUGAUGCAUCAUGACAAACCUCUGAAAAGUCUAAGCUGAAAGAACUCUCUGUGUCUGAAAAGCUGCCCUAUCGACGGAUCUCAAAAGGUAAAUUUCAAAGUGCAUAAAAUACUGCUCAUUCGGGUAAUCCAAUCUGCAAGGUGACAAUGAUGAAAACAAAUCUAUCCCAUGAACAUCUGGCUAAAGGACCCACCCACGUUCCUCUGGUGAAAGCCGAUGUGAUCCAUCUCUAUCUCGAAAAAUCCAUGUAAGGAGGUCCUGAUAUAAUUAAUCUCCGAAAGCUCCAAAUUAAUCUCAAUCUAAAACCAAGCUGGCCACUGUCUCGAUCUCAAGGAUACUCAAAGAAAAUGGGGAAAUAUGCCCCAGUAUAAGAUUCAGUAUCAAAAUCAUGAGGUAAACAUCCGACACUAAUCACCCAUCCUCAUACCACUGCCCAAACAAAUCUCGCAAAGGAGAGGGGAAUAUGCCCCAGUAUGGAUAUCUGAUGUCGAAGUUAUGAGAUAAACAACCAACAAUGAUCAUUCAUCUAUGUACUGCUGCCCGAACAUAAUCUCAUCAUGGAGUAUGUUCACAUCAUUUGUUUGCUAUGAAUCUAAUAUGGUUAAUGUAAACACCAACACAUGGUGGAUUGAUUCUGGAUCUACAAUCCACAUUUCAAAUUCCUUGCAGGGUAUGUAAAACCUAAGGAAGCCAGUGAAAAAUGAGCAAUUCAUCUUAUCCGGAAACAAGAUGGGCUCGCAUGUGGAAGCAAUAGGGACAUGUUAUUUAACUUUAUAUGGUGGUUUUAUUUUGGAAUUACAAAAGACCUUUUAUGUACCAAGUUUCUCACGAAACUUGAUUUUAGUUUCUAGACUUGUACCGUUUGGAUAUUCCUUUCAUUUUUCAGAAACAUCUUUCAGUUUGAUUUAUAAAUCUGAUUGUGUUGGGAAUGGUAUCUUGUCUGAUGGUCUUUAUUGUAUAUUCUUACAAAAUGAUACCGCUCAUAAUUCAUUACAUGCCCAAACUGGCAUUAAGAGAUGUGUUGUAAAAGAGGAUUCCUCUAUAUUGUGGCACCGGAGAUUAGGUCAUAUCUCCAUAGAUAGAAUCAAAAGAUUGGUGAAUGAUGGGGUACUUAGUACUCUAGAUUUUACUGACUUUGAGACUUGUGUGGACUGCAUUAAGGGUAAGCAGACCAAUAAGUCAAAGAGAGGUGCUACUAGGAGUUCCACCAUACUAAAGAUCAUACAUACUGAUAUAUGUAGUCUUGACAUGGACUCUCAUGGUCAGAAAUACUUCAUCUCUUUCAUAGAUGAUUUCUCACGAUACAUGUAUCUCUACAUACUUCAUAAUAAACAUGAAGCUUUAGAUGCCUUUAAAGUCUUCAAGGCAGAAGUAGAGAAACAAUAUGGUAAACAAAUUAAGAUUGUGAGAUCAGAUAGAGGUGGAGAAUAUUAUGGUAGAUACUUGGAAGAUGGACAAUCACCUGGGCCAUUUGUGAAGUUUCUUCCACCAUGUCUGGUUCUCCAGACCAAAAUGGUGUAGCAGAAAGAAGAAAUCGAACUUUAUUGGACAUGGUGAGGAGUAUGCUUAGUAGCUCAAAACUUCCUAAAUUCUUGUGGACUGAAGCACUUAAGACAGCUGUGUAUAUAUUAAAUCGAGUUCCAACACAGGCUGUUCUAAAAACACCAUUUGAGUUAUUGAAAGGUUGGAAACCGAGUUUGCGACAUAUGCGCGUUUGGGGAUGCUCGUCUGAAGUGAGAAUUUAUAAUCCACAAAAGAAGAAACUGGACCCAAGGACUAUUAGUGGGUAUUUCAUUGGAUAUGCUGAAAAAUCCAAGGGGUACAGAUUUUAUUGUCCAUCUCAAAACACUAGGAUUGUGGAAUCAAGAAAUGCUAAAUUUCUUGAAUAUGACUUGGUCGGUGGGAGCGAUCAAUUUAGAAACAUAGUUUCUGAUAUUGAUCAUACAGAGUCUUAACCUUCCACUUCAAGCGAUAGAUUGUUUAUUGUUCAUAACACCCCUCAAGUACAAACGGGUGUUGAACGAACAAUCGAUGAAGUUCAACCAGUCAUUGAAGUUUCCACAAGUUGUUGACAACAUUCCAAUAGACCAAGUUGAUUAGGAGUUGCCUAACACUUCUGAACAACAAGUUGAACCUCAUACUUCCUCGGAAGAUAUUGGUGCAACCUUAAGAAGGUCUGCUCGAACUAAGAGGUCAGCAAUUCCUAGUGAUUAUGUAGUGUAUCUACAAGAAUCUGAUUACAAUAUAGGAGCCAAAAAUGAUCUAGAAUCAUUUUCACAAGCCAUGAGUUGCAAAGAAUCAGAAUUGUGGUACAAUGCCAUGAAGGAUGAGAUGAGUUCCAUGAGGUGCAACGAUGUUUGGGACCUUGUUGAGUUGCCUAAUGGUGUAAAAACCAUUAAUUGUAAAUGAAUGUUGAGAGAUACAAGGCCAGACUUGUUGCAAAGGGGUUCACUAAAAAAGAAGGAAUCGAUUACACGGAAACCUUUUCUCCUGUAUCUAAAAAGGAUUCCUUGCGCAUUAUAUUGGCAUUAGUAGCCCACUUUGAUUUAGAAUUGCAACAAAUGGAUGUGAAAACAACAUUUCUUAAUGGAGAGCUAGAGGAGGAGGUUUACAUGAAACAACCUGAAGGAUUCCCCUCUAGUGAUGGUGAGCAAUUGAUUUGUAAGCUUAAGAAAUCCAUAUACGGUUUGAAACAAGCAUCUCGCCAAUGGUAUUUAAAAUUCCAUAACAUAAUUUCUUCAUUUGGUUUUGUUGAAAAUGUUAUGGAUCAAUGCAUAUACCUUAAGGUUAGUGGGAGUAAAGUUUGUUUUCUUGUUUUAUACGUGGAUGACAUCUUACUUGCAACCAAUGAUAAGGGUUUACUUCAUGAGGUGAAAAAAUUCCUCUCUAAAAAUUUUGACAUGAAGGAUAUGGGUGAGACAUCUUAUGUCAUUGGCAUUAAGAUCCAUAGAGACAGAUUUAAAGGUAUCUUAGGUUUGUCUCAAGAAACCUAUAUCAAUAAAGUUUUAGAGAGAUUUCGGAUGAAGAAUUGUUCACCUAGUGUUUCCCCUAUAGUGAAGGGUGAUAAGUUCAAUUUGAACCAAUACCCGAAAAAUGAUCUUGAGAGGGAACAGAUGAAGAACAUUCCAUAUGCUUCUGCAGUCAGAAGUUUGAUGUAUGCUUAGGUCUGCACAAGGCCUGACAUUGCAUUUGCUGUUGGAAUGUUAGGACGAUAUCAGAGUAACCUAGGUAUAGACCACUGGAAAGCUGCAAAGAAAGUGAUGAGAUAUCUUCAAGGAACCAAAGAUUACAAGCUUAUGUACAGACGAACAAGCAAUUUAAAGGUAGUUGGCUACUCAGAUUCAGACUUUGCUGGCUGUGUUGAUUCACGUAGAUUAAUAUCUGGAUACAUUUUUAUAUUGGCCGGUGGAGCUAUAUCUUGGAGGAGCGUUAAGCAGACCAUGACUGCUACUUCUACUAUGGAAGCUGAGUUCAUAUCUUGUUUUGAGGCUACUUCAAAUGGUGUAUGACUUAAGAGUUUCAUUUCUGGACUUAGAGUUAUGGAUUCAAUAUCUAGGCCAUUGAGUAUAUAUUGUGACAAUUCAGCUGCAGUCUUUAUGGCAAAGAACAAUAAAAGUGGAAGUCGAAGCAAGCACAUCGACAUUAAGUAUCUAGCCAUAAGAGAACGUGUUAAAGAAAAGAAAGUGGUCAUUGAGCACAUUAGCACUGAAUUGAUGUUUGUUGAUCCUUUGACUAAGGGCAUACCGCCGUUGAAAUUCAAGGAUCAUGUAAUGAACAUGGGACUUAGUUCCCUUAUUUAGUUUUUAUUGUACAAACUCUUAUUAUGAUGUUUUCUCAUAUUGAUGUGCACCUUUAUUUAAUUUUGAGAAAAUUCAACUUCAUUGGACCAAGAAUGAACAUAGGGUUUAUUCAUUAAGUAAUAUUAAUAUUGCCACAUAAAGUAAAAUGUUAAGAAAUGAAUGCACUGUAAUACAUGGAAGAUAACACUCGUUAUAUAAAGGACUUAUCGCCAUGAUUCAUGUAUUUGUUACUUAAUAUGGAUAAUUGAUGGAUUAAGAUAGGACAUAAGUUAAAGGUGUGGACCAAGUGGGAGAAUGUUAUCACCACCCCAUGUCGUCUCCACGUUCACCACCAUGAAAAGGUGAUUCUGAAGUGGUCAGACCCACGUCCUCCACCAUAAUCACACUUUUUCUAUUGCGUUAAAGGAGGGUGUGGCAAAUCUGCAGAGACGUGGUAUGAUGGGAAGCCAUGCAUAUAUAUUUCACAUAUGGUCCCGAACUCGUGAUCUACCAUUUUUCUUUCUUCAGUAAUACACCAUUCAUAGGAGAUCAUCAGAGUUUGGAAACCGAUUACAGCAACUUGAAUCAAUGGUUGGAGGUAAGUAGACUAUGCCUAGUCUUUUACAGAUUCAGUUCAUCUUGCAAGUAUUAAUUUUGAAUUGAAUGUAUCAUAUGAAUUUCUCACAUAUCAUACCAUUUUAGUUCAUAAAAUUAUUGAAGGAGCUUAAUUUGUCAUAAAAGGAACCAACAGAUAUUUACAUGGACGAUAAAUGAGCGAUUACAUUAUAAAAAAAAAUUCCAACUUUCCAAGAUUGAAGUCAAUACAUCAAGAUAUCAUUUUAUUUGAAAGUAUUAUAAAGAAGGAAAAACAAUUAAAAUUUGUAAAAUCUUGAGAUCAAAUUACAAAUAUUUUGAUCAAAUUUAUCCGAUUUAAAGAUUUUAGAAGGUUAAAGAUAUUAUUGAGAUAUACAAAUCAAGUUGUAGUUUUUAUAUUUGAGUAAUCAAAUCGCAAAAAAUGUCUAUAUUUUACUUUGAGCAAUUUUAUUUGAUGAAGUUUAAGUAAUUAUAAAUGAGAAAUUUUGUAAUAUUCGAAUAAGAGAUGAUAUAAUAAAUUUUUAAUUCUUUCCGCUUGUAAUCCUUUUCUAUAAUUAUUUGUAUUCCACUUUCAAUCUCAUCACUUGAACACAAAUUAGGGUUAGCCAGGAGAGAGAUUUUUUGGUAGGAUGAGUUAUUGAAUAUAAAUUGGUGAUGUGUCAGCAUCUUGGAGGGUCCAUACAUGGUUUCGAUAUCAUUAUUUACGGUUCUUUUUAAUAAGAAUAAUGUUUAAACUUUGUAGUCAUCGAUCUUGGCCUACAUGCUUACCAAAAAGUAUUGAAUUAUUGCAGCUACUCAUCAAUUCCAGGAGGGCCAGCUUAAUUAAACAACACAUCCCAACAUUUUCCAUGAAAGGACAAUAAUUGCAUUUGAUUACAUAUAUAUCCUGGAAUCCAUCUCCACAUUUUCCACAUGUACUAAUCUAUUUUAAGAGUAUGAGUCCGUUUGAUAGUGAUUUUAGGAAGCACUUUUAACUUUUUUAACACUAUAAAAUUUUUAUAUUUCAAGUAUUAAAAAAAGGUAAAAACAUUUCCUAGAAUUAUUGUCAAACACACUCUAUAUUUGCCUUCGGAAACCACAAAAAAAGGAAGGAAAAUGCUAAAAAAAUAUUUCUUUAUAUUUGAUUUUGUUACAAAAAAUGUCAAAGAAAGUCUUAAUAUAAUUAAAAUUAUUAAAUUUUUUUGUAUAUUUUUAAAAUUAUUAAUCCUUAUAAAAAAGAGUUAAAUACGUUAAAAAAGUUUAAGGUAGUAUAUAUCAUUGAUUUUAAUUUUUAAUUUUAUUAUUAUAUUUUUUUGCAUUUUUUUCCUUUUACCUUUUUUCUCUAUUUUCUUUCCCUUGUAAUUUCCUUCAAACUUUUCGGGAACCAAAUAUAGCCUAAAUAAUCUACUAAUUUGGUGUUUGUUGUUGUUGUUUUUUUUUUUUUUUUACUUAAAUCUAAAUAGAACUUAAUUUAACUUAAUUCUAAUAAGUUGUUUACUUUUUAUUAUUUUAUUUUUAUUAAGUUUUUGUAUUUUACAUUAGAGAUCUCAUUCCUUUCUUAAUUCGCCCAUUUUGGGUCUUUUCAUUUCUAAUUUUCUUUUCUUUUCAUUUUUUUGCCCUCAUUCUCAUUUCCAUUUCAUAUAACAAGUUCUCUACUUUUCUUUCUAUACAACCAUGGAUGCAAAAUGAAUCCGAUAUAAUAUUAUUGUGUAAUCCAAACUCAAAUGAUAAUACCCAGUAAUAUAAAACAAUUAUUUUAAACCUAUAACAAUACUAAAAUUUUUUUACAAAUAAUUACCCUUAUUUUCAACAUUGAUAUAUUACUAACAAGAAAUUACCUUGAUCUCAUUGGUAUGUGUUUUAGAACGUAAAAGGAAUCCUUGGGUUUACCCAAGUCCUUACAAUAAGGAAUUAAUAAAAGAAAAGGAAUAUGCCACUUUUUCCUCCAUGUUCCAAGUAAAUAUGGGAAAAGACUUAUAUAAAGAAAUUAAUACGUGUUCCAAGUAAAUUUCGGAAAAGAUUUGUAAUAAGAAAUUAAUAAAUGUUCCAAGUAAAUGUGGGAAAACACUUACAACAAGAAAUUAAUAAAUGUUCCAAGUAAAUGUGGGAAAACACUUACAACAAGAAAUUAAUAAGAGAAAAGGACCAUACCACUAUUCUAUGGGAAAAAACUUACAACAAGAAAUUAAUAAAAGGAAAGGACCAUACCACUAUUUCCUUGACAGAUGUUAGGAUGGAUUUAAGAUACAUUUAUAAUUAAUGGUGGAAAAUGUCAAGAUGCAAAAUAUCCUUUGAUCAAGGUAAGAUUGAAUAAAUCGUUUGGUAAGGGCUAGGUUUACAGUACUCAAAUAUGUUUUUUUUCAAUAGGUAUGAGAAAGACAUCAUCAAUUAACUAGUGUCAAGUAUAUAUUUUUAAGUCUUAUUAUUGUACCCCAAUCUUAUUUGUUUGUACUCUUAUACGUUAAUAUCAUUAAUAUGUAUCCUCAUUGUAAGUAAAAAAAGGGUAUUUUACUUUAGUUUUAUUUAUUUGUAUUUCAAAAUCUAAUAGAUUUCGUUAGGUUUAUAUAAGCUCUUACAAUGAGGAAUUAAUAAAAGAAAAGGAUCAUACCACUUUUUCCUUGAUGGAGGUCAGGAUAGAUUCAAGAUACAUUUAUAAUCAAACGAAAUUAUUGUGUGUUGAUGGAAAAUAUCAUGAUGUGGAAAAUGUCCUUUGAUCAAGGUGACCCUCUUGUAAUUGAUAUCGGAUUCAAUUGUUGUUUGUCAAUGGAAAUUGAAUUCCAAACCAUAUAAAAUUAAAUUAAUACAAAUGGUCCAUUUUUUUGUUUUAAUUAUUUAUAUUAUGUCAAAUAUUUCUAAUUUUAUUGUACAAAAUAAAUAAAUUAUUUUAUUCUCUAAUUAUAGAUUUAAACAUAUAAUUGAUAUCAUUCAAUCAAUUGAUACAUAAAUCAUUCUUCCAAAUUUAAACAUAAUGUAAAUGCAUACACACAAUUAAGCGGUGCAAUAUUGUUCUUAGGUUUUCACUGAAGAAUACACGUGUAUACCAAAAUACACUUCUCAUUUGGAGUGUUCUCGGGGUAAGUUUUUGUAUUUUAUAUUAGAGAUCUCAUUCAUUUCUUAAUUCGCCCUCUUUGGGUCCUUUCAUUUCUUAUUUUCUUUUCUUUUCAUUUUUUUGCUCUCAUUCUCGUUUCCAUUUCAUAUACAAGUUCUUUACUUUUCUUUCUAUACAACCAUGGAUGCAAUAUGAAUCCGAUAUAAUAUUAUUGUGUAAUCAAAACUCAAAUUAUAAUACCAAAUAAUAUAAAACAAUUAUUUUAAACCUAUAACAAUACUAACAUUUUUUUUACUAAUAAUUUCCCUUAUUUUUAACAUUGAUGUAUUACUAACAAGAAAUUACCUUGAUCUCAUUGGUUUGUUUUUUAGAAUGUAAAAGAAAUCCUCGGGUUUAUCCAAGUUCUUACAAUAAGGAAUCAAUAAAGAGAAGACCAUGCCACUUUUUCCUCCAUGUUCCAAGUAAAUAUGGGAAANNNNNNNNNNNNNNNNNNNNNNNNNNNNNNNNNNNNNNNNNNNNNNNNNNNNNNNNNNNNNNNNNNNNNNNNNNNNNNNNNNNNNNNNNNNNNNNNNNNNAAGACUUACAACAAGAAAUUAAUAAGAGAAAAGGACCAUACCACUAUUCCAUCUGUGUAUUUGUGUUCCAACUAAAAGUGGGAAAAAACUUACAACAAGAAAUUAAUAAAAGGAAAGGACCAUACCACUAUUUCCUUGACAGAUGUCAGGAUGGAUUUAAGAUACAUUUAUAAUUAAUGGUGGAAAAUGUCAAGAUGCAAAAUAUCCUUUGAUCAAGGUAAGAUUGAAUAAAUCGUUUGGUAAGGGCUAGAUUUACAGUACUCAAAUAUGUUUUUUCAAUAGGUAUGAGAAAGACAUCAUCAAUUAACUGGUGUCAAGUAUAUAUUUUUAAGUCUCAUUAUUGUACCUCAAUCUCAUUUGUUUGUACUCUUAUACCUUAAUAUCAUUAAUAUGUAUCCUCAUUGUAAGUAAAAAAAGGGUAUUUUACUUUAGUUUUAUUUAUUUGUAUUUCAAAAUCUAAAAGAUUUUGUUAGGUUUAUAUAAGCUCUUACAAUGAGGAAUUAAUAAAAGGAUCAUACCACUUUUUCCUUGAUGGAGGUCAGGAUAGAUUCAAGAUACAUUUAUAAUCAAACGAAAUUAUUGUGUGUUGAUGGAAUAUAUCAUGACGUGGAAAAUGUCCUUUGAUCAAGGUGACCCUGUCGUAAUUGAUAUCGGAUUCAAUUGUUGUCCGUCAAUGGAAAUAGAAUUCCCAACCAUAUAAGAUUAAAUUAAUAUAAAUGCUCCCUUUUUUUGUUUCAAUUUUUUAUAUUAUGUCAAAUAUUUCUAAUUUUAUUGUACAAAAUAAAUAAAUUAUUUUAUUCUCUAAUUAUAGAUUUAAACAUAUAAUUGAUAUCAUUCAAUCAAUUGAUACAUAAAUCAUUCUUCCAAAUUUAAACAUAAUGUAAAUGCAUACACACAAUUGAGCGGUGCAAUAUUGUUCCUACGUUUUCACUGAAGAAUACACGUCUAUACCAAAAUACACUUCUCAGUUGGAGUGUUCUCGGGGUAAGUUUUUGUAUUUUAUAUUAGAGAUCUCAUUCAUUUCUUAAUUCGCCCUCUUUGGGUCCUUUCAUUUCUUAUUUUCUUUUCUUUUCAUUUUUUUGCCCUCAUUCUCGUUUCCAUUUCAUAUACAAGUUCUUUACUUUUCUUUCUAUACAACCAUGGAUGCAAAAUGAAUCCGAUAUAAUAUUAUUGUGUAAUCAAAACUCAAAUUAUAAUACCAAAUAAUAUAAAACAAUUAUUUUAAACCUAUAACAAUACUAACAUUUUUUUUACUAAUAAUUUCCCUUAUUUUUAACAUUGAUGUAUUACUAACAAGAAAUUACCUUGAUCUCAUUGGUUUGUUUUUUAGAAUGUAAAAGAAAUCCUCGGGUUUAUCCAAGUUCUUACAAUAAGGAAUCAAUAAAAGAGAAGGACCAUGCCACUUUUUCCUCCAUGUUCCAAGUAAAUAUGGGAAAAGACUUAUAACAAGAAAUUAAUAAAUGUUCCAAGUAAAUGUGGGAAAAGACUUACAACAAGAAAUUAAUAAGAGAAAAGGACCAUACCACUAUUCCAUCUGUGUAUUUGUGUUCCAACUAAAAGUGGGAAAAAACUUACAACAAGAAAUUAAUAAAAGGAAAGGACCAUACCACUAUUUCCUUGACAGAUGUCAGGAUGGAUUUAAGAUACAUUUAUAAUUAAUGGUGUAAAAUGUCAAGAUGCAAAAUAUCCUUUGAUCAAGGUAAGAUUGAAUAAAUCGUUUGGUAAGGGCUAGGUUUACAGUACUCAAAUAUGUUUUUUUUCAAUAGGUAUGAGAAAGACAUCAUCAAUUAACUAGUGUCAUGUAUAUAUUUUUAAGUCUCAUUAUUGUACCCCAAUCUCAUUUGUUUGUACUCUUAUACCUUAAUAUCAUUAAUAUGUAUCCUCAUUGUAAGUAAAAAAAGGGUAUUUUACUUUAGUUUUAUUUAUUUUUAUUUCAAAAUCUAAAAGAUUUCGUUAGGUUUAUAUAAGCUCUUACAAUGAGGAAUUAAUAAAAGAAAAGGAUCAUACCACUUUUUCCUUGAUGGAGGUCAGGAUAGAUUCAAGAUACAUUUAUAAUCAAACGAAAUUAUUGUGUGUUGAUGGAAAAUAUCAUGACGUGGAAAAUGUCCUUUGAUCAAGUUGACCCUCUCGUAAUUGAUAUCGGAUUCAAUUGUUGUUUGUCAAUGGAAAUUGAAUUCCCAACCAUAUAAAAUUAAAUUAAUACAAAUGGUCCCUUUUUUUGUUUUAAUUAUUUAUAUUAUGUCAAAUAUUUCUAAUUUUAUUGUACAAAAUAAAUAAAUUAUUUUAUUCUCUAAUUAUAGAUUUAAACGUAUAAUUGAUAUCAUUCAAUCAAUUGAUACAUAAAUCAUUGUUCCAAAUUUAAACAUAAUGUAAAUGCAUACACACAAUUAAGCGGUGCAAUAUUGUUCCUAGGUUUUCAUUGAAGAAUACAAGUCUAUACCAAAAUACACUUCUCAUUUGGAGUGUUCUUGGGGUAAGUUUUUGUAUUUUAUAUUAGAGAUCUCAUUCAUUUCUUAAUUCGCCCUCUUUGGGUCCUUUCAUUUCUUAUUUUCUUUUCUUUUCAUUUUUUUUGCCCUCAUUCUCGUUUCCAUUUCAUAUACAAGUUCUUUACUUUUCUUUCUAUACAACCAUGGAUGCAAAAUGAAUCCGAUAUAAUAUUAUUGUGUAAUCAAAACUCAAAUUAUAAUACCAAAUAAUAUAAAACAAUUAUUUUAAACCUAUAACAAUACUAAAAUUUUUUUACUAAUAAUUUCCCUUAUUUUUAACAUUGAUGUAUUACUAACAAGAAAUUACCUUGAUCUCAUUGGUUUGUGUUUUAGAAUGUAAAAGAAAUCCUCGGGUUUAUCCAAGUUCUUACAAUAAGGAAUCAAUAAAAGAGAAGGACCAUGCCACUUUUUCCUCCAUGUUCCAAGUAAAUAUGGGAAAAGACUUAUAACAAGAAAUUAAUAAAUGUUCCAAGUAAAUGUGGGAAAAGACUUACAACAAGAAAUUAAUAAGAGAAAAGGACUAUACCACUAUUCCAUCUGUGUAUUUGUGUUCCAAGUAAAAAUGGGAAAAAACUUACAACAAGAAAUUAAUAAAAGGAAAGGACCAUUCCACUAUUUCCUUGACAGAUGUCAGGAUGGAUUUAAGAAAAAUUUAUAAUUAAUGGUGGAAAAUGUCAAGAUGCAAAAUAUCCUUUGAUCAAGGUAAGAUUGAAUAAAUCGUUUGGUUAGGGCUAGAUUUACAGUACUCAAAUAUGUUUUUUCAAUAGGUAUGAGAAAGACAUCAUCAAUUAACUAGUGGCAAGUAUAUAUUUUUAAGUCUCAUUAUUGUACCCCAAUCUCAUUUGUUUGUACUAUUAUAUCUUAAUAUCAUUAAUAUUUAUCCUCAUUGUAAGUAAAAAAAAAGUAUUUUACUUUAGUUUUAUUUAUUUGUAUAUCAAAAUCUAAAAGAGUUCAUUAGGUUUAUAUAAGCCCUUACAAUGAGGAAUUAAUAAAAGAAAAGCAUCAUACCAUUUUUUCCUUGAUGGAGGUUAGGAUAGAUUCAAGAUACAUUUAUAAUCAAACACAAUUAUUGUGUGUUGAUGGAAAAUAUCAUGACGUGGAAAAUGUCCUUUGAUCAAGGUUACCCUCUCGUAAUUGAUAUCGGAUUCAAUUGUUGUCCGUCAAUGGAAAUUGAAUUCCCAACCAUAUAAAAUUAAAUUAAUAAAAAUGGUCCUUUUUUUGUUUCAAUUAUUUAUAUAAUAUAAAAUAUUUCUAAUUUUCUUGCACAAAAUAAGUAAAUUAUUUUAUUCUCUAAUUAUAGAUUCAAACAUAUAAUCGAUGUCAUUCAAUCAAUUAAUACAUAAAUCCUUUUUCCAAAUUUAAACAUAAUGUAAAUGCAUACACACAAUUAAGCGGUGCAAUAUUGUUCCUAGAUUUUCACCUAAGGAUACACAUCUAUAUCAAUACACUCCCCAUUCUGAGUGCUCUUGGGUUUUGUAUUUUACAUUAGACAUCUUACUCCCUUGUUAAGUCGUCCUCUUUGGUCUUUUCAUUUCCUUUUCAUUUUUUUUUUCCCUCAUUCUCAUUUCCAUUUCAUAUAACAAGUUCUUCACUUUUCUUUCUCUACAACAAUGGAUGUAAAAUGAAUGCGAUCUAAUAUUGUUGUGCAAUCCUAACUCAAAUGAUAAUACCGACUAAUAUAAAAUAAUUAUUUUAAACCCAUAACAAUACUCAAAAUUUUCGACAAAUUAUUUCCAUUAUUUUCAACAUUGAUAUAUUACUAAUAAAUUUUAAUUUUAUCUUCCUAACACAAUCCAAAUAAUUAUAACACUUCACACAAAUAUUUAUCUUUGAUUCACAUGAAUUGAAUUUUCUCCAAUAUAAUUUCCCCUAAAAAUCAAUAAAAAAUUCAUAUCAUCAUUCAAAAAAUAAAAUAACUACAUAACUAGAAUCACUUGCAAAAAAAUAUUAUAUUAAAAGUUAGUUUGAUAGUGAUUUUAAAAAAUGUUUCUAACAUUUUUAACACUUAAAUUUUUUUAUUAAAAUAAUCAUGUUGAAAUAUUAAAAAGGUUAAAAAUGUUUACAAAAAUCACUAUUAAACAAGCUAAAAAAAUUUGUUCUACAAUGAUUUUAGGAAGCCCUUUUAGUCAUCCCAACAUUUGAAAUUUUUUAGUAGAAUAGUUGUAACCUUUCUAUCCUUCCAUUUGGUAGGAAGCGUUGGUAGUGAUUAUUAGUAUUAAGGUCGAAUGGGAAGGUGUUGUUCAUGAUGUGUGGGUCUUUUUAGAGGCAUUAAGAAGGCCAGAAUUGGGUUUUCCUCAUCCACCUAGAGGUUUGUGAAUAACAAUAUCAAACUUGUUUUUGUGAUUGAAUUUUUAUUAUCUAAUAUAUAUUUUUGUUUUUGUUUUGUUGGUAAAUAUUAUUUGGUCGAUGUUGGUUAUCCUCAAAUGAAUGGAUAUUUAGGCAGUUAUAAACGCGAGUGUUACUAUCUUCUAGAUUUUUGAUGAGGUAGUUCACUUUGAGGUAAAAAGGAAAUAUUUAAUCAUAGGCAUUCAUCAUUGAGGUGCACAAUUGAAAGAACGUUUUGUCAUUUUGAAGAAUAGAUGGAGAAUGCUACGAGAAAUGCAUAGUUUUUCUCUUGAAAAACAAGUAAAGAUUGUUAUUGCUUCCAUGACUCUUCAAAACUUCAUAAGGAUUAAUGCUAGAAUGGAUAUGGAAUGUAAACCUUAUGAUGAUGAUCAAGGGUUGCUUCCACUUAAUGAAGAAGAGAGUAGAAUAGAUUCACUUGUUGAGGAAGAUGGUUCACAUCAUGCAAGAGAGAUGGAAAAAAAAUGUGAUCGAAUUGCAAAUCUUCUUAUAUUUCAUUGAUGUUUGAUUAUGACUCUAAUAUGUAAUAAUAUAAUUUUCCCUCUAUGAAAACAUUUGUCUUCCAAUUUACUUUUAAUUAGAAAAGUUUAUGUUCUGCAAAAUAGAUUUCAUUGUUGUGAGAAACAAAAUGUUUGGAAAUUGUUUUCUAAAAUAAUUUUUAAUAACAGUUUUUGAAAACCGUUCUUUAAUAUUUUAUAAAAUAAAAGUCUAUUUAAAAACUUAAAAUAUUUUUAACUUAUUUUUAAUAAUUUUAAAUAUGUUUAAAUUUUUUUUAUGUAUAAUGUUUUAUUUUUAGAAUUCAUUUGAAUGAGAAAUAUUUCUACAUUUUCUAAUACUUGAAAAAUAAAGAAUUUUAAAUGUUAAAAAGACUAAAAACACUUUCUAAAAUCAUUGUUAAAUACACUUUUAAAAUAUGUUUGAUAGUAAUUUUAAAAAACGUUUUUGCUCUUUCUAAUAUUUGAAUGAUAUAAAUUUUUAAGUGUUAAGAAGGUUAGAAACACUUUUUAAAAUCGACAUGAAUAAAAACAACAUAAGCCAACUAAAAAGAUGUUAUAUGAAAAUACUCUAUUUUAUAUUAUUAAGAAUAGAAAACAAAAAACAAUUUUGGUUGCCAUAUGCGUUUUUAUAUUUUUUUUUUUUGAAAAACAAAAAAUUAUUCUCGAAAAAACAUAUUCCACAGUAACUCAAAUUAGUUUUCUAUGUUUAUUCCCUAUAAAAGAUAUAUAUAUUUUUUUAUGUAUAAUGCAAAAAAUAUAUAUUUAUUUUUACAUUAUUAAUUAUUGUUCAAAAACACCUAAAAUCAUUUUUAAAAAACAACCUGAUUUCAAAAUAAAUUCUUAAAAAAUUAUUUUCUAAAAAAAAAAUUAUCAAAUGCUUUUUCUGAAUCAGGAAAUUGUUUUUCGUUCUAAAAACAGAAAAAUAUUUUUAAUAACAAUUUUCAAAAGAAGACCCAAUCGAAUAAGGGUUCAAUUUAGGAAUUCCACAACUUAAAGCUCUAUUUACUGGAUGGGUGUUUUUUACUACAAUUUCAUCCGCAGCACAGAAGACGGCAGCACAAUCAAUUUGAGUAACGUUCUUAGAUGUCACCAAAUUUAUUUUGUGGGGCUGGACUUGUUCUUGCUGGAGAACCAACUUCCCUUCGGACUCCUCAAGUUGAUUUUUGAGGAAGCAAAAUUCAAGGGUGGUUCAUUAAUGCAAGAGAAGAUAAAAAAGUUGGUCACUCUUGACACCAGAAGGCCAGAUGGGUCGACAUAAAAAAGUAAUGAAUUAUUGCAUACAAGGCACGAAGACAACCUUUCAAUGCUGCUACUACUCAUCAAUUCCUGGAGGGACAACUUAAGGGGUUGAAGGGCGAUAACUGCACAUCCUGACAUUUUCCAUGAAGGUACAAUCAUUGCAUAUGUAUUUUGGAAUCCAGUCUGACAUUUUCCAUGAAAGAACAAUAAUUGCAUCUGAAUAUAAAUGUAUUUUGGAAUCCAUCCUGACAUUUUCCUCGUGAACCAACCUUUUUCAUACUAUGUUUGGCUCGGAAGUACCAAAAAAAGAUACAUUUGCCAGUGGAAAAAAAAAAAAGAUGCAUUCGUUCCAUGGAGAGAAUGUGUGGUCUGUAAAGAUUGAAGAGAUGGAUUGCAGGCGAAGACGGGGUGUUGUAGUGGCCUUGCACUUCAUAAGGAUUAAACAAUAAAUAAUGGGUGUGGAGACUUGGGUGAAAUACAAAGUAACAUGAUACUAUAAUGAUAAAAUAAUAAUAAUAAUAAUAAUAAUAAUAAUAAUAAUAAUAAUGUUAGAUGCUAAGUUAAUAAAUGAAAUAAAAUUAUAGUUUAAUUAAAUUAGCUAUAUAUUCUUAGAAACAUUAUAAAUUAGAAACUUAUUAAUUUUAAUUGAAUAAGGAAUAAAUGAAUUAAAUUAAUAUUAAUAAUUAGGAAUAAUAAUAUUAAUAAAUAAAAUUAUUAGGAUCAUCGAAUCUAUAUAAUUUUAGUUAAUUGUCUAUAGUAAGAAACUUAUUGAUUUUAGUUAAAUAAGGAAUAAAUUAAUUGAGUUAAUAUUGAUAAUUAAGAAUAAUAAUAUUAAUAAAUAAAAUUAUUAAGAUAGUGGAAUCUAUAAUUUUAGUUAAGCUUCUAUUUUUUUUUUUUCAAAUAUAUUAACUUUAGAUAAUAAGCUAUCCAUUAACCAUUUAUUAUUUAAUCAUUCAAUCCUUCAAAAUGACAUUAAUUUAACCCACUUCCUUAACCAAUUAUACAUUGAUUAAAUUCACCUUUCAAAAAUUAAAUAUACUAAAUGAUAAUAUUCAUAUUUAAUCAAUUUACCUUUUUGUAUAAAUUCUUAAAUUCAUAUUUAAUUUCAUUUUGAUUCAAAUUUAUUUCAUGUUUUAUAAUUUUAUAAGGUUGAAUUUCAAUUAUAAAAAUUAAAUUGAUUCAUAUGGUAAUAUUAAAUUAAAUAUCUUUUGAAAAAUUUAUUAUAACCAGUUAAUAUAAUACAAAUUUCAUCAAGUUUUUCUAAUUAAGGUUUUCUGAUAAUUACUUUAUAAUAAUAAAAUUAAUUCUUCUAAUACAUAUAAUAUUCAAAUUUCAAAAAUCCAAUCUCAAAUAAUUUAAUUGCUAAAUUUAUAUUUAAUUUUUGAAGUUCCAAAUUUCGAAAUGUGAAGAAUUUAAACUAUUGACCUUCCACUAGGCACUAACUUCUCAAAAGUUUCGCCUAAUUAAAGAAAAUAUCGACACGUCAAUGUUCACUAACAUCGUUCAUUUAUUUAGACCAUUCAUUUUGGUUGAUUUUGAGGAUAGUCAUCGGCAGUAGACUUGUAUCUUCUAGACCAAUUAGCAUGCCAACAGUGAUUAGGCUAAGGUGGUGAUCCAAUUCCAUGGAAGAGCAUCAAGAAAGGAGGAACGGUGGAGAGAAAGAAGGCGGCCAACCAAGCAGGAACAGUGGCCAAACUGGCCUCGAGCCUGAGGAGUAUAGGAUUGACAUUUUUGAAAUCAGUCAUAGGAAUUGGAUUGAGUCUCUCAGAACGGCAGAAGAAAGCACUCGAUCUCAGAGUCAAUGGCCAAGGAUACCAAAGGUUCCUCAGAUGCUGAGGGGGACCCAGGAUUUCAAGAAAUUCUACGAACCGGGGUUAAUUUCAAUCGGUCCUUAUCACCAUGGCAAGCCCCACCUUCACGCAGGGGAAAUAAUCAAGCGUCUAUGUGCCCGAAAAUUCCUUGCUGAUAGUGAGCAGGACAUGGACGCUUUGUACACAAAAAUUCAAAGUAAUAUCGAGGCAGUGAGGACGUGCUAUGAUAUGAUACCGACGAACAAGUAUGAUGAUGAGAAACUCGCCCGGAUGAUGCUUCUGGAUGGGUGUUUUUUACUACAAUUUUUCUGCGGGCAGGGUAAUGAAAACUUUCUUAGAUGUCACCAAUUAUUUUUUGCGGAGCUGGACUCGUUCAUGCUGGAGAACCAACUUCCUUUUAGAGUCCUCAAGUUGAUUUUUGAGGGAGCAAAUUUUAAGGGACCAGUGGAAAAGAAAAUAAAAAAAUUCGUUACUAGCACCCUAUGGCCAGAAAGGUCGACAUCAGAAACAGAGCUGGAAGAGGACGAAGAGCCCUCUCAUCUCCUCGCCCUUUUGCGAAGUACUCUCCUAGGCCGGCAACCUGAGAAAAAAGAAAAGUCGUCGUCGUGUCAAGGAGGAGAUGGGAGGUCCUGUUGCCCAUGGAAGAAAGGCCAAAAACGAGGCUUUUCAAGGUCUUUUCGAAACGUCAAGGAGCUUAAAGUUGCCGGGAUCCAUCUCCAACCGAGUGGAACGAGUUUCUUGAGAGACGUUUCUUUCAAUUCCUACUUCUUCUAUGGCUGCAUGAAUCUUCCCCCAAUAAUCGUUGAUGACUUCACGAAGCCCAAGUUCUUGAACAUUGUAGCCUAUGAAAUGUGUCCAGAUGCCCCAGAUGACUAUGCGGUCACUUCUUAUGUAUGCUUCCUUUACGAGCUCAUUGAUCAUGCAGACGAUGUCAAGGAGCUGAGAUCUAAGCACAUUCUCUACAACUGUCUUGGAAGCGAUGAAGAUGUGGCCAAAAUUUUCAACGAGAUCGGCAAUGGCUUGGUAGAUCCCGAUGCUUAUAAAGAAGUGAAAACUAGUAUUCAGAAACACUACGACAAGAGAGGGAAUACUUGGAUAGCUGAAGGCCUUCACGAGCAUUUCAGGUCUCCAUGGACUAUCAUCGCUUUCAUUGCUGCUGUUUUGAUACUACUUCUUACCGGGUUUCAGACCUACUUCGCUCUUCCCGCUAAACCCAAAUGAGUCAUGGUAAUAUAUGUUGAAGACUGAUUCAAAGUGGCUGUUGGUAUAUUCCUAUUCUUAUGGUUGAGUUAGUCAAAUAAGGAGCUUGUUGCUAAAAUCGAGUUAGUGGGUGUAGUGGGUCAAGUGUUAGUGGUGUAGUGGGGCAGAUUGUGUCCUCUUUGUUUUUUUUUAUAAAUAGACAUGUUUGCUGUAGUGGAAAAAUGACUGCAAUAAAAUAUCCAGAAGCAUUUUCUUUGGUCUGGUGAAGCUCUGUUUUUUAGAGUUAAAGAGCUCUAUUUUUUUCCUUGCUAUUGUUUUGUCUUGUUUUUGUCCAACAAUUUUUGGUAUCAGAGCAACCAGGUUCCUUCUGAACUGGGCGAAUAAUGGCAACAACCAACGGCAGUAUGGUGAGUGUGUCUCAACCAGCAAUUCCCAUUUUCAAAGGUGAGUGCUAUGAGUUUUGGAGCAUCAAAAUGAAGACUUUAUUCAAGUCUCAAGAUCUGUGGGACUUGGUUGAAAAUGGCUAUCCUUAUCCGGACGAAGAAGCUAGGUUGAAAGAAAAUACGAAGAAGAACUCCAAGGCAUUGUUCUUUAUUCAACAGGCUAUACAUGAAUCAAUCUUCUCAAAGAUUGCAGCAGCAACCACAGCAAAAGAGGCGUGGACAACCUUGAAAACUGCAUUUCAGGGUUCCUCUAAAGUGAUCACGGUGAAGCUCCAGUCCUUGCGCCGUGACUUUGAAACCUUGCACAUGAAAAAUGGAGAGUCAGUGCAAGAUUUUUUGUCAAGAGUUGCUGCUAUAGUUAAUCAAAUGAGGUCGUAUGGUGAAGAUAUUCUUGAUCAAACUGUCGUAGCAAAGGUGUUAAGGAGUUUAACGCCUAAGUUUGAUCAUGUAGUUGCAGCCAUUGAGGAGUCUAAGGAUCUGUCAACCUAUUCAUUUGAUGAGCUCAUGGGAUCCUUGCAAUCUCAUGAAGUGAGGCUGUCCAGAACAGAGGAGAAGAAUGAAGAAAAGGCAUUUUACACGAAGGGGGAGACAUCAGAUCAGAAGAAUGGAGGCAGAGAAGCUACUGGUAGAGGACGUGGCAAAGGAGGUGCUCAUGGAAGAGGUGGUCGUGGCAGAGGCCGAGGUGAUGCACAAGGUGACCAAAGGCAGUCAACUGAGAAGAGCAGAAACAAGAGUAAUAUCCAGUGCUACUACUGCAAGCGGUUUGGACAUGUUCAAGCUGAAUGUUGGAAGAAAGAAAGGCAAGAAAAACAAGCUAACUAUGUCGAGCAAGAGGAAGAUCAAGUCAAGUUGUUCAUGGCCUAUAAUGAAGAGGUAGUAUCUUCCAACAAUAUUUGGUUUUUGGAUAGUGGAUGUUCUAACCACAUGACAGGGAUAAAGUCACUCUUUAAGGAGCUGGAUGAAUCACACAAGUUGAAGGUGAAACUUGGUGAUGACAGACAAGUGCAAGUGGAAGGCAAGGGGACCGUGGCAGUAAACAAUGGUCAUGGUAAUGUAAAGCUCCUUUACAAUGUGUACUUUAUUCCUAGUUUGACUCAAAACUUGUUAAGUGUGGGGCAACUUAUGGUUAGUGGAUACUCCAUUUUGUUUGAUGGUGCUACUUGUGUGAUCAAAGAUAAAAAGUCUGAUCAAAUAAUAGUUGAUGUUCGUAUGGCCGCAAACAAGUUGUUUCCUCUUGAAGUGUCAAGUAUAGAAAAGCAUGCUCUUGUUGUUAAAGAGACUAGUGAGUCUAAUCUGUGGCACUUAAGGUAUGGUCAUCUAAAUGUCGAAGGGUUGAAGUUACUAAGUAAAAAGGAAAUGGUGUUUGGACUACCUAAAAUUGACUUGGUGAAUGUGUGUGAGGGCUGUAUUUAUGGGAAACAAAGCAAGAAACCAUUCCCUAAGGGAAGGUCAAGGAGGGCAUCUAGUUGUCUUGAGAUUAUACAUGCUGAUCUAUGUGGUCUUAUGCAAACUGCUUCAUUUGGUGGCAGUAGAUAUUUUUUGUUGUUUACAGAUGAUCAUAGCAGGAUGAGUUGGGUGUAUUUUCUUCAAUCAAAGGCAGAGACUUUUGAGACCUUCAAGAAGUUCAAAGCAUUUGUAGAGAAGCAGAAUGGCAAGUGCAUUAAGGUGUUGCGGACUGACAGAGGUGGAGAGUUCUUAUCAAAUGAUUUUAAAGUAUUUUGUGAAGAGGAAGGCUUGCAUAGAGAGCUGACUACUCCUUAUUCACCAGAGCAAAACGGUGUGGCUGAGAGGAAGAAUAGAACGGUGGUUGAGAUGGCUAGAAGCAUGAUGAAGGCCAAGAACCUUUCAAACCAUUUUUGGGCAGAAGGAGUUGCUACAGCUGUAUACUUGUUGAAUAUUUCUCCAACCAAGGCAGUGUUGAAUAGAACUCCAUAUGAAGCUUGGUAUGGGAGGAAACCUUGGGUAAGCCAUUUAAAGGUUUUUGGUAGUGUUGCCUAUACGUUGAUUGACUCACAUAACCGUAGUAAGCUUGAUGAAAAAUCAGUAAAGUGCAUCUUUAUUGGUUAUUGCUCUCAAUCAAAAGGAUAUAAGCUAUAUAACCCUGUUAGUGGUAAGAUAAUUGUUAGCAGGAAUGUGGUGUUUGAUGAAAAAGCUAGCUGGACUUGGCGUGUAAGUGAAGACGGUGCUCUUGUGGAGAUUUCAAGUGAAAGUGAAGUGGCACAGAGUGAAGAUCAGCAGCCUUCUGUUCAGAUUCCAGCAAGUCCAACUCUCUCGCAUUCACCUAGUUCCCCAAAUUUGAGUAGCAGCAGUUCUUCACAAUCUUUAGAGGAAACCCCUCUAAGGAAAUUCAGAUCUUUAAGGGACAUCUAUGAGACUACACAAGUCUUGUUUGUAGCUGAUCCAACAACCUUUGAAGAAGCAGUGGAGAAGGAAGAAUGGUGCAGUGCUAUGAAAGAAGAGAUAGCUGCCAUUGAGAAGAAUGAGACUUGGAACUGGUGGAGCUUCCUGAAGACAAGAAUGUGAUAGGUGUUAAAUGGGUUUUCAGAACCAAGUACUUAGCAGAUGGUAGUAUACAAAAGCACAAGGCACGGUUAGUGGCAAAGGGCUAUGCACAGCAACAUGGAGUUGAUUAUGAUGACACCUUCUCACCAGUUGCACGGUUUGAAACAGUAAGGACCUUAUUAGCCUUAGCUACUCAUAUGCAUUGGUGUGUUUAUCAGUUUGAUGUCAAGUCUGCUUUUCUUAAUGGAGAGCUAGUAGAGGAGGUGUAUGUAUCUCAGCCUGAAGGCUUCAUAGUUCCUGGUAAAGAAGAGCACGUGUAUAGACUAAAGAAGGCCCUUUAUGGGUUGAAACAAGCCCCACGAGCAUGGUACAGUAAGAUAGAUUCUUACUUUGUUGAGAAUGGCUUGGAAAGGAGCAAGAGUGAGCCAAAUCUUUACCUGAAAAGGCAAGGUAAAAAUGAUCUUCUUAUUAUUUGUCUUUAUGUAGAUGACAUGAUCUAUAUGGGUUCAUCCUCUUUUCUUAUUAAUGAGUUUAAAGCCUGUAUGAAGAAGAAGUUUGAGAUGUCAGACCUAGGGCUGUUGCAUUCUUUCUUGGUUUAGAGGUAAAACAAGUAGAGGAUGGAGUCUUUGUUUCACAAAGAAAGUAUGCUGUUGAUUUGCUUAAGAAGUUCAAUAUGUUAAAUUGCAAAGUAGUAGCUACUCCUAUGAAUUCAAAUGAGAAGUUGCAGGCUGAAGAUGGCACUGAAAGAGCUGAUGCUAGGAGGUUUAGAAGUCUGGUUGGAGGCCUCAUUUAUCUGACACAUACACAGCCAGAUAUAGCUUUUGCAGUUGGGGUGAUCUCCAGAUUUAUGCAUUGUCCUUCGAAGCAACAUCUUGGAGCUGCAAAGAGAUUGUUGCGAUACAUUGCUGGAACAUAUGAUUUCGGGAUAUGGUAUGGUCAUGUUCAAGAGUUCAAAUUGGUUGGCUACACUGAUAGUGAUUGGGCAGGGUGCUUAGAGGAUAGAAAAAGCACUUCAGGCUAUAUGUUUUCUCUUGGGUCAGGUGCAGUCUGUUGGAGUUCAAAGAAGCAAGCAGUGACAGCCUUGUCCUUUUCUGAAGCUGAGUAUACAGCUGCAACCUCAUCCGCAUGCCAGGCAGUGUGGUUGAGGCGAAUUCUUGCUGAUAUUAAUCAAGAACAUGAGGAGCCAACUGUAAUUUACUGUGACAACAAAGCUGCCAUAGCAAUGACCAAGAAUCCAGCCUACCAUGGAAGGACAAAACAUGUUGAUAUUCGGGUUCAUUUCAUAAGAGAUCUUGUGGUUGAAGGUAAAGUUGUUUUGCAGUAUUGUAACACAAAUGAGCAGGUAGCGGAUGUGCUGACAAAAGCUUUAUCUAGAGACAAGCAUGUCUACUUCAGAAGCAAGCUUGGAGUUUGCAACUUUGAAUCAAGGGGGAGUGUUGAAGACUGAUUCAAAGUGGCUGUUGGCAUAUUCCUAUUCUUAUGGUUGAGUUAGUCAAAUAAGGAGCUUGUUGCUAAAAUCGAGUUAGUGGGUGUAGUGGGGCAGAUUGUGUCCUCUUUGUUUUUUUUUUAUAAAUAGACAUGUUUGCUGUAGUGGAAAAAUGACUGCAAUAAAAUAUCCAGAAGCAUUUUCUUUGGUCUGGUGAAGCUCUGUUUUUUAGAGUUAAAAAGCUCUAUUUUUUUCCUUGCUAUUGUUUUGUCUUGUUUUUGUCCAACAAUAUAUAUAUAUGGGUUAAUUAUGAAUGUGAUGUGUUUUUUUCUUGUUUGGUGUGUAUGAUUCUUGUAUCACUGGAUUUCAUGGAUGCAAUAUUAUUCGUCUUUUCCUCCCAUUGAGUUUGCUAUCAUCUAUAAUAUCUGUUUCAACUCGCAAUUUCCAGCUACCUUCUUGGUAUUCUUUUUCAUAGACCAGGAUAAUAGGUUGUUAAACAUCCACAUAGAAAAUUUUCAGUCAACAAUUUGUAAUUCCGUGGAUGGGAUGGGAUUGAAUAAUAUUUUUCAAAUGAGAAAAAAGUGGAUAAAAUCAUAAUUUUUAUAUAUUUAUAAAUUGAGGGAAGAAUCUCAUAUAUGUGCUCUAAUAUUUUUUUUUUUAAUAAAAGACGGAAAUAUCAUUCUAAGCAAUUUAAUGCUUGAUUUUGGAUCAAAAGAGAUUUCAUAAAUAAAUAGUACAUUUUUAAUGAAGUCUUCCAAUCCUCGUCUAAGAAUCUUCAAGUUUUCAAUUUCUUUAAGAAAUCUUGAAUAUUCUUCAACUCUUCAAAAAAUUAUUCAAUCAAUAGUUUGUUAUUCCAUGGAUAGGAUGGGAUUGAAUAUUUUUCAAAUGAGAAAAUAGUGGAUAAAAUCAUAAUUUUUAUAUAUAUUUAUAAAUUGAGGGAAGAAUCUCAUAUAUUCUCUCUGAUAUAUAUAUAUAUAUUUUAAUGAAAGACAGAAAUAUCAUUUUAAGUAAUUUAAUGCUUGAUUUUGGAUCAAAAGAGAUUUCAUAAAUAAAUAGUACAUUUUUAAUGAAGUCUUCCAAUCUUCGUCUAAGAAUCUCUUCAAAAAAAUUUAAUAUUUUUUCAAUCUCUUUUAAGAGAGCUCUUGGACCUUAAAGAAAGAGCCCAUCGUGAUACUUUUAGGGGGUGUUUGGUAUACGGGAAUAGGGAGUGGGAAUAGACAUCUCAUUCCUUUUCUCCCUUAUUCCUAUGUUUGGAUAAAUGUUAAGAAGGCGGAAAUGAAAUAAAAAAUUAUUCCGUCAGAAAUCAAAUUCAACUUAUGAGUCGGAUUUGCAUUCAUUAAAAGUAGGUGGUAUUCUGAUUCAUUAAACCUAUUUGAUAAUAUAAAAUAACCUAAAUUACUAUUUUACCCUCUUAUCUUGUUCUUCAAACCCGAUGUUUAUCUUCUUUGCAAAGGUAGAGAUCCAUUCAUCAUCCACUUCUUAUCUUCUUUGCAAAGUUAGAGACCCACUCAUCUUCCAAUUCUCUGCAACAAGUGAUUCUUCCAAAUUGAAUCAAUUAAACCUUCCACGAUAUUUAAAAAAAAAAAAUCAAUUUCUAAUUUAUAGGGUUUUGGAUGUUCAUUUUGAUUGUUGGAUCUAGGAUUCGUCAUUGUUUGCUGUAACUAGGUUCUGAAAACUCCCUUCUACAUCUUCGAUCAGGUUUACCUUAUUUUCUCUUUCUUCUUCUACUUCUUUAUAUGUGUUUCUUCUUCUCUAUAAAUCGAUUAAAUUUUUUUUAUUAAUUUAUGUUUGGAAUCUUUGAUGUUUCUUUAUCUUGUAUUAAUGGAAACUGGAGAGAAAAAUUGAAAUGGUUGGAAAAAGAUUUUUCGAUUUCACGUGUUUACAAUAUUGAAAAUUUUUAAUGGUUAGGAAAAAAAUAAAAAGAAAAAAACAAACAAAAACAAAACUUUUGGUUUUUUUUCCCCUUUGUUUAUUAUUACCGGCAUCUUCCUUUCCUAGUUGAAAAUAGGAAAAACAUUUGCUAGCUUUGAGAAUUUAAAUAUUAUAAUAAAUAAUUUUUUUUUAAAAAUAUAAUUUUAUAACUACUUAAGCAUGACAAAUUAUUCAAAUUUUUAAUAAAAAUAAUAAUUGAAUAUUUGUGCAUUAGGGUUAUACGAUUUUUUAUGGUUAAUUUUUUAUUUAUUGAGUAUAUAUAUAUUUUUUAGUCUUAUUAUUUAAUAACAAAAAACCUCUCAAAUUUUAUUUUUUUAAAUAAAAGUAAAAAUAAAAAAAUAUUUUAAAUUAUAUGUAAGGAUAUUAUUGUAAAUUUAUUUCUUUUUCAUUUCUAUUCAUAUUAUUAUCAAACAUUGGAAUGGAAACAAAUAAUCAUUUCAAUCUUGCAUUCUUAAGUUCAUCCAAAUGCUAGAAAUGAAAUCAUCAAAUUCAUUCCAUUCCACUAAGAAAUAGGAAAGGAAACAAAAUAUUAUUUUCAUUCCCUAUUCCGACGUACCAAACACCCCCUCAAUAUUAUGUGUAUGUCAUGGAAUUUAAUUCUAAAAAUCCUUAAAAGAGUUUAAUUUACCAUAAAAGCAACCAACAGUGAUCUACAUGGACAAUAGAAAAAACAAAAAUCCAACUUUCCAUGAUUGAAGUAAUGAAUUGUACAGACUUUAUGCUGCUACUCAUCAGGAAGGCCAACUUAAUCAAAGGGCCAUAAGUACUGCACAUCCUGACAUUUUCCUCGUGAACCAAUUUUUUUUUUUUUAUGCUACGUUAUGACAUUUUCGUCGAGAACCAAUCUUUUUCGAUACUAUGUUUGGUUCAGAAAUUCUUAGAAAAAAAAAAAAAGAAAUAAAAAAGGAAAAUGCUAAAAAAAAAAAUUAUAUUUAAUUUCAACAUGAAAAAUGUGAAAGAAAGUCUCACUAUAAUUAAAAUCAUUAAAAAACUUUAUAUAAUUUUAAAUUAUUCAAUCACCACAUUAAAGAGUUAAAUAUAUGAAAAAAGUUGGAGACAAUACAUAAAACUAAUUCAAUGAUUUUAAAUUUAUUUUUUUUCUUCAUUUUUUCUUUUCUUUUGUUUUUCUUUUUCUAGUAUUUUCCUUUAAUUCUUUCAAGAAUCAAACAUAACCUAAAUAACCUACUAAUUUGGUGUUUGUUUUUGUUUUUUUUUUACUUAAAUCUAAAUAUAAUUUAAUUAUAAAUACAAUUUAAUAGUAUUAAAUAUUAAGUUAUUUAUUUUUUAUUAUUUUAUUUUUAUUAAAUAUUAAUAAGAUAAGAGUUAUGUUGAAGUUAUAUUUUGGUUAUUUUAAAAAAUUAUUUCUAACAUUAAAGCAAAAAAUAAAAUAUUUUGAUUUUUUUAUUUAGUCAAAAAGUUUAAAAAAUAAUUAAUAAGUAAAAAGAAUUUAAAAAAUUAUUUAUAGUUUGAAAGCAAAUUACAUUCAACAUUAAAUAAAAAAAUCAAACGUCACGUUAAGAUUCAAAAUGAUUAUAAAUGUGUGACACUAAGCUUAAUAUAAACUUUUGUAUAUUUCACAUUAAGACUUCUUAAUUUAUUCUCUUUAGUUAUUUCAUUUUUUUUCCUGACAUUUUUUGAGGUCUUUUUAUUCUCAUUUCUGUUUCAUAUAACAACUUCUUUAGUUUUCUUUCCAUAUAACCAUAGAGGCAAAAUGAGUGUAAUAUAAUACAAUUGUCCAAUAAUAAUAUCUAAUAAUAUAAAACAAUUAUUUUAAAUAUAUAACAAUAUUUAAAAUUUUAGACAAAAAAUAAUAAUAUAUGUAUGGUAUAGUUUAUUAUAUUUGAAAAUAAUAUUAUAUGCGUUGAUAAAAAAAUAUUAAUUUUGUAAGUGUAUAUUUAUUAUUAAAUUACAUCAAAUAUUGUCCGAUAAUAAUAUUAUGAUAUUUGAUUAUAAUAUAUUUAAUAUUAAAAUUAUGAUACAUUUAAUUCAAUUAUAUUAAAUGAUAUAAAAUAAAUAAUAAUAUAUGUAUAAUUUUUUAAUAUUUAAUUAAUAAUAUUAAAAACACUAAAAAAAAGUUCUCAUGAUAAUUUUUAUAUUUUUAGUAAUUAAUUAAAUAAAAAAAAUUAUUUAAUUAUAAAAUACCUAUAAUUAAUUUGUUCUUCAAAAUAUAUCACGGUGGAAUAUAUUUAUGAAGGGUGAGCUUGCCCUAGUGGUUGGCAAAGUUUAUUUCGAACCUUUUGUUUGAGUCCCCUCAUCUGCAACACAAAAUUAAGAUAUUUUGAUCUUUGACCGUCCCUACCUCGCGUUGCAGCCUAUUUGAGCGCGCCCCCCAACCUGCAUUGCAACCUGUUUGAUCGCCCACGACCCGCGUUACAGCCCGCAGUUGGCAGACCGUCGUUGCAGUGGGUCGACUUUCUUUGCUGAAAUUUCAUCGAAAUUUGCCAAAUUUUCAUCGAAAAAUGCCAGUAGCUGGAGAUAUUUUUUCUAUUUUGUCAAUUAAUCAGCAAAUUCUGAAAUUUCGAAACUUGCCCGUGUGUGUUUUUUUUUUUAAAAAAAAAUCACCUCAUGGAUUUUGAGCUUUUAUUUUUUCAAAUAUAUCAACUUUAGGGGCUAACCAUCAAUUAUUUAAUCAUUCAACGUACAAUAAUGAGAUUCUCAAUCCUUCGUAAUGACAUUAAUUUAAUCCACUUCUGUUGUUAAUUAUACUUCAAUUAAAUCAGCCUUUCAAAAAUUAAAUUAAAUCUAUUAAAUGAUAAUAUUCAAAUUAAUUAAUCAAUUUACCUUUUUAUAUAAAUUCUUAAAUUUAUAUAACAUAAUGUAAUCUUGAUUUCAUUUCGAAAGAAUUUUGCUUCAUGUUUUGUAAUUUUAUAAGGUUGAAUUCCAAUUAUAAUUAAAAAAUAAAUUGAUCUAUUAUAAUAUUAAAUUAAAUAUCUUUUAAAAAAUUUACUAUAACGAUUUGAUAUAAUAUGAAUCUCAAGUAUUUGUAAUUAAAGUUCUUUGAUAAUUAGCUUAUAAGAAUAUAAUUAAUUUUUAUAAUACAUGCAAUAUUCAAAUUUCAAAAAUCCAAUCUCAAAUAACUUUUAAGUUUAAUUUUUGAAAUGUGACUUGGCAAGAAUUUAAAUUAAUGACGGCUUGGCCUAAUUAAAUAAAAUAUUUACACGUGAAUGUUCACUAACAUCAUCAUGAAUGGUCUAAAUAAAUGAAUGUUCUAGACCCUUCAUUCUGGAUGCUGUUGAGGAUAGUCAUCGGCAGUAGAAACAUCUUCUGAACCGAUUAAAAUACCAACAGUCACCAUUCAUUUAUUUAGACCAUUCAUUUUGGUUGAUGUUGAGGAUAGUCAUCGGCAGUAGACCUACAUCUUCUGGACCAAUUAGCAUACCAACAGUGAUUAGGCUAAGGUGGUGAUCCAAUUCCAUGGAUGAGCAGCAAGGAAGGAGGAACGUUGGAGAGAUAGAACCAGUUGGCGGCCAACCAAGCAGGAACAGUGGCCAAACUGGCCUCGAGCCUGAGGAGCAUAGGAUUGACAUUGUUGAAAUCAGUCAUAGGGAUUGGAUUGAGUCUCUCAGAACGGCAGAAGAAAGCACUCAAUGGCGAAGGAUACCAAAGGUUCCUCAGAAGCUGAGGGGGACCCAGGAUUUCAAGAAAUUCUACGAACCGAGGGUAAUUUCAAUCGGUCCUUACCACCAUGGCGAACCCAACCUUGGCCCAGUGGAAAUGAUCAAGCUUCCAUGUGCCCAAAAAUUCCUGGCUCAUAGUAACCAGGACAUUGAAGCUUUGUACACAAAAAUUCGAAGUAAAAUCGAGGCAGUGAAAAAGUGCUAUGAUUAGAGUAGUACAGAAAAGUAUGAUGAUGAGAAACUCGCCAGGAUGAUGCUUCUGGAUGGGUGUUUUGUACUACAAUUCAUCCGCUGGAAAGGUAUGAGAAAAUUUCUUAGAAAUCACCAAAUAAAUUUUGUGAUGCAGGACUUGUUCUUGCUGGAGAACCAACUUCCCUUUGGAGUCCUCAAGUUGAUUUUUGAGGGAGCAAAUUUCCAGGGUGGUCUACCAAUGGAAAAGAAUAUAAAAAAUUUCAUCACUUACUUCGGAAUGCCAGAAGGGUUGUCAUCAGAAAUACAGCUGUAAGAGGUGAACGAAGAGCCCUCUCAUCUACUCGACCUUUUGCAAAGUGCUCUCCUAGGCCAGAGUCAGCCCGAACAAGAGCAGCAACCUGAGAAAAAAGGAAAGUCGUCGUCGUCGUCUCAAGGAGGAAAGUGGGGGUUCUGUUGCCGAUGGAAAAAAAGCAUACAACGGGGCAUUUGGCAGUCUUUUCGACACAUCAAGGAGCUUAAAGCUGCCGGGAUCUAUCUCAAACCGAGUAGAACGUGUUUCUUGAGAGACAUUUCUUUCAAAUCCUACUUCUUCUUUGGCUACCUGAAACUUCCCCCAAUAACCAUUGAUGACUUCACGAAGACCAAGUUCUUGAACAUGGUAGCCUAUGAAAUGUGUCCAGAUGCCCCAGAUGACUAUGCGGUCACUUCUUACAUAUGCUUCCUUUACGACCUCAUUGAUCAUGCAGACGAUGUCAAGGAGCUGAGAUCUAAGCACAUUCUCCACAACCUUCUUGGCAGCGAUGACGAUGUGGCCCAAAUUUUCAACGAGAUCGGCAAUGACUUGGUAGAUCCCGAUGCUUAUAAAGAUGUAAAAGAUUGUAUUCAGAAGCACUACAAGAAGAGAGUGAAUACUUGGAUAGCUCAAGCCCUUCACAACCAUUUCAGGUCUCCAUGGACUGUCAUGGCUUUCAUUGCUGCUGUUUUGAUACUAUUUCAGGUCUCCAUGGAUUAAUUAUGACUGUGAUGUGUUUUUAUCCUGUUUGGUGUGUGUGAUUAGAGAAAUAAAGAUGUGUAGAUUGUUAAGUUGUAUCACUGGAUUUCAUGCAUGCAAUAUUAUGGGUCUUUUCCAGUUUUCCUCCCCACAUGAAUUUGCUAUACAAUCUCCAGCUUGCUUUUUUCUGUUCUUUUUCAUAGAGCAGGAUCAUAGAUAACACAACAUCAACAUAGAAAAUUUUCGGUCAACAGUAUGUGAUUCCGUGGAUGGGAUGGGAUUGAAUUUGCUCACACACUUUUUUAUCUAAGGAGAAAAUUGUGGAUAAAAUCAUAAUUUUGAUAUAUUUAUAAAUUGAGGAAGGGCUAUCUCUAAUUUAUUUUUAAUAUAAAAGAUAAAAUCAUAAUACAUAACUAAGAAAGGGGAGCGAAGACAUUUUUUAUUUCAUUGUUGAACUUGUUUCAAAAAAAAAAUCCACACACAGAGAUUGAGUUAGAAAUGAAGGUAGAGAAAAGAAUGAUAGAACUCGUUAAAAUUGUUUAUAUCUCAGGCACUAAAAUACAUCUUGUAUCACUUUUUAGGGUAAAAGUGUUUUUAAAGAGCAUUGCCAAUUGGAUUUUAAAUAAUCUAGAUUGUCACUUUUUUUUUUCAAUUAUAUAUAUUAUAUCAAAUAUUUCUAUUUUUUUUGUACAAAGUAAAUAAAUUAUUUAAUAUAUUCAAACAUUGUCAUUCAAUCAAUUGAUAUAAAUCUUUCUUUUAAAGUAAACAUGAUGUAAAUAAUUACGUAUAAUCAAGCAAUCAACUAUCGUUCUUAAUUUAUUUUCUUUGGUUAUUUCAUUUUUUUUUUUUUUUUUUUGCCCUUUUAUUCUCAUUUCUGUUUCAUAUAACAUUUUCUUUACUUUUCUUUCCAUAUAAAAUGAGUGUGAUAUAAUACUAUUGUCCAAUAAUAAUAUCUAAUAAUAUAAAACAAUUAUUUUAAAUAUAUAACAACAUUUAAAAUUUUAGACAAAUAAUUUUCGUUAUUUUCAAUAUUGAUGACACUAAUAAAUUUCAAUUUUAUCUUCAUACAAGCCAAAUAACUCUUAACACUUCACACAAUUUAUCUUUCAUUCACUUGAAUUGAAUUUUUCUCCAACAUCAUUUCCACUAAAAAUCAAUUAUUGCAAAAAAAUAAAAUAAAAUGACAACUAUACACGUAGAAUCCCUUACAAGUAGAAUCACUUGCAAAAAAACACCAUGAUAAGUAAAUCUAAAUCCAAAAAAUAAUAAUCACAAAUUUUUUUAUUAAAAUAUAUUUAUGGACCCCGCAUUUCGGCUUAUACGCCUCCACUCGACGGCGAGCUCGAUUUUUAUUUGAAAAUGACUUGGAGUCGCCACUCAUUUUUGUUUUAUUUUAAAAAGGGUAAGCGAAAUAAAAAAGAAAACCCUAAGUGUGACUCCUUAUUUUGGAAAAGAUGGUUUGUGAAAAACUGGAUCGGGCUUAGGGGUCAGGUUACUUAUCAGGAAGGUACGACAUAAACCGUAGCACCCCUCAAAGUCCCUAAAGUCGGGUCUCUACUAAUACAAUGAAACUGACGUAGCAAUCGACGAGAAAGUCAAUGGAUACUCACCUCAAACACGCACAAUAGGUGAAUCGGAACAUGAAUAGAGAAUGAUCAGAAUGAAAGUGUAUGCGUACCUGGGCCACGGACCAUAAUGCGCUAUCCAAAAAUGGGAUUAGCACACAAUUAAUGAAUACGGAAUAUGGCUCAUGCAUAUUGGAGUGCAAAUCGAAGAUCAAACGAAAUACACUAAGUACGACAGUUAUCAAUCAAAAGGGAUCAAACAUCGGGCCCCCACUAAAGCCCAAUUUAUUGUUCAUGAAUUAGUCUUACAAAUUCCGUGUUUAAAAUUAUGAAGACUUCACUUCUUGCUUAUGUAGAAUCAAGAAGAUCAGAAGAUUAUUUAAUAACCGAAAUGGAAUUAAAACUAUUCGAGUGAAAACUGGAUUCUUGGAGUUUAUUUGAAAAUUAGGAUCUCAAAAAUUACUUGGAAAUUGGAGCCUGGGGAACUGAAUUUAAGAAUGGGAAUUUUGGAAGUUAAGUUUCAAAAAUUGGAAUCCUGAAGAAUUAUUUAAAGAUUGAGUUUCAAAAAUAAACAAAUAAAUAAAAUAAUAAUGAUUAAAUAAAUCAAUAUGGGAAUUAAAUAUUUUGGAAAUUGGAAUCUAAAUUUAGAAAUCGGGAUUUUGAAGAAUUGUUUGAAGAUUGAAUUUUAAAAAUAAAUAAAUAAAUAAAAUAAUGAGGAUUUAAAUAAAUUGACAUGAGAAUUAAAAUUUCGGAAAUUGGAAUUUAAUUUAGAAGCCAGAAAAUUGGAACUGUUUUAAAGAAGGAAAUUUUGAAAUGGAUAGCUGGAAUAAUAAUAGUGAUGAUAAUAAUAAUUGUUUUGAAAGCUAAAUUUUAAAUAUUAAAACUUUGGUAAUUAGAUUGAAAUUCGUAUUUUUGACAAUUAACUCUGGAAGUUGAGAAUUUAAAAAUUAUUCCAAAAUGAAGACCUUGAUAAUGAGAUUUAAGAAAUGAACCCUAGGAAAUUAAACUGCGAGAAUAUGGAUUUUGAAAGUUGAAUUUGAAGAUUUAAGUAGUAGUAGUAAUAAUAAUAAUAAUAAUAACAAUAACAGUAAUAAUAAUAUUAAACUGCGAGAAUAUGGAUUUUGAAAGUUGAAUUUGAAGAUUUAAGUAAUAAUAAUAAUAAUAAUAAUAAUAAUAAUAAUAAUAAUAAUAAUAAUAACAACAACAAUAAUAAUAAUAAUAAUAUUAAACUGCGAGAAUAUGAAUUUUGAAAGUUGAAUUUGAAGAUUAAAAUAGUAAUAAUAAUAAUAAACUACGAGAAUAUAGAUUUUGAAAGUUGAAUUAGAAGAUUUAAGUAAUAAUAAUAAUAGUAAUAAUAAUAAUAUUGAACUUGAAUAUUUAAGUAAUAAUAAUAAUAGAAAUGGGCUUAAGACAAUGGCUAGAAAUGGGCUUAGGACAAUGGCUACUCAAAUUGAGCCCUUUAAUGGGCCUAGGGUGGGAAGAUUGAAUUUGAAGAUUUAAGUAAUAACAAUAGAAAUGGGCUUAGGACAAAAUGGGCUUAGGACAAUGGCUACGACUUGAGCCCUUUAAUGGGCCUAGGGUGGAAAAAUUGAAGAUUUAAGUAAUAACAAUAGAAAUGGGCUUAUGACAAUGGCUACAAAUUGAGCCCUUUAAUGGGCGGGAAAAUUGAAGUUGAAGAUUUAAGUAAUAAUAAUAGAAAUGGGCUUAGGACAAUGGCUACAAAUUGAGCCCUCUAAUGGGCUUAAGGUGGGAAGAUUAAAUCUCAAAGAAAGAUAGUGGGCCUUGGGCAUCUUGGUGGUGCAUGGAUUCUCUAUAUUGUAGCCAUAGUUUCAAGGUGAACAAGAGGGAACGACGGCACGAACCAGCUCCAGGGGUAUAACCGAAAGUGUAGAGAUGGCGCGGAGGUUGGGGCUUGAUGAACAGCAUGGGAUAGGUUGAUGGUGAUGAGCUUGUGGUACGAGAGAUAAGAUGAGCUUGGUGAUGGAAACGAGUGAGCAUGCAACUUGGAGAGGUGAGGAGAGUAGGAUAUGCGACUUGGAGCAUUAGUGGGUAUGAUUGUGGUGUAGAGAGGGAAGAGGUGGUGGGACGAAGUGCGCAUAAGAGAUUUGACACAAAGAGGCGAUAUGGGAAGAGUGGAGAUGGGUGGUAUGAAAAGUGAGUACAUGCGGAUAUGAGUGUGAAGAGGUUGGUGAGAAGCGGAGAUGUCCAUGCAUGCUUGAAAUGGGUGACAAAAUAAUGAUAUAAGGGGUAGUGGAAGGUGAUGACGGGAAGUGGGUUCAAUGAAACUGUUAGAGAGAGAAAGGGGUGCUAUUGGUAGUGAGAAGAGUGGAAGCACGAGCGUGAGUGAUGGUGAGUUUGAGUGGGUUUGGGUGAUGAUGUAGAUAUAGAAAGUGAAUAAAUAGAAGAGGUGGGUGAAGAAUAGGGCAUGAAACGUAUGAGGUGUGUAGAUGGUAUGAAAAGGUGGACAUGGUCUCCAUGGACUAUCAUGGCUUUCAUUUCAGCUGUUUUGUAGUCCACUUUCAAUCUCAUCACUUCAACACAAAUUGGGGCCAGCCAGGAGAGAGAUUUUUUGGUAGGAUGAGUUAUUGAAUAUAAAUUGGUGACGUGUCAGCAUCUUAGAGGGUCCAUGCAUGGUUUCAAUAUCAUUAUUUACGGUUCUUUUUAAUAAGAAUAAUGUUUAAACUUUGUACUCAUCCAAAAAGUAUUGAAUUAUUGGUACUAAACCGCACAUCCCAACAUUUUCCAUGAAAGGACAAUAAUUGCAUCUAAUUACAAAUAUAUCCUGGAAUCCAUCCCAUAUUUUUCUCGUGAACUAAUCUGUUUGGUUCGGAAACCACUGAAAAAAGAGAUGGAAAAUGCUAAAAAUAUAUUUUUUUAUAUUUGAUUUUGUUACAAAAAAAAAAAAAUUAACCAUGAAAGUCUGAAUAUAAUUAAAAUUAUUUAAAUUUUGUAUAUUUUUAAAAUUAUUAAUCCUUAUGUAAAAGAGUUAAAUACUUAAAAAUAAUAUUUAUCAUUGAUUUUAACUUUAAUUUUUUUUUCCUUUUACCUUUUCUCUCUAUUUUCUUUCCCUCACAAUUUCCUUCAAAAUAUUCCCUCAAUAACCUACUAAUUUAGUGUUUGUUGUUAUACUUUUUUUUUUUUUUAAACUUAAAUUUAAAUAAAAUUUAAUUUAACUUAAUUAUAAUAAAAGAAAAGGAUCAUACCACUUUUUUUUUUUUUUUUUUUUUUUUUUUUUUUUAUGGAUGUCAAGAUGGAUUUAAGAUACAUUUAUAAUAAGAUGAAAUUAUAGUCUGUUGAUGGAAAAUAUCAUUAUAAAAAAUGUCAUUUGAUCAGUGUGACCCUCUCGUAAUUGAUAACAAAUUCAAUUAUUGUCUGUCGAUGGAAACUGAAUUUCCAACCACACAAAAUUAAAUUCAUAUAAACAAUGACUUUUCUUGUUUCAAUUAUUUAUAUUAUAUCAAAUAUUUCUAAUUUUUUUGUAUAAAUAAAUUAUUUUAUUCUCUAAUUAUAGAUUCAAACAUACAAUGUCAUCCAAUCAAUAGAUACAUAAAUCUUUUUUUCAAAUAUAAACAUAAUGCAAAUAUAUACACACAAUCAAGUGGUGCGAUAUCGUUCCUAAGUUUUUACUGAAGAAUACACGUUUAUACCUAAAUACACUUCUCAUUUGGAGUGUUCUCGGGGUAAGUUUUUGUAAUUUAUAUAAGAGAUCUCACUUAUUUCUCAAUUCGCCCUCUUUGAAUCUUUUCAUUUCGAUCUUAUUUUCUUUUCUUUUAAUCUUUUUGCCCUCAUUCUCAUUUCCAUUUCAUAUAACAAGUUCUUCACUUUUCUUUGUCUACAACCAUGGAUGUAAAAUGAGUGCGGUAUAAUAUUGUUGUGCAAUCCUAACUCAAAUGAUAAUACCAACUAAUAUAAAAUAAUUAUUUUAAACCAAUAGUCAUCGGCAGUAGACUUAUAUCUUCUGGACCAAUUAGUAUACCAACAGUGAUCAGGCUAAGGUGAUGAUCCAAUUCCAUGGAAGAGCAUCAAGAAAGGAGGAGGAACGUUGGAGAGAAAGAAGGCGGCCAACCAAGCAGGAACAGUGGCCAAACUGGCCUCGAGCCUGAGGAGCAUAUGAUUGACAGUGUUGAAAUCAGUCCUAGGGUGAAAAAUUGGAUUAAGUCUCUCAAAAACGCAGAAGAAAGCACUCAAUCUCAAAGUUCAUGGCCAAGGAUACCAAAGGUUCCUCAGUUGCUGAGGGGGACCCAUGAUUUCGAGAGAUUGUACGAACCGAGGGUAAUUUCAAUCGGUCCUUACCACCAUGGCAAACCCCACCUUCAACCAGUGGAGACGAUCAAGCUUCAAUAUGCCCAAAAAUUCCUGGCUGAUAGUGACCAGGACAUCGAAGCUUUGUACACAAAAAUUGGAAGUAAUAUCGAGGCGUUGAGGAAGUGCUAUGAUAAGAUACCGACGGAUGAUGAGAAACUCGCCUGGAUGAUGCUUCUGGAUGGGUGUUUUUUACUACAAUUCAUCCGCAGCAGAAAGGACGGCAGCACAGUCGAUUUGAGUAACGUUCUUAGAAUUCACCAAAUAAAUUUUGUGGAGCGGGACUUGUUCUUGCUGGAGAACCAACUGCCCUUUGGAGUCCUCCAGUUGAUUUUUGAGGGAGCAAAAUUCAAUGAUGGUUCAACAAUGGAACAGAUGAUAAAAAAUUUCGUCACUCGCAUCGCAAGUCUACAACCGUCAUCAGAAAAACCGCUGGAUGAGCGCUCUCAUCUCCUCGACCUUUUGCGAAGUGCUAUCCUAGGCAAGAGUGCGCCCAAACAAGAGCGGCAACCUGAUAAAAAAGGAAAGUCGUCGUCGUCUUCAGGAGGAGAUGGGCGGUUCUGUUGCCCAUGGAAAAAAGGCAAACAACGAGGCAUUCGGCAGCCUUUUCGAAACAUCAAGGAGCUUAAAGCUUCCGGGAUCCAUCUCCGACAGAGUAGAACGAGUUUCUUGACAGACAUUUCUUUCAAUUCCUACUUCUUCCGUGGCUACCUGAAUCUUCCCCCAAUAAUCGUUGAUGACUCCACGAAGUCCAGGUUCUUGAACAUUGUAGCCUAUGAAAUGUGUCCAGAUGCCCCUGAUGACUAUACGGUCACUUCUUAUUUAUGCUUCCUUCACGGGCUCAUUCAUCAUGCGGACGAUGUCAAGGAGCUGAGAUCUAGGCACAUUCUCAUCAACCAUCUUGGCAGCGAUGAAGAUGUGGCCCGACUUUUCAACGAGAUCGCCAACGACGUGGUAGAUACCGGAGUUUAUGGAGAUGUGAAAGCUCGUAUUCAGAAAGACUACGACAAGAGGGUGAAUACUUGCAUAGCAGCCAUUAACGGAUUGGCACUGCUUUUACGGCUGUACAAUUGAUACUAUUUCUUACUGGUGUCCAAACCUACUACGCUCUUCCAGGUAAUUAAUGUAUGUGUGUAUGUAUGUGAUUAAUUAUCAUUGUGAUGUGCUUUUUUUUUCUUGUUUGGUGUGUUUAUGUUUGAAAAAAAUCCAACUUUCCAUGAUUGAAGUAAAUAUAUCAAUACAAGAUAUCAUUUUAUUAGAGAGUAUUAUGUAGAAGGAAAAACAAUUAAAAUUUGUAAAAUCUCUAGAUCAAAUUACCAAUAUUUGUAUCAAACCUAUCAAGUUUAAAGAUUUUAAAAAUUAAAGGAUGUUAUUCAAGAUAUACAAAUCAAGUUUUGAGUAGUCAAAUCAUAAAAAAAGUUUGAGGUAACAUAUAAAAAUAAUUUAUUAAUUAAAAUUUUUUUUCUUUCUCUAUUUUCUUUUUCUUAUAUUUUCUUUCAAACUUUUUAGGAACCAAACAUAACCUACUAAUUUAGUGUUUUUCUUUUACUUAAAUCUAAAUAGAACUUAAUUUUACUUAAUUCUAAAUACAACUUAAUAAUAUUAAGUAUUAAGUUGUUUAUUUUUAUUAUUUCAUUUCUUUUAAGUAUUAAGCAUUAAUAGGUGGGAGUUGCAUUGAGGUUGUGUUUUGGUUAUUUUAAAAGGUUACUUCUAGCAUUAAGUAAAAAAAAUUAAAUAUUUUGACUUUUUUCAUUCAAUCAAUUUUUUUUAAAAAAAAUAAGUAAUAAGUAAAAAAUAAGUAAAUCAUCUCAAGUCUGAAAGCAAAUUAUAUUCAAUAUUAAAAGAAAAAAAAAUCAAAACAACCGUAGAACCCCAUCUAGUUGCAGCUCGUUUCUUAUCAGGUGCAGCAUUUCUGAGGUUUUAUGCGUGUCAACUCGAGAAAGGCUGGGGCGGGGACCGUUUUCUGGAAACAUCAGCUGCAUGAAACGUGUGGGGAGCAACUGACCACAGCCAUAGUGGUGGUUGGGGCUCCAGACAUGCUGAGCGGGGGAACAGGGGAGUGGAUAUUGGCUUGUGAGAGGAGAAAAAAAGAAAGAGUUGCUUAUCUUCCCACCCAUUCACCUAUCCCACAUUCUCUCACGUCCGUGCAGCCCACAUGCUCCCCUCAUGACAUUCCCUUGCUCAUCCUAUCAUGCAUUUUUCACUCCCAUGUUCAUGCCAUACUCACCGCCAUCUUUUCUCUCUCUACACCGUGUCAUGCACCCAUUUGUUUUCCUAAAAAGACCACAACCCCUGUUUUGUGCUCCAUCACAGCCCAUGCUUGUGCCACCACAUAACCCUCGUUUUCACCCCCACUUUCAUACCCAUGCAACCAAUCUUUCUCACCCUCUCAUCACCCACUGAAGUGUAUGGAAGUCGUGGUGAUUUCCCUCCAUCUCGCGUUGCCUAGGCUGUCCUCAGUCCGCGUGUUUUCCUGCGCGCUUGCUUCAGAUUAAACUUCGUUCGUCGGCUUCUUUAAAACCCUUUCAACUCGUGUUGUAGUUUAAUGGAUCAAAGCCCAAAUCAGAGAGGAAGGCAAACCUGGGUUCUUGGGUGCAAGUGUAUGCCAAAGGGGAGGUGUAGGAGGGUGAAUUUCACGAGUGGUGGUGUUCAGGAAGUGGGGUUUAUUAUUAUCAUAGGAGUGGGAGGAUAUGUGGGCAUGGAUCAACCUACAGGUAUGGGCAUAAAAGUGGGCCUGAGCAUGGGCCUGAGCCUGGGGGUGAAUGUGGGCCUGAGCAUGGGUUUGAAUAUUGAAAUGUGGCAAGUAGCCCGGAUGCAACAACCAACUUUGCCUCCUGGAGGUUAUAACCUCAUGAUGGGCUCAGGUGGUUAUACUCUUUAGCAACCAACCAUAUGGUAAUGGCUACCAUUAGGAAUGCUAUACACGUAAUGGAUGCCUAUUAUUUCAAGUGAUUCCUAUAUUCCCAAUUUACGCAAUUUAAUUCUUAAAGCCCUAAUUUCUCGAUAUUCUUUCAAAUUUCGAUUUUCACACUAAUAUAUUUGAUCACUAUUACCAUUAUUUCAUUAUUAUUUGUUUAUUUCUAAAAUUCGAUCUUUAAACACAUCUUCAAAAAUUCCAUUUUUUUAAAAUUUAAUUUCUAAUCCUGAUAAUUCCCAUACUCGCUUUAAUUUAUUUAAUCAUAAAUAUUUUAUUCAUUUAUUUUAAAACUCUAUUUUUAAUCUAUUCUUUAAAAUUCCCGAUUACCGAAUUAAAUUCCGAAAAUUCCCAUACUCACUUUAAUUUAUUUAAUCACUAAUAUUUCAAUCAUUUAUUUUAAAAUUCCAUUUUUAAUCUAUUCUUUAAAACUUCCGAUUUCAAAAAUUCCAAAAUUCACGUUUAUUUAUUUAAUCAUUAUUUUCGUUCCGUUUUAAACAAUUCAUUAAAAUUUUCGACUUCCAAUUUUAAUUCCGAAAAUUCCAAUAUUCACAUUAAUUUAUUUAAUUAUUAUUAUUUUAUUUAUUUAUUCUAAAAUUCCAUUUUUAAACAAUUCAUUAAAAUUUCCACUUUUGCUAAUUCCAAAAUUCCAACAUUCACAUUAAUCUAUUUAAUUAUUAUUAUUUUAUUUAUUUAUUCUAAAAUUUCAUUUUAAACAAUUCCAACAUUCACAUUAAUCUAUUUAAUUAUUAUUAUUUUAGUUAUUUAUUUUGAAAUUCCAUUUUAAACAAUCCUUCAAAAUUCCAAUUUCUGAACUUAAUUUCCAAUUUCCAAAAUUCUAAUUUCUUUCAAAUUUAAUAUCUAAAAUUCCAAUUCUUAAAUUUAAUUUUCAAGACUCCAAUCUUCAAAUAAUUUUCGAGACUCUAAUUUUCAAAUAAAUUUGAAAAAUCCAGUUUUCUCUCGAAUAGCUUUAAUUCCACUCCGAUUUUUAAAUAAUGUUCUAUUUCUUUUGAUUUUUUUACACAAGCAAGAAUGAUGAAUCUUCAUAAUUCCGAAAUAAUGGGAUUCGCGAGAUUAAUUCAGGCAAGAUCAAUCGGGCUUUGGUGAGGGCCCCACAUAUGUGAUUUUAUGACUGACUGAUUGAUUAAUUAAUUUAUUUACCAUGCUUGUUUGAUUUAUUCUGUUACUUGACAUGCGCAUAAUUUUAUCUAUUCGUCAUUCACUAAUCCUGUUUCAUGAUAGCGCAUUCGUGACUUGAGGACCAGGUACGCAUCCACUCAUAUUUUGUUCGUUCUUUAUACAUGCUCUGCUUCCCACGUCGUGCAUGAUUAAGGUGAGUAUUCAUUGGCUUUCUCAUUGAUUGCCGCGUUAGCUUCAUUCUAUUAGUAGAGACCCGAUUUCAGGGACUUAGAGGGGUGCUACGGUUCAUGUCAUACCUUCUCGAUAAGUAACCUGACCCCCGAACUCGAUCCGGUUUUUCGUAGAUCACCUUUUCCAAAUAAGGAGUCACACUUAGGAUUUUUCUUUCUUAUUUUGUUUACCCUUUUAAAAAUAAAACAAAAAUAAGUGGCGACUCCAAGUCAUUUUCUUAAUCAAAUAAAAUCAUUUUUCAAAUAAAAAUCGAGCUCGCCAUCGAGUGGGAAAUACAUGAGCCGAAAUGUGGGGUCCACAACAACAUAAGAUUUAAAAUUCAAAAUGAUUAUAAAUGUGUGACACUAAGCUUAAUGCACGCGUGCUAAAGGUCACUAAUGUUAUUCGUAGUUUUCCCAUGGCAAUUGGUAUGUUUCACAAUCUUUCUUGGACGUGGGAGGGGCUUGGGUUUUUGAAUGAGAAUGAAGCUUUUUGAAAGGUUUGUAAUAAUAAAAUAUAACAUCAAAAAUAAAAUGAGGUAUUUAUGUAAAAUAAAAAGAAAAUUGUCUAAAAAAAUUCAUUAAGGCUGUGUCUCUCUGGUUUAAAAAAUUUGAGGGAAAGAAAAUAGAUAAAAAAAAGUGGAAGGAAAAAAAAUGAAGGAAAAUAAAAAAUAAAUUAAAAGUCAAUAAAUUAUUUUUAUAUUCUUCUUCAAAUUUAUUUCACUUGCUCUUCUUCAUUAUAUAAAGAUUAUAUAAUUUUAAAAUGCAUAUAUUUUUAACUAAUUUGAAUUAUAUUUGAUUUUUUUUUGUAUUUUUUUUAUAGUAAAACCAAAUAUAAGAAAAUCAUUUUCCUUAAUAUUUUUUCAUUUUCUUAGUACUUUUUGAAAACCAAAUAUAACCUAAUUCUUAAUUAAUUUAAAUUAUAUUUGAUAUUAAAUAUUUAAUUAUGUAAAUAUUAAAAAUAAAUAAAAUCUAAUAAUUGUACUAAUAUUUUAUAUUUUCAUUUUCUAAUUUUUACUUUAUUUUAAUAGAUACUAAACAUGAUUUUUAAAUUUUAAAAAAUUUUUUAAUUAUAAAAAUAAGAAUGGAAAAAUAAAUAUCGGAUAGCUAAUUUUGACAGACAUGUAAUUUUGAUAGUGAGUGGUGUGAGGAGGGCUUUUUUGCCCAAAUUUUUGUGUUUUCCAAAUCUAAGCCAUUUCCUUGCCUACUUUUUUUCUCCAUGUUCCAAGUAAACAAGGGUAAAUACUUACAAUAAAAAAUUAAUGAAAGACAAAAACCAUACAACUAUUUCCUCCAUAGAUACCAACAUGGAUUCGAGAUUUAAGAUACAUUUAUAAUUAGACGAAAAAUGGCACGAUGAAAAAUAUCAUUUGAUUAAGGUAAGGUGGAAAAAUAAGGGCUACAUUUAAAGUACUCGAGUAUAUUAUAUAUGCUCCCUUUAGGGUGAUUCCCAUAUCAUUUAUAUAUUUCUUUUUAAUUCAAUUUGAAAUUUGAAUUCAAUUUUAUAUUUAUAUUGUAUAUAUUUAUAAUAAUAUAUAUUAUAUAUAAUUAUUUAUAAUAAAAUAAUAAAAAUUAUAAUAUUAAUUAAUUUAAUAGGAUUAAAAAGGACUAAUUUUUUUUAAAUUAUUAUAUAUAUAGGUCUGAAUGGAAAAAAUAUCAUCCAUUUAUUUAUACUCUUAUAUGUUGAUAUCAUUAGUUUGUACCCUCAUUCUAAACAAGGGUACCUUAUCUUGAUCUCAUGCAUUGGUUUGUGUUUUGGAAUUUGAAAGGUUUCCUUAGGUUUAUUUAAGUUUUGACAAUAAAUAAUUAGUAAAAGAAAAGGACCAUACCACUUUUUCCUCCAUAUUCCAAGUAAAUAUGGGAAAAGACUUACCACAAGAAAUUAAAGAAAGGAAAAGAACCACACCACUAUUUCCUCAAUAAAUGUCAAGAGGAUACAUUUGUAAUCAAUGUUGGGAAAUGUCAACAUGGAAAAUAUCCUUUGAUCAAUGUAAGAUGGAAAAGAUCAUUUGACAAGGGCUACAUUUACAGGACUCAAAUAUAUUUUUUUCAAUAGGUAUGAAAAAAACAUCAUCAAUCAAGUGGUGUUAAAUAUAUAUUUUUUAAUCUCAUUAUUUGUACCACAAUCCUAUUUAUUUAUACUCUUAUACCUUGAUAUUAUUAGUUUGUAUCUUCAUUCUAUCUUACCUUGAUCUCAUUAGUUUGUUUUUCAAAAUAUGAAAGGCUUCCUUAUGUUCAUCCAAGUCCUUAGACUCCUUACAAUAAGGAAUUAAUAUAUGAAAAUGAUCGUACCAUUUUUUUCUUGAUGGAUGUCAGGAUGGAUUCAAGAUACAUUUAUAAUAAGAUGUAAUUAUUAUUUAUAUAUUGAGAUUGAAUAUUAAGAUUAUUUUAAUUUUUUAAUUAUAAAAACAAGAAUUGAAAAAUUAAAAUUGGAUAGUGUCAACCCCUUAGCCUUUUGACCCAAUUUUGGAGAAAAGGGUCUCAUGGGUAGGCCUUGCACCCAUGGGAGCCUAGAUAGAGAGCAAGAAUGGCCUGGAGGUUUGGCGGUUCAAACCCCAAGAGUUAUAAUGAGAAGGCCAUGUUUGAGCCAAACGUGCACCACAUGCGAGCUAGAUGCGUACCGCGUGCACACUACAGACAAGCUAAACAGGCACCGCACGCGCACCUCGAGUGAGCCAAACAGGUACCGCGCAUACACCAGGCAUAUGUUGGCUAUGGAGUUGGUGUAGUUGGAGGGCGAGGUUUAUUUUGAAAUAUAAUUUAUAAUUAUUUAAAUGUUUCAUUAUGUCUCCUCCAGACAUCUUGAUAACGAUCCGUAUUGCUCUUUAAGGGGGAAAGGGGAUAGGUAAUUCGAGGGGGCACCAAGGGAAGGCCUUGAUCGCACCAAGGGAGCACCAUGGCACGACUCGUGGCGUGCCUAGGACACACAGAUAGACACUCAAGCACACACACAUGGGUUCCACAAUAUGUGUGGCGUGCACCCUGUGGCUGCAACAGCCCGGGGUCUGGUACAACCUACCUCCUCCCCGCACAGGCAUGAAGGGGCCUAAGCCUUGUGCAACUAGCUAACUGAGGAAGCCAUGGUUUGAUGAGGCACUAGACAGACAGUUGGCUUGUACCCAUAAUGCUUACGCACGACACAGGAGCGCAAUGCCAUAGUUCAUUGCUAUAGAGCUUGACCUGACAGUGGGAGAUAGACAUAGGCCCAUACCAUGGGCACCUUGACAUGGCAUGGACUGACACGUCAGUGUGGGGAAGACACACUGAUGCACCAAGCACCUGGUCAGUUGGUUGGUGCAUGUUGCUAGUUCAGAUGACAGCUAGCUAGUGGUAGCAAGUGUGUGAUCCGGACAAUAGUCAGUUUCAAGGGAUUGACAGAUGGUUGGUGCGAAGAGACGCCUUGGACUAAGGGAGUGUCUCCAGCUAGGUGGUUACAUGAGCAGUUCACCAGUUGGGUGGUUAUGCAAGCAGUUUAUGGGCGAUUGUGGCAGUUGCAAAACCACCAGAUUGGCUCCUUGGUUUUGAAUUUUGAAAUUUGAAAUUGUAACUUGCAGGCUGGUCAUUUAAAAAGGGGCCUCUUCCAUCUUUGAGAUAGAGGAUGAGAGCAUGGGAUAUGUCUUUGAAUGCUUAAGGGUUCUAAGCAUUGUACUCUGACUUAGACCAAGUGUUGAGACACUUUGGAAAACGAUUUUAUAUCUUGUAGUGACUGAAAUAAUACAAGUUAGGAAGGGUUCCCGUAAUUGUUGUGUCAUGUUACUUUGUUUUUCUAAGGGUUGGGAAGAAAGGUUAGCUAAGGAAAGGUCCUUAGUACUGCACACUCGAUGAAAAAAUUAAUGCAAUUAUCAGGGGUGUGAUAGAUAGCUAGUAUUUACAGGCAUAUGUAAUUUUGAUAGAGAUGAGAAGAGAAGAAUGAGUGGUAUGAGGAGUGCAUUUUUGCCCAAAUUUUUGUGUUUUAGGAAUCCAAAGCAUUUCCUUUCCCACUUUUUUCUCCAUGUUCUAGGUAAUCAUGGGAAAAAAGUUGCAAAAAAAAAUUAAUUAAAGAAAAGGAAUAUACCACUAUUUCCUUGAUAGAUAUUAGGAUGUAUUUAAGAUUUAAGAUACAUUUAUAAUCCGCAGUGGAAAAUAUCAAGAUAGAAAAUAUCAUUUGAUAAGGACUACAUUUUUAGUACUCAAAUAUACUUCUUUUUAUAGGUAUGAAUGGAUGAAAAGAUAUCAUCAAUCAAUCAAGUGGUGUCAAAUUUAUAUUUUUAAGUAUUAUUAUUUGUGCUCAAAUCCCAUUUAUUUAUACUCUUCUACCUUGAUAUUCUUAGUUUGUACCCUCAUUAUGUGGAAACAAGGGUACUUUACCUUGAUCUCAUUGGUUUUAGUUUGAAAAUUUAAAAGGUUUCCUAAGGUUUAUCUAAGUCCAUACAAUAAGGAAUUAAUAAUAAAAAAAAGGACCAUGCCACUUUUUCCUCCAUGUUCCAAGUAAAUAUGGGAAAAGACCUACAACAAGAAAUUAAUAAAAGAAAAGGACCAUACCACUAUUUCCUUAAUAGAUGUUAAGAUGGAUUCAAGAUACAUUUAUAAGUAAUGGUGAAAAAUGUCAAGAUGGAAAAUAUCCUUUGAUUAAGGUAAGAUCGAAUAAAUCCUUUGCUAAGGGCUAUAUUUAUAGUACUCAAAUAAGCUCUUUUUUGAUACGUAUGGAAAAGACAUUAUCAAUUAAUUGGUGUCAAGUAUAUAUUUUUAAGUCUCAUUAUUAAUGGACCCCAAUUCCAUUUAUUUAUACUCUUAUACCUUGAUAUCAUUAAUAUGUAUCCUCAUUAUAAGUGAAAAAGGGUACCUUACCUUAGUCUUAUUUAUUUGUAUUUCAUAAUCUAAAAGAUUUCCUUAGGUUUAUAUAAACCCUUACAAUAACGAAUUAAUAAAAGAAAAAGACCAUACCACUUUUUCCUUGAUGGAUGUCAAGAUGGAUUCAAGAUAUAUUUAUAAUUAGAUGUAAAUAUUGUCUGUUGCUGGAAAAUAUCAUUAUGGAAAAUGUCCCAUGAUCAAGAUAACCCUCUUGUAAUUGAUGUCGAAUUCAAUUAUUGUCAAUCGAUGGGAAUUGAAUUCCCAACCAUACAAAAUUAAAUUAAUAUAAAUGGUCACUUCACUUUUCUUAUUUCAAUUAUUUAUACCAUAUCAAAUACUUCUAAUUUUUUUGUACAAAAUAAAUAAAUUAUUUGUUAUCUAAUUAUAGAUUCAAAUAUACAAUUGAUGUCAUUGAAUCAAUUGAUACAUAAAUCCUUCUUCCAAAUAUUAACAUAAUGAAAAUGCAAACACACAAUCAAGUAAUGCAAUAUUGUUCCUGAGUGUUCAUAUAAGGAUACACGUGUAUAUCUAAAUACACUCCCCAUUUGGAGUGUUCUUGAGGUAAGUUUUUGUAUCUUAUAUGAAAAAUCUCACUCCCUUCUUAAUUCAAUUUCUUUGGGUCCUUUCAUUUCUCAUUUUAUUUUCUUUUAUUUUUUUUGCCCUCAUUCUCAUUUCCAUUUCAUAUAAGAAGUUCUUAACUUUGCUUUCUAUACCACCAUGGAUGCAAAAUGAAUGAGAUAUAAUAUUAUUGUGCAAACGAAACUCAAAUGAUAUAUAAUACUCAAUAAUAUAAAAUAAUUAUUUUAAACCUAUAAAAAUACUCAAAAUUUUCAAUAAAUAAUUUCCAUUAUUUUCAACGUUGAUAUAUCAUUAAUAAAUUUCAAUUUUAUCUUCCUAACACAGUCCAAAUAAUUAUAACACUUCACACAAAUAUUUAUCUUUGAUUAAUAUGAAUUGAAUUUUUCUCCAACAUAAUUUCCACUAAAAAUCAAUUAAAAUUUCAUAUAAUCGUAAAAAUAAUUAAAAUAACAACUAUAUACUUAGAAUCACUUGCAAAAUAUUAUCAUAAUAAGAGUUUGUUUGAUAGUGAUCAUAAAAGAUGCUUUUAAUAUUUUUAACAUUUAAAAUUUUUUACCAAAAGAAUUGUUUUAAGUACUAGAAAAACUAAACACGUUUUCAAAAAUCACUAUCAAACAAGUUGAAAGAACAUGUUUGAUAUUAUGAAACCCUUUUAACCUUCCCCACAUUUGAAAAUUUUUAGCCAAGUAUUUGUAACCUUUCUAACCUUCCGUUUGGUAGGAAGCGGUGGCAGUGAUUGUUAGUAUUAGUAAUAAUCACUAGACGAAGUCAUGGGCAGUAGACCAAGUCAUCCCUCUUGGUAGGAAGCGCUUUUAACACCAAGCCAUCGGCAGUAGACUUACCUCUUCUGAACCAACAUAUUAACAGUGAUUAGGCCAAAGUGGUGACCCAAUUCCAUGGAAGAGCAGCAAGAAAGGAGGAACGUUGGAGAGAUAGAACUAGAAGGCGGACAACCAAUCAGGAACAGUGGCCAAACCGGCCCCGAGCUUAGGGAGCAUAGGAUGGACAUUGUUGAAAUCAGUCCUAGGGUGAAAAAUUGGAUUGGGUCUUUCAAAAAAGCAGAAGAAAGUACUCAAUCUCAAACUCAAUGGCCAAGGAUACCAAAGGUUCCUCAGAUGCUGAGGGGGACCCAGAAUAUCAAGAAAAUCUACGAACCGAGGGUAAUUUCAAUCGGUCCUUACCACCAUGGCGAGCCCGACCUUGGCCCAGUGGAAAUGAUCAAGCCUCCAUGUGCCCAAUAAUUCCUGGCUGAUAGUAACCAGGACAUCGAAGCUUUGUACACAAAAAUUGGAAGAAAUAUCGAGGCAGUGAAAAAGUGCUAUGGUUGGAGUAGUACAAAAAAGGAUGAUGGUGAGGAACUUGCCUGGAUGAUGCUUCUGGAUGGGUGUUUUUUACUACAAUUCAUCCGCUGGAAAGGUAUGAGAAAGUUUCGUAGAAAUCACCAAAUAAAUUUUGUGGUGCAGGACUUGUUCUUGCUGGAGAACCAACUUCCCUUUGGAGUCCUCAAGUUGAUUUUUGAGGGAACAAAUUUCCAGGGUGGUCUACCAAUGGAAAAGAAUAUAAAAAUAUUCAUCACUUACUUCGGAAUGCCAGAAGGGUUGUCAUCAGAAAUACAGCUGGAAGAGGUGAACGAAGAGCCCUCUCAUCUCCUCGACCUUUUGCGAAGUGCUCUCCUAGGCCAGAGUCAACCCGAACAAGAGCAGCAACCUGAGAAAAAAGGAAAGUCGUCGUCGUCUCAAGGAGGAAAGUGGGGGGUCUGUUGCCGAUGGAAAAAAUGCAAACAACGGGGCAUUUGGCAGUUUUUUCGACACAUCAAGGAGCUUAAAGCUGCCGGGAUCUAUCUCAAACCGAGUAGAACGUGUUUCUUGAGAGACAUUUCUUUCAAAUCCUACUUCUUCUUUGGCUACCUGAAACUUCCCCCAAUAACCAUUGAUGACUUCACGAAGACCAAGUUCUUGAACAUGGUAGCCCUAUGAAAUGUGUCCAGAUGCCCCAGAUGACUAUGCGGUCACUUCUUAUAUAUGCUUCCUUUACGACCUCAUUGAUCAUGCAGACGAUGUCAAGGAGCUGAGAUCUAAGCACAUUCUCCACAACCUUCUUGGCAGCGAUGACGAUGUGGCCAAAAUUUUCAACGAGAUCAGCAAUGACUUGGUAAAUCCCGAAGCUUAUAAAGAUGUGAAAGAUUGUAUUCAGAAACACUACGACAAGAGAGUGAAUACUUGGACAGCUCAAGCCCUUCACAACCAUUUCAGGUCUCCAUGGACCAGGGUUCAAAGUCGCAGUAUCGGUCAUUGACUCGGGAGGUCCUGAGACACAUCGGUCUCGAUAUCUCGGAUCGGUAUCGGGUGAUACGCAAAAAAUUUUAAUUUAAGAGCUCAAAAUAAUUUUCAAAAAUUAUGAAAAUUAUUAAAAAAAUAAAAUACAAAUAAGAAGAGUAAAAAAAUUAAUAAAAUAAACUUCUAUUAUAUUAAAAUUAUUCAAAUUAUAAUAAAAGCAUAUUUUUGGGAUGAUUUAUAAUAAUAUUAAAAAUCUUUAAAAAUAUUUUAAUUUAAUUACUUGAUGAUAAAUAUUUCUUAUUGAAGAUGAAAAUAAUAAAAAGUAAAUUUUUUUAAUAAAAAAUUAUUUAAAUUAAAUAUUUUGAAUUUUUUUAAAAAUGUUUUCAAUUAUUAAAAAAAUAAAACCAUGAUUCAUCUUUAAAAAAAUAAAUAUAAUUUUUCUUAUAAAAUGUAUUCAUUAAUUUUAAUUUUUAUAUAAAUAUUUAUUUGAUAUAAGUCUAAUAUUUAUUAUUUAUUUUUUAUCAUUAUAAUUUUUAUCAAAUUAUUUAAAAUCCAUAUCCCAUCAAAUACUCAUAAUCUAAUUAAAAAAUAAAUACAAAUUAUUUAAACCUAAAUCCUCCAAAUAUCCAUAACCCUCCGGCGUGAAAUGGUUUUGGAAAGCGAUUUGAGAGUGAGUUAGGACAGCAUGCCUUCGGUGAAAAGCUUGGCCUCUGCCCCUCUGGAUUGUGGUGCCUCAACAGGUGAUUGUAGAAGUGGGAUGUCAGCCUACAUGAUCACCGGAGGCAAAUCCUUGCAGAAGUUCCAUAACACAGUCUGUCCCGACUGCAAACCCAUCAGGACCGUUGAUGAUAACAGCGGUGCCGAAGUCCGGCGACUCUACUCCUCAUGUCGCUCAAAUCCAUCUCCGGCGGGAACUUGGGCGAUCCGAACAAGCAGGCGUGCUUCUUCAACCUCGCCGGCGACUCCAAGAUGCAAGGUUCUAACUCUGUAUUUUUCAUUUUCGUGGGUUUUGAUCCUCUCAUCUGAUCUUCUCCACAAUUUCUACUCCAACUCGGGUAUCGGUCCGGUACCGACCAUGGUCGAGGCGGAUACGACUCGGCCGAGUCGUACCGGUCUCGACCGAGAUUUUGAACCAUGCCAUGGACUGUCAUGGCUUUCAUUGCUGCUCUUUUGAUACUAUUUCUUACUGGGUUCAGACCUACUACGCUCUUCCCGGUAAUUAAUAUAUAUAUAUACAUAUAUAUAUAUAUAUAUAUAUAUAUAUAUAUAUAUAUAUAUAUAUAUAUAUAUAUAUAUAUAUAUAUAUAUAUAUCUGGAUUAAUUAUGACUGUGAUGUGUUUUUAUCCUGUUUGGUGUGUGUGAUUAGAAACAAAGAUGUAUAGAUUGUUAAGUUGUAUCACUGGAUUUCAUGCAUGCAAUAUUAUGGGUCUUUUCCAGUUUUCCUCCCCACAUGAAUUUGCUAUACAAUUUCCAGCUUGCUUUUUUCUAUUCUUUUUCAUAGACCAGGAUAAUAGAUAACACAACAUCAACAUAGAAAAUUUUCAGUCAACAGUAUGUGAUUCCGUGGAUGGGAUGGGAUUGAAUUUGCUCACACACUUUUUUAUCUAAGGAGAAAAUUGUGGAUAAAAUCAUAAUUUUGAUAUAUUUAUAAAUUGAGGAAGGGCUCUCUCUAAUUUUUAUUUUUUAUUUUUUAUUUUUUUUAUAAAAGAUAAAAUCAUAAUACAUCACCCAAGGAAGGGGAGUGAAGGCAUUUUUUAUUUCAUCGUUGAACUUGUUUGAAAAAAAAAAAACCCCACUGUAGACCCCCCCGAGGAGCUGAGAGUUUUUUUUUUAUGAUUAUUCUUUUUGCUAUUUUUCUGACUCCUCUGAAGUGGGCUGCUCUCGGGCGGCAGAUGGGACGGGGGUAAGGAGAUGGCUUGGAGGAGAAGCUAAAAAAGAAAAGAGGAAAAGGAAAGAAAAGAAGGGGAAUCCAGAGAGAGAGGGAGAGAGCUCGGAGGGAACAACAGAGUAAGCUGAAGAGUAUUCUCAGGUAUGAAUGUAACAGGUUCAUUGUUAGAUUUAGAUCCUUGCUAUCCCUCCGCAUUUUUUUCUUGUUGAUAUUUUGGAUAUUUGUUGUUUUGCUUGGGGUGGAUUGUUGCUUGUUGAGAUAUAACCUUGAAUUCAUGCUUGCCAUCAUCCAUCUUAAUAUGCUCUGUUUCUAUUGUGAUUGCGGAAUGCCCGAGAAACCCCUCCAAUAUUUACACUUGAUGCUGUUUUUCUCACCUAAUGAGAAGAUUCACUGAUGAUUCAUGAUGUGAAGCUUCCUUUGAGAACCUUACUAUUUGUUUUCUGCUAUGCUCUGUUCCAUGUUUUUUUUUUCUUUUUUUUUCUUCUUUGUUUUGACUACUCUUUGUCCUUGGACCGUGUUCAAUGCAUAGAUGGUGGGAGAGGAGCAACUCUUGGCUUGAGGAGAGCUUCCCAGAAAAACGGGCAGAGAAAACUUUUCGGGGAUGGUCCGAAACAAAGAAGAAAGGAGAAAUGAGCUUUUCUGACGCUUAAGAGGAUUCCGAAAAUUUUUCGAGGCUGGUGCUGGUGCUGGCUGGUGCUGGUGCUGGUGCUGGCUGGUGCUGGUGCUGGUGCUGGCUGCUGGCUGGUGCUGGCUGGUGCUGGUGCUGGCUGGUGCUGGUGCUGGCUGCUGGCUGGUGUUGGCUGGCGUCGCCGCUGCCGCCGCGGGGAGGUGGUGAUCGUGCUGGAGCCAGGCGGGAGGAGGAGCUGUGGAGAAGAUGAAGUUUGGGCUUGGGCUUGAGUUGGGGUACUAGGCCCAAUUUUGUGAUGAAGCCCAGGCCCAAGUGGAAAGAUAUAAAAAAAAGAAGAGAACGAAAGAAGGUCUAAGGCUUAAGUGUUUUUGCUAUUGGCUUUGGGCUUGAUGGAAAUGGGCUCUUUUUAAUAAAAUGGACAUGGGCUUAGGCUUAUAGAUUUGGGCUUGAUGGAGAUGGGCUCUUUUUAAUAAAAUGGACGUGGGCUUUAGGCUUAUAGACUUGGGCUUAAUGAUAUGGAUAUUAUUAUUAUUAUUACUAUUAUUAUCAUGGUUAUUAUUAUUAUUAUCAUUCUUAUUAUCAUUAUUAUUAUUAUUAUUAUUAUUAUUAUUAAUUCAACUUUUAAAAUCCUAUUAUUAUUAUUACUAACCCAACUUUCAAAAAUCUCAUUACUAUUAUUAUUAUUAACCCAACUUUCAAAAUCUCAUUAUUAUCAUUAUUAUUAAUUCACACUUUCAACAUCUAUUUAUUAUUAUUAUUAUCAUCAUUAACCCAAACUUUCAAAAAUCUCAUUAUUAUCAUUAUUAUUAUUUCACACUUUCGACAUCUAUUUAUUAUUAUUAUUAUUAUUAUCAUUAAUCCAAACUCUCAAAAUCUCAUUAUUAUUAUUAUUAAUUCACACUUUCAAAAUCUUUUUAUUAUCAUUAUUAUUAAUUCAACUUUCAAAAUCCUACUAUUAUUAUUAUUAACCCAACUCUCAAAAUAUUAUUAUUAUUAUUAUCAUUAAUUCAACUUUUAAAACCUUAUUAUUAUUAUUAUUAUUAUUACUAUUAUUAUUAUUAUUAAUUUGAUUCUCAAAAUCUUAUUAUUAUUAUUAUUAUUAAUUCACAUUUUCAAAAUAUUAUUAUUAUUAUUAUUAUUAUUAUUAAUUCACACUUUCAAAAUAUCAUUAUUAUUAUUAUUAUUAUUAAUUCACGCUUUCAAAAUAUCAUUAUCAUUAUUAUUAUUAUUAUUACCUCAACUUUCAAAAUAUUAUUAUUAUUAUUAUUAUCAUUAAUUCAGACUUUUGAAAUCAUAUUAUUAUUAUUAUUAUUAAUUCAAACUCUCAAGACCUUAUUACUAUCAUUAUUAUGAAUUCAACUUUCAAAAAUCUAGGGUCUCGCAAUUCAAUUUCCUAAAGUCCGUUUCUCAUUUUCUUUAACAAAUUUCAAUUUAAUCAUCGGAGCUGUAAUCUUCAAAAUUUAAUUCCAAAUACUCCAAUUUUCAAAUAAGCUCCAAUAAUUCGAUUUUCACUCGAAUAGUUUUUAAUCACAUUUCAGUUCCUAAAUAAUCUUUGGAUCUUCUUGAUUUUACAUGAGCAAUAGCGAUUCCUUCAUAAUUCUAAAACGCGGGAUUUGUGAGUUUAGCUCAUGAAUAAUAAAUCGGGUUUUGUUGGAGGCCCUGUGUUUGACCCCUUUUGACUGUCAAUUAUCGUGCUUACUGUAUUUUGCUUGAGUUUCAUUUUGCACUCCGAUAUGUAUGAGCUAUGUUUUGUAUUCAUUAAUUGUGCACUAAUCUCGUUUCUUGAUAGCGCAUUGUGGCUCGUGGCCGAGGUACGCAUCCACUCCCUUUUCUAGUCAAUCUCUAUUGCGUGUUUUGAUUCCCAUAUUGUGCAUGAUUUAGGUGAAUAUCCACUGACUUUCUCGUUUGAUUAUCACGUCAACUUCAUUUUAUUAGUAGAGACCCGACUUUAGGGGCUUAGAGGGUUGCUACGGUCUUUAUCGUACCUUCCCGAUGAGUAACCUGACCCCCGAACCCGAUCCGGUUUUCACAGACCACCUUUUCCAAAACAAGGAGUCACACUUAGGGUUUUUCUUUCUUAUUUUGUUUACCCUUUAAAAAUAAAACAAAAAUAAGUGGCGACUCCAAGUCAUUUUUUUAAUCAACAAAUCAAUUUUUCAAAUAAAAAUCGAGCUCGCCAUUGAGUGGGAAACGCAUGAGCCGAAAUGCGGGGUUCACACCCAUGCACAGAGAUUGAGUUAGAAAUGAAAGUGGAGAAAAGAAUGAUAGAAAACAUGUCAUUCAAUCAAUUGAUAUAAAUCUUUCUUUUAAAGUAAACAUGAUGCAAAUAAUUACAUAUAAUCAAGCAAUGAACUAUCAUUAUUAAUUUAUUUUCUUCGGUCAUUUCAUUUUUUUUUUUGGCCCUUUUAUUCUCAUUUCUGUUUCAUAUAACAUUUUCUUUACUUUUCUUUCCAUAUAAAAUGAGUGUGAUAUAAUAUGAUUGUCCAAUAAUAAUAUCUAAUAAUAUAAAACAAUUAUUUUAAAUAUAUAACAACAUUUAAAAUUUUAGACAAAUAAUUUCCGUUAUUUUCAAUAUUGAUGACACUAAUAAAUUUCAAUUUUAUCAUCAUAACACUUCACACAAAUAUUUAUCUUUCAUUCACAUGUAUUGAAUUAUUCUCCAACAUCAUUUCCACUAAAAAAAUCAAUUAUUGCAAAAGAAAAUAAAUCCAAAAAAUAAUAAUCACUUGCAAAAAGACACCAUGAUAAGUAAAUCUAAAUCCAAAAAAUAAUAAUCACAAUUUUUUUAUUAAAAUAUAUUAUAUGAAAGUUUUGGGGAACAAACUAUUCUAUCAAAAAUCGAGAAUCUAAUCGAUAAUUUUGAAAUUAGACUUCAUGAUAUUUCUCACAUAAAAUAAAACAUUCUCCUAAAAUUUCAUACAAAAAAUCAAAUUUAUUUGCUUCAUCAAACAGCCUUCUGAAGAUCUAUGAUACUGAAUGCUCAGUCUUUUUUUUUUUUUUUUCCUUUUAAUUCAUUCUACACCUCUCUUUCUCUCUCCUAAUACUAGACUUUUUCUUUCUGUUUAUUAUUAUUAUUUCCCUUAGUUGAUUUUUAUCGUUUCUCAUUCAGGAUUUCACACCACUUUCAUAUCAUAAUAAAACUGUAUUUUACCAUAUUCCCAUUUUAAGCUUUUAUUUUUUCAAAUAUAUCAACUUUAGCUAAUAAUAUAAUAAUCCACUAACCUUCGUUCAAUUUACAAUAAUAAGAUUCUUAAUCCUUUGAAAUGACAUUAGUUUAAUUUACUUCUUUUAUUAAAUAUACUUCAAUUAAAUCAACCUUUUAAAAAUUAAAUCUACUAAAUGAUAAUAUUCAUAUUUAAUUAAUUUACCUUUUUAUAUAAAUUCAUAAAUUUACAUAACAUAAUUCAAUUUUAAUUUCAUUUUAUUCAAUUUUGUUUUGUGUUUUUAUAAUUUAUAAGGUUGAAUUCCCAUUAUAAUUAAAAAUUAAAUUGUUUUAUUAUAAUAUUAAAUUAAAUUAAAUAUCUUUUGAAAAAAUUAUUAUAACCAUACAACAUAAUACAAAUUUCACCAAGUUUUUCUAUCAAGGGUUUUCGGAUCAUUACCUUAUAAUAAUAAAAUUAAUUUUUACCAUAUAUGUAAUAUUUGAAUUUCAAAAAUCCAACCACAAAUAAUUUAAUAGUUAAAUUUAAAUUUAAUUUUUGAAAUUCUUAAUUUCGAAAUGUGACUUGGCAAGAAUAUAAACUUUCUAUUAGCUUUGCAAAAAUUACACACAAUUAAAUAAAACGUUGACACGUGAAUGCUUAGUAACAUCAUGGCAGUAGAUUGACAAAUAUAUGAAUUUUGGAUGAUCACGAGGGAUAGUCAUCGGUAGUAACAUCAUGGCAGUAGACUGACAAAAAGCCCAACAUUUUCCAUGAAAGGACAAUAAUUGCAUCUGAUUAUAAAUAGGGAGAAUUACCCUUAAGGGUAGGCUGGGGAAAAAAAUUACUGAAAAGGGUGGGUAGAUUUGAUAAUUCUUAUAAAGGCCUUAUAUUUUUAUUAGACCAAUUUACCCUGAUUUCUCAAGUCCAUUUACCUAUUGAAAAGUACAUCUUCUUUCUUGAUAAUCAUAAAGUAUAAGUACAAUACAAAUGCAAUAAAGUUACAAUGAAAAAAUAUUAACAUUACAAUACAUUACAAUAUACCAAAAUGACAAAUUAUUGAAUUCGUUUUUUUUACUGAACUAGUAUUUCUAGGCUAUCAUGUUAUAUUCCUAUCAUAAAGCAUCCUUGCAAGCCAAAAUUAUAAAAAGACAAUAAAAAUACAUUAUUAUAAUUUUAAUACAUAAAGUUAUUCAUGGUAAUCCAAUGAUAUAUAUAAAAAAAAUCUAUAAAAUUAAUUUUUUAUAUAAAAAUAUAAAUGUACAAUAAAAAUACACUACGAUUAUAAUAUAAAUACAAUAACAUUACGAUAAGGUAAAAUUUUGAAAAUUUCAAAUUUCUUAUGAAAUUGGGCAGUUGUCUAAUAUACAUGUCUAAUAUACAACAAAUAUUGUUCUUUAUUAUAUAAAAUAUGUUUCAAUUGAUUAUAAUUUUUAGUUUUCAAUGAAAAUCCGAAUAUGUUAAUAAAUACCCAAAUAAGCAUGAAACAACUGAGAAAUUUUUUUAUUCUGCCAUGCCAAACAAGUCUCAACAACAAAAUUAAAGUGCAAACCUUUUCAAUGGAAAUCAAUAAUAAUCAUAUCAAACAACCCACCCAGAAAAUAAAUUAAAAAUAAAAACACAUCUUCAAUAUGACCAAAAUAAUAUAAAAAAAUUCAAAAAAAAAAAUUUAAUAACAUUUUACACAAAAAAAAAAUGUAAUUUCUUUCUCAAAACCUCCUUCAAUAUUUCAGAUCUACAUUGUUAAAAUUAUUAAUAGUUCUUUCCUUCAAUCCAAAUUUUAAAUUAUUUAUUUAUUUGCAUAAACUAACGUAUUUUUUUUUUUGGCAUUUUUUUUUUAAAAAUCUUACAUUUAAUGGAUUUCUUGCUAGAUUCACACAAAAAUACAAGCUUUGUGGAGACGGUUCAGAUCAUAACCUGAAGUGCUGGAGUUUUUUCCUCUUUCCCUUUUCUUCUUCAAUACCGAUAAGCUACAGUUGGAUUAAAAGAAGAUUUUUUUUUUUAUGCAUAUUUUUUUUAAAUCUUACCUUUAAUGGAUUUCUUGCUAGAUUCACACAAAAAUACAAGCUUUGUGGAGACAGUUCAGAUCAUAACCUGAAGUGCUGGAAUUUUUUCCUCUUUUCCUUUUCUUCUUCAACAUCGAUAAACUACAGCCGGGUUAAAAGAAGAUUUUUUUUUUGUUUGCUGGCUUUUCACUUGUUAAGGGUAGUCUUGGCAUUUAAACAAAAUAAAGCCUUUGAAAGAAUUAUCAUAAUUCCACCCUACCCUUCAUAAGAAUUAUUAAAUAUACCCACCCUUUUGGAUCAUAUGUUUUCCCAGUCCACCCUUAACAGGAAUUCUCCCUUACAAAUAUAUCCUGGAAUCCAAUCCCCAUAUUUUUCCCGUGAACUAAUCUGUUUGGUUCCAGAAACCACUAAAAAAAAAAAAGGAAAAUGCUAAAAUUAUAUUUCUUUAUACUUGAUUUUGUUACAAAAAAAAAAAAAAAAAAAAAAUCAAAGAAAGUCUGAAUAUAAAUAAAAUUAUUAAAAUUUUUGUAUAUUUUUUAAAUUAUUAAUCCUUAUAUAAAAGAGUUAAAUAAUUGAAAAAAAGUUUAAGGUACUAUAUACUAUUGAUUUUAAUUUUUAAAAUUUUGAUUUUAAUUUUUAAAAGUUUAACUUUUUUUUUUUUAAUCUUUUCUUUUUAUUUUCUUUCUCCCGUGAUUUUCUUCAAACUUUUUUGGAACUAAAUAUAACCUAAACAACCUAUUAAUUUGAGGUUUGUUGUUGUUGAGUUUUUUUUUUACUUAAAUUUAAAUAAUAUUUAAUUUAAUUUAAUUCUAAAUAUAACUUAAUACUAUUAAGUUGUUUAUUUUUAUUAAAUAUUAAGUAUUAAUAGGUGGAGUUGGGUUGAGGUUGUGUUUUAGUUAUUUUAAAAAGUGGUGAUCCAAUUCCAUGGGAGAGGGGCAAGAAAGGAGGAACGUUGGAGAGAAAGAAGGCGGUCAACCAAGCUGGAACAGUGGCGAAACUGGCCCCGAGCCUAAGGAGCAUAGGAUUGACAUUGUUGAAAUCAAUCCUACGGUGAAAAAUUGGAAUCGGUUCAUCCAAAAAGCAAAAGAAAGGAUUCAAUCUCAAAGUCAAUGGCCAAGGAUACCAAAGGUUCCUCAGAUGCUGAGGGGGACCCAGGAUUUCAAGAAAUUCUACGAACCGAGGGUAAUUUCAUUGGGUCCUUACCACCAUGGCAAUCCCCACCUUCGCCCAGGGGAAAUGAUCAAGCCCCUAUUUGCCCAAAAAUUCCUGGCUGAUAGGAACCAGGACAUCGAUGCUUUGUACACAAAAAUUGAAAGUAAUAUCGAGGCAGUGAAGAAGUGCUAUGAUUGGAGUAGUACAAGCGAGUAUGAUGAUGAAGCACUCGCCUGGAUGAUGCUUCUGGAUGGGUGUUUUUUACUACAAUUCAUUUGCGGUACAGGUAUGAAAAACUUUCUUAGAUAUCACCAAAUAGGUUUUGUGGAGCUGGACUUGUUCCUGCUUGAGAACCAACUUCCUUUUGGAGUCCUCAAGUUGAUUUUUGAGGGAACAAGUUUACCAGUGGAAGAGACGAUUAAAGAAUUCGUCACUAACACCAUAAGGCCAGAAGGGUCGACAUCAGAAAUACAACUUAAAGAGGAGUACAAAGAGCCCUCUCAUCUCCUCGACCUCUUGCGAAGUGCUCGCCUAGGUAGGUAUAAAAAGAUUAGCAAGCAAGAACUAGGGAGUCAACCGGAACAAGAGCAGGAAGCUGGAAAAAAGGGAGAGUCGUCGUCGUCUCGAGGAAGAGAUGGAGGGUUCUGUUGCCCAUGGAAAAAAGGCAAACAACAAGGCAAUUGGCCGUCUUUUCGACACAUCAAGGAGCUUAAAGCUGCCGGGAUCCAUCUCCAACCGAGUGCAACGAGUUCCUUGACAGACAUUUAUUUCAAUUCCUACUUCUUCUAUGGCUACCUGAAACUUCCCCAAAUAAUCGUUGAUGACUCUACGAAGCCCAAGUUCUUGAACAUUGUAGCCUAUGAAAUGUGUCCAGAUGCCCCAGAUGACUAUGCGGUCACUUCUUAUGUAUGCUUCCUUUACGAGCUCAUUGAUCAUGCAGACGAUGUGAAGGAGCUGAGAUCUAAGCACAUUCUCUACAACUGUCUUGGCUGCGAUGAAGAUGUGGCCAAAAUUUUCAACGAGAUCGGCAAUGACUUGGUAGAUCCCGAUGCUUAUAAAGAAGUGAAAACUAGUAUUCAGAAACACUACGACAAGAGAGUGAAUAUUUGGAUAGCUAAAGGCCUUCACGAACAUUUCAGGUCUCCAUGGACUAUCAUCGCUUUCAUUGCUGCUGUUUUGAUACUACUUUUUACUGGGGUUUCGACCUACUACGCUCUUCCCGAUAAAUCUUCUUAUCGGGUUUCAGACCUACUUCGCUCUUCCCGCUAAAUCCAAGUGAGUCAUGGUAAUAUAUAUCUUCAAAUUGAUAAAUGGUAGUUUUUUCUAUUCAUUCUUUCAUUCGUUCAUGUACAGAGAAUAUAUAGAGGGUAAUCACCAUUCUAAGAAUGGGAAAGAAUGAUACAAGGAAAGAAUGAUAUAGGAAAUAACAAUUAAUAUUCUAAUAUCUCAACUUUCCUAAUAUCUCAAUAUUCUUAAUAUCUCAACUUUCCUAAUAUUUAAACAUUCCUAAUAUCUCAACACUAAAUAAUAUAAGGAAAGAAUGAUAUACGGAAAACAUUCCUAAUAUCUCAACACUUCCCCUCAAGUUGGUGCAUAGAUGUCACACAUGCCCAACUUGUCUAAAAAUUUUGAGAACACUUGACUUGAGACAACUUUGGUGAGGAUAUCGGCCAAUUGAUCUUCUGAUCGAAUCUUAGGCAAUUCCACAAUCUUAUCAUCCAAAUUUUCCUUAAUGAAGAAUCUAUCCACCUCGACAUGCUUUGUACGAUCAUGUUGUACUGGAUUAUGAGCAACGUCACAUGCGACUUUAUUGUCACAAAACAAUCGAAUUGGUCGCCUAGAUAAGUAACCUAAAUCCUGUAAGAGAAGUCUUAGCCAUAAUGCCUCACAAAGUCCUAGAGUCAUACCUCUAAAUUCUACUUCUGCACUUGAACGAGCGACGACAUUCUGCUUCUUACUUUUCCAUGUCACAAGAUUACCACCUACAAAGGUAAAGUAACCAGAUGUAGAUUGCCUAUCAUCCACUGCACCGGCCCAAUCAGCAUCAGUAUAUACUUCUAUACUCUGAUGAUUAACAUUUUUAGCGAACAAAAUUCCCUUCCCAGGAGCAUUCUUCAAAUACCUCAAAAUACGCAUAACUGCAUUCAUAUGUUGCUCUUCAGGAUUAUGCAUGUAUUGACUCACUACACUCAAUGCAUAAGCAAGAUCUAGUCUUGUAUGAGCUAAGUACAUUAAUCUCCCUACAAGUCUCUGGUAUCUUCCCUUAUCCGUUGAUACUUGAUUAGGCUCAACACACAAUUUCAGACCUUCUUCUAUUGGUGUAUUAACAGGUUGACAUCCCGACAUUCCAGUCUCCUGUAAAAGAUCUAAGGCAUACUUUCUUUGAGACAGAAAAAUUCCUUCACUUGAUCGAUAAACUUCAAUCCCAAGAAAGUAUUUCAGAGGACCUAGAUCUUUCAUUUCGAAUUCUUUAGAUAGAUAAUUUUGGAGAGCUUUUAUUUCUUUAGGAUCAUUUCCUGUAACUACCAUGUCAUCCACAUAUACGAUGAGUGCGAUAAUCUUACCAUGUUGCUUUUUCAGGAACAAAGUAUGAUCUGAAUUACUUUGAUGAUAGCCAAAAGCUCUCAUUGACUUUGUGAACCUUCCAAACCAUGCUCUCGGGGAUUGCUUCAACCCAUACAAUGACUUCUUCAAUUUGCACACCUUCUGACAUUGCUUUUCUGACACCAUGCAUCCUGGUGGAAGAUCCAUAUAUACUUCUUCAGAUAACUCGCCAUGCAGAAAGGCAUUUUUCACAUCGAAUUGUUGUAAUGGCCAAUCUAGUUUUGCAGCUAAAGACAGUAAUACUCGAACUGUGUUGAUCUUAGCUACAGGUGCAAAUGUCUCUGUGUAGUCAAUUCCAUAAGUUUGAGUGUACCCUUUUGCUACCAGUCUUGCUUUAAAUCGUUGAAUACUACCUUCUGCCUUGUACUUCACAGUAUAGAUCCAACGACACCCAACUGGCUUCUUUCCUGGUGGACAUUCUACGAGUUCCCAUGUUUCAUUCUUCUGCAAUGAUUUCAUCUUUUCAUUCAUGGCUGCUUUCCACCUUGGAACAGCUAAGGCUUCCUGCACACUGUUAGGAAUAGCUACAGUAGAUAAUUGAUUUACAAAUGACUUAUUUGAUUCAGACAAACGAUGGUUAGACACAUAGUUGCUCAUUGGAUAUUUGACUUUGGUAGACAAUUCAGGUUCAUAUGUAGGUUUAGGAAUACCUCUAUUAUGACGGUGUGGUAACUGUUUCAUGAAUGGAUCAGGUUCCAAAUUAAGAACACCUUCAACAGACGACGAUUGGUUUGGUAUUUCAGUAAAGACAUUUUCGAACCCAAAUUGUUGACCACUCAUAUCCAACUCACCCGCUUCUUGGUUCACUAGUUUAGAUUGUCCAGAUUCAUUCUCCUUAGAGAUAUGAUAAUCAUAAUCGAGAGUCUGAAUUUCCUUAUGGUACUCCCCCUGAAGUUCAGACUCAGAUGAAAAAUACAUCGAAUCUUCAUGAAACACCACAUCCAUUGUAAUAUACAUUUGUCGAGUUGGAGGAUGGUAACAUCGAUAUCCCUUUUUGUGCAAUGCAUAUCCAACAAACACACAUUGCAAUGCAUGGGAAGUUAAUUUGGUGCGUUGGUGUUUGUGUAGAUGCACAAAUGCCACACAACCAAAAACACGAGGAGGUAGAUUUGGGACAGUUGGGGCAACUACGAUAUUAGUAAGAGCUUAGAGAGGUGUUUGGAAGUUAAUUGAGUUAGAAGGUACCCGAUUAAUCAAGUAUGCGGCAGAUGUGAUUGCUUCUCCCCAAUAAGAUAUCGGUGUUUUUGCUGCUAUCAAGGAAGCACGAACAACCUCUAACAAGUGCCGAUUUUUUCAUUCAGCGACUCCAUUUUGCUGGGGUGUAUUGGAACAAGUAGUCUGAUGAAUGAUGCCAUGUCCUUCCAAAUACUUUUGAAGAUCAAAACUUUGAUAUUCUCCACCAUUAUCACUAUGCAGAACCCGAACCUUUGCAUUGUACUGAGUUUCAAUCAUUUUAUGAAAAUUUUGAAACAACAAGUUCACUUCAUCUUUGGUCUUCAUCAAGCAUAGCCAUGUCAUUCUGGUACAAUCAUCAAUAAAAGUAACAAACCAACGUGAGCCACUCAAAGUUGGGACUUUGGAUGGGCGGCCCCAAACAUUAGAAUGUAUAACCAUAAAAGGAAACGGACUUUUGUUCAAAAUUAACGGAAACGAAACACGAUGGCUUUUAGCCAAUUCACAAAUAUCACAAUGGAAACCAGAAAUAUCACUCUUUGCAAACAAACUAGGAAACAAUUUUUUUAAAUAACCAAAGGAAGCAUGUCCCAGACGUCGAUGCCACAACCAAAUUUCAGACUUUUUCUUCUCCCCCUCAGAUCCAUCUGCCAUCAAGGCUUGUUGCAACUUAUUUGAAUCCUUUGACUGCAAGUCCAAGUAAUAGAGUUUUCCCCGCUUAAUACCCCAACCAAUCGUCUGUCUUGUUUGGAUGUCCUUAAUCACACAAAAUUCAGGCCAAAAAAUGACAAUACAAGAUAAGGCUGCGGUGAUUUGAGAAACUGACAAAAGAUUGUAAUUUAAAGAUGGAACAACUAAGACAGAAUCCAAAUUCAAAGUAUCAGUAAGAGUUAAGGAUCAUUCCCCAAUGACUGGGGUUAUGUUACCUUUGGCUGUGGAAACAAUUUUUUGUGAGGAAGGUCUAAGGGGUGAAACCUGUCUAGAAUCAAAAGUCAUAUGAUCUGUAGCACCAGAAUCAAUUAUCCUUGCACUAUUAAUAACAGGUGUAAAAGUAUUUAAAAACUUACCACCAUGAUUUGUAGCGGCUACCAAUGUAGAGGCUUUCUCAGCAACAUUAGCCUCUGUUUUUAUUUCGGCAACAGUUGCAAUCGAGGUUUUCUUGGAAUCCUUCUUCCGUUGAUCAAGAUUAUUAUCAUUAAUAACAAAGUGUUGAUAGCCUAAACAUGAUCUAAAGGUCCAUAGUUCAAACCCUCGGUUCCUCAUUGUUUUCCUGGUCAUACCAAGAGUCGUUGCUUUGAAAUUGUGGCAUAUCCAGAUUGGUGGGAUCAAUCUUAUUGUAGUGAGUGCAUUUGAAGGUUGACUUAUCAACAUUAGGGCUUGUCUUAGGAUGGAUGAUCGCUGUCGGACUACCAUAGCGACAAAAUAUCUAGGAUUUCAGUUCCAUGGCUCUGAUACCAUCUUCAAAUUGAUAAAUGGUAGUUUUUUCCAUUCAUUCUUUCAUUCGUUCAUGUACAGAGAAUAUAUAGAGGGUAAUCACCAUUCUAAGAAUGAGAAGGAAUGAUACAAGGAAAGAAUGAUAUAGGAAAUAACAAUUAAUAUCCUAAUAUCUCAACUUUCCUAAUAUCUCAAUAUUCCUAAUAUUUCAAUAUUCUUAAUAUCUCAACUUUCCUAAUAUUUAAACAUUCCUAAUAUCUCAACACUAAAUAAUAUAAGGAAAGAAUGAUAUACUGAAAGCAUUCCUAAUAUCUCAACAAUAUAUAUGGGUUAAUUAUGAAUGUGAUGUGUUUUUUUCUUGUUUGGUGUGUAUGAUUGUUGUAUCACUGGAUUUCAUGGACGCAAUAUUAUUAGUCUUUUCCUCCCCAUGAGUUUGCUAUAAUCUAUAUAAUAUAUGUUUGAACUCACAAUUUCCAGCUACCUUCUUUGUAUUCUUUUUCAUAGACCAGCAUCAUAGAUAACAAACUAUCCACAUAGAAAAUUUUCAGUUAACGGUGUGUAAUUCCGUGGAUGGGAUUGAAUAUUCAACACACAAUUGUUUUUUCGAAUAAGAAAAUUAUGGAUAUAUUAAAAUCAUAAUUUUGAUAUAUCUAUAUAUAUAUAUAUAUAUAUAUAUAUAUAUAUAUAUAUAUAUUUAGAAAAGCAAUUAAAAACUGCAUUUUUUAAUGAAGUCUUCUGAUUUUUAUUGAUUUUUUUUUUUCAAAUUUCCAACUUUUUUAAGAAAUCUUCUAAUACUCUUGAAUUCUUCAAGAGAUUUUUAAUCUUCUAUCUCUUUAAGGCUCUAGGACAUUUCUUUAUAAAAAUACGUACAUUCAUUUGGAGAUCAACUAGGGCUCCAUUAGACCCUAUGUUGGUCUAAAUAUUCAUUUUGCGAACCUUGGGAAUGGAUUUGAGGCAUUUGCCUACCUUGAAAUGUGAUUUACAAUCCCCACACAUUAUCCUUAAGAAAAAUAUAUACAUUCUUCACAAAAAUACAUACACUUUUUUGGAGGCUAACCUUGAUCCCAUUAGAUUCUAUUUAGAUCUAAAUAUUUAUUUGGGGAUCUUUGGAAUGAAGUUAAGUCAUUUUUCUAUCUUGAAAUGUGAUUUAGAACCCCAUGUACAUCUUUAAGAAAAAUAAGUAUAUUCCUCACAAAAAUACGUAUGUUUUUUUAAAAGCCAAUCGUGACCUCAUAGGCCUUAUUUGAGUCUAAACAUUCAUUUGGGGAACCUUGGGAAUGGAUUUAAGCUCUUCGUCCACCCUAAAAUGUGAUUUGCAAUCGCACGUAUAUCUUUAAGAAAAAUAUAUACUUCUUUUAAAAAAAAAGUGUGUACAUUCUUCACAAAUAUAUAUAUAUAUAUAUAUAUAUAUAUAUAUAUAUAUAUAUAUAUAUAUAUAUAUAUAUUUGAUAGCCAACCAAGGCUCCAAUAAUCCCUGAUAAAAAUAUAUGUAUUUUUUAAAAUGAUGUAUGUAGUUUAACAAAUAUAAGAAAAAUUAAUUAAGGGGAAAUUAAUGUAAAAUAUUAAAUACAAUUUUUUUUUUUAUGAAAAAUAUAUUUUCUUUUAUAUUUUAUGUUAAUAAAAAAUUAAAGGUUUUAACAAAGCAAAAGGUUAGAACCAGAAAUUAAGUUAAAACCAUAAGAAAAAAAAAAAUAAAAGCACCAUCACUUACUAAUAUUUGAUUUGAAAAAAUAAAAAUAAAAAUAAUAAAAAUAAUAAAAUAGUGUUACAAAGAUAUUCUUACUUUCACAUGUAAUAAGAUUUAAAAAAUAAAUAAAUAUUUUAUUUGACAUUAAUAUAAAAAAUCUUAUAUCAUAAACCUCUAAAUAAUAAAAUAAAUUUUCUAAAUUUAAACCUUAAACCAUUAAAUGUAUUAUUAUAAUUAAUAUUUAAAAUCAUCAAGUAUAUUACUUUUGGGAUAAUAUUUUCAUUUUUGUUCAUUAUAUAUUUAUGUUUUUAUUUAAUUUCUUAUUAUUAGCUAUUUAUUAUAUAUUAUUAUUUUAAGUUUAAUAUAUCCAAAAAAUAAUUAAAAUCAAUAAAUACGGAGAGUGAAAAAAUUUGAAAUUAAAGAGGUUUUAUAAGAGAAUACAUGAGCAUAUUAAGAGAAAUGGUAAAAGAAAGAAAGAAAAAUAACAAUAUUUUUAAAUGUGAUAGGUGGCAAUUGAUAGGAUGGUUAAGGAUGGUAAUGAGACAGGUUUUUUCGGAUACUCGUCCUGUCCAGGCCCUAAUGGGACGGAUUUGAAAUUUAAAUAAACGGGUUUGAGAUAUUUUUAAAGCUUGAGAUAAGUUUGGGGCAAGUUCGGGUAUUAUCUUGUCCCAUCCCGUCACACCUUGAUUAUAUAUAAAAUUAAUUUUAAAAAUUAAAUUAAAUUAAUUUUUAUUUUCUUAUUUUUAAUAUAUAGAUAAUAAUAAUAAUAAAUUUUCAAUAAAUAAGUUUUAAAAAAAUUAUAAUAAUUCAAUUAUUUAUAAAAUAUAUUUAUUUUAAUGUUUUUUAGAAAUUAAAAUAAUUUUUUUAAAAGAAUUAAAAUUUUUUCAAAAAAGGGUUAAAUGGGUAAGGCGGAACGGGUAUGAGAAUUUCUCAUACCCGCCCGCAUUAUUUAAUUUUUUUAAUGGGACAACGAUGAAAGUUAUUUUGAAUAAACGAGACAAGGUUGGGAUGAGAGCUACUCAUCUUAAACAUGCCUUGUUGCCUUUCCUAGUGAAAGAGGAAAAAAAAAAAAAAAAACAAAAGCCAAAAAACAAAAAAAGGAAAAAAGUAGGAACAUGUUUUUUUCCCAAAUAGAAAACGUAAAAGUAAAGUCCAACAAUUUUUUUUUUUUUGGUUAUAUAUAUAGCAUGGUGGGGAGGGUAUAUUCCAUAUUACAUGAGACUUCCAUGGCGGGGAAGGUAUAUUUCAUAUCACAAACUUACUCAAUUGUGUUUUUCCUUUUAGGAUAUGGAAGGGCUUUCCUUAUGCCCAAGAAAUGCAUAGAUUCAAUUGAAGAAAUUGAGGAAUAUGGUUGUUCUUUUUUUUUUUUUUUUUUUUUUUUUUUUUUUUUUUUCUUUUUUUCCUUUUUUCCUUUUUUAAAAAAAGAUGAGCCAAGGUGGAACUCAGGUGGAACACAUUGGUUCCAGUCAUUUUCUUGGGCAAAGAUAUGUCCAGGAUAUGGGAAAGGGGCAUUAAAUUAAAUAUCUUUUGAAAAGUUUAUUAUAAUCAUUUCACACAAUAUAAAUUUCACUAAAUUUUUCGAACUAAGGUUCUCUGAUAAUUACUUUAUAAUAAUAAAAUUAAUUCUUACAUUACAUGUAAUAUUCAAAUUUAAAAAAUCCAAUCUCAAAUAAUUUAAUAGCUAAAUUUAAAUUUAAUUUUUGAAACUCCAAGUUUCGAAAUGUGACUUGGCAAGAAUUUAAAGUACUGAUUUUCGACUAACUUUUCACAAAUUUUGCCUAAUUAAAUAAAAUAUUAGCAUGUGAAUGUUCACUAACAUCACGUAAUUCAUUGAUUUAGAGGAUUCAAUUUGGUUGAUGUUGAGGAUAGUCAUCGGCAGUAGACUAACAUCUUCUCGACCAAUUAACAUACCAACAGUGAUUAGGCCAAAUGUGGUGAUCGAAUUCCAUGGAAAAGCAGCAAAAAGGGAGGUGCGUUGGAGAGAAGGAAGGCGGUCAACCAAGCAGGAACAGUGGAGAAAUUGGCCUCGAGCCUAAGGAGCAUAGGAAUGAAAUUAAUGAAAUCAGUCCUAGGAUGAAAAUUUGGAUUGGGUCUGUCCAAAAAGCAGAAGAAAAGACGAAACCUCACUAUCAAUGGCCAAGGAUACCGAAGGUUCCUCUGAUGCUGAGGGGGACCUGGGAUUUCGAGAAAUUCUAUGAACCAAGGGUAAUAUCAUUCGGUCCUUACCACCAUGGCAAGCCCCAACUUCACCCAGUGGAAAUGAUCAAGCCUCUUAUGUGCCAAAAAAUUCCUGGAUGACAGUAACCAGGACAUCGAAGCUUUGUACACAAAAAAUGGAAGGAAAAUCAAGGAAGUGAGGAACUGCUAUGAUUGGAGUGGUACAAACGAGUAUGAUGAUGAGGCACUCGCCUGGAUGAUGCUUCUGGAUGGGUGUUUUUUACUAUAUUUCAUUCACUGUGUAGUGAGAAGAAAUCAGAGUAAGUUGCAUGGUUUGAAUGUUAAAGAUUAUAUGAUUACUUUUGUGCACCAGGACUUGUUCUUGCUUGAGAACCAACUUCCCUUUGGAGUCCUCAAGUUGAUUUUUGAGGAAUCAGAAUUCAAUAUUGAUGGUUCACCAAUGCAAGAGAUGAUAAAAAAAUUCGUCAUUGACACCGGUAGGCCAGAAGGGUCGACAUCAGAAAUACAGAUGGAAGAGCCCUCUCAUCUCCUCGACCUCUUGCGAAGUGCUCUCCUAGGCGGGUCUAAAAAGAGUAGCAAGCAAGAAGCUCAGGGGUUCUGUUGCCCAUGGAAAAAAGGCAAACAACAGGGCAAUCGGCUGUCUUUUUGACACAUCAAGGAGCUUAAAGCUACCGGGAUCUAUCUCAAACCGAGUAGAACGAGUUCCUUGACAGACAUUUCUUUCAAUUCCAACUUCUUCUAUGGUUACAAGGAACUUCCCCCAAUAAUCAUUGAUGGCUCCACGAAGCCCACGUUCUUGAACAUGGUAGCCUAUGAAAUGAGUCCAGAUGGUCCAGAUGGCCCAGGUGGCUAUGCGGUCAGUUCUUAUAUAUGCUUCCUUGACAACCUCAUUGAUCAUGCAGACGAUGUCAAGGAGCUGAGAUCUAAGCACAUUCUCUACAACUAUCUUGGCAGCGAUAUAGAUGUGGCCCAAAUUUUCAACGAGAUUGCCAAUGACUUGGUAGACACCGAAGCUUAUGAAAGUGUGAAAGCCCGUAUUCAGGAACACUACGGCAAGAGCGUGAAUACUUGGAUAGCUGAAGCCCUUCACAACCAUUUCAGCUCUCCAUGGAUUCUCAUGGCUUUCAUUGCUGCUGUUUUGAUACUACUAGUUCCUAUGCAUUUGAUUUCAGAAUUUAAAUUGUUUUUUUCUUUUUACUUUUUCAUGAAUUAUUAUAAACUUUUGAUCGAAUAGAAAAAACCAAAAUAUUUGACUUUUUCUAAAUGGAAAAAGUAACAUAUUGGUUUUUCUUUACUAUUUUAAUGUUUGAUAGAUGAUCUGCACCCAUCGAGUUAAUCAAUUCAAAAAGUGUUGUUCAACAGUGUUGGAAAAUCAUCUAAUCCUGUCUCCUUGUAGAACAACUUGAACAAAAAUUUAUUGCUUACAGUUAGCAACCAUUGUGGGGCAUCCUGGCUGCCCAAACACACAUUUUCUGUUGGAAUGUGAUGCAUCAGAGACAACACUUCUUUAAUUCCUUCCCAAUCAUGGGAGUCUCUAAUAAAAUUAGGAUUCCGAAGCUCUGCAUCCUCGUCCUGUACAGAAUGGUCUGCCACACAUGCCUCCUCAUUCACCAGAAUUAUAAACUAAUUUAGGAACCUCAUCUUAAGAGAUCCACCCAUAGACCAAACAUCUUAACCAUAAAUCACAUUUGAGUCCUUUCUAUGAUUUUAUUGGAAACUUUAUAGCCUCAACAACACAUAACCAUUUGUAAAUCAAGCCCUUCACUAUUGCCCCAGUCAACAUCUUAUUCAGCCUCAACAUUAUGCUAAUAGCACCUUCAACUACAAUUUCGACAAUGCCACUCCUUACUGGUGUGGUUGUAGUCUUUUGUGCACAUGACCAGUUGUAACUUUUCUCUAACUACUGAGCAUUUCUAUCACAAAGGAUUUAUUGAUUUAACAUCCUGUUGAAAAAACUUCUCCUUCAGUCGAGGUAUGCAUAGAUCAUACAUAAUCCCACAUUCCACAAACACCUUUCCACUUCAUUCCUUCCAUUCUAAUAUUAAUGCACAAAGAAGUUGCAUGCAGAACAGAGAAUCUAAAUGUCAGAGGGUCUACCUGAUCAUCAACCUUCAUAUGCUUUUAGAACAGAUUGGCAUCAGGGCAUUCUCUAGUCAAUGGUCGUAAGCCCCUACCAUAGCACAAAGUAUUUUUAAGCGGCAAGGUACUCAAGAGAAAGUAAAGAAAAAGAAAAGGAGAAAAGAAAAAGGACAGAACAAUAGGUUCCUUAUUAUUUGUACACUUCCAUUAUUAUAUAUCACAAUGUUGCUUGGUGUUUAGCAAUAGUAUUCCCACCAGCAUCUUGAGUCUGCCAGGGAGAAAUAAACGUACUCGGGUCUAGAACUUACAAAGCUCCCAACUUGCUAGUGGAAACUGGUAUAGAACCAACCAAAUUAUUUCUGUAUCCUAUGAAGAUUUGAAAAUUAUAUAAUCUUCCUAUGUCAGAAGGGAUGACACCAUUGUGAUUGUUGUCAACAAUGCCCAGCAUCAGCAAGCCAGUGCAGUUACAAAUGCUUUCAGGAAUGACACCUUCCAAAAAGUUAAGUCCAGAACCUAGAAAUGCAAGAUUUCCAAGGAAUGUUGAACAAUUCUACAUGGAAUGGUACAACACUAGUUGCUUCAUAGUGCCAAGAUUAUGGGGGAUGCCCUCAUUGGAGCCAACUAUUGGAACAAAUUAGCAUGCUAUUGACAACUACUCCACUGUGUUGCCUGCAAAUUAAAUUUUCCAUUGGUGGUCUUCUUCCACAUAUCUGGUGCCACACAGCUCUUGAUAUAGCAAGGAUUGCUCUAGACUUGAUGAGUACCUCAAAAAAUGCCAAGGAAAGUACAGUGAUUAAUCUAACAUGCUUUAAGUCAGAGGCUCUUCCUCCCAUCCAUGACCAGGGAGUCUCUUUGAUUUCAACCUUUUUAACACUCAAUAUUAGUUUUCAAUAUUUGUUUCAUCUUAUAGUAUAGAGUUACUGAAACAGAGUAACUUGCUUCAAACAUAUUCUUAAGAGACUCACAGGCGAAGACGGCACAAACCUAGAUUACCUCAAAGUGUUGGAUCCCUGCCUGUAUGCAAACACCCCUUCAUAAUAUAAGAUCUAUCCAACUAAGCACCAAAAAUCCAUAUUCCUAUACAUGACCAAAAUAGUAAAGCUAAUCCAUACAUUUUUAGGCACAUAUAUCAGGUAAAUAAGAACUAAGAAUCAAAAGAAUAAACCUAAACUAGAUGAUUCAACAGGACGUAAUUCAGAAGUGAUAUUUCACGAAAUGUGAUUUAGAGAAUUAAUACCCUGAAGGUGGUAGGCCAAACUUAGGUUCUGCAUAAAGGGAUACACCAAAAGACAUUCUGUUGGUCUUGUGUCUGGAAAGCUGCAUCUCCACCAGGACUUUCAUAAUCUAUUAAUUGUUUCACUGCAACUUUGGUGUUAUUUGCAAGCACUCCCUUAUGAACUUUUCCAAAGCAUCCCUGUCCAUGAACAUUUUUCUCACUAAAAUUGUCUAUAGCUAGCUGUAACUCCCUCCAUGCAAAUCUUCUCAAUUGGCCAAAUGCAAUUCUUUGGUCAACUUCACCUGAAAACAGAUGGAAAGAUGUCUAGAAAGAAAAUUUCCAAGAGAAUCAAAUUUUGCAUCAAAUCCUUAAAAUCUGUCCAAGUAUUUAAAAGAGAUAAAAGCAUAGUUCUUUUCAAUACAGAACUAUGGCAUGAUCUGUAAAUCUCUUCAAACUUUUUGUACUUGUAGGCAUCCCAAGAUAACAUCCAAUUGAGAACAAGCCUUUGAAAAUCUAACAAAAACUUGCUUUGAUGCUAUUAUCACCUAAAAAAGAAGAAGAAGAAAGCAUUGUAGCCAUUGCACAGAACCAGUCCCAUUCAUAAGGGUGGACGGGUGACACACCCAACCUUCACCAUUUUUUGCAUGAUUUGGUCAUACAUAAAGCAAUCAAUAUAUACUUGGUUAAACAUCAAGCUUAAUUUUAGCCUAAUCAAUUGACUAAAGCUGCAAUUACACUUAAGUUUAAACUACCAAAAGUUCACCCAUUUUCACAACAUUAAAAUUAAGCUAAAAUUACAGUGAAAGUGAUAGAACUUCAAGCCAAAAUUUAGGUGGAGAAAUGAAUUUAAUUUGUCUCAAGAGCUGAAUUACAAUGAAGUCAAUAAAUAAUAUUAUCUUCUUCGGUUCAUGAACACCAAACUGAAAUUACAACAAAAUUGAAAUCAACAUUUUGCAUCAAAUUAACCUAAUUUCACUCAUCUUUUAUCUUAAACUAAAAUACAUCUUGUAGCACUCAGUGAUCAAAGCCUGUUUUUCUUCCCCCUUACUUCCUGUUUAGACAUGGAGAGGUGAAACAAACUUUGAGAUAUUCAAUGAUUCAACAAAGCUUUAAUCAAAUACUAAACUGCUUGCUUUGAUGGAAGAGUUAGUUUCAUGAGGGAUGUGCCCAUCUUCCUUGAAGCUUGUACCUAUGCACUUACGAUUGGUAAAAGCCAGGCACCAUAAACAUAAGAGUUUUUGAAUUUUUAAGGGAAAAUCAUGCUUUCAAACACUAAUAAAAAAAGUACAUCUGUUCCUAGGGGAACUAGAACCCCUAUAUCCCCAAUCAUGAUCUAUAUAUUCCUUUGGGAACCCUCAAUAAGUGAUUACAGGUCCUCCUUAUUCCCAAAAUGAACUUUGGAACCUCAAGUACAUCCUUAAAAAAAAUAAGUACAUCUGUUUCUAAGGAAACCGAGACUCCUAUCCCCCUUAUAAUGGUCUAUCUAUUCCUUUGAGGACUCUCGAGAAUUGAUUAUAGGUCAUCCCCAUACCAAAACGGACUUUGGAACCCCAAAUACAUCUUUAAGAAAAAUAAGUACAUUUGUUUUUAGGGGAACCAAGACCCCUAUCUCUUUUAUCCUGGUCUAUAUAUUCCUUUGGGAGCCUUCUAGAAGUGAUUGGAAGCCCUCCCCUUCCCCAAAAUGGAAUUUGGAAUUUUAAGUACAUCAUUAAAACAAAUAAGUACAUCCUUAAGAAAAUUAAGUACAUCUAUUCCUAGGCAAACUAGGGUCCUAUCUCCCUUAUCAUGCUCUAUAUAUUCCUUUGGGUACUCUUUGGAAGUGAUCGGAGGUUCUCCCUAUCCUUAAAAUGGAAUUUGGAACCCCAAGUACAUCCUUAAGAAAAAUAAGUACAUUUGUUCCUAUGGGAAUCGAGACCCCUAUCUCUUUUAUCAUGGUCUAUAUAUUCCUUUGAGGACCCUUAGGAAUUGAUUGGAGGUCCUUCCUAUCCUUGAAAUGAACUUUGGAACCCUAAGUACAUCCUUAAGAAAAGUAAGUACCUCUAUUCCUAGGAAAAUCAAGACCUUUGUCUCAUUUAUCAUGGUUUCCAUAGAUUUCUUUGGGGACCCUUGGGAACUAAUUGGAGGUCCUCUCCAUUCUUGAAACGGACUUUAGAACCCCAGAUAUAUCCUUAAGAAAAAUAAGUACAUUUAUUCCUAAGAGAAUUGAGAUUCUUAUCUCCCUCAUCAUGGUUCAUAUAUUCUUUUAAUGACCCUCUAGAAGUGAUUUGAAGUCGUCUCUCACCCUGAAAUGGAUUUUGGAACCCUAAGUACACCCUUAAAAAAAAUAAGUACAUCCUUAAGGUUAAGGAAAUGCAUAUUGUUAGGAUAUGUAGAUGGAGUGAAAAUGUACAAGUUAUGGUGCUUAGAUUCAAAAUUCUCUAAUUUAUAAUUAACAGGGAUGUGGCUUUUAACGAGUAUGAAAUGUUGAGUCCAAGAAAGGAGCAACUUCAUGUAGAAAACAACCCUAGUAUGAGAGAAAAUGUGGAGUUUGUGCCUAACAUAGAAAAAACGAUUUCAAAAAAGCCAAAUGAGGAAGAAGUGCAACAUCUUGAUGAUAAAGAAAAGACAUCACAAUAGCAACAAUAUUAUUUGGCUAGAGAUAGAACGAGGAGGCAAAUUAAACCACCACAAAGGUAUGCUUAUGUAGAUUUGGUUACUUAUGCACUUGGUGUGGCAAAGAACAUUGAAAAAGAGGAAUUUCAAACUUAUCACUAGUAGAGAGUCUACACAAUAGAUUGUUGCCAUGAAUGAGGAAAUUGAAUCUCUUCAAAAGAAUCAUACUUGGAAACUAGUUGAGAAGCCUAAAAAUCAAAAGAUUGUUGGUUGCAAAUAGGUCUUCAAAAGAAAUUAAGGGAAGGAAUUUCAAGAGUAAGGAUGACAAGUUUAAAGCAUGCUUAGUGGCAAAGGGUUACACACAAAAGAAAGGAGUGGACUUCAAUAAAGUUGUCUCCAGUUGUGAAGCAUAGCUCAAUCAAAGUGUUACUUGCUAUGGUUGCUUUAUUUAAUUUAGAUUUAGAGCAACUUUAUGUCAUGACUGUUUUUCUACAUGGUAAGUUGGAAGAAUAGAUUUAUAUGAAUUAACCCGAGGAAUUCAUUAUUUCAAAAAAGACCAUGUUUGUUUGUUGAAGAAAUCUCUUUAUGGCUUGAAGCAAUCUCUUAAGCAAUGGUAUAAAAGGUUUGAUACUUUUAUUAUUGGCAAUGGCAACCAUAAGAGUGAGUAUGAUAAUUAUGUUUAUCACAAGGAAUUGUUUGAUGGUUCUUUCAUUUAUUUAUUGUUAUAUGUUAAUGACAUGUUAAUUUCCUGCAAGAAUAUGUUUGAUAUUAACAAGUUGAAAACUCAACUCUAAGGAGAGUUUGAAAUGAAAGACCUUAGAGUUGUGAAGAAAAUAUUAGGUAUGGAUAUUCAUAGAGACCAAAAAGUAGGGGAAUUGUACUUUUCACAAAAAAGUACAUUGAGAAAGUGUUAAAAUGCUUUGGAAUGCAAGGGUCAAAACCUAUGAAUACUCCAUUAGCAACUCCAAACUUUCAAGUGCUUUUGUUGGGAACCCUAUAUUACUUCGUUCCCAUGCCCUAGAUCUCAUAGGGUGCAUGCAUUUAUCCCUAGACAUCUCUAAACCUACUGUAGCGAAAAACUAAGUAUUCAAAAACCAAUAUUGAUACCAUAGAAAUCUUAGAUCUAGAGAAAAAAAAUCACAUACCUUUGAUUCAAAUGUUCUUGAAUUGAUUCCUAUUGAUGUAGAUAAGUCCAAAGUCAUAAUGGAUCUUGUAACACCAUGAUCUUCCGCCCGAUAACUCUUUAUUGUGUCUAGGCACUGAAAUGGUUGACAUCUUAAGGGUGGAGGUUAGACUUCUCUCUUUGGACUAUAUGGAGAAAAUGGCAAGACAUGGAAACCCUAACCCUUAACGGGUAUUUAUAGGCUUCUUAGUAAGCUUAAGUGACUUAAGCCCACCCAAAAAGGUUGCUAAUUAAUUAAUUAGUUAACAAUACAAGAUCCUAAUUAACCAAUUAGCUUAGUUAAGAGAUAUCACUAACUUAUCACCAUGCAACCUUGCAUAAUCACUAAAAUAUCCUUAUGCACAAAAAUGAACUAAAAACCUUUCCAACCCUCAUAAACUAUACCAUCAAGGAAUAUGAGCUCAAAGUAGGGACCACUAGGACCCAUAGGAGUACUAGCUCCCUUAGAAUAAAAUUCUAAAAUUGACUCAACAUCUCACUAUAGAAAGUCAACUGCACUCUAGUACCUUAUGUGUAUUACAACGAGACACCAAGUGCUCGGGUUCGUGACCUACAAUCUACUACAUGCAAACUCUCCAUGAACUGGUGUUUGUAGUCUAACAAAGUAGUGCUAUCACUUAUUAAGAUUAUCUCUCAAAUCCUUAAGUUAUAGAUUCCAUUUUUUUUAUGUGAUCAAAUGACAUACUCUAGCUCAAAGAAGGAUUUGUCAAAUUCCACUAAAUGAAUUAUUGUGGCCACAUAUUUCAUGAUUACAUAUCCUUUAGAUCACCCAAGGAGACGCGCUGUCUCAAUCCCAUGAGAUAUCAUGGUGCCUCUAUUGAGAAUACUUGUUGCCACCAACCUCCAUCAACAAUGACCCAAUCCAUGGGGAUAUGUGACCACUUUAGGGUCUCAUCCAUAAGUUAAAGUCUCUUAUUGAUUUCAACAUAUGCUUAAUAUUCUCUCAAGGUUGAGAGUCCAUGUAGUAUAGUCACUUAGUUAAUCAUAAAAUUUGAUAGUCUUGCAUCAUGAUUCAUCGUAGGUCCUAUCCAGUGUGCACCACAUAUACUAGCGUACUCACCAUAGGAAUCCCAUCCUAACGACCUAGAUAAGCAAUCCCUCCGAUUAGGAGGUGGUGCACUAUAGUCUCUACUAGAUUGUCCAAAUCCAUGAACCAAUUGUGGACAACUUAUCUAUUUAUAAGAAACCCAUGACUUGUAACUUUUGUGCAACUCCUAAUAUACCAAAGUCAUGUACAAUGUAAGAGACAUGUGUUGAAUGUUCAAAUCAAUAUUAAUACACCAAAAGGAUAGCAAGAGGAUGGUUAAGUCUGACUUUGUUACAUUAUGUUAUGCUUUUAAGGGCUCAAUCCCAACAACUUUAUCACCAUAGAUCAAAGAAGAAAUGGAGCACAUGUCACAUGUUCCUUAUGCUAGUGUAGUUGGGAACAUUAUGUAUGUCAUGGUUUGCACUAGGCUAGACAUUUCACAUGUAGUUAGUGUGGUGAGUAGAUAUAUGGAUCACUCUCGAAAGAUCCAUUGGCAAGCAGUGAACAAAUAUUUCGAUAUUUGAGAGAAACAUCACAUGUUGGCUUAACAUAUGAUAAAAGUAGUGACAUCUCUGAGAAAAUUGUUGGUUAUGUUGAUUCUAAUUAUGCUAGAGAUUUGGGGAAAAGAAGAUCUCAAACAAUUUGUGGUAGUGUUAUUAGUUGGAAAGAACCUUUGCAAUUUAUAGUUGCUUUAUCAACCACUGAAGUAGAAUACAUGGCGGUCAUAGAAGCGGUGAAAGAAGUUAUUUGCCUUAAGGGCUUGGUUGGAGAUUUAAGCUUACAAUAGGAGUUGAUUGUUGUGUAUUAUGAUAGCCAAAGUACCAUACAUUUGACUAAAAAUCAAAUGUUCCAUAAGAGGAGCAAACAUAUUGAUGUCAAUGCAUUUUAUUAUGGAUGUGAUCGCAAAGGGUGCUAUUGCAAUGAAAAAAAAAUCCCUAUAGUGGAGAAUCUUGCAGAUAUGAUGACUAAGUUCGUUUUUACAGUUAAAUUCAGGUAUUACUUGGACUUAAUUGAUGUUAAUAGUAUCUAAAGACUCCUUUAGGGUGUGGGAGUGAAGAAACAUGGAAGACUUUCGAGUUUGUUUGAAUCUUGAGAAUUUGAGCCAAGGUGGAGAUUAUUGAAAAGUGUCUCAGAUUCUAUUUUUGAGUCAAUUGGAAAGUUAUAGAUAGUUUCCUAAUAAAAAAAUAUUCUUGUAAGUGGGUUUCCUAUUAUUAUAGAGGAAAUAUUCUUUUAGGAAAAAACAUUUUUGAUAAUUAUACACUUAGUUUCCUAUAUAGAAUCUUUCUAUGUAAUUAGAGAAAUAUGUAUAAAAAGAUAUUUUGACCAAAAUAGUGGAAGUUUUUUUUUUGGGUAUAAUUGGGACUUUGGGAUUUGAAAGCUCUAAGAUUGUAAUAUCCUUCAAUAAUAAUGGAAAUUAUUUUUUAUCUUCACCUGUGGAUGUAGGUUUGAGGUCGAACCACAUAAAUUGUUAUGUACUUUGUGUGUUUUGUUUUUGUUAGGAAUUUGAGGCUAAUCCAAACUAUGGUAAUCACCUUGGGGGGGGGGGGGGGGGGAUAAAUAGGGUGAUGGUCUCUUUUUCACAAAUUUAAACUAUGCAAAAAUAAGAGUCAAUUAUAUGCAAAUAUAUAAUAAACAAAAUAAACACAAUUGCAUAUAAUUUAAAAGAGUUAGGGAAGAGAGAGUGCAAACAUGAGAGUUUAUAGUGGUUCGGUACUUCCUUGCCUACAUCCACUCUCCUCAACCUCCUAAUCGAGUGAGGGUUCCACUAUCUUGAAGCUUCAACCAAGUUUCCAAUCUCUUUACAAUUGGAUUAUGGUUCCAAUUCACCCUCUUGGACUUUUGGCUCCAAGCACCCUUUACACUUCUUCAAGAGAUAUCCCUCUCUUGAAUAACCUCUCAAGUGAUACCCCUCACUUGAGAAAAUCCCUCACAAAGAUAUACAAAUAAUGAUCUCACAAAAAUCCUAGUAAUAGAACUUUAGGCUCAAAGAUACAAGAAAAACUAGGAUUGAAUGGUGCACUAAAGAUAUGCAAGUUAUGAAACAAUGGUGCACUCAAAAACACUCUUCCAAGGCUCAAAUAUAAUCAAGAAUGAUUUGGAAAGGUUAAGCUCUUGAAACAAUGAAGAUUGGAGCCUUUUUAUAGAAGAGAAAAUCCAAACUAGCCGUUUGGGGGUUCGUCCGGUCGAGCUAUGGGUCGACUGGUUGACUAGCCAUUAGCAUUAAAUGCUUGGCAGGUGACCGUUGGGCCUUAGCCGGACCUCGACCGGGAAGAGAGUUACCUUGAUCGGGAAAAGAAGGCCACUAGGAGAGAGAGAAACUUUUGGCCUCCCUCGACCGGUACUCGACCGGACGAGCACAACUGGUUGACCGGUUCCUCGACCAGUUGAACUGGUUGAGCCAUUUUUUGGCUCAACACCCAACCCUUUUCAACUUAAAACCUCUUAACACAAGUUUGAAAAUUAUUUAACACAAGGUUUUAGUUGAAAACAUGAAAUCAUCCAAUUUUAAAGAUAUUUAAAACAAUAUUACUCUUGGAUGAUUUUGGUGCAUAAAUAAAGAAUGAAAUGCAUGAAAGUCCUAGUGCACCAACAACCUUACAAAGAGAUCUUAAGAAGUUUUGGUCUUGAAAAACUCUUCUCUUUGAGGUGGUCUUCUUCUUCGUGAUUUCUCCUUGGCUUGAUUUGUCUUUGGAUUGACACUUUGGAAGUCGUCUUGCCUAAUCACACUUGAAAUAUAAUCAUUAGUUCUAAACCUUGUUUUGUUAUCAUCAAAAUCAAGAUUAACCAAACCUUGGUUUCACAGUUUUCAUUUUUUUUUUCUCCCUAUUAUUAUUACUAUUAUUAUUAUAUAUACACCCAUGUGACUUGCAUGGUGGAAAGAGAAUAUUUCAUAUUCCAGGCAAGAAGCAAAGGUUACUCAAUUGUGUUUUUCCUUUUAGAAUGCAGAAGGGGUUUCCUUAUACUGAAGAAAUGCAUAGAUUCAAUUGAAAAAAUUGAGAAAUAUGGUUGUUCUUUUUCUUUUUCUUUUUCUAAAUCAUAGAUGAGCCAAGAUGAAACCCAUGUGGAACACAUUGGUUCCAGGCAUUUUCUUGGACAAAGAUAUGUCCAAAAUAUGGGAAAAUGACAUUUUAAAAUUAAAAAUGAUUUUAAAUUUUAAAUUUCUUUUUUUAUAUGUUUAAAAGCUUUUCAACUAGUAGAUUCGAAUUAUAACUUCCAAUUUAAUCGAAGAUUAAAAAUUACAAUAAUGAGAUUCUCAAUUCUUCAAAAUGAAAUUAAUUUAAUCCAUUUCCUUUGUAAAUUAUACCUCAAUUCAAUCAACCUUUCAAAAAUUAAAUUUACUUAAUGAUAAUAUUCAUAUUUAAUCAAUUUACCUUUUUGUGUAAAUUCCUAAAUUUAUAUAACAUAAUUUAAUCUUAAUUUUAUUUUGAUUCAAUUUUGUUUCACGUUUUAUAAUUUUAUAAGGUUGAAUUCUAAUAAUAAUUAAAAAUUAAAUUGAUUUGUUAUAAUAUUAAAUUAAAUAUCUUUUGAAAAUUUUAUUAUAACUAUUUGACAUAAUACAAAUUUCACCAAAAUUUUUAAUUAACUUUCUCUAAUGAUUACUUUAUAAUAAUAAAAUUAAUUAUUACAAUACAUGUAAUAUUCAAAUUUCAAAAAUUCAAGCUCAAAUAAUUUAAAUUUAAUUUUGAAGUUCCUAAUUUCCAAAUGUGACUCUCGACAAGAAUUUAAACUAACUUUCGACUAUUUUUUCACAAAUUUCACCUAAUUAAAUAAUAUAUUGACACGUGAAUGUUCACUAACGACACGUGAUCACGAUUCAUUUUGGUUGAUGUUCAGGAUGGUCAUCGGCAGUAGACUAACAUCUUCUGGACCAAUUAACAUACCAGCAGUGAUUAGGCCAAGGUGGUGAUCCAAUUCCAUGGAAGGGCAGCAAGAAAGGAGGAACGUUGGAGAGAAAGAAGGCGGCCAACCAAGCAGGAACAGUGGUCAAACUGGCCCCGAGUCGAAGGAGCGUAGGAUUGACAUUGUUGAAAUCAGUCAUAAGGUGAAAAAUUGGAUUGAGUCUCUCAAAAAAUGCAGAAGAAAAGACUCAAUCUCAAAGUCAAUGGCCAAGGACACCAAAGGUUCCUCACAUGCUGAGGGGGACCCAGGAUUUCAACAAAUCUACGAACCGAGGGUAAUUUCAAUCAGCCCUUACCACCAUGGCAAGCCCCACCUUCACCCAGGGGAAAUGAUCAAGCCUCUAUGUGCCCCAAACUUCCUGGAUGAUAGUAAGCAGGACAUCGAAGCUUUGUACACAAAAUUGAAAGUAAUAUGAGGCAGUGAAAAAGUGCUAUGAUUGGAGUAGUACAAACGAGUAUGAUGAUGAGGCGCUCGCCUGGAUGAUGCUUCUGGAUGGGUGUUUUUUACUACAGUUCAUCCGCAGCAAAGAAUACGACAGUAAAGUCGAUAUGAGUAACGUUCAUAGAAAUCACCAAAUAAAUUUUGUGGUGCAGGACUUGUUCUUGCUGGAGAACCAACUUCCCUGUGGAAUCCUCAAGUUGAUUUUUGAGGGAGCAAAAUUCAAUGAUGGUUCACCAAUGAAAAAAAAGAUAAAAAAAAUUCGUCACUAACACCGCAAGGCCAGAAGGGACAUCAGAAAAAGAGGUGGAAGAGUUGGACGAAGAGCCCUCUCAUCUCCUCGACCUUUUGCGAAGUGCUCUCCUAGGCGGGUCUAAAUAGAUUAGAAAGCAAGAAGCUCAGGGGUUCUGUUGCCCCGAUUGGCCGUCUUUUCGACACAUCAAGGAGCUUAAAGCUGCCGGGAUCCAUCUCAAACGGAGUAGAACCAGUUUCUUGAGAGACGUUUCUUUCAAUUCCUACUUCUUCUAUGGCUGCCUGAAUCUUCCCCCAAUAAUCGUUGAUGACUUCACGAAGCCCAUGUUCUUGAACAUUGUAGCCUACGAAAUGUGUCCAGAUGCCCCAGAUGACUAUGCGGUCACUUCUUAUAUAUGCUUCCUUUACGACAUCAUUGAUCAUGCAGACGAUGUCAAGGAGCUGAGAUCUAAGCACAUUCUCUCCAACCUUCUUGGCAGCGAUGAAAAUGUGGCCUAACUUUUCAACGAGAUCGGCAAUGACUUGGUAGAUCCCAAAGCUUAUCAAGAUGUGAAAGAUCGUAUUCAGGAACACUACAACAAGAGAAUGAAUACUUGGAUAGCUUAAGCCCUUCACGACCAUUUCAGUACUCCAUGGACUAUCAUCGCUUUCAUUGCUGCUGUUUUGAUACUAUUUCUUACUGGGGUUCAGACCUACUACGCAAUUCCCGGUAAUUAAUAUAUAUAUAUAUAUUGGGUUAAUUAUGUCUGUUGUGUGUUUUUUUCUUGUUUGGUGUGUAUGAUUAGAGAAAUAAAGAUGUAUAGAUUGUUAAGUUGUAUGACUGGAUUUCAUGGAUGCAAUAUUAUUAGUCUUUUCCUUCCCAUGAGUUUGCUAUCUAUAAUAUCUGUUUGAACUCACAAUUUCCAGCUACCUUCUUUGUAUUCUUUUUCAUAGACCAGGAUCAUACAUAACACAACCACAUAGAAAAUUUUGCGAUUGAAUAUUGCACACAAUUUUUUUUUGAACGAGAAAAUUGUGGAUAAAAUCAUAAUUUUCAUAUAUUUAUAGAUUGAGGGAACAAUCUUAAUUAUGCCCUUUGAUUUUUUAUUUUUUAUUUAUAAAAGAUAAAAAUAUCUUUUUAGGCAAUUUAAAUGCUUAAUUUUGAAUCAAACGAGAUUUCAUUAAUAAAUAUGACAUUUUUAAAUGAAGUCUUCCAAUCUUCAUUGAAAGAAUCUUCAAGUUUUCAACUUCUUUAAGAAAUCUUCAAAUACUUUUCAACUCUUCAAGAUAUUUUUAAUCUUCUUGAAUUCUUUUUAAGAGCUCUAGGGCUUUUCUUUAGUCUUCUGCCAAAAUACAUCACUGAAUGAAGGAGAGAACAAAGGCAUUUUUCAUUCAUCACUGAACUUGUUUGAAAAGAAAAACACACACACACAGAUGGAGUUAGAAAUGAAAGUGGAGAAAAGCACUCGACAGUUUUGCAUACUGCAUGAUAGAACUCGUUGAAAUUGUUUAUAUCCCUGGCACUAAAAUACAUCUUGUAGCACUUAGUGAUCAAAGCCUGUUUUUCCUCCUCACUUCCUGUUCAGACAUGGAGAAGUGAAACAAACUUUGAGAUAUUCAUUGAUUCAACAAAGCUUUAAUCAAAUACUAAACUGCUUGCUUUGAUGGAAGGGCAGAGAUGAUGGUACCAGGAAUUAGUUUCAUGAGAGAUGCGCCCAUCUUCCUCCAAGCUUGUACCUAUGCGCUUGCGAUUGGUAAAAGCCAGGCACCAUAAACAUAAGAGUUUUUGAAUUUUUAUGGGAAAAUCAUGCUUUCAUACACUAAUUAAUAAUAAUAAAAAAAUUCUCCAUAUUUAAAAAAAAUAUAUAUAUAUCAAGACCACUGUAGUUUUCCUUUUAAAACUUUUUUAAUUUCAAUUUUUUAAUGUUUUAUCUUUUCAUAUUUAUUGGUUUCAAUCAUUAUAUUGAACACAUUAAACACAAAAUGAUAACAUUAUUGAGAACAAAUAAAAUAUAACCUAAAAUACAAUAGACAAACAAUUGAAGUUUCUUAGUAAUAUCUAAUUUAUAAUUUUCAAGAAUAGAAGAGCGAGUAUAUGAAUACUCUUGAGAAAAAAAUUAUUAUUUUAUUAAAAAAAACAAGUACUUUUAUUGUUCUUUAUGAUUAAAAAAUAAUAUUUUAUUUUCCUCCAUUUUUUUUAAUAUAAUCUAUUAAAUUAUAUUUGUUGUUGUCAAAUUUCUUUGUAUUAUUAUUAUUUUAAAAUUUGCAAGUCAUGCAAAUUUGUCAUAAUCUCAUAACAAUAAUUAACAUACAUGUUAGAUAUAAUUUCUAAGUUUUUUAUGUUCGAUAUAGAAAUUUUUUUAUGUUGCAUAAUAUAUUUUUAUUUAAUAUAAUAAAUUUAGAAGUAAUAUAUUAAUAAAGUUGAUCAUACACCUUCAUGAAAUAAAAUAUUCAAAGAAUAUUAAAAUUUAGAUGAUCCUGUCACUAUAUCCAAUUAUGUAGGAAAAAUGUGUACAAUCUUCAUCAAAAUAUAUAGGUACAUUCUUUUAGGGGGAAUCGGGACACUCACACUUGUUAUGUCCUAAAUAGUCAUUUGGGAGACCUCGAGGAAUGAUUUAUGACCUUACCCCAACUAGAAAUCAAAUUUUGAACCUUAUACACAUCUAAAAGAAAACUACAUACAUUCUUUUUAGGGUGAAUUGGGACCCCAACCACUCUUAUUACAUCCUAAAUAGUCAUUUGGGGGACCUCGAGAAGCGAUUUGAUUCCCCCACCCCAAAAUUAAAUUUGGAACCCCAUAUAUAUCCUUAAUAUAUGUAUACACACACACACACACAUAAUUAAAAAAAUACGUAUAUGUUUUAUAAAAAUAUAUGCAUUUUUUGAAGGGUGAACCGGGACCCCAAUCACACUUACUAUGUCCUAAAUAGUAAUUUAGGGACCUCGAGGAGUCAUUUGUAACCUUCUCUCACCUCGAAAUCAGAUUUGGAAUGUCACAUAUAUUCUUCACAAAAAUACAUACAUUUUUUUAGAGUGAAUCCCAAUCACCCUUAUUAUGACCUAUAUAUUCCUUUAGGGACCAUCAGGAAGUGAUUUGAGGUAUUCCCCCACCCCAAAAAGGAUAUUGCAACCCCAUAUACAUCCUUAAGAAAAAUAAGUACAUUUGUUCCUAAGGGAACUAGGACUCCUAUGUCCCUUAUCAAUGUCUAUAUAUUCUUUUGAAAACCCUCGAGAACUGAUUGAAGGUCCACCCCAUCCCCGAAACGGACUUUGGAACCUUAAGUACAUCCUUAAUAAAAAUAAGUACAUAUGCUCCUAGGGAUAUUGAGACCCUUAUCUCCAUUAUCAUGGUCUAUAUAUUCUUUUAGGGACCUUUGGAAAGUGAUUGGAUAUCUCAUAAACUCGUAUACCUCUUAAGAAAAAGAGGUGUUACAUAGUCUAUAGGACAUAUCCCCAAAAGAAUAUGAGAAAAGAUGAAAAACCUUUCCACGAUCUCACUUAGUCCUUCAAAGUUUGAUAUCUUUUUUCCAUCUUUCCAUUUUGCAAUGGAGACUCUAGUGCACAUAACUAGGAAAUAAUCUCAUGCUCCAACAAAGAGAAUCAAACUUACUAGACAUAUCACCCUGAUAUAAUCAAAGUGCCUUGAUAUCCGACUCCACCUUAAAUUCAAUGAAUUUAUCCCAGUUAUCAAAUUCUUAUACACAUAUUCAAACCUAGACUAAUCAUCACUAAAAAGUGAUGAAGUACACAUACCCUCCCCAUGCAUGAAUACUAAAAGAUCCAUGCAUGUUAGUAUGCACUAACUCCAAACAUUCCUUGGCUCUAAUCCUCUUGGCCAUUUUACCAUCUAUAUAAAAUUCACAAACUAGAAGAUCCUUUGAAUAAAAAAGUCCAAACCUAACUAGUCUUUAAAUCCUACUCAAAUUGAUAUGACCUAGGUCUUUAUACCAAAUGUUUGAUUAGUGCUAAGUUCAAUCUUAAGAUCUAACUAUUCUCAUCAUUUGCCAAAAUGAUAAUGAAAUACAUAUAAAAAAAAAAAAAUUGGAAGAUAUUACAUUCCACUGACCUGCACAACUAACUUUGCAAUUGAAGUUAAGGUAAAUAUAAUCUCAUCAUUUAACCUUCUCACUUGUUGAAUAUCCUGUAAAGACUACAUAUUGUAGGCAUAUAAUCUAUUCACCAUAAAUGGUAAAAUCCACCACUAAAUAUUCAACAAUGAGAAAAUGAUGCAUAUUUUUUUUUCUUUUAGGUAAACUAAGCAUUUCUUUUCUAGUGUCCUAAAAGAAUACAAAGGAAUCACCUGCCCUUGAACUUGCUUUCUUAUUUCUUCUCUUGAAUUUUCUUUAUUUGGUAUUGUUGUUCUUCUUCUUGGCUAAAAAAAAUGUAAAGAACCUUUUACUUCCAUAUGAACACCCUUAUAAUCUUUAAGAUUCCCCUAAACCAUCCCAAGGGAAACUAACAAUGUCUCUAAGAUUAUAUGAACUCUACUGUUUAUAAUAGUCCUAAGGACAACUUGUUAAAGUUGACCUGCCUUUAUCACCAAAUAGCCUUUGCAAACUAGAAAGAGAACAUCAAAGUCCUUGGUAAUAGAUAUGUGUUGCUAUUGCAACACAUUAUCCAAAGAUCUAAGUACGAGACACUUGGUCUUUUGAUCCAUCUAGCACCACCUUUAAUAUACCUACUUUUUCCUUUUUUACUAGGUUGGUUCAAAAGAAAUAGCUUGUUUUGCCUAAACUAGUUUUUAUGCAAUUAGUUACUAUAUCCAAAUUAGUUCAAAUGAUUAGUUGGGUUUGGUCUAUUGUGAGAAAGAUAGUGAUAAUAAAACCAACAUGAUAUCUUAACAAAGAUUAUAACCAUGCAUAUGACAUAAUUGAGCAUUCAAGGCAAUUGGUAAUUAAUUUAGCAAAAAUGUAGUGCUCUCAAACUACAUGUCAUUUCGCAAGGUAUCUUAGUGUCAUAAGAAUCAAGCUUACAAUGGGGAGGUCAUGAUUUUAUUACUAGUUAGAGACCUUCUCAAAUUGACCUCUUUGUCUUAACCAUGAAGGUAUCUAAAGGCAAGAUUAACAUACAUUUUUAUUUGGCUCAUGAACUAUGCAAAUGGGACCACAGUGCAGGCGUUUCAACAACUUCAAAUCCACUGAUAAGUGUAUAACCAUUGUCCUUGAACUAUCAGUGUCACCAAGUAAGGAACCCCACCAGUGGGAUGGUUUCUCCCACUACAGACAUGUCUAGUCUCAUCCUAAUGGAGAGUUCUUAUCCUUUGAUUCUUAAGACCUAACCUACCGUGGGGGUGGUGAUGAGCCCAAAUCUAGAUGGGCUCGAUAAUGGAGGCAUGGGCUUUCCUAAGGCCCUCUCCCACUUAAUUUUUUGAGAUAGAUGACCAUUUUAAAACAUUGUAAUUCCCUUGAUGAAUAAAUUAUCUACUUUGAGAAUUUUCAAAAAUAUUUAUUUCCUAAUUGGAAACUUAGUGUAAUAGGAGAAUAAAUUCUCCUUCUCUUACACAAAUCCAAUUAAUAAAUAUUUUAUUUAGGAAAUGUCUCAAAGAAAUUUAUUUCCAUCAAAUUACUAAGCCUUUUGAUAAUGAUUUUUUAAUGAAAAAUUAUCUUUAAUGAAAAUUUCCAAAAUGUUUAUUUUCCAAAUUGGAACUCUAGUGUAAUGAGGAAAUUACCAAUUUAUGAGAUUUUGAAAAUCUUAAGAGCACCUUAUCCAGGAAAUCAACUUUUGCUUCUCAUAUUCAAAAAUACUUAUAAGAUUUACUUAUUUCUUUUGCUUCUCAUAUUAAAAAAUCCUUAUAAGAUUUACUUAUUUCUUACACCUUUCCAACUUAAUAAAUAUUUCCAUGACAAUUUUAUAAUAAUUUAUUCCAUUAAAUAAUACCAAAAAUAGAACCUUUUAGUAAUUCCUUAAAGGAUAAACUAUUCUCUAUGAAAAACUCCUAAAAAUGCCUAUUUUCAAAAAAGGAAUUAAAUAAUUCAUUUUGGAAAGUAUUUUCAAAAUAUUUUAUAUCUCCAUUGAAUUACUAAAACUUUCCAAAAAUUAUUUUGAUAACCCUUCCUAUCAUAAAUUAUCCAUCAUGAGCUAAGACUCCUCUGCUAGAAAAAUUACUCUCUCAAUCCUUAUUCUUGAAUGAUCCAUAUCCAAACUGAAUGGUUUCCUUAUUUUAUUUUAUUUUUAGGGGGGAGAGCUUGGAGGAUCAUUAUAGAUGUAGUUCUCCUUCUCUCGAGAUGGGGGGUUGGGAAGCCUAGAGGACCACCUAUAUAAAACCAAGUAGAUAGUUCCAAAAAGAAUAACAUUAUUCUUAGCAACAACCAGUUUAAACAAAUAAUCUUUGGAAAAUAUCUUCUCAUGAAAAUUUACUAAGAAUACCAAAAUACUUAUUCAAAAUUAACACUUAUUUUGGUAACCUUCUUAAUUAUAAAUUAUCUAUCAUGAAUUUUCAAAAUUAACUUAUUCUCUUUAACUAAAAAACUUAUGCAAAAAGGAAAAAUAUUAUUUUAUAAAGAUUUGGAACAUCAAGAGCUUUUUCUUAAAAUAUUAUUUUUAGAGAUCUCAAAGAUUUGAGAAGAUUUUAAAUAAAAUUAAAAUCUAUAAGAAUUAAUUUUAAAAAGAAAAGAAAACUUUUAACCCUUUUUCAACUUAUCUUUUCUUAAAAUAAAAUUUCUCAACCAUUCACAUUCUAAUUUAAAUAAGUUUUCCAAUUUUGAAAAAUCCAUGAAAAUUUUUAUUCAAUUGAGAAUAUCAAAAUAAUUUAAUGUCGCAUAUGCAAUAAAUAAAGAGCAUAUAUAAACAAGGAAAUAAAUAAGCAAAAUUUCCCCAUGGCCUUUAGGGAUCCUACUGCGUAGUCUAGUAAUACAUUUCAAUAAAAUCCAAAUCACCAAUAUUAUCAAAUCAAACCUACAACAAAUAAAGGGUUAGAAAAAAGGAAAAACCCUUCAUCAGUAUGCCAAAAGUGCCAAUCUAUUGUCACUUGUGCUCGAGCGCCCAAAAAUUUGAAGAAAAUGUUAGAUACAACUUGCAUUGUGAUUACUACUCAAAAAAUACUCUUUUAUAGGUUGAAACUAACUGUUUUAAACACUUUUGAGUGGUAGUUAAUACCUUUUAACUCAAUUGGCACAUUAAGUAACCUAGCAAGGGUUACUAAUCAGUUUUGGCAAGUUUUGGUGUUUUUGGUAGCUAUUUGAUCAUUGAAACAAGCCAAGAAUGAGGGAGAAUUUUGUGAAAUCCAUGGCAAUGCAAGUUGAAGCUCAAAUACAUGAAGAAUCCGAGCUUUGGAGCACUUCAUAGCCCUUUGCCAAGCUUGGCAAUAGGUUGCCAAGCCAAUCAGAGAUGCAAGGAAGAAAACUAGAGGAAAAGUCCAACAACCAGCAUUUUCGCAUAGCAUGCGAAAUAAAGAGGAAGAGCAGCUGCAGGAAUGAGAGCAGGAUUGAGUGAAAGACAAUUUCGCACACCAUGCGAAACCACAAGAAGCAGCCAAAGAAUUUCGCACACCAUGUGAAAUUUCGCAUGGUAUGCGAAAUCCUCUUGUGUACCGACUCCGUUAGAUUUUUAUCUCCAGAUAUUUUGUAUAAUUUCCUAUUUUCUCCUUGUAAUCAAGCUAGAUAUUUUCAUGUAUAUCUUUUCUAGACAUGAAAGAAAUUCAUUCAUGAAACACUUGUAAAAUUCCCGUAGAAGAAAUAUAUAGAGAUUUUGCUCUGUCUUUCCUUCUCAUUUUGUUUUCACUUUUCUUUCUAGCCAAACAACCUCUGAGGAUGAUUUCUCAGGGGAUGAGUGGCUAGGUUUUACAUUUCUUGGAGUGAUGGAAACUAGGUGAAGGACCCGAAUGCAAAGAUGGGAGUUGUCCUUGCUUUAAAUGAAAGUAGUUGUUAACGUGAGGAAAAGAUCCAAAAUCUCCCUUUUUGCCUAAGGAACCCGAUCCUAGUGACCUAAAGCUCCAAGAGACCUUUUCUUUGUAGUUAACUUCACUAAUUAUUUUUGCUUAACUUAAAAUCAAUCUUUGCAACCAAAAUUCCAUUUUCUUUAAAAACUAAUUUUCAUAAGGAAAAACACCAUUUUAUUUCCUUCACUAAUGUGAACUGUAUGAUGAAAACCCAUCCCUAUGGAUGAUCCUAGAGCCACUAGACUAAGUUAGCUAUGCUAUCCUAGUGUGAGGUGAUUUAGGUUUGAUAAAUUUUGUUGAUAACACCUGCCUGAGCCAGAAUCAAAUGGCAUGACUGUAAUGAAGACGAAUCAAGUAUGCAUACUUGAAAGAAGACAAGCAGUGCCAUGUUGUUAUAUCUUCAGCUCUUACCAUUCAUUAGGAGGAUUGUCUACUUGAAGUCCUUAGAAGAUGUAGGAAGGAAAUAGGGUGGCAAAUUUCUGAUUUGAAAGGGAUCAACCCUUUAGUCUGCACCCAUCAUAUUUACAUGGAGGAUGAAGCUAAGCCAGUUUGUCAACCUCAGAGAAGGUUGAAUCCUCACAUGCAAAAGGUGGUGCAAACUAAAGUUCUUAAGCUACUUCAGGCCGGUAUUAUCUACCCCAUAUCAGAUAGCCCAUGGGUGAGUCCUACUCAAGUUGUGCCAAAGAAGUCUGGGAUCACGGUGGUGCAAAAUGAUAAGGGAGAAAAUGUCUCUACACGCCUCACUACAUGUUGGAGGGUGUGUAUCGAUUACAGGAGAUUGAAUGCGGUGACAAGGAAUGACCAUUUCCCGUUGCCCUUUAUUGAUCAAGUGCUUGAGAGGGUCUCUGGGCAUCCUUUUUAUUGUUUCUUGGAUGGCUACUCCGGGUACUUUCAGAUAGAAAUUGAUGUUGAAUACUAGGAGAAGACCACUUUCAUAUGCCCAUUUAGAACCUAUGCAUACAGGAGAAUGCCUUUCGGCUUAUGCAAUGCACCCGCAACUGUCUAAAGAUGCAUGUUAAGCAUUUUUAGUGAUAUAGUGGAGCGUAUUAUGGAAGUCUUUAUGGAUGAUAUCACCAUAUAUGGAAGUGCAUUUGAUGAAUGCUUGAUCAACUUAGAAGUUGUUCUGAACCGAUGCAUUGAGAAAGACUUAGUGCUUAACUGGGAGAAGUGUCAUUUCAUGGUACAACAAGGGAUUGUCCUUGGACACAUCAUCUCCAAGCAAGGCAUUGAAGUAGACAAAGCAAAUGUUAAACUCAUUGUUAAGUUACCAUCCCCAACAAAUGUCAAAGGAGUAAGGUAAUUCCUUGGCCAUGUCAGGUUCUAUAGGAGGUUUAUAAAGGAUUUCUCUAAGCUUGCAAGGCCUCUUUGUGAACUAUUGGUGAAGGAUGCUAAAUUCAUAUGGGAUGAUAGAUGCCAAAGGAGUUUUGAAGAAUUGAAGCUAUUUCUGACAACCGCACCAAUAGUGAGGGCUCCCAACUGGCAACUGCCCUUUGAGGUAAUGUGUGAUGCCAGUGACUUUGCUAUAGGAGUUGUUCUUGGCCAAAGAGAAUAUGGAAAGCCCUAUGUGAUCUACCAUGCGAGCAACACAUUGAAUGAGGCGCAAAGAAACUACACAACCACUGAGAAAGAAUUGUUAUAUGUGGUUUUUGCCUUAGAUAAGUUUCGUGCUUACUUGGUGGGGUCUUUCAUUGUGGUUUUCACUUAUCACUCUGCUUUGAAGUAUCUGUUGACUAAGCAAGAUGCGCAAGCAAGGCUGAUUAGAUGGAUUUUCUUGCUUUAAGAGUUCAAUCUCUAAAUCAAAGACAAGAAAUGAGUGGAGAAUGUGGUAGCAGACCACCUUUCAAGGCUAGCUAUAGCACAUAAUACCCAUGGUUUGCCCAUUAAUGAUGAUUUUCCAAAGGAGUCUCUCAUGUUGGUGGAAGUUGCCCCUUGGUAUGCUCACAUUGCGAACUACCUAGUCAUAGGAGAAGUUCCAAGUGAAUGGAAAACACAAGAUAAGAAACAUUUCUUUGCAAAAAUUCACGCCUAUUAUUGGGAAGAGCCAUUUCUAUUCAAGUAUUGUGUGGAUCAGGUAAUAAGGAAGUGCGUUCCUGAAGAAGAGCAACAGGGGAUCCUCAGCCAUUGCCAUGAAAAUGCAUGUGGAGGCCACUUUGCUUCUUAGAAGACAGCCAUGAGGGUGUUGCAAUCGGGUUUCUAUUGGCCAUCACUUUUCAAAGAUGCCCACACCAUGUGCAAGAGUUGUGAUCGAUGCCAGAGGCUUAGGAAAUUGACACGCAGGAACAUGAUGCCUUUGAACCCCAUUUUGAUAGUUGAUCUUUUUUAUGUUUGGGGCAUUGACUUCAUGGGACCUUUCCCUAUGUCUUUUAGCUACUCUUACAUCUUGGUAAGAGUAGAUUAUGUUUCUAAGUGGGUUGAGGCAAUCCCAUGUAAACACAAUGACCAUAAAAUGGUUCUCAAGUUUCUCAAGGAGAACAUCUUCUCAAGAUUUGGGGUGCCCAAAGCCAUAAUUAGUGAUGGGGGUACUCAUUUUUACAACAAGCCUUUUGAAACUCUCUUGGCCAAGUAUGGGGUGAAGCAUAAGGUAGCUACACCUUACCACCCUCAAACUAGUGGGCAAGUUGAGUUAGCGAACCGGGAUAUUAAAAACAUAUUGAUGAAGGUGGUGAACACAAAUAGAAAAGAUUGGCCAGUCAAGCUCCUUGAUUCACUAUGGGCAUAUAGAACAGCUUAUAAGACCAUUCUUGGAAUGUCUCUGAUUCGUGCCCAGUAGGGUAUUUUAAUCAAAAAUAUUUAUAAAUCCUAUGACCUUAUACUAGCGUAGCAAAGCUACUAUAGUACAACAGCUCUAGGGUCGAACUCUGGGAUGGGUUUUCAUUCUACCAGUGAUAGACUCAAGAUUAGAAAUUGAAUCUGAUGAUUUCCUUUGUCAAAAACUUAAAGUUUAAAAGAAAAUAAAAUUUGUUUUGAAAGUGGUGUUUGAAACUAAACUAACAUAGAACUAGGUAAAAAUGGAAGAAAGAAAGUCUCCCGGAGCUAGAGGUUGCUAGGAUCAAGUUCAGAAUGCAAAGUGGGAAAUUCCGGAUUUUUCUCCUCGUAUUAGGGACAACUGAUUACUACUCAAAAAGUGCUAUUUGAUAGCUUAUAAUUAAUCCUUUUAAACACUUUUGAGUAGUAGUUUAGGCCUUUUAACUCAAUUGGCAUGUUAAGGAUCCUUUAAAGCAAUUUUAAUCACUUUGUGCAAGUUUUGGUGUUUUUGUUAGUAUUUUGAUCACCAAAGCAAGUCAAGACUGAGGAGAGCUAUGAGGAAUCUUGGGCAAAGCUUAGAAGUCAUUUUCCAAGAGUGAAUCCGGAUUGCAAGGAGAAAAAGCAAAGAGAAUCUACCAUAGAGCAUAUUCUUGAUGACAGUCACAGAGGCCACUUUUGGAGCACUUUCUGAAGUCCAAAUAAUGCAUGCUAUAUACCAUUUCAAAGCUCAGGAAGUCAACAAUCUAAUGCUUCAAACGGUGUGCAAUUCGGAGUUGAAACGAAGAAGUUGCAGCCAUUACAAGCCAAUCACUCCGAGUUGAAGGAAGCAUUUUGCAAAGUGCUGCGAAAUCACCCUUUUGUUGCGAAGUGAUUUCGCAGCAUUUUUGUACAGUAAGUUGUUUCUCCUUCUGAUGAUGCACGAUUUAUGCCGCGAGAAGGAAGCUAGGAACCUCAAGGUGGAAGCCAACUUCGCAGCCCUGUGAAGAUAGCUUGGUGUUGCGAAAAUAUUUCGCAGCCCUCUUGAGUGUCUGCGAAAUCUCGCAGACACCAUUUUUCUCCUGCGAAAUGGUUCCUGAAGCCUCCCGAUAUUUGCUACCGACAUUGGGAGAUAUUUUCCAUUAGAUUUUUGUUGUCUAAAUCCCAAAAUACUCCUUGUAAACCUCCAAUUACAAGAUUCCUUAGCUUUUAAGUUAGUAAAAAGACUAAAUAUCUUUGUAACAAUUAGUUUUAUAUUAUGUUCAUAUAUAUACCUCUCGGGAGCCUGUUCUCGGAGAGGAGUUCCUUCUGAAAAAGUUUGGGUAAGCAAGUAAAGUCUAUUUUCUUUCUACUGCCUUACCUUAUCACUUUGUAUUUUCAUUUCAUUUCUAAGUUAUGAAUUCUCUGAGGAGUUUUCCCCAGAGAAUGAGUAACUAAACCUCUAGUUCCUUGGAGCUAAGGUUGCCGGGGAAGGUUCCAAGUGCAAGAAUGCAAAGCUUUGUGGUUUUAGCUUUUAAUGAAGAGGAAGUGAAAUCCUUUAAUGAUUUCUAUGUUUUUAGUUAACUUAAAACACCUUAGAGUCACCUGGGCCAACACUUGGUAAGGCAAGUGAUUUCCAACCAUGGAAAUGCACUAGUUUACCUCUUGCGAGCCUCUGGGAGGUGAUUUCAAGGUAGGAUUUUCUGGAAUUACCAACACUUGGUAAGCUUUUGGACUCCUAGGAGACAUCCAUUAGUUAUCUCUUGCGAGUUUGUGAAGGGAAGUCCAAGGUUAAAGAUCAUCUUGAAUGGUAAGUGCUCGUGAGAGGCAUGAACCAUUGCAAGUUGCAUCAGUGAGAGAAUUAAAGUGAAAUCUAAUUGAAGGAAUCUCUGUACAACACCGGUUAGAGAAUUGACUAUAUGUUGAAUCUCUAACGCGAGGAAAUGAACCAUCUGACCGGAGCUAUGUCUUUUGCAUGAGGAAUCACCCCAGUGAACCUAACUCUCCAGGGAAUGCUUUUCUUCCUAAAUUAUUCCAAACUUCUGUUAUGUUAGUUAGUUUAAGUAUAAACAUUUACCAAUCAAAGUUUGUGUUUUACUUCUUAAGCUAACCGUGAAAUGAAACAAGACCAAUUCACUUGGAAUUGGUAUCAUUGAUAGCUUGCUAAUCCUUCCCAGUGAACGAUCCUAGAGCCGCUAUACUAUAGUAGCUUUUUCUUUGCUACCCUAGUAUAUGGUGUAAUAGGUAUAAAUUUUGUUGAUUACUCCCUCAUCCAAGGAGCACCAGCUGGACAUGAAUCAGCUGAGACACCAAUUGGGCACGAAUCAAAUGGCGCCGUUGCCGGGGAAGAUGUCAAGUUUAUAUUGAUACCAUUUUUGAGCACUUGUGAUUUUCAUCACAAGCUGGUAACGUUUCUUUCACUUUACUAAUUUUCAUUCUUUCUUUAUGUAUUCAUAAUCUAAGUUUAUCUUAUUAAAUUUAGCCUAGUUUAAUUUUGCUGUUGUAGCCUUGUUUCUCUUGUUGUCCUCUGUUUUUUUUUUAAGUUGUAGAUAGAUACUAGUUGUGUAUGCCCAAGUGGAUACGAGACAGUGGAGGAAGGCUUGUUAAGUGUGAUACACCUCAGAGGGGAGAAUUUGAAGUAAUCUUGAAUAUCAUGGAAGCUACACCUGAAGAUCAGCAUAGUCACCAAGGUCGUCAAGACAAUCUCAAUGAAUUCAGAUCAAUGAGGGACCGUAUGCAUCCACCUCGUAUGAGUGCACCAUCAUGCAUAGUGCCCCCUACAGAGCAGCUAGUGAUCAGACCGUAUCUUGUUCCACUUCUACCAACUUUCCAUGGGAUGGAAAGUGAGAAUCCGUAUGCACACAUCAAGGAAUUUGAAGAUGUUUGUAAUACAUUCCAAGAGGGAGGAGCUUCAAUUGAUUUGAUGAGGCUUAAGUUAUUUCCUUUUACUUUAAAGGAUAAGGCCAAAAUUUGGCUUAAUUCUUUAAGGCCAAGGAGUAUCCGCUCUUGGACUGAUUUACAAGCUGAAUUCCUCAAGAAAUUUUUUCCUACUCAUAGAACAAAUGGCUUGAAAAGGCAAAUUUCAAACUUCUCAGCUAAAGAGAAUGAGAAAUUCUAUGAGUAUUGGGAGAGAUACAUGGAAGCUAUAAAUGCUUGUCCUCACCAUGACUUUGAUACUUGGCUAUUGGUGAGCUAUUUUUAUGAUGGUAUGUCUUCCUCAAUGAAGCAACUCCUCGAGACAAUGUGUGGAGGAGAUUUCAUGAGCAAAAAUCCAGAGGAAGCUAUGGAUUUCUUGAGCUAUGUAGCUGAUGUUUCAAGGGGAUGGGAUGAACCAACUAAAGGAGAAGUGGGAAAGAUGAAGUCUCAGUUGAAUGCUUACAAUGCAAAGGCUGGGAUGUAUACUUUAAAAGAAGAUGAUGACAUGAAAGCAAAGUUGGCAACUAUGACAAGAAGAUUGGAGGAGCUGGAACUGAAAAGAAUACAUGAAGUGCAAGCUGUUGCUGAAGCACCAGUGCAAGUGAAGCUGUGUCCUAAUUGUCAAUCAUUUGAACAUUUGGUGGAGGAAUGCCCUGCAAUUUCAACUGAAAGGGAGAUGUUUAGAGAUCAAGCAAAUGUUGUUGGACAAUUCAGGCCCAAUAACAAUGCGCCAUAUGGAAAUACCUACAACUCAAGUUGGAGGAAUCAUCCAAAUUUCUCAUGGAAGGCCAGAGCAACUCAAUACCAACAGCCGGAUCCACCAUCUCAACAAUCUUCAAGUAUUGAACAAGCAAUAGCCAAUCUCAGCAAGGUAAUGGGAGAUUUUAUUGAAAAGCAAGAAGCCACUAAUGCUCGAGUCGAUCAAAGAAUUGAUAGAAUGGAGAGUAUGUUGAAUAAAAGGAUGGAUGGAAUGCAAAAUGAUAUGAACCAAAAGUUUGACAACAUCCAGUAUUCAAUUUCAAGGCUUACAAAUUUGAAUACACUGCAAGAAAAGGGAAGAUUUCCUUCUCAACCUCACCAAAAUCCCAAGGGUGUCCAUGAAGUGGAAAGCCAAGAGGGAGAGUCAUCACAGAUGAAAGAUGUCAAAGCCUUGAUCACUCUAAGGAGUGGUAAGAAAAUUGAGCAGCCAAUACCCAAGCCACAUGUUGAGAAAGAAGAAGAGAUAAAGAAAGGGAAUGAAAUGGAAGAUAAAGAGUGUGAGAUCAGUGAAGAAAAGAAGGACUCUGAUUCAACAAUGAAAGCAAUUCCAGAGAAAGAGCUUCUGAAGGAAGAAAUGCUGAAGAAAUCAACUUCUCCACCUUUUCCCCAAGCAUUACAUGGGAAAAAGAGGAUUAGAAAUGCAGCUGAAAUCCUUGAAGUCUUGAGGCAAGUGAAAGUUAAUAUUCCACUGCUGGAUAUGAUUAAACAAGUUCCAACAUAUGCAAAAUUCCUAAAGGAUUUAUGUACUAUCAAAAGAGGGUUAACUGUAAACAAGAAAGCCUUCUUGACUGAGCAAGUAAGUGCAAUCUUACAGUGUAAGUCUCCUUUGAAGUACAAAGACCCUGGAAGUCCUACCAUUUCAGUCAUGAUUGGAGGAAAGGUAGUGGAGAAAGCCCUGUUAGAUUUGGGAGCAAGUGUGAAUUUGCUUCCAUAUUCCGUCUACAAGCAAUUGGGACUUGGAGAGUUGAAGCCAACAGCAAUCACUCUAUCUCUGGCAGAUAGAUCGGUGAAAAUUCCAAGAGGGGUAAUUGAGGAUGUAUUGGUUCAAGUGGAUAAUUUCUACUAUCCAGUAGAUUUUAUUGUUCUUGAUACAGAUCCUACUGUAAAGGAAGCUAAUUUAGUUCCUAUCAUCCUUGGAAGGCCAUUUCUUGCAACUUCAAAUGCAAUCAUCAACUGUAGAAAUGGGCUUAUGCAACUCACUUUUGGUAACAUGACACUGGAUCUCAAUAUUUUCUACAUGUCUAAAAAGCAAAUCACUCCGGAGGAAGAAGAAGGUCCAGAAGAGCUAUGUAUAAUUGAUACUUUGGUGGAGGAGCACUGCAAUCAACAUAUGCAAGAAAAGUUGAAUGAAAGUCUUGAGGAUAUUGAGGAAGGUUUUUCUGAAUCUCCUAUUGGGCUUGCUACUCUACAAAGUUGGAGAAAGAUAGAAGGAAUUCUACCUUUGUUCAAUAAGGAAGAGGAGGCAGCUGUUGAAAAAGAAAUUCCAAAACUCAAUCUGAAGCCUUUACCUGUGGAGCUGAAAUAUACAUAUCUUGAAGAAAAUAAUCAAUGUCCUGUUGUGAUAUCCUCAUCUCUGACCAGUCAACAAGAGAAUUGUUUAAUGGAAGUUCUCAAGAGGUGUAAGAAGGCAAUAGGAUGGCAAAUAUCUGACUUGAAAGGCAUUAGUCCUUUAGUUUGUACUCAUCAUAUAUAUAUGGAGGAGGAAGCAAAGCCAAUUCGUCAAUUUCAAAGAAGGUUGAAUCCUCAUCUACAAGAGGUGGUGCGAGCUGAAGUGCUGAAGCUACUUCAAGCAGGAAUCAUUUACCCUAUAUCUGAUAGCCCUUGGGUGAGUCCUACUCAAGUGGUACCAAAGAAGUCAGGGAUCACAGUGAUUCAAAAUGAAAAAGGGGAAGAAAUUACUACACGCCUCACUUCAGGUUGGAGGGUGUGUAUUGAUUAUAGAAAGCUGAAUGCUGUCACUAGGAAAGAUCAUUUUCCAUUGCCAUUUAUUGAUCAAGUGCUGGAGAGAGUCUCUGGACAUCCAUUCUAUUGUUUCUUGGAUGGGUAUUCAGGGUAUUUUCAGAUUGAAAUUGAUUUGGCAGAUCAAGUAAAGACCACUUUUACAUGUCCAUUUGGAACAUAUGCUUAUAGAAGAAUGCCUUUUGGUUUAUGCAAUGCACCUGCUACAUUUCAAAGAUGUAUGUUGAGUAUUUUCAGUGAUAUGGUGGAGCGAAUUAUGGAGGUUUUCAUGGAUGACAUCACCGUAUAUGGAGGUACAUUUGAGUAAUGCUUGGUUAAUUUGGAAGCAGUUCUUCAUAGAUGCAUUGAAAAAGAUCUGGUGCUCAACUGGGAGAAAUGCCAUUUUAUGGUACGUCAAGGAAUUGUCCUUGGCCAUAUCAUCUCUGAAAAAGGCAUUGAAGUUGAUAAAGCAAAGGUGGAGCUUAUUGUCAAAUUACCAUCUCCAACAACUGUAAAAGGAGUAAGGCAGUUCCUUGGCCAUGCAGGGUUCUAUAGGAGGUUUAUAAAAGGUUUUUCAAGUCUUUCAAAACCUCUUUGUGAGCUGUUAGCUAAGGAUGCUAAGUUUAUAUGGGAUGAAAGGUGUCAGAAUAGCUUUGAUCAACUGAAGAAAUUUUUAACAACUACUCCAAUAGUGAGAGCCCUUAACUGGCAAUUACCUUUUGAACUGAUGUGUGAUGCCAGUGACUUUGCUAUAGGAGCUGUGCUUGGCCAAAGAGAAGAUGGGAAGCCCUAUGUGAUUUACUAUGCAAGUAAAACACUGAAUGAAGCUCAAAGGAACUACACAACUACAGAGAAAGAAUUGUUAGCUGUGGUAUUUGCUUUGGACAAAUUUCGUGCUUAUUUAGUGGGGUCUUUCAUCAUUGUCUUCACUGACCAUUCAGCCUUGAAGUAUUUAUUGACAAAGCAAGAUGCAAAAGCAAGGUUGAUUAGAUGGAUUCUUCUGUUACAAGAAUUCGAUCUUCAAAUCAAAGAUAAGAAAGGAGUGGAGAAUGUAGUAGCUGACCACUUGUCAAGGUUAGUUAUAGCACAUAAUUCCCAUCCCUUGCCUAUCAAUGAUGAUUUUCCUGAAGAAUCACUCAUGUUUCUAGUGAAAACUCCUUGGUAUGCUCAUAUUGCCAAUUAUUUAGUAACUGGUGAAAUUCCAAGUGAGUGGAAUGCACAGGACAGGAAGCACUUCUUUGCCAAAAUUCAUUCUUAUUAUUGGGAAGAGCCCUUUCUCUUUAAGUAUUGUGCAGAUCAGAUUAUUAGGAAGUGUGUCCCCGAAGAUGAGCAGCAAGGGAUUCUAUCUCAUUGUCAUGAGAAUGCAUGUGGAGGCCACUUUGCCUCUCAGAAAACAGCCAUGAAGGUAUUGCAAUCAGGGUUUACUUGGCCAUCUCUUUUCAAAGAUGCCCACAUCAUGUGAAGAAAUUGUGAUAGAUGCCAAAGGCUUGGAAAGCUAACAAAAAGAAAUCAAAUGCCUAUGAACCCCAUUCUGAUAGUAGAGUUAUUUGAAGUAUGGGGCAUUGACUUCAUGGGACCUUUCCCAAUGUCUUUUGGUAAUCCAUAUAUCUUGGUGGGGGUAGAUUAUGUUUCUAAAUGGGUUGAGGCAAUCCCCUGUAAACAAAAUGAUCACAGGGUGGUUCUCAAGUUUCUUAAAGAGAACAUUUUCUCAAGAUUUGGGGUGCCCAAGGCCAUAAUCAGUGAUGGAGGUGCUCAUUUUUGCAACAAACCUUUUGAAGCUCUGUUAUCCAAGUAUGGAGUGAAGCAUAAGGUGGCUACACCUUAUCAUCCUCAGACUUCCGGGCAAGUUGAGCUAGCUAAUAGGGAAAUAAAGAACAUCUUGAUGAAAGUGGUGAAUUCCAACAGAAAAGAUUGGUCUAUUAGGCUUCAUGAUUCAUUGUGGGCAUAUAGAACAGCUUAUAAGACUAUUCUUGGGAUGUCUCCCUAUCGUCUUGUCUAUGGCAAAGCAUGUCAUCUCCCUGUGGAAGUUGAAUACAAAGCUUGGUGGGCAAUAAAGAAGCUGAACAUGGACUUGAUCAAGGCAGGAGAAAAGAGAUUUCUAGACCUUAAUGAGAUGGAGGAAUUAAGAAAUAAUGCUUAUAUCAAUUCCAAAGUUGUAAAACAGAGGAUGAAGAAAUGGCAUGACCAACUCAUCUCUAACAAGGAAUUUCAGGAAGGGCAAAGAGUUUUGAUGUAUGACACAAGACUCCAUAUCUUUCCUGGGAAGCACAAAUCGAGGUGGAUAGGCCCGUUUGUUAUUCACCGAGUAUGGUCCAAUGGAGUGGUGGAAUUAUUGAAUUCCAAUGGCAAGGAUAGCUUUAAAGUCAAUGGAUAUCGUCUCAAGCCAUUCAUGGAGCCAUUCAAAUCAGAAAAGGAGGCAAUCAACCUCCUUGAGCCUCAAAAAGUCUAAGCAAAGAAGGGUUUGCUAGACGUGGUUUUACCACAGUCCAAAAUUUUUGUAAAUUUUGUAAAUUUUCAAGUUGUUUCCAUAUUUUUGAUCUUAGUUUUUGAUCUUAAAUCAUGUUUUUAGGUGUGUUUUAAUUGUUUUGAAUGAUCCCAGGUGGAAGAAAUUUCAAGGAGAUUGAAAGAAAAAAAAAUCGGGUCGAAAUCAGAGCCAAAACAGAGGAAAAACAGAGGAAAAACAGGGGAAAAACAGAGCUCUGCGAAAUUUCGCAGAGUGAAGGAAACCUCUGCGAAAUCAGCACUAUGCUGCAAAUCCAUUCCGCAGCACUGUAGAAGUCUCUGCGAGGGUAUUUCGCAGCUACGAAAGCAAAUUUGGCACACGAGUGCCACUUCGCAGUACAGUAGCAUCCAUUUGGUAGCUGCGAAACACAUUGCGAAAUGGAAAAGCGUGAUUUCGCACCAAAAGUCCCAUUCCGCAGGGUAUUUCGCAAUUGCGAAAGUGGUUUUGGCACACGAGUGCCACUCCGCAGCACAGUAACAUCAAUUUCGCAGCUGCGAAACUCACUGCGAAGUUGCUGCGAAAAUGGCAUUUUGCUGCGAAAUUGGCGUUUUGUUGCGAAACUCAAACUGACACUUAGGCUUCCGUUUUUCCUAUUUAUACCGGUCAUUUGAGCUGCGAAAAGGGUUUCAAAAAUCAGAGCACCAUUCUCGCAGCCUCUUCGUCUUCUUCAGUGAGCCUCGCCGUCCAAACCCCCGGUCAUCCUCUCAGAUCAUCUACGUCAGCCAAAGUUCGGUAGCCUAAAAUGGCGCGAACACGAGGGGCUAAGUCUUCUUCUCCUUCGAACCGCAAGAAGAGUCUGCGAAAGGAGCCAAGUCCAGGUUCUGUUCCAGAACCUGCUCCAGAGCCCUCGCCGUCGAGACCAAUUCCUCCUCCGGUGAAGCCCGUGCCACCAAAGCCGCCGGCAAGACGAUAUCUAACCAGGUCAGGAGGUAGGCCAUUACAGAAGAGACCCAGGGUGGAGAGCUCAGAACCCAUCGAUUUGACUGAGCAAUCUCCAGAGCCUUCACCAAUCCCAUCACCGGUUCAAACUCCAGUGCCAUCUCCGGUUCCCUCGCCAAGUCCCCUGCCAGUUCCAUCGCCGGUACCAUCUCCAACGCCGCAAGAAAAAUCUCAGGAGCCCCAAGCGCCACUUCCCGAACCCCAAAUUCAAGCUGAAACAGCUCUGGAAGAAGUAAUUAGGAGGCCAAUGCUACCUCAGCCCCCAAUUGAAGGAAACUUGGAUUGUCGAACUCGAGCAUUCCAUUCCGAGCUUUGUUUCGACUUAGCAGCAUUCAGAGUGAGGCCGGAGCUUGCCCAAUCAUUCCAGCUGCUGAGGAGGUAUCAUAUGGAGCAUCUGCUAGCUCCAAGAGACUUUUUCUAUCCCCGAAUAGCCACGGAUUUCUACCAAUCCAUGACAACCAAAGAGGUCAGGAAUCCAACCUUGAUUCAUUUUACUAUCGAUGGGAGACAUGGUAUAUUGGGAGCACGACAUAUUGCUGAAGCCCUGCAAAUUCCCUUUGAGCCAACCCAAUUCGAUAAUUUUAGAGCUUGGGCAAAUCCUACUGAGCUAGAGAUGGUUCGCACCCUUUCUAAAGGAGCUGCAAAUCGAUCACAUCUGCUGAGGGGGGAGCUUCCUCCAGUUAUGUUUUUGAUUGAUGCCUUUUUGAGGCAUAAUAUCUAUCCAUUGCAGCAUUGGACCCAAAGAAGGGGAGUCCUCCUGGAAGCUCUUUACAAGAUGUCAGAAGGAUUUUUCUUUGGGCCUCAUCAUCUGAUCAUGGCAGCCCUUCUCUAUUUUGAAGAGAAGGUGGACAGAAAGAAGCUUCAAAGAGCUGAUUGCAUUCCCCUCCUCUUCCCAAGGCUGCUAUGCAAAAUUUUGGAGCAUAUGGGAUAUCCCUUUGAGCCUCAGCUGGAGAGAAAGCGAAUAUGCCGUGAGCCAUUCACUCUUGAUAAAUGGAACAAUAUGACGACCUACAAAAUUGAUCAGCCUGGGCAGCCUCAGCCAGCUGCAAGGAGAGCAUCCCCAAGACAUAUACCCGAAGGUAUAACAGUUGCUGCUCUUGCCAUUCCUAGAGCUCCUCCAGCUGCACCUGCUUCAUCUCAGCCAUCCACAUCAGCUGAGCCGAGGAUGGCUAUUCCUAUAUCUGAAUAUCGAGAGUUGUGCCGUGCAUUGGAGACUCUUACAGCUUCUCAGAGCAGUCUUGCUCAAGAGAUGGCAGCCAUCAGAGCAUGCCAAGAGAAGAUGUUAGCCACUCAGGCUCAACAAGCUGCCAUCUUAAGGCAGCUCUAAGUCCAUUUCGAUCUGCCACAAGCUGUAGAGCCCUCCACUGAUACUCCAGCAGAGCCACACUCUCAGCCUUCAGAAUCUCAUCCUCCAGAGCCAGAAGCCCCAGCUGAUCUACUAAAAAGGCAGCAGAUCCAUCUGCCUAAUUCUAGCCACAACCCCACUCAUCAGACUACUAUCUAUCUAAUAUUUCUAUGUAUUUCGUUUUUUUUAGUUGAAAAGAAGUCCCAGUAUUUUGGUACUAUAUAUGGGAUUCCUUGUGUUACUUGUCCUUGGCACUAUACUCGAAUGAAUUGAAAGUAAUACAAGUUGAAUAUUUCUUGUUUAAAGUUAGCAUUAAGUUAUUCUUAUUUCCUUUUCUCACAUAUUCUAUUCUUUUUGAAACAUGUGGUUUUCCCCAAUCAAUAUUCGAAUUUGAUAUCAGCAAGGAGGUACCACUUCCUCCCUUUAAUUACAGUCACUCAUAUCACAUUGAGGACAAUGCUCAGUUCGGUUGGGGGGAAUGAGGAAGGAAGUAUGCUAAAUCUUUUUGGUAUUGCAAGUAUAUUGGUUAAUUAGUUGUAGUUUUUGCUUUUUACUCUUGUUACUCUAUUCUCCAUGAAUUUUGAGGAAAAAUUUUCAAAUUAAACCAAGAGAAAUUGAACUGUUGUUUUUCACUUGACUUAGAGUAUGGAUUAUGCUUACUAAAGUGGUUCAAUUGUUGAAGCUUCUAUUGAAAUUGAAUUGAGUUCUUCCACUUUAAGCUAUCCACACAAUGUGCACAUUAGAUUCCGAUUAUAAGAUGAAAAGCUAUUUCCCUCCUGACUUAGGAUAAUUUUGGGACUUGGUAUAUUUGACCUCAUUUGAUAAAAAUUGAAACACCCUGCAAAAGGCCAAAGAGCCUUUGAAAUAAAGAAAGUUGUUUGCUUGCCUUGAAACCCGAGUAAGGUCUGAGGGGUAUAUGGUGAAAAUCUUUAAAGCCUGGUGCCCUAAGCCUUAAUUGGUUGGGAGUCACCGACCUCAAUGCUCAUUAUAAGGGUGAAUAGGUAAAGUUAGCAUAUGGUAGAUGCUUGGGUAUUAGAAAUUCAUUCUUAAAAGUCCGGGGAAAAAUCCGAGGAGUUAGUGGUUGAAAGAUCCUUAAAGCUUGGUGCCCUAAACCUUAAUUGGUUGGGAGUCAUCGAUGGACCCCCAUUACAUGGACAAGUCAGAAAGAGUACCCCAUAAAGCUACCUUGAAAAAAAAAAAAAAAAAAAAAAAAAGGUGUGUUCUUUUCUUAUUGAUUAUGGUCAGAUUAUUGCUAAAGUGUUAAAAAGAGAUAGGUUGGGGGGUGAGAUUAGUAGCAUAUUAUUCUCGGAAGCUAAGGAACUAAUACACAUAGAUUUGUGUGGAAGAUUAAAGUUUGAUUCUUAGGAAGUGGAAAUGAUUUUAAAACUUCAGUUUGCAUAAUGCACUCCCUUGAUUGAUAGUGUUUAGCAUAGUUUGUUAUGACUCUUGUUGAGAUUUGGGUUUGUAUUUCUUUAAUGCUUCAUGUGAGAAUUAGAUCAUCAUGCCACUUGAGAAUUAUUUUCUUUCAGCAUGAUGUUGUAAAUUUUAGAUUAGUUUGCUAUUUAUUUUCAUUUUUCUCUCCUAUAUUGCUAAGGGACUAGCAAUAUGUCGGUUGGGGGGAGUGAUUACUACUCAAAAAGUGCUAUUUGAUAGCCUAUAAUUAAUCCUUUUAAACACUUUUGAGUAGUAGUUUAGGCCUUUUAACUCAAUUGGCAUGUUAAGGAUCCUUUAAAGCAAUUUUAAUCACUUUGUGCAAGUUUUGGUGUUUUUGUUAGUAUUUUGAUCACCAAAGCAAGUCAAGACUGAGGAGAGCUAUGAGGAAUCUUGGGCAAAGCUUAGAAGUCAUUUUCCAAGAGUGAAUCCGGAUUGUAAGGAGAAAAAGCAAAGAGAAUCUGCCAUAGAGCAUAUUCUUGAUGACAGUCACAGAGGCCACUUUUGGAGCACUUUCUGAAGUCCAAAUGAUGCAUGCUAUAUACCAUUUCAAAGCUCAGGAAGUCAACAAUCCAAUGCUUCAAACGGUGUGCAAUUCGGAGUUGAAACGAAGAAGUUGCAGCCAUUACAAGCCAAUCACUCAGAGCUGAAGGAAGCAUUUUGCAAAGUGCUGCGAAAUCACCCUUUUGUUGCGAAGUGAUUUCGCAGCAUUUUUGUACAGUAAGUUGUUUCUCCUUCUGACGAUGCACGAUUUAUGCCGCGAGAAGGAAGCUAGGAACCUCAAGGUGGAAGCCAACUUCGCAGCCCUGUGAAGAUAGCUUGGUGUUGCGAAAAUAUUUCGCAGCCCUCUUGAGUGUCUGCGAAAUCUCGCAGACACCAUUUUUCUCCUGUGAAAUGGUUCCUGAAGCCUCCCGAUAUUUGCUACCGACAUUGGGAGAUAUUUUCCAUUAGAUUUUUGUUGUCUAAAUCCCAAAAUACUCCUUGUAAACCUCCAAUUACAAGAUUCCUUAGCUUUUAAGUUAGUAAAAAGACUAAAUAUCUUUGUAACAAUUAGUUUUAUAUUAUGUUCAUAUAUAUACCUCUCGGGAGCCUGUUCUCGGAGAGGAGUUCCUUCUGAAAAAGUUUGGGUAAGCAAGUAAAGUCUAUUUUCUUUCUACUGCCUUACCUUAUCACUUUGUAUUUUCAUUUCAUUUCUAAGUUAUGAAUUCUCUGAGGAGUUUUCCCCAGAGAAUGAGUAACUAAACCUCUAGUUCCUUGGAGCUAAGGUUGCCGGGGAAGGUUCCAAGUGCACGAAUGCAAAGCUUUGUGGUUUUAGCUUUUAAUGAAGAGGAAGUGAAAUCCUUUAAUGAUUUCUAUGUUUUUAGUUAACUUAAAACACCUUAGAGUCACCUGGGCCAACACUUGGUAAGGCAAGUGAUUUCCAACCAUGGAAAUGCACUAGUUUACCUCUUGCGAGCCUCUGGGAGGUGAUUUCAAGGUAGGAUUUUCUGGAAUUACCAACACUUGGUAAGCUUUUGGACUCCUAGGAGACAUCCAUUAGUUAUCUCUUGCGAGUUUGUGAAGGGAAGUCCAAGAUUAAAGAUCAUCUUGAAUGGUAAGUGCUCGUGAGAGGCAUGAACCAUUGCAAGUUGCAUCAGUGAGAGAAUUAAAGUGAAAUCUAAUUGAAGGAGUCUCUGUACAACACCGGUUAGAGAAUUGACUAUAUGUUGAAUCUCUAACGCGAGGAAAUGAACCAUCUGACCGGAGCUAUGUCUUUUGCAUGAGGAAUCACCCCAGUGAACCUAACUCUCCAGGGAAUGCUUUUCUUCCUAAAUUAUUCCAAACUUCUGUUAUGUUAGUUAGUUUAAGUAUAAACCUUUACCAAUCAAAGUUUGUGUUUUACUUCUUAAGCUAACCGUGAAAUGAAACAAGACCAAUUCACUUGGAAUUGGUAUCAUUGAUAGCUUGCUAAUCCUUCCCAGUGAACGAUCCUAGAGCCGCUAUACUAUAGUAGCUUUUUCUUUGCUACCCUAGUAUAUGGUGUAAUAGGUAUAAAUUUUGUUGAUUACUCCCUCAUCCAAGGAGCACCAGCUGGACAUGAAUCAGUUGAGACACCAAUUGGGCACGAAUCAACAACAACAUAAAGGAUGGUUGUUUCUUGAACCGGUAUAGAUUUAACAAUGAAGAUUUAAUCCAUAAAAAGUCAAUAGAAAUGGUAGUCAAGUUCCAUUAAUGGCUUUAGACACUAUGGGUCUUCACCUUGAGCCACUUUCCAAUGGCUCGUACAUGAUAACUAAUGGUCUUAUGUGGAUCUAGCAAUAAGUAUCCACAGAGACCUAAAAGCUUAUCAUGUAUUGGCCAUUCAAAGUGAUUCAAAGGGAUUUAAAGCAAAACUUUAGAUUUUAAAAACCAUUUAUGAACUCCAACUACCUGUAUUUAAAGCACUAGAAUUUUCCACUUUUGCAUCUGGACUUUUCACCUAGCUUCCUUCACUCCAAGAAACUAAAGGUUUAGCCUCUCAUCCUCUGGGAAAACAUCCUCAGAGGUUGUUUGGCUUCCAAGAAAAAGAAAAUACAAUAAAAAAGAGAAGGUAAAAGCAGAGCAAAGCUCUGUAUUUUUCUUCAUUUCAAAACUAUACAAAAGAUGUGUCGUCCUCCUUCCCCUGAGAACAGGCUCCCAAGAGAUAUUUAUAUAGAAAAUUACAAAACAAAAUAUCUUUUGGAUAUUCAUCCUUUUUCCAAACUUAAUAACUAAGGAAUCCUAUAAUUGGUGGAUUACAAGGAGAGUUUGGGAAUUUAGACAUCAAAUAUCUAAAGCAAAAUAUCUCACAAUGUCGGUCGCAAAGAUGGGAAGCUUUAGGAGAAAACCACGGCACUGCAAGAUGGCCGCAAAACUCUCCGGGUAAGCGUUAUCCUCGGAUCCGAAUAUGUAUAUCCGGAUAGUUGAAACGCCUUCUCUCCCAUCCGGAUAUGUCUACCGAAUAUGAGACAUCCGGAGAAGGUAGAACUUCGAUCGGACUGUGAUACAUCCGGGUAAGUGCUAUUAGAAAAGAGGAUCCGGAUAUGUCUGCUAGAGGAAGUUGAAACGCCUCUUUUCCCAUCCGGCUCCUGAAUUCCGGAUGUCAUCCGGAAUGAUGGCGGCGCUGGAUGUAAGUGGCAGUAGCCGGAUUCCGGAUGUGAUACAUCCUGGUGGUAAGUGGCGGUAGCCGGAUGGAAUUCUUACCCGGAUGGAAUGAGCUGGAUCCCAUACUCCUUGUAUUCUGGAUUUGCUUAAGGAUUCCAAAGAACUCUCCUCAAUCUCAUAUUGCUUUGGUGAUAAAAAAGCUAUCAAAACACCAAAACUUAACACAAUUUGAUUAGAAUUGAUUGCAAGGGUCCUUAACAUGCCAAAUGGGUUAAAAGGUAAUAACUACUACUCAAAAGUGUUUAAAAGAGUUAAUUACCAGUUAUGAAAUAACACUUUUUGAGUAGUAAUCACUCCCCCCAACCGACAUAUUGCUAGUCCCUUAGCAAUGAAGGAGAGAAAAAUAAAAAUAAACAAUACUAUAAUUUACAACAUCAUGCUGAUCAAAAAACAAUUUCCAAGUGGCAUGAUGAUCUAACUCUCACAUGGAACAUUAAAGAAAUAAAACUCAAACUUCAACAAGAGUUAUCAAAUAACUUGUCUAAUCACUAUUCUUAAAGAGAAGACAUUAUGCAAACUUAAGCUUUAAAAUCAUUUCCACUUCCAUAGGAUCAAACCUUACUCUUCCACAAAAAUCUAAGUGUUAUUUAUUAGCUUCUGAAUAUAGUAUGUUGAACUAAUCUCUCCCCCAAACCUAGUUCUUUUUCAAAGCUUCGCAAACUGGUCAACCUCCAAUAGGCUAAGAACGCACCUCUUUUUUUCACAAUUUUUUUCUUGUAGGAGUACAAGGCUAAAGGUAUUUUUUUUCUAAAUUGUCCAUGUAACGGGGGUCCAUCGAUGACUCCCAACCAAUUAAGGCUUAGGGCAUCAAGUUUUAAGGAUCUUUCAACUACUAACUCCUUGGAUUUUACCCCGGACUUUUAAGAAUGAAUUUUUAAUACCCAAGCACCUACAGUAUGUUAAACUCCACCUAUCCACCCUUGUAACGAGCAUUGAGGUCGGUGACUCCCAACCAAUGAAGGCUUAGGGCACCAGGUUUUAAAGAUUUUCACCAUAUACCCCUUAGACCUUGCUCGGGUUUCAAGGCAAGUAAACAUUUUUUCUUUCUUUUUUUUUUUUUUUCAAAGACUCAUUGGCCUUUUAUAAGGUGUCCCAACACUAUUAAAUGAGGUCAAAGGUACCAAGUCUAAAUUUUCCUAAGUUAAGAGGGAAAUAGUUUUUCAUCUUAUACUCGGAACCUAUUGUGCACAGUGUGUGAAUAGCUUAAAGUGGAAGAACUGAGGUUGAAUUCACUAAAAGUUUCAACAAUUCAUCAACUUUAGUAAGCAUAAUACAAAAUCUAAGUCAAGUAAAAAGACAAAAAUUCAAUUUCUCCCAUUUCAUUUUGAAAAUUUUUCCUUAAUAACCAUGGAGAGUAGAAAAAAACUUUAAAAAUUUUAAAAAUUAAGCAAAAAACAACUAAAUUACCAAAAUACUUAGCAUUAUUAACAAAAACUUCCUUCCUCAACUCUCCUCCCAACCAAGCUGAACAUUGUCCUCAAUGUGACAACAACGAUUGAACAAUAGGGAGGAAGUGGUGCCUCCUGAGUGGUAUGAAGUUCAAGUAGAAUAGGAGAACCCACAUGUUUCAAAAAACAAUAAAAGAUAUGAGUAGAGGAAUUAAAAAAAUAUAAUGCUAAGUGCUCACAAAUGAUAGAGAUUUGUAUUACUUGAUGGCAACACAAUUUUAUAUAAAAAACAAGCAAUACAACCAAUCCCACUAUAUAAUACCAAAAAUAUGGGAUUUCAUAAAGGAAAUACAUAAAGUAAAGUAUGUAAAUGAUCAGAAAUAGGGAGGAUGAUGAUGGUAAGCUGAUGGCUCAGGUAGAUGUCUCUGCAUCUUCAGUAGCCGGCUCAGGAGGGGCAUGGGGCUCCGUGGCCUCUGAGUGGGGCACUGCAGUGGUAGGGGUAAGAUGCUCAGUAGCUGAUGGAAGACCCAGAUGGUGCUGAAGCUGCCUCAGGAUGGCAGUGUGUUGAGUCUAGGUGGUCAAAAUCUGCUCCUAGUGAGCACGAAUAGCUGACAUCUCUUGAGCAAGGCUACUCUGAGUCGCAGUCAGUGUCUGCAAUGUGUGGCAUAGAUCUCUAUACUCUGAAACGGGUAUGGUCAUCCUAGGCUCGGCUGAAGUAGAGGGCUCUGAUGCAGUUGGAAUAACUAGAGGGGUACUAUGGGUGGCAGGAAAAGCAAAGGGUAUACCCUCAGGUAUGGGCUCUGGAGAUGCUCUCCUGGCAGCUGGUAUCUCAGCUGGCUGUGGGUCCUCUGGCUGCUGUGGCUGUGGAAGCUCUGGAUGCUCUGCUCUAUAUGCUGUCAUAUUGGUCCACUUGUCGAGAGUGAAUACCUCUUGGCAUAUACGUCUGCGCUCCAGCUGAGGGUCUGAUGGAUACCCCAGAUGCUCCAAAAUUUGACAUAGCAAUUGUGGGAAAAGAAGUGGAAUAGCAUCUGCUCUUAGCAGCUUCUUCCUAUGCACCUUCUCUUCAAAGUAGAGAAGGGCAGCCAUAAUCAGAUGGUGAGGGCCAAAGAAAUAUCCCUCUGAUAUCCUAAACAGGGCCUCUAGCAGAACUCCUCUCCUCUGCACCCAAUGCUGAAGUGGAUAAAUGUUGUGGCGCAGGAGUGCAUCAAUGAAGAACAUGCUCGGAGGAAGUUCCUUCCUCAACAGAUAUGGAUUUGUGGAUGUUCCUCUGGACAAAAUAUGAACCAUUUCAAGCUGGGAAGGAUUAGUCCAUACUCGGUAAUCCUUUAGACGGGCUGGCUCAUAUGGAAUAUGCAGGGCCUUUGCUAUGUGGCGAGCUCCUAAAAUACCAUGACGUCAUUCAAUGGUGAAGUGGAUAAGAGUAGGAUCUUUGAUCUGAUUAAUAGUCAUGGACUGAUAGAAGUCCAUUGCUACUCGGGGAUAGAAAAAAUCCCUGGGGGUCAGCAAUUGCUCCAUGUGAAAUCUGUGUAGUAGAUGGAAUGAGUCUGCGAGCUUCGGCUGAAACCUGAAGGUGGCUGUGUCAAAACACAGCUCAGAGUGAAAUGGUCGAGCCCGACAAUCUAAAUUCCCCUCAAUGGGCGGCUGAGCGACCAUCGGACGCUUGAUCAGCACCUCAGGAGCUAUCCCUGAGGGAAUUUGAGACUUUGCAAAUGGCGGUUGCGACGGCUGAGGCUCCACUGGAUUCUCUGAAGAUAGCGCCGGAGACAGCUCUGUAGAUGGGUCCGGAGAGGGCUCUGGAGAGGAGUCCAGAGACUGCUCCGUUAAGUCUAUUGGCUCUGAAUCUACUACCCUAGCUUUCUUUUGUGGGGGAUGCCCCCUUGACCUGGUCUGAUAACGCUUCACCUAAGGACUCAACGGCGCGGGUUCCGCCGGAGGUGGUGCGGCUACUUAUCGCGGAGGCUCUGAUGUGGAGCCUUGAACAGGCGCCUCUCGCUCGACUCUCUUGCGGCCGGACGAAAAUGAUGACUUUGCUCCUCUGGUUCGCGCCAUGGCGGACCGAAGAGAAUGGUCAGAGGUGAUGGCCGGUGGCUCGCUCGGCUUCGGGCUCAGGUGAGAGAGCGAACGAACGGUUGCUCUGGUGUUUUUUCUUUCUGAAACCUUUUGGCAGCUCAAAUGACCGGUUUUUAUAAAAAAUAAAGGAAUAUAAAGGGUCAUUUUGAUUUUCGCAGAGGAAGGCUGAUUUCGCAGCAAAAGGUUGUUUUCGCAACAAAAGGCCAUUUUCGUAGCCCAUUUCGCAGCUGCGAAAUGGGGGGAACUAUGCUGCGAAAUGGCACUCGUGUGCUUAAGUGUGGUUUCGCAGCUGCGAAAAUUUUCGCAGAGAGGGGCUUGAGGCUGCGAAAUGAUUUCGCAGCAAAAUAGCGAUUUUGCAGCGAAGUGGCGAUUUCGCAGAGGCUUUUUUUAGGCUGCGAAAUCUCGCAGACCCUUGUUUUUCCCCUGUUUUACACUCUUUCUUGCUCCAAACGACUUUCCUUCAAUUUCUUUGCAAUGACUCCUGAUUUUGAUCAUCCAAAAACCUAUAUUACAUCAAAACAAAUUAGAAUGAAAUUAAGGUCAAAAAUAAAAAUCAAAACAUGCAUAUACACAAGAAAAAACACUAGAUUAAACUAAAAUCAACGCAAAAGGAAACAAAAAGAGGGUGAACUUUUUAGUCUUUGAAGAGACUAAAUUCAACCACGAACUGAGUGUUUUCAUGUUAGAGGUGGAUCAAGGAGGAUGAAUUCCUCCUUGUCUCGGGAAAAUGAUUCCAUAUAGGGCUUGAGACGAUGCCCAUUCACUUUGAAAGUUCGAGUGCUCUUGAAGUUGAGUAGUUCCACUACUCCAUUUGAUUGCACGUCAUGAAUUAUAAAAGGACCCGUCCACCUUGAUUUCAAUUUUCCCGGAAAAAGAUGAAGUUUAGAGUCAUAAAGCAAGACUCUUUGUCCCUUAGUAAAAUUCUUCUGAUUUACCAACUGAUCAUGCCAUUUCUUCAGCCUCUCUUUUGCAAUUUUUGAAUUGAGGUAAGCAUCAUUCCUCAUUUCCUCCAAUUCGUUCAAAUCCAAACAUCUCUUUAACCCGGCUCUUGUCAAAUCCAUGUUGAGCUUCUUGAUUUCCCACCAUGCUUUAUAUUCAACCUCCACUGGGAGAUGGCAUGCUUUGCCAUAAACAAGGCGAUAAGGAGACAUUCCAAGAAUGGUCUUAUAAGCGGUCCUAUAAGCCCAUAAUGAAUCCAGGAGCUUAAUAGACCAAUCCUUCCUAUUCACAUUCACCACCUUCAUCAAUAUAUUCUUGAUCUCCCGGUUGGCUAACUCAACUUGGCCACUUGUUUGAGGGUGAUAAGGUGUAGCUACCUUGUGCUUGACCCCAUAUUUGGCUAGAAGAGUCUUAAAAGGCUUGUUGCAAAAGUGGUUUCCUCCAUCACUGAUAAUGGCCUUAGGCACUCCAAACCUUGAAAAGAUGUUCUCCUUGAGAAAUUUGAGAACCACCUUAUGAUCAUUGCUCCUACAUGGGACUGCUUCUACCCACUUAGAGACAUAAUCCACUCCCACCAAAAUGUAGGAGUGUCCAAAUGACAUUGGAAAUGGUCCCAUGAAGUCUAUCCCCCAAACAUCAAAGACAUCCACUAUCAAGAUGGGGUUCAAGGGCAUCAUAUUUCGGCGUGUUAGCUUCCCAAGCCUUUGACACCGAUCACAUCCCUUGCACAUAGAGUGGGCAUCCUUGAAAAGAGAGGGCCAUCAAAAACCUGAUUGGACCACUCUCAUGGCUGUUUUCUAGGAAGCAAAAUGACCUCCACAUGCACUAUCAUGACAAUGGGAUAGAAUUCCUGAUUGCUCUGGUUCAGGAACACAUUUCCUUAUGAUUUGAUCCGCACAAUAUUUGAAGAGAAAAGGCUCCUCCCAAUAAUAGGCAUGGAUCUUAGCAAAGAAAUGCUUCUUGUCUUGGGCACUUCACUCACUUGGAACUUUUCCAGUAACCAAGUAAUUUGCAAUGUGAGAAUACCAUGGAGCUACCUCUAUUGACAUGAGAGACUCCUCAGGGAAGUCAUCAUUAAUAGGUAGGCCAUGUGAGUCAUGUGCUAUCACAAGUCUUGACAAGUGGUCAGCUACCACAUUUUCUACUCCCUUUUUAUCCCGGAUUUGGAGAUUGAAUUCUUGAAGCAAAAGGAUCCAUCUUAUCAAUCUUGCCUUGGCAUCUUGCUUGGUUAGCAAGUACUUCAAAGCAGAAUGGUCAGUGAACACCACUAUACAGGACCCUACUAAAUAGGCACGAAACUUAUCCAAGGCAAAAACUACUGCCAACAACUCCUUCUCAGUAGUUGUGUAGUUCCUUUGAGCCUCAUUCAAAGUUUUGCUUGCAUAAUAAAUCACAUAGGGCUUUCCAUCUUCUCUUUGCCCCAAAACAGCCCCCAUAGCAAGAUCACUUGCAUCACACAUUACCUCAAAAGGUAAUUUCCAAUUUGAGGCUCUCACUAUUGGUGCAGUUGUGAGGAAUUGCUUCAGUUCCUCAAAACUCUUCUGACAUUUCUCAUCCCACACAAACUUGGCAUCCUUUACCAAGAGUUCACAAAGAGGUUUUGAGAUUUUUGAGAAAUCCUUAAUGAACCUCCUAUAGAACCCGGCAUGUCCUAGGAAUUGCCUAAUUCCUUUAACAUUUGUGGGAGGUGGCAACUUAACAAUUAGCUCCACCUUUGCCUUAUCUACCUCAAUGCCAUUCUUGGAGAUUAUAUGUCCUAAGACAAUUCCUUGUUGUACCAUAAAAUAGCACUUCUCCCAAUUUAGCACUAGGUCUUUCUCAAUACAUCUUUGGAGAACAGCUUCUAAAUGCAACAAACACUCCUUAUAAGAACCUCCAUAUACAGUGAUGUCAUCCAUGAAGACUUCCAUGAUGCGCUCCACCAUAUCACUGAAGAUGCUUAGCAUACAUCUUUGGAAAGUUGCAGGUGCAUUACAUAGACCAAAGGGCAUCCUCCUAUAGGUAAAAGUACCAAAGGGGCAAGUGAAGGUUGUCUUUUCUUGAUCUUCCAAAUCAAUCUCUAUUUGGAAGUACCCCGAGUAACCAUCCAAAAAACAGUAGAAAGGAUGCCCUGAGACUCUUUCAAGGACUUGGUCCAUGAAAGGCAAUGGGAAAUGGUCUUUCCCAGUCACUGAAUUCAACCUCCUGUAGUCUAUACACACCCUCCAUCCUGAGGUAAGACGUGUAGAGACUUCCUCCCCUUUCUCAUUUUGGAUCACAGUAAUUCCAGAUUUCUUUGGGACUACUUGGGUUGGGCUCACCCACAAGCUAUCUGAAAUGGGAUAUAUGAUCCCUGCUUGAAGUAGCUUCAGAACUUCACCCCUUACCACCUCUUGCAUGUGAGGAUUCAACCUCCUCUGGGGCUGCCUCACUGGUUUAGCAUCUUCCUCCAUGAAGAUAUGGUGGGUGCAUACCAAAGGGCUAAUCCCUUUCAAAUCAGAAAUGUGUCAUCCAAUGGCCUUUUGCAUUUUUUGAGGACUCCCAAAAGACUAUCCUCUUGAUCACUUGUGAGAGUUGAAGAAACCACCAUUGGACAUUUCUCAUCUUCCUCCAAAUAUGCAUACUUCAAAUCAACAGGAAGUGGCUUCAAAACUAGUUUUGGAGGGUCCUCCCUAGCUGCUCCUUGUGAGUCCUCCUUAUUGAACAAGGGUAAGAUCUCUUCCCUUCUCCUCCAAGGAGACAUGACGACUAACACAUCAGAGGGUUCAGGUAACCCUUCUUCAAGCACUCCAAGGCUUUCAUUCAAGCUCUUUUCUAAAUUCUUGUCACAAUGCUCUUCAACCAAAGUGUUGAUCAAGUACGCCUCCUCCAAUCCUUCCUCCUCUUCGGGGUGAAGAUGCCUCUUGCAUAGGUGGAAUAUGUUUAGUUCCAAGGUCAUGUUUCCAAAUGUGAACUGCAUCACCCCAUUCCUACAAUUGAUGAUGGCAUUGGAGGUAGCUAGGAAAGGUCUCCCUAGGAUGAUUGGCACAUGAUUUGUUUCCUUAAUAGUGAGAUCAGUAUCAAGCACCACAAAAUCCACGGGAUAGUAGAAUUUGUCCACUUGAACUAAAACAUCCUCUAUCACUCCCCUUGGGAUUUUGACUGACCUAUCAACUAAGGAGAGAGUGACGGUUGUGGGCUUCAAUUCUCCAAGUCCCAGUUGCUUAUACACAGAGUAUGGGAGCAAAUUCACACUUGCCCCCAAGUCUAGUAAAGCCUUCUCCACAUGUGUCCCUCCAAUGUUGACUGAAAUGGUGGGACACCCCGGAUCUUUGUACUUAACUGGAGACUUACACUGAAUGAUGGCACUUACUUGCUCAGUGAGGAAUGCCUUCUUUGUCACAAUUAACCCUCUCUUGACCGUGCACAAGUCCUUUAAAAUUUUUGCAUAUGUGAGGACUUGCUUGAUCAUAUCAAGGAAGGGUAUAUUCACCUUCACUUGUCUCAAAAUUUCAAGAAUUUCUGAUGAAUUCUUGAUUCCCUUCUUUCCAUGUAAAGCUUGAGGAAAAGGGGGAGGCAUAUGUUUCUUCAUCAUAUCCUCUUUAAUCACUAUCCUUGGCUCAUCUUCAAUGCUUGAAUCAGAUGCAUUUUUCUUCCCACUCUUCUCUUCUUGGUUAUUGCUCUCUUUAACCAAGGUUCUCCUUGACAUGAGUUCUUCAUCUUGCCUCACCUUAGGCAAGGGUUGGUCAACCUCCUUCCCACUCCUCAAGGUGAUCACAGCUUUAACCUCCCUCAACUUUGAAGACUCCCCAUCUUGGGUUUCAACUUCAUGAACACCCUUUGGAUUUUGGCUUGGUUGAGAGGGAAACUUUCCUUUCUCAAUCACUGUGUUGAGGUUGGUAAGCGUAGAGAUGGAGUAUUGAAUAUUAUCCAUCUUCUGAGAUAGAUCAUUUUGCAUCCCAUCCAUUCUCUUAAUUUGAGAACUUUCAACAUUUUCAAUCUUUUGGUGCAAUUGGGAGUUGAUUGCCUUUUGUUCACCCACAAAGUCACCCAUGACUUUACUUAGGUUCACAAUGGCUUGCUCCACUGAAGAGGUUUGUUGAGGUGCUUGGGUUUGGGCUUGUGGUUGGUAUGGAGGUGGCCUUGGUUUCCAAGAAAAAUUUGGAUGGUUUCUCCAGCUUGAAUUAUAGGUGUUUCCAUAAGGUGCAUUGUUGUUGGGCCUAAAUUGCCCCACAACAUUGGCUUGAUCACCUAACAUUUCCCUAACAGCUGGGAUGGUUGGGCACUCAUCUACCACAUGAUCACAUGAUUGGCAAAUGGUGCAUGGCAUGACAUGGGCUUGUGUCUCGGAAAUGGCUUAGACUUCAUGCAUUUUUUUCAACUCAAGUUCUUCCAACCUCCUUGCCAUUGUUGCUACCUUAGCUUUCAUGUCCAUGUCUUCACUUAACAUGUACAUUCCAACCUUUGGAUUUACAGGAGCUUUCAUCCUUCCCAUUUCUCUUGAGUUGGGUUCAUCCCAUCCUCUUGAUACCUCAGAUACAUAACUUAGAAAGUCCAUGGCUUCUUCCGGAUUCUUACUCAUAAAAUCUCCCCCACACAUGGUUUCAAAAAUUUGCUUCAUGCAGGAAGACAUCUCAUCAUAAAAAUAGCUCACCAAGAGCCAUGUAUCAAAGCCAUGAUGAGGACAAGCAUUGAUGGCCUCCAUAUACCUUUCCCAACAUUCAUAGAACUUCUCAUUUUCUUUUGCAGAAAAAUUUGAGAUUUGUCUCUUCAACCUAUUGGUCCUAUGAGUGGGGAAAAAUUUCUUCAAAAAUUCGGCCUGAAGAUCAACCCAAUUCCUUAUGCUCCUUGGCCUUAAAGAGUUAAGCCAUAUUUUUGCCUUGUCCUUCAAAGUAAAAGGGAAUAGCUUGAGUCUCAUCAAGUCUAUUGAAGCUCCUCCCCCUCCAAAAGUAUUGCACACCUCCUCAAACUCCUUGAUGUGGGCAUAUGGGUUCUCACUCUCCAUUCCAUGGAAAUUUGGUAGGAGGGGCACAAUAUGAGGCCUUAUAAUCAGCUGCUCAAGAGGAGGUACGAUGCAUGAGGGUGCACUCAUCCUUGGUGGGUGCAUUCUAUCCCUCAUGGAUAGAUAUGCAUUUGGAUUAUCCCCUUGAACGUGUUGAGAAUUCUGAUCCUAUUGUGGAGGGUCCAUGAUGUUUACACAGAUAUCCAACUCUGUGUCUUGAGGAUUCUCAAUCCUUACUAGUCUUCCCUCUUGGUUCCGAAUCCAAUAGGGCAUGCACAAGUUACAACUUCCCUGAAAACAAAACAAAGACAACAAAAACAAAAGAAAACUAGAAGAAAAUUAAGGUUAGAAAGAAAAUGAAAGUAAACUUAACAAAAGGAAUUCUACAAUAAAAAAAAAAUGAAGUUAGUGAAAAAGGAAUUCACCAAACUUGUGAUGGAAAUCACAAGUAGCCUCUAAAAAGUUGUAUCACUAUAUCGUGGCACCAUCCCCGGCAACGGCGCCAUUUUGAUUGUGCCCAGUAGGGUAUUUUAAUCAAAAAUAUUUAUAAAUCCUAUGACCUUAUACUAGCGUAGCAAAGCUACUAUAGUAUAGCAUCUAUAGGGUCGAACUCUGGGAUGGGUUUUCAUUCUACCAGUGAUAAACUCAAGAUUAGAAAUUGAAUCUGAUGAUUUCCUUUGUCAAAAACUUAAAGUUUAAAAGAAAAUAAAAUUUGUUUUGAAAGUGGUGUUUGAAACUAAACUAACAUAGAACUAGGUAAAAAUGGAAGAAAGAAAGUCUCCCGGAGCUAGAGGUUGCUAGAAUCAAGUUCAGAAUGCAAAGUGGGAAAUUCCGGAUUUUUCUCCUCGUAUUAGGGACAACAACAUAAAGGAUGGUUGUUUCCCGAACCGGUAUAGAUUUAACAAUGAAGAUUUAAUCCAUAAAAAGUCAAUAGAAAUGGUAGUCAAGUUCCAUUAAUGGCUUUAGACACUAUGGGUCUUCACCUUGAGCCGCUUUCCAAUGGCUCGUACAUGAUAACUAAUGGUCUUAUGUGGAUCUAGCAAUAAGUAUCCACAGAGACCUAAAAGCUUAUCAUGUAUUGGCCAUUCAAAGUGAUUCAAAGGGACUUAAAGCAAAACUUUAGAUUUUAAAAACCAUUUGUGAACUCCAACUACCUGUAUUUAAAGCACUAGAAUUUUCCACUUUUGCAUCUGGACUUUUCACCUAGCUUCUCUCACUCCAAGAAACUAAAGGUUUAGCCUCUCAUCCUCUGGGAAAACAUCCUCAGAGGUUGUUUGGCUUCCAAGAAAAAGAAAAUACAAUAAAAAAGAGAAGGUAAAAGCAGAGCAAAGCUCUGUAUUUUUCUUCAUUUCAAAACUAUACAAAAGAUGCGUCGUCCUCCCUCCCCUGAGAACAGGCUCCCAAGAGAUAUUUAUAUAGAAAAUUACAAAACAAAAUAUCUUUUGGAUAUUCAUCCUUUUUCCAAACUUAAUAACUAAGGAAUCCUGUAAUUGGUGGAUUACAAGGAGAGUUUGGGGAUUUAGACAUCAAAUAUCUAAAGCAAAAUAUCUCACAAUGUCGGUCGCAAAGAUGGGAAGCUUCAGGAGAAAACCACGGCACUGCAAGAUGGCUGCAAAACUCUCCGGGUAAGCGCUAUCCUCGGAUCUGGAUAUGUAUAUCCGGAUAGUUGAAACACCUCCUCUCCCAUCCGGAUAUGUUUACCGAAUGUGAGACAUCCGGAGAAGGUAGAACUUCGGUCGGACUGUGAUACAUCCGGGUAAGCGCUAUUAGAAAAGAGGAUCCGGAUAUGUCUGCUAGAGGAAGUUGAAACGCCUCUUUCCCCAUCCGGCAUGAUGACGGCGUUGGAUGUAAGUGGCGGUAGCCGGAUUCCGGAUGUGAUACAUCCUGGUGGUAAGUGGCGGCAGCCGGAUGGAAUUCUUACCUGGAUGGAAUGAGCUGGAUCCCAUACUCCUUGUAUUCUGGAUUUGCUUAAGGAUUCCAAAGAACUCUCCUCAAUCUCAGAUUGCUUUGGUGAUAAAAAAGCUAUCAAAACACCAAAACUUAACACAAUUUGAUUAGAAUUGAUUGCAAGGUCCUUAACAUGCCAAUUGGGUUAAAAGGUAAUAACUACUACUCAAAAGUGUUUAAAAGAGUUAAUUACCAGUUAUGAAAUAGCACUUUUUGAGUAGUAAUCAGUCUCUUUAUCGCUUAGUCUAUGGCAAAGCAUGCCAUCUCCCUAUGGAAUUGGAAUACAAAGCUUGGUGGGCAAUCAAGAAACUCAACAUGGAUUUGAGCAGAGUUGGGUUGAAGAGGUUCUUAGACCUCAAUGAGAUAGAGAAAUUGAGAAAUGAUGCCUACAUCAAUUCAAAAAUUGCAAAAGAGAAAUUGAAAAGGUGGCAUGAUUAGUUGAUUUCCCGUAAGGAUUUUCGAAAGGGACAAAGAGUCUUGCUCUAUGACUCUAAGCUCCACAUCUUUCCGGGUAAGCUGAAAUCAAGGUGGAUAGGUCCUUUUACCAUUCACCAAGUGCAUUCAAAUGGAGUAGUGGAACUACUCAACUCCAACAGCACCAGAAGCUUCAAAGUGAAUGGCCACCGUCUCAAGCCCUUUGUGGAGCAUUUUUCUCGCGACAAGGAGGAAUUCAUCCUCCUUGAUCCACAUCAAGCUUGACAAGACCAAUCCUUUUGAUGGACUUAGUCUUUCUAAAGACUAUCGAGUCUAUAUCUUUUUGUUUUAUUUUUUAUUUGAGAGUUUUCCUGUAUUAUUACUUAUUUUUAUUUUUAUUUCUCGUUUUUAUUUUAUCUUGGUUUGAUUUAACUUAGGUUUUUGAUGAUCAAUUGUAGGGGGACUUCAAAUAGAGGAAAAACCAAGUAAAUUCGCACACACUGCGAAAUUUUCAUAGGGCAUGCGAAAUUCAUGAAUCAUUUUGCAUGGGGUGCGAAAAUAAAAACACCUUGCGAACUCAUUUUGCACACUUCGUGAAAUUUUCAUAGAGCAUGCGAAAAAUUUCGCACACCUAACACCAUUUGGCACACUGUACGAAAACCUAAGGGGUUUGCGAAGUAAUUUCGCACCCCAUAUGCCAUUUCGCAUGCUGUGCAAAACUCAAGGGACGCUGUGCAAAAAUGAAAAGUCCCUACCAUUCCUUUUUAAACCCCUGAGCCCUAAUUUCUCCAUUUCGCAAACACCAAACACCCUAUGAAUUCCUCAUUUUCCUCUGCCACCUUGCGACCUCAUCCAUAUCCAUUCAAUAUCCUGCCCCGUGCACAUCACUUUGAAGACUCACACUCCAAGCCAUAUUGGAGCACGGACCCGAGGAGCUCUUCCCGCCCCUUCACCGAGUCGCACUUUGAGACAAAUGGCCUCCACUGCUCAGGUAUCUAGUGAUUCUCCAUCUCAGGCCAUGGAGGCCCCGCGGAUUCCACCUUCUGAGGGUGGAGCGCCCACUAGUCCUUCAUUUUCGGCUCCUCAGCGCAGAUAUGAGAUGAAGAGACCACCUACUACACCAGGGGCGACUAUUUUACGCCCUGAGAGUUCAGUACGACGCCCUCCUACCAAGAGGGCUAGGACUUUAGGCUCAGACGAGUCAUCCAAAGCUCCACAGCCUGAGCCUCCGGUAGCUACACAUGCUAGAGCUCCUGCAGAUUCUGAGCUCCUUUUUGACAUGUCACUAGAGUCUAUUAUCAGACGCCCGAUGGUCACAACACCGCCCAUUGAGGGUAACUCAAAUUGUAGAGCGAGACCGUUCCACUCGGAGUUAUAUUUUGAUCAAGAGGUCACGCAACAGUAGCCUGAGCUCUGAGACUCAUAUGGCCUACUACAAAGGUACCAUCUUGAGCACCUUAUGACUCCUCGUGAGUUCUUUUAUCCUAAAGUAGCACUAGACUUUUACCAAUCCAUGACUACUCGUGGCGUCUCAAGUCCUACCGUGAUACACUUCACCAUUGAUGGACGUCAUGGUGUCCUCGAGGCCAGACAUAUUACAGAGGCUCUAUAGAUUCCUUUCGAGCCAGUGGAUCCGUUUGUUUUCUGCCAGUGGUCCCCAAUAUCUCAAAGGGACAUGGUCCGUAUUUGAUCCAGAAAGACCUCUUCAGAUUCAAUCCUUCUACGAAAGGAGCUUCCACCUGGGAUGCUCCUCAUAGAUGUGGUGCUAUGCUCCAACCUCUUUCCCUUACAGCAUUCGGUAUAGAGGUAAGGAGAUAUUUUGGACACUUUAUUUCGUAUAUCAGAGGGCUUCUACUUUGGCCCGCACCACUUGAUCAUGGCCUUUCUUGCCCACUUUGAGGAGAAGGUCCAUAGGUGAUUCGUGCCCAGCUGGUGUACCUUGAUUUUGGUCCUCAGACGGGAGUAAUCAACAAAAUUUAUAACCUAUUAUACCAUGUACUAGGAUAGCCUCAGCUAGCAUAGCAUAGUGCCUCUAGGAUCGUUCACUGGGAUGGGUUUUCACUUUACAAUUGAUAUUAGUUCAAAGCUGAAUUUGUGCUUUUUCAUUUCAAGGUUAGCUCUAAAAGAAAACAUAAAGAUGUUUGAAAAGGUUGGUUUUUAAGUGAAACAAAAAAUAAAGUAACGGGAAUUACUUACUAAGAAAAGCGUUUCUUGGAGUUUUAGGAUCACUGGGGUCAGGCUCCUCAUGCAAAAACAGAGCUCCUGUCACUUGAGUCUUUUCCUCGUGUUGGGGAUUUAACAUAUAGUUAUUUCCCGAACUGGUGUGGUACAGAUGCUUCCCUUUAAUGGGUUCAAACACUAAAUCCCUCUCACUGAUACAUCUUGCAAUGGUUCAUACCUCUCACCUAGCAUUGGCCAUUCAAGAUGAUCCUUAACUUUGGAUUACCCGUCAAAAGCUCGCAAGAGAUAACUAAUGGAUGUCUCCUUAGAGUCCAAAAGCUUACCAAGUGUUGGCUAUUCUAGAAAAUCCUACCUUUAAACCACCUCCCAAAGGCUCGCAAGAGGUAAACUAGUGCAUCUCAAUGGACGGAGAUCACUUGCCUUACCAAGUGUUGGCCCCGGUGAUUUCAAGGCGUUUUAAGUUAACUAAAAAGAUAAAAACCAUUAACGGGUUACACUUUCUCUUCAUUAGUAGCUGAAACAACAAAACUUCCAAUUUUUGCAUUUGGAAACUUACCCGGCUUUCUUCACUCCAAGAGACAAAAAGCUUAGCCACUCAUCCUCUGAGGAAACAUCCUUAGAGUUUGAUUUGUUAGAAAUAAAAAUAACGAGAAAACAAAAAUAUGAAGGAAAAACAGAGCAAGUGCUCUGUAGAAUAUUUUUCUUACUAUCGUCGAUUACAUAUCUGAUAUAUGAUUCCUCUUCUCUUUACAUUGGUUCAAAGAUAUAUAUAGAGAAGAUAUUUUCUAAGAAAUAUCCCAAUAAUAUCUUCGACUGAUUACAAGGAGAAAAUAGAAAUUUACACAAAAUAUCUUGAGAAAAAAUCUAACUUAGUCGGUGGCAAAUAUCUAAGUUUACACAGGUGGAUUUCACAAGUUUGAAUUGUCCAUUUUGCAAGUUGAAUUUGUGAUUUCACAACUUGGAGGUGAUUCCGCAACUUGGAGAUGAUUUGCAACUUGUUUCGUAGCUUGGAGGUGAUUUCGCAACGUGGUUCGCAGCUGCGAAGAUGGAGUUUCAACUUGCGAAGUGGCACACGUGUGCUUGGAGGUGGUUUCGCAGCUGUGAAACACCUUACUAAAUUUCGCAAGUAGAUUUUAUUUCGCAGCUCAUUUCGCAGCUGCGAAAUGGGCUUUGGGCUGUGAAAUUUUCGCAUAGCUUGAUGCAGUUGUCUUCAAACGGCCAUAACUUCUUCAUUUCAACUCCAAUUGACACAUCGUUUGAAGUGUUGGACUCCUGACUUCCUGAGCUUCGAAAAGACAUAUAGUAUGAAUGAAAUGGACUCCAGGAAGUACUCGAAAUGUGUCCAACAGUUGCUGUCCUCUUAAAUUUCUUCAUGUUAGAUUUCUCUCAUUUUCCUCCUUGCAUUCUUGAUUGACUUUGGCAAAGGACUACGAAGCUCCAAAGCUUGGAUUCUUCAUGUAAAUGAGCUUCCAUUUUCUUUGCCAUGGAUUAUAUAAAGCUCUCCCUCAUCUUAGAUUGCUUUGGUGAUCAAAAAGCUAUCAAAAACACCAAAACUUAACACAAUUUGAUUAGAAAUGAUUGCAAGGGUCCUUAACAUGCCAGUUGAGUCAAAAGGUAAUAACUACUACUCAAAAGUGUUUAAAAGAGUUAAUUACAAGCUAUAAAAUAACACUUUUUGAGUAGUAAUCAAUAGGAAGAAGCUUCAGAGGGCGGACACCAUUCCAUUACUAUUCCUAAGGUUGUUGUGCCAGAUAUUGGAGUAUAUGGGCUUUCCUACUAAGCCUCGGCUCAAGCGUCGUCGCCUUUGUCGAGAGCGAUUCACUCUCGACAAAUGAAAUUAGUUGGCGGGAUAUUCUGCACCUCCAGGAGCCCGUCCCAUGGUAUCACCUCCAGUGCCCCCAUAGCCAGAGCAGGGCAAGCUUCUGGCAGAGACUACACCACCAGUGCCCACACCUGAGGCUAUUUCUGCUACUCCCCCUAUGACUCCUACUGUUCCAUCACCAGUCACUCCUACUACAUCCAAGCCUUCCAUCACCAUAUCGGCUUCGAAAUUUCACACCCUUGUGCAUACCUUUUAGACACUGACCACCACACAUGCGGCUCUCUUCCAGUAGAUGGCUGACAUGCGUGCACAUCAGGACCAACAGACUGCUAUACUUCGCCAGAUUCAGCAGCACCUCAGACUUCUACCUCUACCUCAGCCUGAUCUUCUUGCAUCAUCAAAGCCUUUAGCUCCAACUGAGGACACUACCACGGUAGAGGUCCAGAUCCCACCACCUCAAGAGCCCACCACAAAUGCCAUUGCUUCACAUGAUCCUCAGGAUAACCCUCAGACAGUUAACACAAUCACAGCUACACCUGAGAAUGCAUCAUCUCCACCUGAGGCUCCCACUACUUGAUCAUAGGACAUCUCUUUAUCUUAUUGUAUUUACAUAUUAUAUUAGUGGAGAUUUGUCAUUGUUUUGAUGCUUUAUAUUCUGAGACUGGAUGUAUUACCUGAUCAUAUCUCAUAUUGUACUUUCUCAUAUUAGUAUAUAGACAUCAUAUUUUUUAUAUUACUUGGCAUUUUUCUAUUUCCUCUACUCAUUACCUUUUUGUUUUCUGACUCAUGUGGUUUCUCUUAUACAACUUAGACUUCAUUUCACUCAGGAGGUACCACUUUCUCCCUUUAUUUUCAAUUGCUCUUGACACAUUGAGGACAAUGUUGAUCUUGGUUGGGGGAAGAGUUGAGGAAGGAAGUUUUGUUAAUAAUGCUAGGUUAAUUUGUUAAUUUAGUUACUUUUUGCUUAAUUUUAAAAGUUUUUUUACCCUACUCUCCAUGGUUAUUAAGGAAAAAUUCUCAAAAUGAAAUGGGAGAAAUUGAGUUCUUGCAUUUUUACUUGAAUCUUAGAGUUUGUAUUAUGCUUAUUGAAGUUGAUGAAUUAUUGAAAAUCCUAUUGAAUUCAACCUUAUUUCUUCCACUUUAAUCUUACCACACAUUGUGCACAUUAGGUUCCAAUUAUAAGAUGAAAAACUAUCUCACCCCCUGAACUUAGGAAAAUUUUGACUUGGUACCUUUGACCUAAUUUUAAUAGUGUUGGGACACCUUAUAAAAGGCCAAUGAGCCUUAAAAAAAAGAAGAAGAAGAACAAAGUGUUUCACUUGCCUUGAAACCCGAGCAAGGUCCAAGGGGUAUAUAGCGAAAAUCUUUAAAACCCGGUGCCCUAAGCCUUGAUUGGUUGGGAGUCACCGACCUCAAUGCUCGUUACAAGGGUGAAUAGGUGGAGUUUAACAUAUUGUAGGUGCUUAGGUAUUGAAUUUCAAUCUCAAAAGUCCGGGAAAAAAUCUGAGGAGUUAGUGGUCAAAAGAUCCUUAAAGCUUGAUGCCCUAAACUUUGAUUGGUUGGGAGUCAAUGAUAGAUCCCCGUUACAUGGACACUUUAGAAAACAAUUCCUUCAGCAUUGCACUCCUACAAGAAAAAAAUGUGAAAUAAAAGAGGUGCGUUCUUAGCCUAUUGGAGGUUGGUCAGUUUGCUAAAGUUUGAGAAAGAACUAGGUUGGGAGGAGAGAAUAGUUCGACAUACUAUAAUCGGAAACUAAUAAGCUUAACACUUAGAUUUUUGUGUGAGAGUAAGAAUUAGACCUUUGGGAGUGGAAAUUCUUUUGAUGCUUAAAUUUGCAUAAUGCCUACUCUUUAUAAAUUGUGAUUAGGCAAGAAAUUUGAUGACUCUUGUUGAAGGUUGGGUUUUGCCUCUUUGAUAUUCCAUGAGAGAGUAUAAUUCGCAUCAUGCCACUUAAAUUUUUUUUAGAGUAAUCAGCAUGAUAUUGUAAAUUAUUUCACUGUCUAUUUUUCUUUAUCUCUCCUUCAUUGCUAAGGGACUACCAAUGUGUCGGUUGGGGGGAGUGAUUACUACUCAAAAAGUACUCUUUUAUAGCUUGAAACUAACUGUUUUAAACACUUUUGAGUAGUAGUUAAUACAUUUUAACUCAAUUGGCACAUUAAGGAACCUAGCAAGGGUUACUAAUCAGUUUUGACAAGUUUUGGUGUUUUUGGUAGCUAUUUGAUCAUUGAAACAAGCCAAGAAUGAGGGAGAAUUUUGUGAAAUCCAUGGCAAUGCAAGUUGAAGCUCAAAUACAUGAAGAGUCCGAGCUUUGAAACAUUUCAUAGCCCUUUGCCAAGCUUGGCAAUAGGUUGCCAAGCCAAUCAGAGAUGCAAGGAAGAAAACUAAAGGAAAAAGUCCAACAACCAGCAUUUUAGCAUGGCUAUGCGAAAAUUUCGCAUAGCAUGCGAAAUCAAGAGAAAGAGCAGCUGCAGGACUGAGUGAAAGACAAUUUCGCACACCAUGCAAAACCACAAAAAGCAGCCAAAGAAUUUCGUACACCAUGAGAAAUUUCACAUGGUAUGCGAAAUCCUCUUGUGCACCAACUCCGUUAGAUUUUUAUUUCCAGAUAUUUUGUAUAAUUUCCUGUUUUCUCCUUAUAAUCAAGCUAGAUAUUUUCAUAUAUAUCUUUUCUAGUCAUGAAAGAAAUUUAUUCAUGAAACACUUGUAAAAUUCCCGUAGAAGAAAUAUAUAGAGCUUUUGCUCUGCCUUUCCUUCUCAUUUUGUUUUCACUUUUCUUUUUAGCCAAAUAACCUCUGAGGAUGAUUUCUCAGGGGAUGAGUGGCUAGGUUUUAUGUUUCUUGGAGUGAUGGAAGCUAGGUGAAGGACCUGAAUGCAAAGAUGGGAGUUGUCCUUGCUUUAAAUGAAAGUAGUUGUUAACCAUUAAUGGUUUUUAUUUUAAGGUUUAGCUUUAAAUCCCUUAAAAUCACCUUGAAUGGCCAAUACUUGGUAAGCUUUUCAGAUUCUAUGGAUGCUUAUUGCUAGAUCCAUGGAUGUCCAUUAGUUAUCAUUUACGAGCCAUUGGAAGGUGGUUCAAGGUGAGGGUCUUUAGUGUUUGAAGCCAUUAAUGGGAAGCAAUUACCAUUUUUCAUGAAUCCUUUCGAUCAAAUCUUAAUUGCUAAAAAACAAAACCGGUUCGGGAGAUAACCAUCCUUUAUGUUAUUGUCCCCAACGCGAGGAGAAGAUCCAGAAUCUCCCCCUUUGCCUGAGAAACCCGAUCCUAGUGACCUAAAGCUCCAAGAGACCUUUUCUUUAUAGUUAACUUCACUUAUUAUUUUUGCUUAACUUAAAAUCAAUCUUUGCAACCACAAUUCCAUUUUCUUUAAAAGCUAAUUUUCAUAAGGAAAAACACCAUUUUAUUUCCUUCACUAAAAUCAACUGUACGAUGAAAACCCAUCCCUGUGGAUGAUCCUAAAGCCACUAUACUAUGUUAGUUAUGCUACUCUAGUGUAAGGUGAUUUAGGUUUUAUAAUUUUUUUGUUGAUAACACCCGUCUGGGCCAGAAUCAAAUGGCACGACUGCAAUGGGGACAAAUCACAUUGCUGAAAGAAGUGCUUGAGCCGCUCAAGCGUAAACAUUACUUGAGCCACUCAAGCACUAACAUUGUUUGAGCAUUGCAUUUCUUACCUACACUCUCGAGGUUGCUUCUGCACUUUUUUCAACUACCUUAAGCUUUAAAAUCUUGCCUUUUUUUGGUUGAGGAAUAUCCAUUGAACCGCUAUGAUUGGCGAAAUGCUUCCAUGCUCUCUUUGGGUUACAAGAUUGAUUAAAAACCAAAAUUUUACAUAAUCACAAGUCAUAUACUCCUCAAAAUGAGAGUUUAUAGUCAAUCUAGCCAAAAGGAAAAAAACUUUUAUAUCCAAAAAGAAAAUCCUAUGCUCUUAAUCACAAAGCUUACAACCUAAACUAGAAAACAAUAGAUUAAACCAAUAACAAUCAACUAAUCUGAACAUAAUAAUGAUAUUCAUUCAUCCAUUUAGGCCAUGGGAUGAAUAACCAAACUUAAAAAAAAAAAACAAAAAAAAAAACCAUGAGCACCCUCUAGAAUAGAUCUAGCUAACAAGAACAUAACCUGAGGCUCUAAUACCAAUUACCAGGAAUACUAGAUUUCUCUAUUCCCUGUCCCUGGAUCUAGUAGGGUGCAUGCAUCUAUGCUAAGCACCUCUAAAUCUAUUACAAUGGAAACAUAUGGCUACAAAACCAUAUAAAGAUAAAAAUCUAGAGAAAACAAAGCUCAUACCGAAUCUAGAUGUUCCUAGAUCAAUUCCAGAUGGUGAAGAACAUGCUUAAAGGUCUCAUACACUCAAGAUCUUCCACCUGAUGACUCGAACCACAAUCUUGGUACUCCAAAGUGUGGGCUUUGGAAGAGAUGAAGAUAUGACUCUCUCUAUCUUUCUUUAGAGAUGAAAGAUGGAUCUCAUCAAAAAGUGGUGGAAACAUUAACCCCUAAGGGGGUAUUUAUAGGGUUCCCCUACUAAGCUUAAGUGACUUAAGCUCACCAAAGCUUGGGUCACUUAAUCUAACCUAAAACUAGUUCUAAUUGAUUAAUUAACCACAUAGAGUCAUCUAAUUAAUCAAUUAGCCCAAUCUAGAGACCUUGUUCACUAUCUCCUGUGCAACCAUGAAUCAUUACCAAAACAACCUUAUACACAAAAGUGAAUAUUGGCUCUCUUAGAAUUCAAUUCUAAAAUUGAUUCAACAUUCCACUAAAGAUAAUCAAUUGCACUCCAGUACCCUAUGUAAAUAACAACAAAAUGAAGUUUGAGUUCAUGACCUACUAUCCAUUACAUGCAGACUCCCCAUGAAUCGGUAUUUGUAAUUUAACAAGGUAGUAGUAUCACUUAUCAAGAUUACCUCUCCAAUCCUUGAGUUAAAAAUCUCAUUUGGAUCACCCAAGAAGACACAUUGUCUCCAUGAGAUGUCAUGAUGUCUCUAUUGAGAAUACUUGUUGUCACCAGCCUCCAUCAAUAGUGACCCAAUCCAUAAAGAUAUAUAACCACUUUAGGAUCUCACCCACCCACAUGUCCAAUCCUCAUGUUGAUUUUGAGACAGGCUCAAUAUGCUCUCAAGUUUGCAAGUCAAUCCAAUAUAGUAGUUUGUUGAAUCAUGACAAUUAAUAGUCUUGUGUCAUGAUUCAUCAUAGCUCUUUUCUAGUAGGCAUGACAUACACUAGUGCAAACAUCAUAGGAAACUCAUCCCAACAAUCAAGACAAGUAAUCCAUUCCAUUAGGAGAUGGUGUACUACAAUCUCUAAUGGAUUGCACAAAUCUAUGAACCAAUUAUGGACAACUUAUAUAUCUACUUACAAGAAACCCUUGACUUGUAUCUUUUGUGCAACUCCUAAGGCACUCAAGUCAUGUACAAUUUAAGAGAUAUAAACUAAAUGCUCAAAUCAAUGUCAAUACACCAAAGGGAUAACGAUGGGAUAGUCAAGUCUAAUUUUGUUACAUCAUGUCUUACUUUUAGGAUCUCAAUCCCAACAGUAUCACAUGGUAGUAGAAGAUAUAUGUUGAACUUUAUUGAUUAUUACUCUAGAAAGGUCUGGGUAUAUAUAUUCAAACACAAGAAUGAUGUCUUUGGGUAGUUCAAACAAUGGAAAGCUAUGUUCAAGAAGCAAACUAGAAAAUAAAUCAAGCACUUGAGAAUUGACAAUGGUAUGAAAUUUAUAUGGGAAGAGUUUAAUGAGUUUUGCAAGAAUGAAAGUAUUGUGAGACAUUACAUAGUUAGGCAUACUCCACAUAAAAAUGGUGUUGCAAAACAAAUGAAUGGAACUCUUUUAGAGAAAGCAUGAUGCACGCUUUCAAAUGCAGUGUUGUCAAAUGGAAUUUUAGGCUGAAGUGAUAAAUUCUACUUGUUAUCUUGUGAAUAGAUCUCCUUCAAUUCCUAUUAAUUAUAGGACUCCUGAAAAGAGAUGGUCUGGUUCUCUUUCUAAUUAUGGUAAUUUAAGAUUUUUUUUUUUCUUGUCCUACUUAUACUCAUGUAAAUGAAGGUAAGUUGGAACCAAGGAGAAGGAAGUGCAUAUUGUUAGGAUAUGCAGAUGAAGUGAAAGGGUACAAGUUAUGGUGACUAGAGUCAAAAUUCUCUAAAUUUAUAAUUAACAGGGAUGAGACUUUUAAUGAGUUUGAAAUGUUGUAUCCUAGGAAUGAGUAACUUGAUGUAGGAAACAACCCUAGUAUGAGAGAAAAUGUGGAGUUUGUGUCUAAAGCUUUAGAAACCAUAGAAAAAAAAAAUUAAAUAAGGCCAAAAGAGGAAGAAAUGCAACAUCUUAAUGAUAAAGAAAACGCACCAUAAGAGCAACAAUAUUAUUUAGCCAAAGAUAGAACAAAGAGGCAAAUUAAACCACCACAAAGGCAUGCUUAUGUAGAUUUGGUUGUUUAUGCACUUAGUAUGGUAAAGAACAUUAUUGAAAAUGAGGAACCACACACUUAUCAUGAAGUCAUCACUAGUAGAUGGUCUACACAAUGGAAUGUUGCUAUGAAUUAGGAGAUUAAAUCUCUUCAAAAGAACUAUACUUAACAACUAGUUGAGAAACCUAAAAACUCAAAAGAUUGUUGGUUGCAAAUGAUUCUUCAAAGAAAUGAAGGAAUUUCGGGAGUGGAGGAUGCUAGGUUCAAAGCACACUUAGUGGCAAAGGGUCACACACAAAAGGAGGGGGUGGGUUUCAAUGAAGUGUUUUCCCUAGUUGUGAAGCAUAACUCAAUUGGAGUGUUACUUGUUAUGGUUGUUUUAUUUAAUUUAGAAUUGGAGCAACUUGAUGUCAAGACUACUUUUUUACAUGAUAAGUUAGAAGAACAAAUUUAUAUGCAUCAACCUAAGGGAUUCAUUAUUUCGAGAAAAGAAAACCAUGUUUGUUUGCCGAAGAAAUCUCUUUAUGGUUUGAAGCAAUCUCCUAGGCAAUGGUAUAAAAGGUUUGAUACUUUUAUUAUUUGUAAUGGCCACCACAAGAGUGAGUAUGAUAAUUGUGUUCAUCAUAAGGAAUUGUUUGAUUAUUCUUUCAUUUAUUUAUUGUUAUAUGUUGAUGAUAUGUUAAUUUUCUACAAGAAUAUGUGAUAACCCGACUCUUGGUAGCUUGGCAUGUAAGGGUAUCAACAAAAUUUACACCUAAGGUCCUUACACUAAAGUAGCAAAGCUACUAUAGCAUAGUGGCUCUAGGAUCGAACACUGGGAAGGGUUUUUACUUUAACUGGUGAAGUUCGGAGGAUGGAGUGAACUUUUCUUAAUAAAAAUUAGGUUAAGAUGAAAACAUAAAAAGAUGAAGGCGUUGUAAACUAAACUAACAUGAAAAUAGGUUAAAAGAUGGAAAAAGAAGUUUCUCAAAGCUUUGGAUAGCCAUGCUUAACUCACUGUGUAAAAAUGGAGAUUUUGGGACUCUUCACCUCGAGUUGGGGAAGCAACUAAGGUGAUGCUUACUUCCCGAACCGGUAUGAGUUUAACAACUGAGUUUUAGUCCUUGAAAACUUACAAAAAGGGUAGCUGAACCUCAUAAAUGCUCUUUUAUUAGUAUAGGUCAUCUCCUCGACUUGCAAUACAAUGGCUCGUAGGAGAUAAUUAAUGAACGUCAGUGGAUCUAACAAUAAGAAUCCACUGAGACCAAAAGGUUAUCAAGUAUUGGCCAUUCAAAGCAAGUUAGAGGGAUUAAAAGCUUUACUUUGAAUGAAAACAUUUAUGACGCUUAGCUACUUACAUUUAUGGCUUGGAAAUCUUCAUCGUGACACGGGAGCUUCACAUGGCAUCCAUUACUUCAAGAAACUAAAAGGAUUUAGCCUUUCAUCCUUGGGGAUUUCAUCCUCCAAGGAUGUUUGGCUACUAAGAAAAUGAGAAAGAAAAGAGAAAAGAAGCGUAUGAACAGAAGUGCUCUUAUAACUUAUAAAGUUACAGGUUACAAGAUGAUCGUGUCUGAGGCUCUUCACCUCUAUUUAAAGACAAUAAAAAGCUAAAUUACAAGAGCUAUUACAAAAGCAACCUUUUCAUUGGUUGAUUACAAGGGUAAAAUAGAUUUUUACAAAGCUAAAAGUCAAGCAAAAUAUCUUGGAGAACCGGCAGUGGAAUAUCAUCAACAGCGUCUCAAAACAGGGGAUUUCAAAGGCAUUUCGCAAAGGGGGGGAGGGGGAGGGGAAGAUGAAAGGUCCAAAUUUUGCAAGGUGCCUAAAUCCAGCUUGCGAAAUUUCGCAAGGUGGUUUCUUCAUGGUGCGAAAUGGCCAAAUUUCGCACCAUGAGGAAAAUCCCCUUGCGAAAUUUUGGCAAGGCGAAAUUCACCUUGCGAAAUGGUGUUCCCAUUGCUUGUGCUCGUGUUUCCACUUGAAAUUCAAGCCUGUAAACGUCCAAAAUCCUUGCUUAACUCACCCAAGUAGCUCCUCCAUCAAUUGGUAUGCUUGAAUUGGUUCAUAAGCUGAUGAAAAACAUGUAAACUUGCCACUAAAAAUGGUUAGAACUAAUUACUAAGGAGCUUAAUGAAUUAAUUGGGUUAAAUGAAUAUGAUUACUACACAAAGGUGCUUAAAACCCUUAUAAUUAGGUCUACAAAAUAGCACUUUUUGGUAGUAAUCACACCCCCCAACCGACUCAUUGCUAGUCCCUUAGCAAUGGAGGAGAUAAAAACUAAGCAAACAUAAUAAUAUACAUAAAAGAGGUCAUGCAAAUCACUCCAAAAAAUAAUUGAGUGGCAUGACUGAUAUCAAAACACAUCUCACAUGGUGAACUAAAGAUAUGAAGAUUCAAAAUGCAAUAGGAGUUGUCAAAGCUAAAACUUAAACAAAAAGUACAAAGAGUGGAGAUUAUGCAAUUAAGUAUCAAAAGAAUCUCUACUCUCAAGGUUCCGAAUCAAACUCUUCCAUAAUGAGCUAAGUGUUAAUGAGAUUAGCUUCCAGAUAUAGUAUGUACAACUAUCCUCUCCCCCCAACCUAAGCUUUUCUCGAACUUUGGCAAAAUUAACCAACUCUUAAUAGGUUAGGAACGCACCUUCUUAUUCACAAUUCUUUUUAUUCACUAAACUUAACCAAUUCACCUAUGUAGCAAGCAGAGGAUCGAUGACUCCCAACCAAUCAGGGUUUAGGGCAUCGGGUUUUAAAGGCUUUCGCCACCCAUUCGGAUCAUGCUUAGGUUUCAAGGAAAGAAUAGAAGCUUAUUCUCUUUUUUUUUUUUUUUUUUUUUUUUUUUUAAGACUCAUUGGUCUUUUUGAGGUGUCCCAACACUAUUAAAAAGAGGUUAAGUAAUGAACCAAGUCAAAAUUUUCCUAAGCUUAAAGGGUGAGAAAGUUUUACAUCAUAUAUCCGAGAUCUAAUGUGCACGGUGUGUGUAAAGCUUGAAAUGGAAGAAAAAAGUUCGAAAUCAAAGAGGGUUUCAAUAGAUUAUCAACUUUGAAAGCAUAAAACAAACUCUAAGACUUAAGUAAUUAAGUUAAAACUCGACUUAUCCUAUUUUAUUUUGAGAAAUUAUCUUUAACAACCAUAGAGAAUGAAACAAAAAUUUUUGAAAAAGGUCAAAAACUACUAAAUCAACAAAAUAACUAACUAAAAUAGGAAAUACUUACUUCCUCAACUCUCCCCCCAACCGAGAUGAACAUUGUCCCCAAUGUUUCUAUCGAAAAAGACGAGGAAGGAAUGAUAUACCUUAUGGUGAUGUGGUAUUCAAGGCGUGUGAGUGCAUCCACAUGAUUCAAAAACCAUAAGAAACGUGAGAGAGGAAAUAAGAUACAAAAAAUGAUGCUUAUAUAAACUGAGAGAGUUGAGUACAAGAUAUAAGCAUGAGGUACAUACAAUCUCAGAAUAUAAAACAUGUAUCAUAUACAAAAUGGAGAUAGAAAUAUCCAAUCAUGGAUGUGGCUCCUGAGGUGGAGGAGGUGAUAUGCCCAGGUGAUGGUGGAUCUGAGAGAGCAUGGCGGAGUGCUGGUCCAGGAUAGCUGUAUGCUGAGCCUGAAUAGAUGUAUGCUGAGCCUGAUGUGUCUGUAUGGUAUCCAUCUGUCGUCUGAUGGCCUGCAUCUCACGGACUAAGGUGGCCUGAGAGGUGCUCAAUGAGUGAAAGGACGACAUGAGAGCUCUGAACUCUGUAGCGGAGACAGCAAUGGAUGGCCCGGCUGAAGACUCAGCAUAGGCUGGAGCAGGAGUGACUGGUGGUGUGGGAGUAUCAGUAGUGCAAGUCACUAGAGCAGGUACUGAAGAAGAAGGCUCUGUGGUAUGUGGGUCCUGCUCUGGUGAUGUCUGUGCUGUAGGUGCUGAGGUUGCUGGAGAAUCGGGAGGCGCUGGAGAAGCUGGAGGCGCGGGAGCUAAUGGUCUAGGGAUACCCUAGUCCAUGGGUGAGAGGUCUAAGAAAUGGGUCCAACUCUCACUGGUAAAGAGCUCUCGACAAUGAUGACGACGCUCUAGAUGGGGCUGAGAAGGGUAUCCCAUAUCCUCUAAGACCUGAGAGAUCAGCCUUGGAAAUAAGAGUGGAAUAGUACCAGCUCUGUGUAGGCGCUUCCUAUGCACCUUCUCCUCAAAAUAGGUAAGAGUAGCCAUGACUAGAUGGUGGGGUCCAAAGUAGAAUCCCUCAGAGAUGCGGUAAAGCGCAUCUAAGAUAGCACCUCUCCUCUGGACGACAUGCUGGAGGGGAAAAAGAUUGGUGCGGAGCACCAAAUCGAUAAGUAACAUCUGUGGAGGAAGCUCCCUCCUCAAAAUGGUCCUACCAGUGACUCUACCUCCUGAUAAGGUAGACACCAUGUCGGGCUCUGAAUACUGAGACCAAUGCCGGAAGGAACCAAGGUCCUCAAGGAUAGGCGGAAAAUGCAUAGCGGCGGCUAUAUCUCGGGCCUCUAAAAUACCAUGCUGGCCAUCAAUAAAAAAAUGAAUGGCUAUGGGGUCCGGACGCCUCUAGUAGUCAUAGUCUGGUAGAAAUCUAAGACUACCCUAGGGUAAUAGAAGGACCUAGGAGUCAUAAAUGGCUCGAUGUGGUACCUCUACAGAAGGCGGUAUGACUCCUCUAGCUCUGGUAAUAGGCGGAGAGUCUCAUGCUCCAUACAGAUCUCGUAGUGAAAUGGCCUAUCUCUGAUAUCCGUGUUGCCUGGGAGGGGUGGCCCUACUAUCAUAGGCCGCUUGAGGACCUCUGCUAGGUGUGAAGGGCCUGGGAUAGUAGAUAUUGGAGGUGAUGGAGGGGCUCUGGAGGACUCGCCUGGUCCUGAAAUCCUAGUCCUCUUAGGUGAAAGACUGCUCACAAGGGGUGGCAUUGGUGCCCUGGAAGACCCAGAUGAUCGUCUGGUCCCGUACCCGUGCUGAGUAGAGGGAACUGGGGUCUGGGCAGGCUGAGAUGGUGUAGAACGACCACCUCUCUGUGAGUGGGCCCCACGCUGACUAGCUGAAGAGGAUGCCCCCCGUGUCUGUGCCAUGGUAUAAAUACUGAAAUAAGACUGAAAAGCACGAAAAAUAGAGCAUCCCUGAUUACUACCAAAAAGUGCUAUUUUGUAGACCUAAUCAUAAUGGUUUUAAGCACCUUUGAGUAGUAAUCAUAUUCAUUUAACCCAAUUAAUUCAUUAAGGUCCUUAGUAAUUGGUUCUAACCAUUUUGUGGUAAGUUUUGGUGCUUUUUGAUAGCUUUUUGCUCACCAAAGCAAUCCAAGAAUGAGGGAGAGCUGUAUAUAGUUCAUGGCAAAGCUUUUGAAAGCUCAAAUUCAUGAAGAAACCAAGCUUUGGAGCUCAAUAACCCUUUUCCAAAGUCGUUCAAAGUAUGCAAGGAAAGAACAAACGGAGAGAGGAAAACAGAGUAAGGAAAAUAGGGGACAGCAACUGCAGCCUUCCUUCGCACUUUUAGAGCACUUUCCGAAGUUCAUUUUCUACAUGCUAUAUACCAUUUCAAAGCUCAGGAAGUCAAGAAUCUAAAGCUUCAAACCGUGUACGAUUUGGAGCUGAAAUGAGGAAGAUAUGGCCUUAGGAAGACAACUGCAUCAAGCUAAAGGACAAUUUCGCACCUUGCGAAAUUGGAACUCCAACGUGCGAAAUUUAAAGUGGAUGGCAGCUGUGUAGUUGCGGUGAAGCCCAGCAUGCGAAGUUGAUUUUGCAACUUGUGGACUUGGAUCUCAACAUGAGAAAGUGAAUUCUAAGUUGCGAAAUCAACUUGCGAAAUUUUCGCAAGUCACCAUGCAACGUGCGAAACUGGGAUAUUUAUGCCGACUCUUUUUCUUCUGAUAUUUUUGUGUCUAAAUUUCCAUUUUCUCCUUGUAUUCAGCCACUCAUGUAAUUCCUUAGCUAUGAAGUAUCCAAGGAAGGGUAAAUUACCUUCCUAUAUAAACUCUCUUGUAAACACUGAAAAAAGGACUCUCGGGGAGCUUUUUCCAAGAGACCAACUUAUGUAAAUUUUACACUUAGUGAAAUACAGAGAUCUCUUUUGCUUUCUUUUUCUCUCUACUAUUUUCUUUUUCUUGGAAGCCAAACAGCCUCUGAGGAUGUUUUCCCAGGGGAUGAGAGGCUAAACUUAUAGUUUCUUGGAGUGAAGGAAGCUAGGUGAAAAGUCCAGAUGAAAAGGUGGAAAGCUUCCGUGCAUUAAAUUCAGGUAGUUGGAGUUCAUAAAUGGCUUCUAAAUCCAAAGUUUUGCUUUAAAUCCCUUAGAAUCACUUUGAACGGCCAAUACAUGGUAAGCUUCAGGUCUCUGUGGAUGCUUAUUGCUAGAUCCAUAUCAGUCCAUUAGUUAUCAUGUACGAGCCAUUGGAAAGUGGUUCAAGGUGAAGACCCAUAGUGUCUUAAGCCAUUAAUGGACCUUGACUAUCAUUUCUAUUGACUUUUUAUAGAUUAAAUCUUCAUUGUUAAACCUAUACCGGUUCGGGAAAUAACUAUAGGUUAAAUCCCCAAUGCGAGGAGAAAAAUCCGGAAUUUCCACUUUGCAUUCUGAACUUGAUCCUAGCAACCCUUAGCUCCGGGAGACUUUCUUUCUUCCAUUUUUACUUAGUUCUAUGUUAGUUUAAUUUCAGUCACCACUUGCAAAACAAAUUUUAUUUUCUUUUAAACUUCAAGUUUAUGAUAAAGGAAAUCAUCAGACUCAAUUUCUAAUCUAGAGUCUGUCACUGAUAGAGUGAAAACCCAUCCCUGAGUUCGACCCUAGAGCUGCUAUACUAUAGUAGCUUUGCUACGCCAGUAUAAGGUCAUAGGAUUUAUAAAUAUUUUUUUAUUAAAAGACCCGACGGGGUAUGAAUAAAUCCCAGGGGUAAAGUGUCAAAAAUAUAGUUGAAAUGGUAACCAGUGCAAAAUUUGCAAGGCAUGAAUAGUGGUUGCUAAAUUUGGCAACGGGCACUAUUCACGCAACACUAAUCACAGGCACUAUUCAUCUUCUUUUCCAAUGCUUACUUUGAAUUUGAGUUUUCAUUUUUAACGGUUUAAAGUUCAGAAAAAGGGUAUGGUUUUAAUGGAAACAUGAUUCUAAAUGCAAUGGAGUAAGUUUGGGAGCCUAAAACACAUUGCAAGAUAGAGAUUUUUGCAAAAAUGGUGGCCGGCCAUGUGGGUCUUUGAUUUGAAAAAAUGGAUUUUUGAAAUGGUUUUAAUGGAUGAAAAUGCAUGUUUAUGGUCCCUUAAACAUUGAAAUGACAUAAACAAGCAAUUUAAGGAGCCAAAAAUGGAGAAAAAUGAAAAAUUAUUCACCUUGGAACAAUGAAGCACGCGGCCUAGAGAGGAAAUGCAAGGGGAAUAGUGUUUUAUGCAUGAAAAAUGAAGUUGAGAAGGCUUUAAAAAGGGUUUUUGGCCAUGAAUUUUUUUUUGAAAAUUUGUCUAAGUACGGGGAUGAACUGAGGAGUGUUAAAACUACAAAAUUGAAGUUUGAAAAUGAAUUUAAAAAGAAUCAAAUCCUUGGUAAGCAUGAAGAAAAAAUUUCGCAAGGUGAAAAUUCACCUUGCCAAAUUUUCGCACUGGCUACUCCCCUUAAAAACCAAUUCCGAGAGGUUGUAAAUUGCAUCUUGCCAAAAUGUGCAUUUCGCAAGGUGAAAAUUGACUUGCGAAAAUUUUCGCACUGGUUACUCCUUGCGAAAGUGCAAUCCCAGCGAAAGUGCAAUCCCGAGAGGUCGUAAAUUGCAUCUUGCCAAAAUGUGCAUUUUGCAAGGUGAAAUUCACCUUGCCAAAUUUUCGCAACUCACUUUUUGAGUUGCGAAAUGGGCUUUUAAGCUUGGACUUAGAUAUAUUUCUCCCCUAUUUCACCUUUCUCUCCACAUUUAUGAGCUUGUGAGCUUUUGUACCUGCUAUUGGACAUCAAAGCUCCAUUAAAAACAUUAAAAAAUCAAAAUCAAAACUAAGAAACCUAAACAAAAUAUGUGCAAAAGUAUUAAAAAUGCAAAGUAAACAAGAAUGUAAUACUAAAAUUAAAACAAAAAGAGAUGAGCACUUAACUUUUCAUGCUAAGCUCAUCAACUUACCACACUUUCUCAAGGAUGUGAUGGGUCAUGGAGGAUGAGUACCUCCUUGUCACGGGAAAAUGGCUCGAUGUAGGGUUUGAGUCUUUGCCCAUUUACCUUGAAGAUCUUUGCACUUUUUGAAUUGAGUAACUCAAUUACUCCAUGUGAGUGUACUUGGUGGAUGACAAAAGGCCCUACCCACCUUGAUUUGAGCUUUCCCGGAAAUAUGUGAAGCUUAGAGUCAUAUAGCAAGACUCUUUGUCCCUUGAAAAAUUCUUUCUUGGUCACCAACUGAUCAUGCCAUCUCUUUAGCUUUUCCUUAGCUAUUUUUGAGUUGAGAUAGGCAUCAUUUCUCAAUUCCUCAAGCUCAUUCAAAUCCAAACUCCUCUUUAGCCUAGCCUUUGUUAAAUCCAUGUUGAGCUUUUUAAUGGCCCACCAUGCCUUGAACUCAAUCUCAACGGGAAGAUGGCAAGCUUUGCCAUAAACAAGACAGUACGGUGACAUCCCAAGGAUAGUCUUAUAAGUCGUCCUAUACGCCCAUAGGGAAUCAAGGAGCUUAAACAAACCAAUCUUUCUUAUUGGUGUUCACCACCUUCAUCAAGAUGUUCUUAAUUUCCCGGUUGGCUAGCUCUACUUGGCCACUCGUCUGAGGAUGAUAAGGUGUAGCUACCUUAUGCUUAAUUCCGUACUUGGCCAAAAGAGCUUCAAAGGGCUUGUUGCACAAGUGAGUGCCUCCAUCACUGAUGAUUGCUUUAGGCACUCCAAACCUCGAGAAGAUGUUUUCUUUUAGGAACUUGAGAACCACUUUGUGAUCAUUGGUUCCACAGGGUAUAGCUUCAACCCACUUUGAAACAUAAUCAACUCCUACCAAGAUGUAGGAGUGGCCAAAAGACAUAGGGAAAGGUCCCAUGAAGUCUAUGCCCCAAACAUAAAAAAGAUCCACUAUCAAGAUGGGGUUCAAAGGCAUCAUGUUUCUCCUUGAAAGCUUGCCUAGUCUUUGGCACUUAUCACAUCCUUUACUUACCUCAUGGGCAUCCUUAAAAAGUGAGGGCCACCAAAAGCCCGAUUGAAGAACUCUCAUUGCCGUCUUUUGAGAGGCAAAGUGGCCUCCACAUGCAUUCCCAUGGCAAUGAGAUAGGAUCCCAUGCUUCUCUUUUUCAGGCACACACUUCCUUAUAAUUUGGUCUGCACAAUACUUGAAGAGAAAAGGCUCCUCCCAAUAAUAUGCAUGGACCUUGGCAAAGAAAUUCUUCUUGUCCUGAGAGCUCCAUUCACUUGGUAUUUCUCCCGUGACCAAGUAAUUGGCAAUGUGUGCAAACCAUGGCACUUCCUCCACAAGCAUCAAGGAUUCCUCAGGGAAAUCAUCAUUUAUGGGAAGUCCAUGGGUGUCAUGAGCGAUGUUGAGCCUUAACAAGUGGUCAGCUACCACAUUCUCAAUACCUUUCUUAUCUCUGAUCUGGAGGUUGAACUCUUGAAGCAAAAGUAUCCACCUAAUCAACCUAGCCUUGGCAUCUUGCUUGGUUAGCAAAUACUUCAAAGCUGAAUGAUCCGUGAAUACCACAAUGGAAGACCCUAUCAAAUAAGCUCUGAACUUAUCCAAAGCAUACACCACAGCAAGUAAUUCCUUCUCAGUGGUGGUGUAAUUCCUUUGAGCAUCAUUCAAAGACUUGCUUGCAUAGUAGAUCACAUAAGGUUUACCAUCUUCUCUUUGUCCCAAAACAGCCCCAAUGGCAUAAUCACUUGAGUCACACAUCACUUCAAAUGGCAACUCCCAAUUUGGUGCUCUCAUAAUGGGCGCUGAUGUCAAGAAUUGCUUAAGAAGCUCAAAACUCCUUUGACAUUUAUCAUCCCACUCAAACUUGGCAUCCUUCACCAAUAAUUCACAAAGAGGUUUGGCAAUCUUGGAAAAAUCCUUUAUAAACCUCCUAUAGAACCCGGCAUGCCCAAGGAAUUGCCUUAUUCCUUUUACAUUGGUGGGAGGUGGCAACUUCACAAUUAGUUCCGCCUUAGCUCUAUCUACCUCUAUACCCUUCUUUGAGAUUACGUGCCCAAGAACAAUACCUUGAUUUACCAUAAAAUGGCACUUCUCCCAAUUGAGUACUAGGUCUUUCUCUAUGCAUCUUUUCAAAACAUCUUCAAGAUGUGACAAACAAUCCUCAAAAGAAGUCCCAUACACAGUUAUGUCAUCCAUGAAGACUUCCAUGAUUCGUUCAACCAUGUCACUGAAGAUGCUAAGCAUGCAUCUUUUGAAGGUAGCAGGAGCGUUGCAUAAUCCAAAAGGCAUCCGCCUAUAAGCAUAGGUGUCGAAUGGACAAGUGAAGGUAGUCUUCUCCUGGUCCUCCACAUCAAUCUCUAUUUGAAAAUACCCGGAAUACCCAUCCAAGAAGCAAUAAAAAGGAUGCCCAGAUACUCUCUCAAGGACUUGAUCCAUGAAAGGUAAAGGGAAGUGAUCCUUUCUCGUUACUGUGUUCAACUUCCUGUAGUCAAUGCACACCCUCCAACCAGUUGUGAGGUGUGUGGACACUUCAUCUCCAUUUUCCCCCUUGACUACGGUUAUCCCGGACUUCUUUGGAACAACUUGGGUUGGACUCACCCAAGUGCUAUCUGAAAUGGGGUAAAUGAUGCCCGCUUGAAGAAGCUUCAACACUUCAGCCCUUACUACCUCUUGCAUAUGAGGAUUCAAUCUCCUCUGUGGCUGACGAGUUGGCUUAGCUCCCUCCUCCAUAUAAAUAUGGUGCGUGCAAAUCAAUGGGCUUAUCCCCUUCAAAUCAGAAAUUUGCCAUCCGAUGGCCUUCUUGUGCUUUCUAAGGAUUCUUAGAAGAUUGUCCUCUUGUGAAACGGUUAAAGAAGAAGAAAUUACCACUGGGGCUUUAUUGCCUUCCUCCAAGUAAGCAUACUUCAACUCGGCAGGAAGGGUCUUCAAUUCAAGCUUAAGGAUUGCAUCCUUAGCUUCUUUCAUCUCUUCCUCAUCCUUGAACAAAGGGAGGAUCACUGGCUUUUGUCUCCAGUUUGACAUAACAGCAUUCAUUCCCAUGGGUUCAGCUAACCCAUCAUUAAGAUCUUCAUGGAUUUCAUCUGGAUUCUCUUCAAACUAAUCAAGCAUACUCUGAUUACAAUGCUCCUCCACCAGGGUAUCUAUCAUACACACUUCUUCUAGGCCCUCAUCUUCUUCAGGAUGGAUGUGCUUUUGACAUAGAUGGAAGAUGUUGAGUUCCAAUGUCAUAUUCCCAAAAGUGAGUUGCAUGACCCCGUUCCUACAAUUGAUGAUUGCAUUGGAUGUUGCAAGGAAUGGUCUUCCAAGGAUGAUUGGAACAUAGUUGAUCCCUUUGACAAUGGGAUCCGUAUCAAGCACCACAAAAUCUACUGGAUAGUAGAAUUUGUCAACUUGAACCAAUACAUCCUCUAUUACCCCCCUGGGGAUUUUCACUGAUCGGUCAGCUAAGGAUAGGGUGAUCGAUGUUGGCUUGAGUUCUCCCAACCCCAGGUCCUUGUAUAUAGAGUAUGGAAGCAAGUUAACACUUGCCCCCAAAUCAAGCAAUGCCUUCUCCACUUGGGUUCCUCCAAUAUUGACUGAGAUUGUAGGACACCCCGGAUCUUUGUAUUUGAUUGGAGAGUUGCAUUAGAUUAUAGCACUCACUUGCUCGGUUAGGAAGGCUUGCUUUGUAACAUUGAGUCCUCUUUUCACAGUGCACAAGUCCUUCAAAAACUUUGCAUAUGUGGGUACUUGCUUGAUCAUAUCAAGUAAAGGAAUAUUCACCUUCACUUGUCUUAGCACAUCAAGAAUCUCAGAAGCAUUCUUGAUUGGUUUCUUCCCACGCAAGGCUUGAGGAAAUGGAGGAGGCAUGUGCUUCUUCAUCAUGCCUUCCUUUAAAAGAAUUUGAGGUUCCUCAUCCAUGCUAGGAAUGAUGCUUUCUUUCAUCUGAACUUCCUUACCCUUUUGUUCUUUCUUCUUUUCUUCUUUUCUAUCAGCCUUGUCUUCGUUGGCUUUCCUCUGAUCAUGCUCCGGCUGAUGCACUUCCUUACCACUUCUCAAAGUGAUAAUAGCUUGCACGUCCCUCACCUUUGAAGAAUCCUCAUCUUUAGAUUCCACUUCAUGUAUCCCCUUAGGAUUUUGGUGAGGCUGAGAGGGAAACUUCCCUUUCUCAUUGACAGUGUUCAAAUUUGUAAGCCUUGAGAUGGAAUAUUGGAUGUUGUCAAUUUUCUGAGACAACUCAUUAUGCAUCCCAUCUAUCUUCUUGUUCAAUGUACUCUCUACGUUGUCAAUCUUCUGAUUUAGUUGAGAGUUGAUGGAUUUUUGGUCACUCACAAAGUCACCCAUAACCUUGCUAAGGCUUAUGAGUGCUUGCUCAACUGAGGAUUGACCUUGACUCUGUUGGCUUGAUUGGGCUGGUGACUGAUAUGGGUUUGGCCUUGGCUUCCAUGCAAAUUUUGGGUGGUUCCUCCAGCUAGAGUUGUACGUGUUGCCAUAGGGAGCAUUUGAAUUUGGCUUCCAUUGGCCAAUCAGGUUAGCUUGUUCCUCGAACAUUUCUCUUGCUGCUGGAAUGGUGGGACAUUCUUCCACCAUAUGUUCAAAUGACUAACAGAUGGAGCAAGGAUUGGCUUGUUGUUGAGGUUCUGAAAUAGCUUGGACUUCGUGAACUUUUCUCAACUCCAUUUCCUCCAUUUUUCUAGCCAUGGCAGCUACCUUGGCUUUCAUCUCCAUGUCUUCACUCAGAUUGUACAUCCCCCCUCUUGACAUUUGCUGAACUGGCCUCUUCCCCAUUUCUCUGUUAUUGGGCUCAUCCCAUCCACGGGAAACCUCUGAGACAUAACUUAGGAAAUCCAUAGCCUCCUCAGGGUUCUUGCUCAUGAAAUCACCCCCACACAUUGUCUCCAAUAUCUGCUUCAUUGAAGAUGACAUGCCAUCAUAAAAAUAGCUCACCAACAGCCAUGUAUCAAAGCCGUGGUGAGGACAUGCAUUGAUGGCCUCCAUAUACCUCUCCCAGUAUUCAUAAAAUUUUUCAUUCUCACGUGCUGAGAAGUUGGAGAUUUGUCUCUUCAAUCCAUUUGUUCUAUGAGUAGGGAAAAACUUCUUCAAAAAAUCAGCUUGAAGUUCUGUCCAUGUUCUUAUGCUUCUCGGCCUCAAGGAAUUGAGCCAUAUCUGGGCUUUGUCCUUUAAUGUGAAUGGAAAGAGCUUCAACCUCAUAAGCUCAAUAGCUGUUCCCCCUUCUUGAAAAGUAUUGCACACAUCUUCGAAUUCCUUUAUGUGCGCAUAUGGAUUUUCACUUUCCAUCCCAUGGAAAGUAGGAAGCAGAGGCACGAUGUGUGGCCUGAUAAUCAAUUGCUUUGUAGGAGGAAUGAUGCAAGAUGGUGCACUCAUCCUCGGAGGGUGCAUCCUGUCCCUCAUGGACCUAUACAAGUUCGGAUCAUUCUACUGCCCGUGUUGUGAAUGUUGAUCCUCUGGCUGAUUCUCCAUGACUUCCAAAAUAAUCUCUAAUUCAGUAGCUCGUGGAGUCUCUAUCCGCACUAACCUUCCCUCUUGGUCUCUAAUCCAAUAGGGCAUGCACGGAUUCAGCUGGAACAAAACAAAUAAACAAAACAAAGAAAAAGAAAAAAAAAACAGAGCAUGCGGAAGGAAAAACAAAGUAUGAAAAAUAAACUAAAAAUGAAAGUUAAAAGCUAAAAGAAACUUAUCUAAACUAAGUUAAAAAUGUUCUAAAACUAAAAUAAAAAGUUAGUAAAUGAAAAAUGAGAUAGAAUUCACCUCACUCAUGAGAAGUCUCACAAGUUACCUCCGGCUGAUCUAUUCACAGUGAAGUAGCACCCCUCCUCGGCAACGGCGCUAUUUGAUAACCCGACUCUUGGUAGCUUGGCAUGUAAGGGUAUCAACAAAAUUUAUACCUAAGGUCCUUACACUAAAGUAGCAAAGCUAUUAUAGCAUAGUGGCUCUAGGAUCGAACACUGGGAAGGGUUUUUACUUUAACUGGUGAAGUUCGGAGGAUGGAGUGAACUUUUCUUAAUAAAAAUUAGGUUAAGAUGAAAACAUAAAAAGAUGAAGGCGUUGUAAACUAAACUAACAUGAAACUAGGUUAAAAGAUGGAAAAAGAAGUUUCUCAGAGCUUUGGAUAGCCAUGCUUAACUCAUUGUGUAAAAAUGGAGAUUUUGGGACUCUUCACCUUGAGUUGGGGAAGCAACUAAGGUGAUGCUUACUUCCCGAACCGGUAUGAGUUUAACAACUGAGUUUUAGUCCUUGAAAACUUACAAAAAGGGUAGCUGAACCUCAUAAAUGCUCUUUUAUUGGUAUAGGUCAUCUCCUCGACUUGCAAUACAAUGGCUUGUAGGAGAUAAUUAAUGAACGUCAGUGGAUCUAACAAUAAGAAUCCACUGAGACCAAAAGGUUAUCAAGUAUUGGCCAUUCAAAGCAAGUCAGAGGGAUUAAAAGCUUUACUUUGAAUGAAACAUUUAUGACGCUCAGCUACUUACAUUUAUGGCUUGGAAAUCUCCAUCCUGACACGGGAGCUUCACAUGGCAUCCAUUACUUCAAGAAACUAAAAGGUUUUAGCCUUUCAUCCUUGGGGAUUUCAUCCUCCAAGGAUGUUUGGCUACUAAGAAAAUGAGAAAGAAAAGAGAAAAGAAGCGUAUGAACAAAAGUGCUCUUAUAACUUAUAAAGUUACAGGUUACAAGAUGAUCGUGUCUGAGGCUCUUCACCUCUAUUUAAAGACAAUAAAAAGCUAAAUUACAAGAGCUAUUACAAAAACAACCUUUUCAUUGGUUGAUUACAAGGGUAAAAUAGGUAUUUACAAAGCUAAAAGUCAAGCAAAAUAUCUUGGAGAACCGACAGUGGAAUAUCAUCAACAGCGUCUCAAAACAAGGGAUUUCAAAGGCAUUUCGCAAAGGGGGGGAAGAUGAAAGGUCCAAAUUUCGCAAGGUGCCUAAGUCCACCUUGCGAAAUUUCGCAAGGUAGUUCUUCAUGGUGCGAAAUGGCCAAAUUUCGCACCAUGAGGAAAAUCCCCUUGCGAAAUUUUGGCAAGGCGAAAUUCACCUUGCGAAAUGGUGUUCCCAUUGCUUGUGCUCGUGUUUCCACUUGAAAUUCAAGCCUGUAAACGUCCAAAAUCCUUGCUUGACUCGCCCAAGUAGCUCCUCCAUCAAUUGGUAUGCUUGAAUUGGUUCAUAAGCUGAUGAAAAACAUGUAAACUUGCCACUAAAAAUGGUUAGAACUAAUUACUAAGCAGCUUAAUGAAUUAAUUGGGUUAAAUGAAUGUGAUUACUACACAAAGGUGCUUAAAACCCUUAUAAUUAGGUCUACAAAAUAGCACUUUUCGGUAGUAAUCAAUAUGUCUGAGAUUAACAAGUUGAAAACUCAACUUCAAGGAGAGUUUGAAAUAAAAGACCUUGGAGUUGGGAAGAAAAUAUUAGGUAUGAAGAUUCAUAGAGACCGAGAAGUAUGGCAAUUGUACUUAUCAUAGAAAAAGUAUAUUGAGAUAGUGUUGGAACAGUUUGGAAUGCAAGGGUAAAAACCAAUGAGUACUCAACCAGCAACUCACUUCAAACUUUCAAGUUCUUUAUUACCAUAGACCAAAGAAGAAAUGGAGUACAUGUCACAUGUUCCAUAUGCUAGUGCAAUUGAUAGCAUUAUGUAUGUCAUGGUUUGCACUAGGCCAAACAUUUCACAUGUAGUUAGUGUGGUAAGUAGAUAUAUGGAUCACCUUAGAAAGAUCCAUUGGGAAGCAAUGAAUGGAUACCUUGGUACUUGAGAGGAACAUCACAUAUUGACUUAGUAUAUGAUAAAAGUAGUGACAUCUCUGAGGAAAUCGGUGGUUAUGUUGAUUCUGAUUAUUCUAGAGAUUUGGAUAGAAGAAGAUUUUUAAUAGGGUAUGUAUUCACUUUAUGUGGUAGUGUUAGUAGUUGUAAAGCAACUUUGUAAUCUACAAUUGUUUUAUCAACCACUAACGUAGAAUACAUGGUGGUCACAGAAGCAGUGAAAGAAAUUAUUUGCCUUAAGGGUUUGGUUGGUGAUUUAAGCUUACAAUAGGAGUUGAUUGUUAUGUAUUGUGAUAACCAAAGUACCAUAUUUGACUAAAAAUCAAAUGUUCCAUGAGAUGAGCAACCAUAUUGAUGUCAAUGCAUUUUAUUAUGGAUGUGAUCGCAUAGGGUGCUAUUAUAGUGAAAAAAAAAUCCUUAUAGUGGAUAAUCUCAUAGAUAUGAUGACUAAGUCCAUUUCUAUAGUUAAGUUUAUGCAUUGCUUAGACUUGGUGUUAAUAGUAUCUAAAGGCCCUUUUCAGGUGUGAGGUCGAAGUAACAUGGAAGACUUUUGAGUUUUUUUUUUUUUUUUUUUUUUUUUAAUCUUGAGAAUUUGAGCCAAGGUGGAGAUUGUUGAAAAAUAUUUCAAAUUCUAUUUUUGAGUCAAUUGGACAAUUGUAGAUAGUUUUCUAAUAGAAAAUAUUCUUGUAAGUGAGUUUCCUAUUAUUAUAAAAGAAAUAUUCUUUUAGUAAAAGACAUCUUUGACAAUUAUACACUUAGUGUUUUAUAUGGAAUAUUUCUAUGUAAUUAGGAAAAUAUAUGUAUAGGAAGAGAUUUUGACCAAAAUAGUGGAAGUCUCUUUUUAGGUGUAAUUGGGACUUUGGGAUUUGAAAGCUCUAAGGUUGUAAUCUCCUUCAACAAUAGUGGAAAUUCUUCUUUGUCAUCACCUAUGGAUGUAGGCUUGAGGCUAAACCACAUAAAUUGUUAUGUACUUUGUGUGUUUUGUUUUCAUUUUCUUAUUCUUUUAUCCCUAUUAUUAUUCUUUGUCAUGAUUUUUCCCAAUAGAAGUAUAUAUAUACCAUGAGACUUGCAUGGUGGGAAGGGUAUAUUUCAUAUUAGUGACAAGAAGCAGAGCUUACUCAAUUGUGCUUUUUCUUUCAGAAUAUGGAAGGGGUUUCCUUAUGCUCAAGAAAUGCAUAGAUUCAAUUGAAUAAAUUGAGGAAUGCUUUACUCAAUUGUGUUUUUCCUUUCAGAAUAUGGAAUGGGUUUCUUUAUGCUCAAGAAAUGCAUAGAUUCAAUUGAAUAAAUUGAGAAAUGCUUACUCAAUUGUAUUUUUCCUUUCAAAAUAUGGAAGGUGUUUCCUUAUGCCCAAGAAAUGCAUAGAUUCAAUUGAAUAAAUUGAGGAAUAUGAUUGUUCUUUUUCUUUUUCUUUUUAUUUUUUAAAUAAUAGAUGAGCCAAGAUGGAACUUACGUGGAACACAUUGAUUCCAGUCAUUUUCUUGGACAAAGAUAUGCCCAAAAUAUGGGAAAAAGGCAUUUUAAAAUUAAAAAUGAUUUUAAAUUUAAGAGUUUCUUUUUUAUAUGUUUAAAAACUUUUUAAUGGGUAGAUUUGAAUUGUAACUUGCAAUUUAAUCUAAAGAACAUUCGAAAAUUAAAAAUUACAAUAAUGAGAUUCUCAAUCCUUCAAAAUGAAAUUAAUUUAAUCCUCUUUCUUUGUAAAUUAUCCCUCAAUUAAAUCAAUCUUUUAAAAAUUGAAUCUACUAAAUGAUAAUAUUCAUAUUUAAUCAAUUUAUUGUUGGAAUUUAUAUAGGUGAAUGGAAAUUAGGACUUCUUUUUUUUUUUCCCCCUUGGAAAACAUGCUAUUUCUUAACAGACACAACUUGUUUUAAAGAAUAUGUCUUGUAUUUAAAAGACAUCUUAAGAUACAAUCCUUCAAAGGAUACUAGACACAUCUUUUCUAAUAAGUCACCUUCAAAUCUUUAAAUAGGGACCCCACAUAGCAUUUUCAUUCAUUCAUCCAUUCUCUCCACUCUUUCUCAUUUCUUGUCAUUCAAGUUCUCUUUAACUUCUAGUCUAGUCAUUUAUCUUUUCUACCAAAUAUUUGGUAUACAAGAGAGUACAAAUCACCAAGUGAUUCAUUGUUUCUUGUGAUUUGAAGUACUACUAUCACAAGAAAGUGAUCGUUGUAUCCUGGGAGACGAUUGUCAAUAAACCGUAAGCACCUAAGCGGGACAAAUUCGUCUUAAGAACACAGAGUCAAACUCUUGUUUCGAUCAACCUUAUUUGUAAGUUCCAAUUUUCUAAUUACUUCAUUUUAUUUGAAUAUUUAUUACACACACUUAUUAUCCAUAUAUUUUGAGUGAUAUGGAUAACAUUUAUCUUUUUGUAUAAAUUCCUAAAUUUAUAUAACAUAAUUUAAACUUAAUUUCAUUUUGAUUCAAUUUUGUUUCAUGUUUUAUAAUUCUAUAAGGUUGAAUUUAGGGAUGGCAAUGGGCGGGUUUUUUCGGGUACCCACCCCGUCCCGCCCCUAAUGAGACGGGGUUUAAAUUUAAUAAACGGGUUUGGGACGGGUAUGAGAUUUUUUUUUAAACCCGGGGCGGGUUCGGGUAUUGCUCCAUCCCACCCCGCCCCACCCCGUUUACAUAUAAAAUUAAUUUUAAUUCAACGAGCUUAAUUCCACCCAAGAAUCCCUCUUCCCAAACCCAGAAACCCCACCAUUUUUCCUUCACGAAAGCUCUCAAAACUCCACCUAAUCAGAUCUGUUCAAGAACAAUUUGAUCACCAGCCUCUUACUCGGUCAACACCCAGAUGGGAAAACAUGCUUUCCACUGCAGCAAGCUUGUACCCUCUCUAUGUCACUGCUGGAGGGGUUGUUGCAUGUGUGAAGCCAUCUGUUUUUGCUUGGUUUGUGGCGAGAGGCCCAGCUUCUUAUAGCUUAUCACUUGGGUUAAUCAUGUUGUCCAUGGGUAUCACAUUGAAGCUCAGGGACUUCUUCAAUUUAUUGAUCCAGAGGCCUUUUUCUGUGAGUUUUUUAUGGUUUGGAGUUUUUGGGUGUUUUGGUAUUUGAUUGUUUUUGAGACAUGGNNNNNNNNNNNNNNNNNNNNNNNNNNNNNNNNNNNNNNNNNNNNNNNNNNNNNNNNNNNNNNNNNNNNNNNNNNNNNNNNNNNNNNNNNNNNNNNNNNNNGUUGAAUUCCAAUCAUAAUUAAAAAUUAAAUUGAUUUGUUAUAAUAUUAAAUAAGAUAUCUUUUGAAAAAAUUAUUAUAAUCAUUUAACAUAAUACAAAUUUCACCAAGUUUUUCUAACUAUGGUUCUCUAAUAAUUACCUUGUAAUAAUAAAAUUAAUUCUAACAAUAUAUGUCAUAAUCAAAUUUCAAAAAUCCAAUCUCAAAUAAUUUAAUAGCUGAGUUUAAAUUUAAUUUUUGAAAUUCUUAAUUUCCAAAUGUGACUUGACAAGAAUUUAAACUAUUGACUUUCGACUAAGGUUUUACACAUUUUGCCUAAUUAAAUAAAAUAUUGACACGUGAAUGUUCACUAACAUCACGUGAUUCAUUGAUUUAGACGAUUCAUUUUGGUUGAUGUUGAGGAUAGUCAUCGGCAGUAGACUAACAUCUUCUGGACCAAUUAACAUACCAGUAGUGAUUAGGCCAAGGUGGUGAUCCAAUUCCAUGGAAGAGCAGCAAGAAAGGAGGAACGUUGGAGAGAUAGAACCAGAAGGCGGCCAACCAAGCAGGAACAGUGGCCAAACUGGCCUCGAGCCUGAGGAGCAUAGGAUUGACAUUGUUGAAAUCAGUCAUAGGGAUUGGAUUGAGUCUCUCAGAACGGCAGAAGAAAGAACUCAAUCUCAAAGUCAAUGGCCAAGGAUACCAAAGGUUCCUCAGAUGCUGAGGGGGACCCAGGAUUUCAAGAAAUUCUACGAACCGAGGGUAAUUUCGAUCGGUCCUUACCACCAUGGCAGGCCCCACCUUUACCCAGGGGAAAUGAUCAAGCCUCUAUGCGCCCGAAACUUCCUGGCUGAUAGUAAGCAGGACAUCGAAGCUUUGUACACAAAAAUUGUAAGUAAUAUCGAGGCAGUGGAAAAGUGCUAUGAUUGGAGUAGUACAAAAAAGUAUGAUGAUGAGAAACUCGCCAGGAUGAUGCUUCUGGAUGGGUGUUUUUUACUAUAUUUCAUCUGCAGGGAAGGUAUGAUAAACGUUCUUAAAGUUCACGAAAUAGAUUUUGUGGAGCAGGACUUGUUCUUGCUGGAGAACCAACUUCCCUUUGGAGUCCUCAAGUUGAUUUUUGAGGGAGCAAAUUUCAAGGUUGAUCUACCAAUGGAAAAGAAUAUAAUAAAAUUCGUCACUGUCAUCGGAAUGCCAGAAGGGUUGUCAUCAGAAAUACAGCUGAAAGAGGUGAACUAAGAGCCCUCUCAUCUCCUCGACCUUUUGCGAAGUGCUCUCCUAGGCAGGUUCCACAUGAUUAGGAGUCAGCCCGAAAAAGAGCAGCAACCUAAGAAAAAAGGAAAGUCGUCGUCGUCGUCUCAAGGAGGAAAGUGGGGGCUCCGUUGGCCAUGGAAAAAAGGCAAACAACGGGGCAUUAGGAAGUCUUUUCGACACAUCAAGGAGCUUAAAGCUGCCGGCAUCUACCUCAAACCGAGUAGAACGUGUUUCUUGAGAGACGUUUCUUUCAAAUCCUACUUCUUCUUUGGCUACCUGAAACUUCCCCCAAUAACCAUUGAUGACUUCACGAAGACCAAGUUCUUGAACAUGGUAGCCUAUGAAAUGUAUCCAGAUGCCCCAGAUGACUAUGCGGUCACUUCUUAUGUAUGCUUCCUUUACGACUUCAUUGAUGAUGCAGACGAUGUCAAGCAGCUGAGAUCUAAGCACAUUCUCCACAACCUUCUUGGCAGCGAUGAAGAUGUGGCCCACAUUUUCAACGAGAUCGGCAAUGGCUUGGUAGAUCCCGAAAUUUAUGGAGAUGUGAAAGCUCGUAUUCAGAAACACUACGACAAGAGAGUGAAUACUUGGAUAGCUGAAGCCCUUCACGGCCAUUUCAGGUCUCCCUGGACUUUCAUGGCUCUCAUUGCAGCUGUUUUAAUACUAAUUCUUACUGGGGUUCAGACCAACUACGCUCAUCCCGAUAACUAUAUAAAAUAUUUAUAUAUAUCGUCAAUUAUAAUUGGGAUUUGUUUUUUUCUUGUUCGGCAUGUUUGUGAUUAGACAAAUAAAGAUGUAUAAAUUAUUAAGUUGUAUCACUGGAUUUCAUGCAUGCAAUAUUAUGAGUCUUUUCCUCUCCACAUGAAUUUGCUAUAAUCUAUAAUGUCUGUUUGAAUUCAUAAUUUCCAGCUUGCUUUUUUCCGUUCUUUUUCAUAGACCAGGAUCAUACAUAACACAACAUUCACAUAGAAAAUUUUCGGUCAACAAUAUGUGAUUCCGUGGAUGGGAUGGGAUUGGAUUUACUCACACACUUUUUUAUCAAAGGAGAAAAUUAUGGAUAAAAUUAUAAUUUUGAUAUAUUUAUAAAUUGAGGGCUCUCUAAUUUUUAUUUUUUAUUUUUUAUAAAAGACAAAAAUAUCCAUUUUUAGGUAAUUUAAUGUUUAAUUUUGGAUUAAAAAAAUUUCAUAAAUAAAUACUACAUUUUUUAAUGAAGUCUUCCGAGCUUCAUUGAAAAAAUCUUCAAAUUUUCAACUUCUUUGAGAAAUCUUCGAAUACUCUCCAACUCUUCCAUAAAUUUUUUAUCUUCUUGGAAUCUCUUUUAAGAGCUUUAGGGCUUUUCUUUAGUUUUGAAAAAAAAACACACACACACAGAUUGAGUUAGAAAUGAAAGUGGAGAAAAGAAAAGUACUCGACAGUUUUGCAUACUGCUUGAUAGAACUCGUUAAAAUUGUUUAUAUCUCUGGCACUAAAAUACAUCUUGUAGCACUUAGUGAUCAAAGCCUGUUUUUCCUCCUUACUUCCAAUUUAGACAUGGAGAGGUGACACAAACUUUGAGAUAUUCAAUGAUUCAACAAAGCAUUCAUCAAAUAUUAUACUGUUUGCUUUGAUGGAGGGGCAAAGAAGAUGAUACCAGAAGUUAGCUUCAUGAGGGAUGCGCCUACCUUUUGAAUGGUUGGAUAUGAUGAUAUUGUUGGAAAGUGUCUCAAAAAUUAUUUUUGAGUCAAUUGUAAAAUUAUAGAUAAUCUCCUAAUACAAAAUAUUAUUGUAUUUAAGUUUCCUAUUAUUAUAGUGGGAAUAUUAUAUUAUAAAAUUUUUUUUUUUUUUUUUUUUAGGGAAAGAUAUCUUUGAAAAUUAAUAUACAUUUAGUUUUCUGUAUGCAAUCUUCCUAUAUAUGUAAUUAGGAAAAAAUACAUAGGAAGACAUUUUGAUCAGAAUAGUAGAAGUCUUUUUUUUUUUUUCGGUGUAAUUGAGACUUUGGGAUUUGAGAGUUAUAUGAUUGUAAUCUCCUUUAAUAAUAGUGAAAGUUCUUCUUUGUCUUCAUGGGUAGAUGUAAGUUUGAGGUCGAACCACGUAAAUCAUUGUGUACUUUGUGUGUUUUAUUUUCAUUUUUUUUCCUAAUAUUUUUUCUUUGUCAUGUUUUUUCACUAUAAAUUGGUAUAAGAGCAUAGGUUCUUAGACAUGGAAUGAUAAUAGAGUUUGAGGUUGAGAAGUUUGAUGGAAGAAAUAAUUGAAGUUUGUGGCGCGUUAAGAUGCUAGCCUUAUUAGUUCGACAAGGAUUGUCCAAAGCACUGAAAGGUGGAGAGACUCUACCAACAACAAUGUCUAAUGAAUAAGAGGAUGAACUUAUGGAGAAAGCGCACAAUGCUAUUCUAUUAUGCUUCGAUAAUGGGGUAUUUCGUGAGGUUGCAAAAGAGGAUACGACUACUGAGUUAUGGUUGAAGUUAAAAAGUUUGUGUAUGGCGAAGUCUCUUAUAAAUCACUUGUAUUUAAAAAAGCGAUCAUUUACUCUCUAAAUGACCCUUAAUUGUUAGGUUAUUUAAAUUGUGUUUUCUAAAAGUUUCAUGGUAUAAAUGGUAAACUUUUACAAAGUGAAAAGUAGCGAUGAUGUUUGUUAAAAAAAUGAUUUAAUUAACUUGGUAGUUUAUGAUGUUCACUAAUUUUGUUUUCAAACAUACACCAUAUUUUAUUAAUUACAUAAAAUUUGCUUAAGCUUGAAUAAGAACAGCCCCUUUUAAUCACUACUUUAAAAUUAAUGAAAUCAAAGUUCUUAAUUAAGAAAUAAUUGAUCUUAAUUUAUUUCUAUAAUUAUGAAAGAUUAGGGUGACCCCAAUCACAUUAAGUACUUUUUCAAAUGCAUUAUGAUAAGUGAUAACCACUAUGGAGGCAAUAAUUUAAUUAAUUUAUUUGUAUGCCCUAUCAUGCAAAAUGAGAGUGACCCUAAUUAAUAUAUGUAUAUAAAUGGGCACUUGAUCAAUUGAGAAAUAUCUAUUGAAAUAACUUCUUUUUUUUCCAAAAAAUUAUUUUUUAUUUUUAUUUUUUAUUGGGUAGGUAGACUUAAAGGGUCAGUAACCAAAUGGGUUGGCAAAAAAAUUUAAAAUUUAGUUAAAUGUAUAUUUCAGUUAAUUAAUUAUCUUAUAGCUGUCCAAUUAAUUCAUUAUUGAUUAAUUAUAUUAAACAUAAAUAAAAGUCACUUUCUUAAAGUGGAGAGUCCAACAUGCAUGAACGCCUUUUUUUAUUUUCUAAUUUUAUUGUUUAUUUUUGGAUAGAAAGAUAGCUUUUGACUGUUGCUCUUUCUUUUAUUGUUAUUAUUGUUAUUAUUAUUAUUAUUAUUAUUAUUAUUAUUUUGGCUCAGAUGCAGUGGGCUAAGACAAAUCUCCAUUCAAAAUUGAACAAAAUCCUCCAUUUCAACAUUUUCUUAAGCCCUUUAUUCAUUUUCAUUUUUUUUUCUCUAUAAUUUAUAACAUGCUAUAUAUAAUUAUAAUCGAUUUUUUUUUGGGUUAAAAUAUGACAAAAUUUCUAGAUCCCUUUUAAGUUAGUUAAUGAAAACUUCGUAGAAAGACAAAUAUACUCAGUGUCAUGAAAAUCAUUUUUUAACUUAUUUGAGAAAUUGUUUUAUAUUUAAUAAAAAAAUCUUUUCUAAUUUACUUGAGAAUUUAUUUGAGGAUUUAUUUAAUAUUUAAAGUGUGUUUGAUAAUAUUUUUACUUAAAAUAUUAUUAAUAAAAGUGUUUUUUUUAUUAAAGUGUUUUUUAGAAUAAUCACUUAUCAAAUGUUUCUUCAAAAUACAUUAAGUAAUUUUUCAAUAUUGCAAAUGAUUUUUCAAAAUUUUGAAAAUAUUUCCUAAAUUUUACCACAUAUCUAUUUUUAAAAAAAUAUUUUUUAGACUAAAACCAUUUUCUAAAAUCAUUAUCAAACGAUUAACUUCCACAUCAACAAAAAUUACCCAUUAACAUCAUACUUUAAACUUUGACUUUAAUUACUUAAUACACUCAAAAAUAAGAAGUUAUCUAAAUAUAAAACAAAAUUAAAAAAUUAUUAAAUUUCAACCACCCUACAUACUAUCAAACCAAAGUGGACACAAAAAUUUUGCUCACACUUUUAUCAUAUCAUGGAAUUAAAUUUAUAAGCUAUGGAUGUGAAAUAUGGGUCUACCAUGGUAUAAAUUAUAAAAAUAUUAAAAAAAAAAUUAGGGUAGGGGUGAAGCCCAAUUCAAAUUGAAGUACAAAAAUAUCAUACAUGGUGAGACAACUACAAUUCACAGCUAAGAUCCAUUUAUUUGUCUUGUAUGGAAGGUUAAGGGUCACUAUCUUUCUGGUCACCCAAUGGAUAUAUAGACCAUCACAGCUAAGGUCCCAGCCCCACCAAUCCACCAUGGACAACAUUCUCUUAUCAUAGUACUGUUUGAAUGCCUAGAUCACAUGCCAUUGUAUGCCUUGAUAGAUAAAAGAAAAUUUAUGAUAAUUUGUAUAAGAAACUUAAAUUUAUUAUUUUUAUUUUUAUUUUUACUAUUUACUAGUAUUACUAUUAUUUAGGUUCAGGUGUAAAUAGAUCUUUGAUUUUAUAAAAAAAUUAUUGAACGUUAUUUUAUCAUGUAAUUUAGUUUUAGAAAGCAAUUCGAAAACAUUAAGAUUUUUCUUGGUUAAACAUCUAUAUUGGCUAGAUAGUGAUUAUAAUGUUUACAAUAAUAUUUAUUAUAAGUUUAAUGCUAUGACAUGGAAUCGUAUUGUGCAUGGCAGGUUAUUUAACCUUGAUGUUACUAAUUUAGACUAAUAAAUAAAUAAAAGAUUGGUUAAUAUUGGUCUUAAUAUUAUUUAAAUUGAAAAUUAUUUAAUUUGUUUAUAUCAAUAAAGGUAUCUUUGAUUGCUUAAUCUCAAAUCCUCAUUUCAAUCACUAAUUUUGGGUUAUGUGAAUAUCAAAUUAAUGUAUUUUUGUAUUUUAUCGAUCUUCUAACUAACGUACUUAGCAUAUGUGUUUAAUAAUGUAAAUCAUAAAUAACUUGGUUUAUGAGAUAGACAUUUUGAUAUUGAUGUGUUAAUUAAAAAGUCAAACAACAAGUAUCUCUUUGUCGUGUUGUCUCUCAUGGAAAUGACCCUAACAUUAUCUUUAAGCUAGGUUUAUUUCUAAGCUCAUCAAGCAUUAUUAUUUGUUUAAUUAUUCCCUUUAAUAUGAAAUAAAUAAAUGAAGAUUGAAUCCAUUAAUAUAUUUUUUAUCACUUGAUUAUUAAUUGAUUGAGACACUUAAACCAAUCUUACUAUGCCCAAUAGUAAGAGAAUUGAUUUCAUAAAGAUACACUAAAUUUUUAUUAAAACUUCACACUUAGCUCUUUAUUUAAGUUGACGUAUUAGUGUUAUUAGGAGACGAAAAAUAUUAACCUAUCUUAAAUAAGGAAGUGAUGACUUGAAAAUGAAGUAAAACAACUAAAAAAUAAGCAUACAUACUUCGAUUUUAUAAUAUUUUUAACACAUGGCACAUGAAUCUUAGGAUAACGAUGUAUUGUAUUUAUGUAAAUUAUAUUAAGGCUUUAGCCCUAAUUGACCCAGUACUCGUUAUUUGUAUAAUAUAUACAGGACAAUGUGAAUUUUUAGAGAAUCAAAUAACAAAUUAAAUGUCGAGUUAUUAAUCAUUUGAGUCAUACACAAAUAAGUAUAUAAAUUUUUUUGCCAAAGCAUGCAUUACCAUGCAAGAAAUACCUAGUUUGCUUACCCUAAAAAGGGGUCAAAUUUGUUAAUUGAGAAUGAGAUCUCUUUUACAAAGACUCAACACGUAUAAUCAUGGCUCUUGGGAAAACAUUGAAUCUAUGGUAUUAAUUGGUAAUGUUCCCAAUUAAUACCAAUUGGAAUAACACUUUAAAAUAGUACGAAGAAAAGGAAAAACCCUAUUUAAAAUAUUGCAUGGUACCCACCAAUACCAACUAGAUUCUUUAUCAAAAUUAUUACCACCUAACUCAAAUUCAUACACUAAAUUUUCUGAUAAUAUUCUUUGUCUAUGUAAAUAAAAAUGUUAUAUCUAUAAUUAAUUUUUAAGUAAAAGUAUGGACUUUUCAACAAGAUGUAUGUAUAUUUAUUGUAUCAUACAUCAAGAUUGAAGAUAGUCUUCAAUCAUUGCAUAAAAAAGUUUAAUUAUUAUUAGAAAUGGAUCCAUGAAUGAGCAAAAUAACUUGAAAUAACCUUACACAAUGUAAAAUAUUUAAAAGAAUAAAUUAAUAAAUAAUAAUCCAAGUGUUUAACGAUUAGGGUUUUGACGAUAUGUUAAAUCAUCGCUUAUUUUUAGAGAUUAAAUAGAAUGUGUUUGAGAGUGUUUUUACUCGAAGUAUUUUUAAUGGAAGUUUUUCCUCAUAAAGUGUUUUUAGGAGAAUAACGUAUCAAUUAUUUCUAAACAAACACUAAAAGUAUUUCCUUAAUCUUGUCAACCAACUAAUAUUUUUUCAAAAACACUUUUUGUAAAAACCCACACCCUACCGUGUGUAGAUAUUGUCCGCUUUGUCUCUAAAAAGGUUUUUAUAACUUUAAAACACGUUUACAGGGUUAAGAAGAGCUUAUACUCAUAUGGUAUAAGAAACUUUUUUUUCUAUUUGAUGUGAGAUAUCACAAACAUCCUCUUAUGCAGACAUGUUCUCGUUGUAUCUCUUGGGAUUGUGGGGUCAAAUAGAUAGACACCCCUCAUAGGGUUAGACUAACUUCCACACUAUGGUUAGAAAUUAUCUCUAAUACCAUUUGUAAUAACCUACAUCCAACCAUAUAGAUAUUGUUAAUGACAUAUACCCAAUUAUAUAGAUAUUAUCCGUUUUGGGCUCAAAAGAUCCUUAUAACUUUAAAAUACGUCUACAAAAUUAUAAAGAACUCAUACUCAUAUAGUGUCAAAAAUUUUCAAAAUCACUAUUAAACAUACUCUUGAUUUAAAACUCGGAUAUUUAUACCUCACAAUUAAGUGAUUCAUUUACCAUUUCUUCCAUCAUGAGUCUAUUUCACUAUCCAUUGAUCCCUUGUUUAUUGACAAAAUAUUAUUUUCUAACCAUUUUUAUCCCUUGACACUAUCUUCGACUAUUUCUUUUUUUAUUAAAAUUGAUUAGAUAUAUAUAUAUAUAUAUAUAAUAUUGUUUGUCGAAUUUCCAAGGAAAUUAGGUUGAUUUGCCAUUCGAAUUAGUCAAAGGUAAUGUUUUAAGGGAACAUCCCACAUCAAUAAGAAAAAAGAUUUACUGUCUUCUGGCAGAUUUACUCUUAUAUUAGCUGUUAAUUUUCUUUAAAAAUUAUUAAAUUAUCUUAAUACUUAAGCAAUGAUUAUAAAUUGGGUAGUCAUAUUUGGAUUAGUCUUACACAUCACCUCAUAAAGAGUGUAUGACUUUGUAUUUAAGCCAAUCUAUAAGUUUGAAGCCGGCCUAUUAUUUUAAUUUCUUUAGGUUGAACUUAAUUCAACUUAAAUAAUUACCACUUGCACCUCCACCCCAAUAGGAAAACUCCCCCCAAAAAAAAAAAAGAAAAAAAAAAGGGUUUUUCUACUUAGAAUUAGGAAAUCACUACUUUUUCUUACCUUAAUUUUCUAUUUAAAAAUGGGAAAUGAUAAUAAUUUUAUCAUAACAACACUACUUUGAUAACAAACUAAAGCCCUAUUUGGCCAUAUUUUCUCAAACUUUGUUUUAAAAACUAAUUUUAAAUUAAAGAAUAGAAAACGGUUUUUAAAAAUAAAUUUUUGGUCAAGGGGGCCAUAUUUUCCUUUCGUUUUUAAAAAACUGAUAAAAACAAUUUCUACUUUUUCCUAAAAAUUAUUCUAUAUUUCACUUUAUUUUUAAAAAUUAUUUCCCAAAAAUAAAUAGUAUUAGAAAAUUUUAAAAACGGGUUUCUAUUUUUAAAAACAAAAAACUGUUUUUAAAUCAUUAUACCAAACAGACUCUAAGUUUUAAAGAAUUUAAACAAAAAAUGAAUAAUAAAAUUUGAUCACUCAACGAUUCUCCAUCGAAGUCAUUAACUCUUUUCCUCUAAUUCCCCUCAUUUAAACUUACUUCCAAUAUUAAUCACAACAAAUAAGUAAAAUUUAAUAGUUCUAAACAAAUUUUAAGUUUCGUAUUACUUCAACUUAAAUAGUUAAGAACAAAUUAAACAAAAUUUGUAUCAAGUUAAUUUAAACUAUUAAGUAUUAAUUUAAUCUAUGCCUACAAUAAGAGACAUAUUUGAACUUAAAUCCUAAAAAUUAAAAAAAGAAAAAUAAAUAAAGACUAACAAUGUUGACCAUGAUUUUUAAGUGGUUUUAUCAUCAUUAUGAGAAGUUUGUAAAUGAUAUCAUUUUUUUUCUUUAAAUUUGAAAGUUUGUGAAAAAUGUUUAGGAUGUUUGUUUCCAGUGAUGAAUUCAGAGACGUAGAGAACUCCAAAAUGUGGGUCAAAUAAUUCAAAAUCAAAUUGAUGAUAAAGAUAUGGGCAAAUAAUCCAAAAUGUGGGAAGACAAUGAUGAUGAUGGCUGCCUAAUACAUACUUAAUCAUCAAGAUUUUGGGCAAAAAUCUCAAUUGGUGGGCCCAAUCAUAAAAUGGCUUUUCACUUUUUGUUUGUUUAUUUAUUGGGUGUCAUUCAAAUAAAAGAAUGCUCUACAAGGUGCCACUUUGUGUUUUGGGUCUAAUUGGGCCCAAAAAUUAAGAUAUGGUCCAUAUAUAUUCCAUAUUUAAUAGAAAAGAUAUGAGAUAUUAACUAACCAAUAUACCCUUAAAAUUUCCGGCUCAGAUUGUUGUAAAUUAAUGGGUUUGACAGGUGGUAAACUUGAAAUGCCAUGUCACUUGACUGAAAAAUCUGAAAUAAAGGGCAUAAGGGUCACCACCCUCCUACCCCUUUCUCUCCCUUCGUAAACAACAUGCUCACAGACGAUGUCAACUGUGAUUGUCCUCCUAUUGGUUUCUUCAGCAGUUGAGGAUUGUGAGCAACUUAGAAAAGCCUUUGCAUGUAUUUUAUCAUCAUCAUUCCCAAAUCCAAAUGACGGUGAGUCUGAAUUAUUUUCUCACAUUUUGAUUUGAUCAUGUUGGUUCCUUUGAUGAUGUGGUGGAUGUUUGUUUAUUGGGUUAGUACAAGGUUUGAGGAAAGACAUUUGUUUUGAUCUCGUGUUGGGGUGUUUAAAAAAAUUUUGAACUUAAUAACAUAGUGUUUUUGGGUGCAGGGUAGGGGAUAAAUGAGGCUUUGAUCAUAUCCAUCUUGGCUCAUAGGAAUGUAGAACAACCUAAGUAAAUUCAAGAAACUUACAGUGAAUAUUAUGGAAAAGAUCUCCUCAAAAAUGGCAUUUCACAAGUCUUAAAAUUUUUCACUUUAGAAUCUGCUUGUUAGGUUUAUAGUCCAGAGAAGAAAUGGGUAUCGUCUAGACGGUGAGCUUUGGGGAUGAGCUAGCCCACUUAUGAUGAAUAAGAAACUAAAUUGGGUUUCAUUUUUCCCCUUUUCACUUAGCUAUGACAUUGGAAUGUGGUUAACUCGCCCAUAUGCACUCGUUAAGUUGUAGCUAGAUCGAAUUCCUGCAACUGUACAAGGCAUUUACACAAAGUGUGUAAGGCUAAUGUACUAAAUAUACAAGGGUGUGUAUUUUAAGGGGUUUUAAGUGAUUUUAAUGAACUUACUCAUUUACUUUUUCCAAUCAUGGGGACAUUCCUAACACAUAUUGCUUGACAACACACUAAUUGUAUGCAUUUUAUUUGAUGUUUAUCAUGUUAAUUCAUUCUAUUAGCUCCCAUACUAAUGAUGAAUAUGAACCGAAAUGAGGGUAAACUUUUUCCUCCUUUUCCCUAAUCCAUGAGAAUGAAAACAUUGUUUACACACCCAUAUGUACUCGUUCGUUCGUACCUAUUUUGGAUUUCGUUAUUGUACAAGGCAUUUACACUAAGUGUACAAUGCAAAUGUGUUAAUUAUACAAGUGUGUACAAGACUUUCUAUCUUGAAAGAUUUCAACUGCUUUUGAAAAAAUUGCUUGCUCAUUUCUUUUUUCUAAGGGGUACAUUCCUCAUAGUCAUUGCUCAUAGGAUAUAUGUUUGAUAAUUUUUGUCAAAAGGAACAACAUAGCAUACUUAUUUUUAUCAGAAUUUGCACUUUAGAUAUUGGUAGUUAAGACCUUAGAAUCGGCAUUCAUGAUGAGAAAAUUAACAUGAAAAUAUCAUUAUGACACAUUAUCAAACAUAUAUCCUACAUCCACCAUUACUAUAAAAAGAAACAUUAAUAUUUUGUCUGUAACCUGAAAAACAACAUAGAGUCUAGCUGAGGGUUCUCUUCCUCUUAUGCCUCCAUUUUUCUGGAAACAAAAUCAACUCAGAAGAUAAGACUUAAGUUCAAAAUAUAUAAUUUCUUAGUUAUCUCAGCAACAAAUAGAUCUAGUAUUAUUGAUUUCUGCAAAGAACCCAAUAGAUCUAGUAAAGCCAGAAUCCCAAUUAGGAUAUCCCCACCAAAUAAUAGUACAGAAAGCAAGAUUCAAUUUUAAAAACGGGUUUCUGUUUUUAAAAACAAAAACCUAUUUUUAAAUCAUUAUACCAAACAGACCCUAAGUUUUAAAGAAUUUAAACAAAAAAUUAAUAAUAAAACUUGAUCGCUCAAUUAAUUUCCAUCGAAGUCAUUAACUUUUUUUCCUUAGUUCCCCUCAUUUAAACUUACUUCCAAUAUUAAUCACGACAAGUAAGUAAAAUUUAAUAGUUCUAAACAAAUUUAAAGUUUCAUAUUACUUCAACUUAAAUAGUUAAGAACAAAUUAAACAAAAUUUGUAUCAAGUUAAUUUAAACCAUUAAGUAUUAAUUUAAUCUAUGCCAACAAUAAGAGACAUAUUUGAUCUUAAAUCCUAAAAAAAUAAAAAAAAUAAAUAAAGACUAACAAUGUUGACCAUGAUUUUUAAGUUGUUUUAUCAUCAUUAUGAGAGACAUGGACCCCAAUGGGAGUCACUUGAUGGAGCCAUUGACAAAGUGAUCAAUUAUUACUUGAUUAAGAAGAAAGUUUGUAAAUGAUAUCAUUUUUUUUCUUUAAAUUUGAAAGUUUGUGAAAAAUGUUUAGGAUGCUUGUUUCCAGUGAUGAAUUCAGAGACGUAGAGAACUCCAGAAUGUGGGUCAAAUAAUUCAAAAUCAAAUUGAUGAUAAAGAUAUGGGCAAAUAAUCCAAAAUGUGGGAAGACAAUGAUGAUGAUGGCUGCCUGAUACAUACUUAAUCAUCAAGAAUUUGGGCAAAAGUCUCAAUUGGUGGGCCCAAUCAUAAAAUGGCUUUUCACUUUUUGUUUAUUUAUUUAUUGGGUGUCAUUCAAAUAAAAGAAUGCUCUACAAGGUGCCACUUGGGCUAAUUCAAAAGGGUUCAUUUCAUUCUCAUUAUGAUAGCGCUAAUUCAAAAGGGUUCAUUUCAUUCUCAUUAUGAUAGCUUAGACUCCAGUAUGGGAAAAAGCAUGAGAUUUAAAAACAAUUUCCAUGAAAAAUAUGGUUAAGUGGAAAAAAAAAAAAAAAAAAGGGAUGGAUAAAUAAUUAGGGUUUUUAAAUUAGCAAAAUAAUUUUUUUUUAAUGUUAAGGAAUUUAUUUAUAAAUCAAGAUAAAUUUGCCUUACGGAGAGUCUGUGCAGUGUUUUUAGUUCAUAAAGUGUUUUUAAAAAUAAAUUAGGUUUUUUACAAAAUUAAAAAAAAAAACAUUUUUUUAAAAUUAGAAAAAUCACUUAUAAUAUUUUUUUUUAAAAACACUUGAUUUUCCUAAAAACACUAUCAACACUGUCAAUGGCACUCAAAAGUCACAGGUUUAUACCACUUCCCCAAAAUAAUUUUUAUAUAAUUAAUAUUUGUAUACAUGUUAGAAUUUUGUUUUAAAAUUUUAAAAUAAAUAAAUAAAAUUUAAAAGAAAAGAAAUUUAAUCUGCAUUUUUAUAGUAAUUACCACAAGUUCCUCCUCCGACCCCAUUGAUCCCACACAUGUUCCUGAUUUUAUUUUCUCAAGAAACAAACAGAACACAAGAAAAUUGCAACCAACCCUCUCUCAACUUCUUAAUGACCAAAAGAAGUAACCCUUUUGUGGGCUGUUUAGGCUCUACCAAUACAUUUAUCUGAAAACUUUCAACCAAAUCAAAACUCUGGAGCAUUGUACUACAAGAUUAUGGAGUGACCUAAAAAGAAAAAAUGAAAAGAAAAGAAACUCUGAAGCGCAAGAGAAGCUUCAACAGACUCCCAAAAUGCAAUAAGCAACAAGAAAAUAACUUCUACUCUAUGAGUUUAGAGCUAAGCAUAAGAAAUUAGAGAACAAAACGGAAUUGGUUAAUAAAUUUCAAGCAACAGAGUUCAACCAUGGGCAGAAAAAAGAGGGUGUAAGAAAUGGAAGCCAUUGGAUUCCGCGUAAAAUAGCACCUGCUGCUCUUGAAUUGGUUCGUCAAACAAGUAUAUAAGAGAGUUGAAACUGUCAGAAAAAUCAUUGAAGAUGGAGAAAUCCUCCUCAACAAUCACAAGGACACCCAUUAUGUCAAGAGUAAGAUAAUUACAGGAAUCAUACAAUACUGAAGAAUUGCAGAAACUUGGAUUAUAAAAUGACCACUUGAAACUGGAAAUCCUAUGAAGGGCCACAGCAAGUUGCUAUCAAAGGGGAGGGGAGAGCACCCUAUUCCUCGAGUAACCCAAUAUUUCAUUAACAAGAGAGGCCUUUCUCCUCUUCCCAGAUCAAGAACCAGACUAUGAUUAAAAAGGAUUACAGUUUAGUGUUCGAGUUUCACCCGCUAUAUAUACUUUCAAACCAUUAGAAAACUGAAGGAGAUUGUCGUAUGUUUUGUAUAGCAGACUCACCUCCUCAACAGCUGUUUCUCUAAGAUGGAAAUUCCAAGUUGACAAGCUGCUACUUAUGAAGUACCAUUAUCACAGUGCUGAGUGAAGCUUCCAUCCUUUUGCCCAGAAACUUAUUUUUGGUAAUGAUGUUCUGUACUGUGAUGUGGUCAUUUUCUAAGAUUGGCAACUAGUUAAUGUCGUAAAGACUAUAGAAAAGUUCUAAUUCCAAAUGUAUUUUUGCAUCUAAAAAUUUAGUACAAGAACUGCCUGUCAAUCAAGUAAUAAUUUCAUACUUGAGCAUCUAUAAAUUUUAAUCUCUUGGCCGAGUAUUCAAAACCAAAUAUUAGUCUUCAUGGCCUCAGCACUUGGCUUCCAGACAGAAUGUCUGCCAAUUUCACCUUUCCCAGUCACAAUAAUUAGAUGAAUUCCAUCAUCCAUGAUGUUAACUAAAAGACCCACAUAUCCAAUUUACCCUCCAAAUAAUUGACCUGGAAAAUAAGGAGAAGAAAAAAAGUGUCAUUUGAAAUGGAAACAGAUAAACGAUGUAGAGUAGCAAAGUAUAAGAAGCUCAUGCUUCUGAAUUCUCACAGGAAAAAGUAGUAUUUGUUUUGGCUUCCUUUUUCUUUUCCUUUUUUAGUGCAUUUAGUAGUUCUUCUUUCAAUAGUUCCUCUCAGGUUUGUCCACUGACCAAUCACUGCCAUGAGAACACAGUAUGAAGAGGCAACGCUGUUGCCUUUCUAAAUCGUGUAACAUUCAGUAUGGCUGCUGGCAAGCUGCAAGAUCUAAAACCUAUUUCCAUAAGCGGAUUCAAGUUGAGUUAGCAUGCUCGGAUCAAUUCUUGGGUCUUUUAGGCAAAAAUACACUAUAUUGGGAGCAGUCACAACAAUCUGAAUAUGGAUAUUUAUAUCAUGUUGUCAGCUUCUAGAACAUUACAGUUAUAGCAUACCGCAGUUGACCAUCAUAAUUGAAGUUGAAAAUCCACCAAACAAUACCUUAAGAAAAAAAACUUCGAGUGUUUAUCCAUCCAUCCAUGAUUGACUCUCCAAAUGUUUAGAUCUGUUUUUAUCCACUAGGUUUGUCAUCACAAGUGCAUGAAUGAACAAUUGCAAGACAUAUGAAGACGUUGAAUCUUUAUGCAUAAUAAUGCUGAUGAUUCCCUUCAUUUCCAGCAGCAAAUACUUAAAAAGCCCAGAAGAGAAACAAAAACUAAACUGAGCCAGAAUUUUUGGUCCAAAAUCAUCCCUAUGAAAAUACUAGCUAGUGCUCAACCUUUCUUAUAAUGAGAUUCUGCAGAACAUAAGAGGUCUGCCCUGUUUGGCAAAGACAAGUAUGAAUCAAUUUUCAGUUAUCGGCAUGAUAAAAUGCAUUAAGCAGCCAUGGUUAGCAGGAGCAGCUCAGAGUCAUUUGUAUUGCACAGACUUAAGAAGAUUUGGUCCAAGCUGAAGAGGCAUUGAGAUAUGGAAAAUAGUAAUUCGAUGGUUCUAAGAGGGUUCCCCAGUACAUCAUUGAAGAAAAGAGACUGAAAAAUUGGCAUUCUUAAAAUUGCCAUGUUUCCAGUUGGCAGAGUAAACCUUGCACCUGAGGCAACCCUGAUAUUUAGUGCAUAAGCUUAAUGGACUCAAAAACUCACAUUUCCAGACGAUCAAGUGAGGAGACCCGCAUAGCCAUCCGUCUAUGUAGAGACUUUGCAUUCUUCAAGCUCCAUGAUGAGGCCCAUAAAGGUAGAACAUGUUCCAUCUUAGAGACCUCUUGUGGGGAUAGAACUGGAAACAAAUAGAAUUGUAAGAAUUCAAAAAACAUAAAUCCUGGUUCAAGAUACAAGAUUAUGGAUAUAUGUUUGGCUAAAGCAAUAAAGUUAAAGAGCUGCCUCCAUGUGGAAGCCCAGAUGGAGACAAAUAUGCAUACUUCCAAAAGUUGAGAUGUUUAAGGUUAGGAAGCAGUUUUUGCCGGUUAAGAAUUAUUAGACCAAGCCUCUUCCCUAGUACCAGUAAAACAUUUCAUAGAACCAGUAAAUGAUUUGACCCCUUAUGAAGUGGACAAACCAUGUUCAGUCCUGGUCUUUUCUGGCAGUGGUGUUUCAGUUUCUUCGAAUAGUUAAGCGUAGAAUGUUAAUUCACACGAAUGUUAAUUCAAUUUUUUCCUCUGCCCUAGUUGAUGAGGAAAUUGCAGCGUUUGCAAAAAGAAUUUAGGAAAUUCUUUAAAAAUAGAAAGAAGAAAAACUUUUAAGUAUAAAGAAGAUCUCAAAAGAUCUAAAGGAUCUCCACCUUGGGCUUGUGCUUAAGCUCCUAAAGAUUCUAAAGUUUAUUUUUUUGCAACAAACAUUGAGUAAUGCUAUCUAUAAAUCCGAGUUCAUACAUGAGCAUCAACGGUAGAUGCUUAUAACAUUGUAGACAAAUUGCUACAAAAUUGGGUUUUGUCUUAGAUCGCCAAAACAGGAGACUACUAGGACUCUGUGUGCAUGAAUAAUAUCGUAGGCAAUCCUAUUCCAGAUUAAUUUGUAACUUGAGUCCCGUAAGUAUGACUAGUUCACCAAAAUACAUUCACUUAAAGUUUAAAGUGGCUGCAGCCUACGUGAACACUGAAACACCUAUCCUAUUCUGUCCUUGAACACACGUUAGGGACAGUGAGUAAUCUAGAGAUCCAGUUUUUGUGCAUGGAAAAUAAAAAUGUUUUUUGUAAAUUCUAAAAUUGGUUAAUCAAGGCUACAAUUGAAGAAGACCAGAAUUUGAUAUCCACUUGGUGGCUUAGUGGAUCAAGAAGGAAAUUACACUUUGUCCAAUCAAGAUAGAGAUUUGAUUGGUUAAGUGAAAAAGUUGCACCUAGAUUGAUCAAGUGUUGGUUCACCAAGCUUAUAAAUUCAACCAAUUUAUUGAAGUGUUAUAAUUGGGUUUGAACUCUCUUAAAGAGUUCUGGACUCCAUAAAUAUUGUUAAAGUAUAUUAUGUUAUGGGCUUUAGGCCCAGUUAGGUUAUAGUACACUUUACUUGUACCGCACACUUGUACCGCACACAUAUGCCUCCUAUAUAAAGGCGCUGAUGUAUAUUCUUUAAUCAAGAAAUAGAAUACAAUUAUUCUAUAUUUCAAACAUGGUAUCAGAGCCACUGCUCUGACCUUUUCUUAGCAGUCUUGUCUUCAUUAGUGUGACUUCCUUUAAACGCUUCCGCCAUCACAACUGCCGCCGCAGCCUCUUGCCGUUGAACCUCCGAUGUCAUCCAGCCGUCGUCCUUGGGUUCUGGACCUGUAGCCGCCGUCGUUAAGGAGUUUCACACUGCACAGACCACUGCUCUUUACAUCACCGCUGCGAAUAUUGCUCCGAUUUCAUUUUUGAAGGUACCACUGAGAUCGUCCAGCGCCGAUCUACACAUUCGUGGAACCCUUGCCACCAUCGGAGACCGCACGCGCCCCCACGCACCGCUCAAAGAUUCUGCGACGCUGAUCACGCGCCUCCACGCGCUCUCACGAGCCAGGCCUGGUCUGCUGACAUCAUCAUCUCUGCCACGUCAGCCAUAGCUGUGUCAGCAUCCACUGAUCUGCUGACGUCAUCUCCACGUCAUCUUCAGCCGUUGACCGUUGACUUUGACCGUUAACUUUUCCAGUUGACUUUUUUUCCGACCAGGUUCUCCUUACCCAGUUUUUCAUGUAGAUUUCAUUUCUGCAGUCGGUUUUUGCAUAUUGUGUCUCUAAAUGGAUAAAAAAGAUGUUUUUCUUCCUCACCCCAUCAAUUCUGUAUUGAAGGGGAAUAAAAAUUACUUAUCCUGGUCUCAAGCUAUGCGCAGUUUUCUUAAGAGUCGCAUGCUCUGGCAUUAUUGUACUGGUGCAAUGACUAUUCCUGUCAAGGGAGCAAGUGAAGAAGAUGUUGUCUUUCUUAGUCGCAUGAUUGAAUGGGAUAGUCACAACCACAUGAUCCUCACAUGGAUCCAGAACACUUCCAUUCCCUCUAUUUCCAAUCUAUUGGGCAGCUUUGACGAUGCAAAAUCUGCAUGGGAUAUGUUGACCAAAAGGUACUCCACUACUCAUGGAUCCAUGAAAUAUCAGUUAGUGGUUGAAUUGCAUCAACUCAGGCAAGAACCGGGGCAAUCCAUCAAUGACUAUUAUGAUCAGCUUCGCUUCAUUUGGGACCAAAUUGACCUUUCUGAUCCAACUUGGGCAUGCUCAAAAGAUGCUCAGCAAUAUGCUUCCAUCAGAGAUGAAUUUCGCCUCUAUGAAUUCUUGAUGUCACUUCACAAGGAUUUUGAGCCCAUUCGUGGUCAGCUGCUAAAUCGCAGUCCUGCUCCCUCUCUUGAUACUGCUGUGAAUGAGUUGGUUAGAGAAGAAGCUCGUCUUGCAACCCUUCAAGCCCAGAAUAAGCUCAAUGUUUUGGCUAUUGCUCCAUCUACUCCACUCAUAGAGCAACCUCAGCAAUUAGGUGAUUUUUCUGGCUCUAGCAAUUGUCGCAAGCAAACCAACAAGAAGUUCUGCAACUAUUGCAAGCGUCCUGGGCACACCAUUGAGACUUGUUACCGUCGUAACAAAUCUACUGCUGCUGUUGCUAAUACUAAGCCUACUCCGCCAACGGCUUCCACCUCAGUUGAGUCCUAGUCUUCUGGAUCUACUAUCAAUCUCUCCUCCACUGAACUACAGGAGAUCAUAGCUCAGGCUGUUCGUAUGGCUGGUAAUGCAUCUCUUUCCACUGCUUUAUCUGUUCUACCUGGUAAGUCUCAAACUUGGCUUUUUGAUUCUGCCUGCUGCAAUCACAUGACACCUCACUCAUCCCUAUUCUCCAACCUUGACCCUGCACCACAUCCUCUAAAUAUUCAUAUAGCUGAUGGUUCCACCAUGCAUGGAAAUAGUCUAGGUUUUGUUUCAACCUCUAAUCUUUCUGUUCCUGGAGUCUUCCACGUACCUGCCCUAUCCUAUAAUUUGUGCUCUGUGGGACAAUUAGCUGAACUAGGUUAUCGCUUUAUUUUUUACUAUUCUGGGUGUAUUGUGCAGGAUCCGAGGACGGGGCAGGAGCUUGGGACCGGUCCUAGAGUUGGGCGUAUGUUUCCCAUGAACAAUCUUCAUCUUCCACCUGUUGCUCCUGUUUCUGUUGUUGCUGCAACGGCUGCAAUUUCUUCCUUACCUUUUCUUGCACUUUGGCAUUCUUGUCUUGGUCAUGCACCAUAUUCUCGGGUACAACAGUUAGUGUCUAGGGGUCUAUUGGGUUCUGUGUCUAAAGACAAUUUUGAUUGCACUUCAUGUCAGUUAGGAAAACAGCCAGCUUUGCCUUUUAAUAACAGUGAAUCCAUUUCUAAUAGUAUUUUUGAGUUAAUUCAUUCUGAUGUUUGGGGACCUUCUCCUGUUGCUAGUAUUGGUGGAUCUCGAUAUUUUGUUGUUUUUAUUGAUGAUUAUUCUCGUUAUAGUUGGAUUUUUCCUAUGAAAUCUCGUUCCGAAAUUUUAUCAAUAUAUAGCAACUUUGCAAAAAUUGUUGAAACUCAAUUCUCCAAACGUAUCAAAACCUUUCGAUCUGAUAAUGCUCUUGAAUAUACUCAAUAUGCAUUUCAAGCUCUGUUACAUUCCUAUGGCACUAUACAUCAUCUAACUUGUCCAGGUACCUCUCAGCAAAAUGGUCGAGCCGAAAGAAAACUUCGUCAUAUUCUUAACACUGUUUGUGCUCUACUUCUUUCUGCCAAAGUUCCUGCCCCAUUUUGGGGUGAAGCUAGUCUUCAUGCUGUUCAUGCAAUUAACCGCAUUCCAAGUGCUGUCAUCCAUAAUCAGACUCCGUAUGAGCGUCUCUUUGGGUCACCCCCUAACUAUCAUCACCUUCGUUCCUUUGGAUCUGCUUGUUUCGUUCUUCUUCAGCCUCAUGAGCACAACAAACUUGAGCCUCGAUCUAGACUCUGUUGUUUCCUUGGUUAUAGCGAAACUCAAAAGGGGUAUAGGUGUUAUGAUCCUGUCUCUCAUCGUCUUCGUGUUUCUCGUCAUGUUGUCUUUUGGGAACACCGAUUGUUUGUUGAACUCUCUCACUUUUGUUCUUCCUUGACUAACUCCUCUGUUUUAGAAAUCUUUCCAGAUGAGUCUCUUAUUCCUUCUACAAAUACUUUUGAUCCUCCUUUGGACUUCUCUCUAGAUAUCUUUGAUGCUUCUCCUAGACAAGUUGCAGAUGAACAGAUUAAUGACGAGCUACCCCACUUUGAGCCUAGGUCCCCUGCUCCUGCUCUACCUGAAGAUCCUCCACAAGACAUUCCACCUCGCCACUCAACCCGGGUAAGAUCCAUUCCUCCACACCUCCUUGACUAUCAUUGUUACACUGCCCUUGCUACACUUCACGAGCCUCAAACCUAUCGUGAGGCCUCUACUGACCCUUUAUGGCAGAUUGCAAUGAAAGAGGAACUUGAUGCAUUAACCAAAAACCAUACUUGGGACCUGGUUACUCUCCCUCCUGGACAGUGUGUGGUUGGUUGUAAGUGGAUCUAUAAGAUCAAGACUCACUCUGAUGGAUCCGUUGAGCGCUACAAGGCUCGUCUUGUUGCCAAAGGUUUUACACAGGAGUAUGUGAUUGAUUAUGAAGAGACGUUUGCUCCAGUUGCUCGUAUCUCAUCUGUUCGUGCUCUCUUAGUUGUUGCUGCUGCUCGUAAAUGGGAUCUUUUUCAGAUGGAUGUUAAAAAUGCCUUCCUUAAUGGGGAUCUGAGUGAAGAAGUCUAUAUGCAACCUCCUCCUGGUUUCUCUGUUGAAUCAAACAAGGUUUGUCAUCUUCGACGUGCACUUUAUGGUCUCAAACAAGCCCCACGAGCUUGGUUUGCCAAGUUCAGCUCCACUAUUUUUCGCUUGGGUUACACUGCCAGUCCAUAUGAUUCUGCCUUAUUUCUUCGUCGUACUGAUAAAGGCACUAUUUUGCUUCUUCUAUAUGUGGAUGAUAUGAUCAUAACUGGUGAUGACCUUAGUGGCAUUCAAGAACUCAAGGAUUUUCUCAGUCAGCAGUUUGACAUGAAAGAUCUUGGACAUCUCAGCUAUCUCUUGGGUCUUGAAAUUACUCAUUCCACAGAUGGUCUUUAUAUUACUCAAGCCAAGUAUGCUUCUGACCUGUUGUCUCAAGCUGGACUCACUGAUAGCAAAACUGUUGACACUCCAGUUGAACUUAAUGCGCAUCUGACACCCUCGGGGGGGAAACCAUUGUCUAAUCCUUCUCUUUACAGACGAUUGGUUGGCAGCUUAGUUUAUCUCACAGUUACUCGUCCAGACAUCUCCUAUGCUGUUCAUCAGGUGAGCCAGUAUUUGUCUACACCACGAUCAACUCACUAUGCUACUGUUCUGCGUAUUCUUCGAUACCUGAAGGGUACCCUUUUUCAUGGCCUUUUCUACUCAACUCAGUCUCCUCUUGUACUCCGUGCAUUCUCAGAUGUUGAUUGGGCAGGAGAUCCUACUGAUCGCAGGUCCACUACAGGUUAUUGCUUCCUCCUUGGUUCUUCUUUGAUUUCUUGGCGAAGUAAGAAACAAACUUUUGUGGCCCGUUCCAGUACUGAAGCAGAAUAUCGUGCCCUUGCUGAUACCACUUCUGAGCUCCUUUGGCUAAGAUGGCUUCUUAAAGAUUUGGGUGUGUCCACCUCCUCUGCUACUCCUCUUUAUUGUGACAACCAGAGUGCUAUUCAUAUUGCUCACAAUGAUGUCUUUCAUGAACGGACUAAACACAUCGAGAUUGAUUGUCAUUUUAUCCAUUAUCAUCUUGUCCAUGGUGCUCUUAAGCUUUUCUCCGUCUCCUCUAAAGAUCAACUUGCAGAUAUCUUCACCAAGUCUCUUCCUAAGAGACGCACUCGUGAUUUAGUUGACAACCUCAAGUUGGUCUCACAUCCACCUUGAAGUUGAGGGGGGCUGUUAAAGUAUAUUAUGUUAUGGGCUUUAGGCCCAGUUAGGUUAUAAUACACUUUACUUGUACCGCACACUUGUGCCGCACACUUGUACCGCACACAUAUGCCUCCUAUAUAAAGGCGCUGAUGUAUAUUCUUUAAUCAAGAAAUAGAAUACAAUUAUUCUAUAUUUCAAACAAAUAUAAUUUUUUUUAUAGGCAACAAGAACAACAAAGUACACACUAAGUGUCAAAGGACAGGUACGAAGAAGACAGAGGAAGGAACAAAAAUCAAUACCCUUUCUCCUCCAUACUCAGAACUAAUCAAGUUCACAAAGCCUAUCAAGGACAUGAGAUUAACAUCAACAUAUAAUUUAGCCCAUUCAGCAAAAGUAUAUUCAUAAAUGAUAGUUUAAUUGCUUAUUCUGUCUUUUCUGAAUCUUCAAAGGUCUUUUAGUUUCUUUCCAUCCAAAGCAUCCAGAAUAGAACAUGGAGCUGCCCUCCAUGUUUUUUUCUGCUUCUUGCCCAGAAAGGAGCCAUGUUAGCUUAACAAAGCUUCCCUCACCAAGGAAUGGAACACCUAAACCACACUAAAAAUAGAAAAAAUCAACUACCACAGAAUACUAGCCAUCGAGCAUUGAAGGAGCAAAUGAUUAGUCGACUACUUGUCCUUUUUACACAUGUAGCACCUAUUCUGAAUACUCCAUCCCCUCUUUUUAAGUUGCUCAAUUGUCAAAAUUCUGCUCCAUGAAGCUUCCCAAGCCAAAAAAACUCACAUUCAUGGGGAUCCAGGCAUUCCAAACACAGGUUGCAGGGCAAUGCUCCCUUCUACCCUAUAGACUAAAGAGAGGUAGAAGGAUUUAACAGAGAACUUGCCACCUUUGGAUUCCUUUUACUCCAAACUAUCAUCCUCCUCUCUCCUAACUGAGCAAGUUUGGAGUUUUUGGAAAAAGUUUGUCCCUACUUUAAGCUCCCAAUCACAAAAUUGUCUAGAAAACCAAGGGCUCCACCAACCACUUUUGCCAUAUCGCUCCCAUACAUCCACAACCUAAUGUAUCUUUGUCUGUGGCAAAAGAGAACAAUGAUGAAAAAAAACCUUCUAGAGAUGAGUCACCAUAUCAUCUAUCUUUUCAAAACUUGACCCUUCUACCAUUGCCAAUAAAGAACUGAUCUCUGUCCCAUUAUUUUUUGAUCGCUUUCCACUCACUCACCCCAUAACCUUGAGCACCAUCCCCCUUCUUCUCUAAACUUUUGAGAAAUAACUUGCUUCUAAAAGAAUCCCUCUGAAUCACAAAUGUCCAAUACUACUUGUUGAGAAGAGCCUCAUUUAGAACAUAGAGGUUUUUGAUACCUAGGUCUCUUCUCUCUUUGUCUAAGCAAACUAUAGGCCACUUAAGAAGAGGGUUAUUUUAUAAAUAUUUAACUUAAGAAGGUUAUUUUAUACAAUCAUUCUAUUGCAUAUUGAUUGGAAAAAUCCCUCGUAACUUGCCCUUUCACAUUCCUCGAGUGUGACUUGCAAGUUGUGCUUCCAAUGACUUCUAGAAAGAGUUUUUAAUAUCUGCUAAAAGACAAACAAGGAGUUGUCCACAGCACGACAUGAAUGUGCAAGCAUCGAGUAAGGAUUGGGUGCUGUGAUCCAGGACUGGAUGGUGUGGAUGCCUCAUCUAUAUUUUUGUACUCUAGCUUUGACUUCUAUAGGAUUAGUUUCAAAUGGUUUACUGUCCAACCACGUAAUAAUUUGAAGAGUUCUUCACAUACACAGAAUGCCUUCUCUAUAUAUACUUUUCCUGAUUUAUUUAUUUAUUUAUUUAUAUUUUUAUUUUUAUAGGUGUAUGCUUUCCUGCUUGUUGUGUCAAUCAGAUUGAACGUGUUAGAUUAAUUAAAAUUAAUUCCACUAAUUUUGAAUUGAUUCAUUUAAAUUUUUUUAAAAGUAGACCAAUUCAACAACACUCCACCCACCAUCCCCCCAUCCCACGGUACACACAACCGAAAGGUCUAUCUAGGCUACCAAGAGUGUACUCAUAAGCGCAUACACAAAAUUAUAAAUGAAUUGCAGUAAUAUUCACAAGUCAACACUUUCAUCCAUGAAUUUUCAGUUUCAAUAUGUUGUGAAUAAGCACAAAUUUGAGCAUCAGAAAUUGAACACUACAACAAAAAUAAUUUAUGGUGUCACUAUUUAUGGUGUCACUUUUCAAAUAAUGACACCAUAUGACAUAAAAUUCAUAAAGGUGACACAUCAUAUAAAAAAUUUUAAUUAGGAUAGAUGAUAUUAAUUUUAAGUUUAGUGUCAGUUUUAAAAAAGUGACACCAUAUAAAAUAAAAAUUUUAAAAUAUUAUAACUAAAUGGGCCCACAUUGAGAAUAAUGAUAAUAUCUAAAAAAAACUCAUUGUUUCCACAUUCCCACAAUCCAAAAAAAUCUCAUUCCAUAACUCAUAACCAUAACUUUCUUCUAUCUCUCUUCUCACACCCAUAGUUCACACACAACUGCUCUUCUCUACUUCGUGGACUCUUAGGUAACGCAAAAUCUCUUAGAUAUAUCAUUUUCUUUUUUUUUUUUAUUAAUGCCAAAAUCUUUAUUAGCACAACUGAUUUACAUUCAUUGAUUUGGUAUAUUUGUAAUGUAGAUUGUGUAAAUAAUGUUUUUUUUAUUGAGUUGCAGGAAAGUAAAAAUUAGGUUUAACAUUCCACCAUAUCUUUUGUUUCAUUGUUAAAUCCAUAAACCCCAAAACGAAUGAAAAUAAGAUAAAUGAAUGAUUUUUUAAUAUCUUUGAUACUCAAAAUGAGGGAUAAAUAUUUUACAGUAUGAAAUUUUCUUUUGAUCUUACAAGAAAUUUCUUUUGGUGAGAUUUUCUGUUUGUUUUCUAGGAAUAUUAUAGUAUAUUGUGAUGAGGAUAUGUAUCGGUGAUAUUUGAAAAAUAAUUUUUUAGAAAAUUAUUCUCAAUAUUGUCAUCUCCCACAAAAGGAAAAAUGAAAUAGUUUCCAUAUCAUGUUAGAGUUGAUUUAGAAUGUUGGAAUUAACAAUGAGAAAUUAAUUUUAUUUUCUAUUUAUUAAUGUAAAUGAAUUGUUUUUUAAACUUUAAAUAGGAAUGAAAAUUUUUAUAAUUAUAAAAAUGAUCAAAUCUCAUAUUUUGAUUUUUUUUUUUAAUUCUUUUACAUGGUAUUAUGGUUAAUAUCUCAUCUUGUUCUAUUCAUAUUUUUUUUUAAUUCUUAAAAUAUGUUUUUUGUUUUUUAUUUUUACUUUCUUUUCUUAUUGUUUUUAUAUGCGUUCACCAAAAUUUAGAGUAAUUUGAGAUUGAUGAUGAAAUUUCCCUUUCAAGGUUAAAAAAUUUCUAUAAAAUCCUUUUAUUACAUAAAUUUUCCUUCCCUAAAACUUUUUUUUUUUGAAAAAGAUAUUUUAUAAUUUUCUUUUGAUUUUCUAUGAAAUUUCCUUUAAUUUGUUUAUUUUCUAAGAAUAUUAUAAUAUGUUGUGAUGAAGAUAUUGGUUGGUAAUAUUUGGAAAAUAAUUUUUGAGAAAAUUAUUCUCAAUAUUGUCAUCUCCCUCAAAAGGAUUCUAAAAAUUUGUUUUAUUUUUGUCUUCUUUUCUUAUUGUUUUUUUAUGCAUUGACCAAAUUUUGGAGUAAUUUGAGAUUGAUGAUGAAAUUUUCCUUUCAAGGUUAGGAAAUUUCUAUAAAAUCCUUUUAUUACAAAAAAUUUUCCAAUCAUUUCCAUAAAACUCUUCAUUUUCUUCAUUUUUCUUUUUUCUGAAAAAGAUAUUUGAUAAUUUAUUGAUCUAAAGAAUAUCAAAAGUAAAAUUUAAAAUAUUGAAUAUCUUUUCCUUUGAUGUUUUUAAUCUUUUAUUAUUUUUAUUUGAACAUAUUUUUCAUAUCCAAAUUUUUUAUUAAUUAUUUUAAUUAGAAAAAAUAAAUAUUAAUUGGAGUUAUGACUGAAAAAUUAAUAAUUUUUAUGAAAGUUUCUUUAAUUCUUUCUCAUACUAAUUUUUCUCUUAACAUUUUUUUAAUAAUGAAUUAGGUUUUUUGUCUUAUAUACAGAAUCUUCAAGCUUGUUAUAAUAUCAUGUCCUCUCAUAUUAGUAGUUGAAAACAUUUUUAUAUUUUGUUGCUAAAAUUUUAUUUUAUAUAAUUGAGAUGAAAUUUAAUGGACAUUGUUAUUUCACAAAAUGAACAUUAAAAAAAAUAUUGAAAUUAAAAAAAUCCUUCCAAGAAAUAAAAAAAAUAUAUAAAAAGAAUUAAAUGUUAAAAAUGAUUUUUAAAAGCGCAAUGAAUUAUAAAAAAUUAAAAUUAAAAAGUGCAUAUUUUAAGUGGAAGAUUACUAUUUUCUAAAAUUUUAGAUUUAUUUUUUGAUUUUCUAGUUUUGCUUUAUUUUUUAUUUUCUUGAAUUGUUUUUAUUUGAGUUCAAAUGUGAUUGCUUUGUUAUGAGAUUCAUUAAAGAGAUAAUUGUUGAUUCUACAAUUAUUGUAUUAAAGUUUUUACUCAUUUAAUGAAUUGUACUUAGUUUCAUACUUCCAAUUAUUAUGAUAUUAAUGUUAUUCUCAUUUGAUUUUAGUUUUAUGAUAUAAAAAAAAAAAAAAACAUAUUCUCAGGUAGAAUUUGAUGAAAUUAGAGGAGAAUUAACUUCUUUUGUGUUAUAACUAAUCAUGAAUCAUAUUGAUAAAUCAUGAUUAUGCAUGGUGAGUCCCUUAGUUGUUAUAUGAAUUUUCCAUUGGUAUUGUAUAACAUUACUUAUUCUUUACAAACUAUUUUUAUAUCAAAAUGGGAAAAAGAAAAAAGAAAACAUUAGUACUUAGAUUCGUUUAUUUUUUAUAACAUCAAUUAAUUUUUAUUUUCAAUAAAAUUCUAAAUCUCAUUAAACUAUGAAAUGCAGGUAUACACUCUUGGGAAGACAUUAUGAAGAAUAAAAAGAAAGGAGAAAGAAACAACAACAUUUUGGGUUUUUAGAUGUGACUCUUAUGUCAUACAUUAUAGGACAUCAAUGUUACUUUAUUUGGUAUUGAGAAUUUUGGGUUUUUGGAUGCAACUCUUGUGUCAUUUUAUGAUUAGCCGGUUUUAUGCAUAUGAAAUGCAGGUAUACAUGAAUGUUGGAAUGCUUAACAUUUCUAAAUCAUAUUUUAAUAUGUAUUCACUUUUCUUUUUUAGUUUUGAUGGGUUUGAUGUACUAUCAUUUUGUAAACAUUUGAUAUACAAAUAUCACUGGAUGAUGUAAUGUAUUAUAGGUUAAUCCAUAAGCAUUACGAAAAUAUAAGUUAAAUGUGAUAUGAUUAUUAUAUUUAUGGACAAAAUAUAUACAAGUUGAUCUUAUUUGUUAAUAAGCAUUACAAAAAUCAACAGACUAAUUAAUAAAAAACAACCAUAUCUUUCAUAAUCAUUUACAAUGAUGUGACACCAUAACUCAAAGGUGAUGCAUUUAACGUGACACCGUAACUAAAAGGUGAUGCAUUUAAUAUGACACCUUAUAUAUCUCAUGCAACUCUAUAUCAAAUUAAGUAUAACUAAAAAUAUAUGGUGUCGCUUCUGAAUAUGUCACCAUUAAUCUCCUUUGGUGUCGCUUCCAAAUACGUCACCAAUUGGUACCCUCUAUGGUGUCAGUGGAUAAGGUGACGCUAUGUUGUAGUGACACCCUAUGUUUAUAGUGACUCAUUAUAAAUGUCACCAUAUCUCUUUUUUCUUGUAGUGGAAUCAGAACUUACCAUACAUAUGAAACAUGGUGACCAAAUAGCUACAGAGUUUCCCAUUGUAAUGCAAGCAAGAAGCAUUCCGAAAGCCAUGACAACCAUUGUCUCUACUGUCUCCUGGCUUCCUUCCUAUCAAAGUAUAAAACAAUUUGAUGGUUGAAACUAGUUGCUUAAUCAUAAGUUCAUAUGAUUUCCAUCCAGCUCAGAAUACUUAUAGUCAUACCUCAGCAGAUAUACCUGCAGCGUUUAUGUUGUGUCAAUGCAGCUGUAGUUGCUCCGCCUGCAACACCAGCUAAUUUUGAAGAGUGUAAAAUUGGAUUUUGAUUAGAAACACCAACACAAUGUGCAUUAUUCUUAUUCAACAGAAAUUUUUUUCAAUUCCACUGACAAUAUUGACUACCAAACAAAUGUUAAGAUCACAAACAGUAUUAACAUAUUAACCUGUCAUGUUCACCAAAAUAGUAGCACUUACCAAUAGAUCUUAGUAGCUUUUCAUUUUGUAAUAAUGAAUUGGAGUAUACAGAACCUUAAUGAACAAUCUUGAUAGGCUCCCUAAGCAAACUAUGAACACAAAUGCUGAAGGGAACAAAGGAGAAACAAGAUCCAUUAACAUUCCUGCAACCAACACAGAAGCCUCUCAUAUCAUUUUAAGACACAGAAUGAAAAUGAUAACAAAAUUAUAACCAACUAUAUGGCAACCAUAUUUAAAUUAAAUUAAGUUCCAAGUUCAUGGGGAAUCCAAUACUGUACACUGAUAUGGUAGUCCUCUUACUAGUUAACAUACGGUAUUAUAGCGUUGAUUAUUUGGGGGAGCAAAAGCCUAACUCCAAUCACUUUAUUACAAAUUGAUGAAUACCAAUCCAGAAGUUAGGAGACAUUACACAACAAACUAGUAGCUAAAUUGGUACUUAGUGGCCCCAACCAUAAACAAUGCUCUCCUUAACCAUGUGAAACAAAGAGAAAAUUAAGGGAAAAUAUCCAGGCCAAAUGAGAAAACAGACAUGGGAGAAACCACGGAGGAGAAACAAAACUGCAAGUGCAUACAAUUAGUCUAGUUGAAAAACCAAGAGAAAAUUGAAAUAAUUUUUGUCAGAAGGAUUAACAUAGCAUACUUCUUUUUAUCAGAAUUUGCACUAUAGAUAUUGGUAGUUAAGACCUGAGAAUAAAAAAUUAACAUGAAAAUAAUGAUAAAAUAAUAAUAAUAAUAAUAAUAAUAAUAAUAAUAAUAAUAAUAAUAAUGAUGGUGAUGAUGAUGAUGAUGGUGUUAGAUGUUAAGUUAAUAAAUGAAAUAAAAUAUAAUUAAUGAAAUAAAAUUAUAGUUUAAUUAAAUAAACUAUAUAUUCUUAGAAACAUUAUAAAUUAGAAACUUAUUAAUUUUACUUAAAUAAGGAAUAAAUGAAUUAAAUUAAUAUUAAUAAUUAGGAAUAAAUUUUUUAAUAAAUAAUAUGAUUAGGAUUGUAGAAUCUAUAUAAUUUUAGUUAAUUGUCUAUAGUAAGAAACUCAUUGAUUUUAGUUAAAUAAGGAAUAAAUUAAUUGAAUUAACAUUGAUAAUUAAGAAUAAUAAUAUUAAUAAUUAAAAUUAUUAAGAUUGUGGAAUCUAUAAUUUUAGUUAAGCUUCUAUUUUUUUUUUUCAAAUAUAUUAACUUUAGAUAAUAAGCUAUCUACUAACCAUUUAUUAUUUAAUCAUUCAACUUACAAUAAUGAGAUUCUCAAUCCUUCAAAAUGACAUUAAUUUAACCCACUUCCUUAAUCAAUUAUACCUCGAUUAAAUUAACCUUUCAAAAAUUAAAUCUACUAAAUGAUAAUAUUCAUAUUUAAUCAAUUUAUCCAUUUUUGUAUAAAUUCUUAAAUUCAUAUUUAAUUUCAUUUCGAUUCAAUUUUAUUUCAUGUUUUAUAAUUUUAUAAGGGUUAUAAAAAUUAAAUUGAAUCAUACCGUAACAUUAGAUUAAAUAUCUUUUGAAAAAUUUAUUAUAACCGUUUGAUAUAAUACAAAUUUCAUCAAGUUUUUCUAAUUAAGGUUUUCUGAUAAUUACCUUAUAAUAAUAAAAGUAAUUCUUGUAAUACAUAUAAUAUUAAAAUUUCAAAAAUCCAAUCUCAAAUAAUUUAAUUGCUAAAUUUAUAUUUAAUUUUUGAAGUUCCUAAUUUCGAAAUGUGACUUGGCAAGAAUUUAAACUAUUAACCUUCCACUAAGUCACUAACUUCUCAAAAGUUUCGCCUAAUUAAAUAAAAUAUCGACACGUCAAGGUUCACUAACAUCUUUCAUUUAUUUAGACCAUUCAUUUUGGUUGAUUUUGAGGAUAGUCAUCGGCAGUAGACAUACAUCUUCUAGACCAAUUAGCAUACCAACAGUGAUUAGGCUAAGGUGGUGAUCCAAUUCCAUGGAAGUGCAGCAAGAAAGGAGGAACUUUGGAGAGAUAGAACCAGAAGGCGGCCAACCAAGCAAGAACAGUGGCCAAAUUGGCCUUAAGCUUGAGGAGCAUAGGAUUGACAAUGUUGAAAUCAAUCUUAGGGAUAGGAUUGAGUCUCUCAGAAUGACAGGAGAAAACACUCAAUGGCUAGGGAUACCAAAGGUUCCUCAGAUGCUGAGGGGGACCCAGGAUUUCAAGAAAUUCUACGAACCGAGGGUAAUUUCAAUCAGUCCUUACCACCAUGGCGAGCCCGACCUUGGCCGAGUGGAAAUGAUCAAGCCUCCAUGUUGUCACGGACUUAGUCGUUUCCUAAGCUCGUGUGGCACUUAGACAAGUCAAGACCCUUGAUCUUGUUAAGUCAACCUUACUCCCAAUACUUAGCUUGCUAGGUUAAGACGCUUAUGACUCGGAAGCUUUAGAAGGCGUAGUAGGCAACUCUUAAAGAAUGGAAGCUUUAUUGCUUUCAAAGGAAGCUAUACAAGGCUUGGAAGGUCACUUGCUUGGUUGGUUAGGUUCUUGGGUGGUGCCUUGGCCAAAUGAGGCCCUCACCUAUUUAUAGGCACCAUUGAAACUCUCUGGAACCUUGGAGGGUUCCUUACAAAUCAAGAAGAUUCUAGAACACCCUACAUAAUUCUAUGUACAAACUUAUGUACAAGAAUAUACAAGAGAUUCCUAGAAUUCUCUAGAAAACCUUGAACUCCUCUCAUGCCUUUCACCAUAGUGUAGAGAUGUGUGGACAUCUCUAGGCAUCUUUAGAACCUUCCAUACUCUUCCCACAAAUGGCUUAGUGUGGAUGACUCCAGGAGUCUCUAGAAGCUUCCUAUAUAAACCCAUGGGGAGGCUCAUUUGAGGCAUCCUGUGAUAAUGUGCCCAAAAAUUCCUAGCUGAUAGUAACCAGGACAUCGAAGCUUUGUACACAAAAAUUCGAAGUAAUAUCGAGGCAGUGAAAAAGUGCUAUGAUUGGAGUAGUACAAAAAAUUAUGAUGAUGAGAUACUUGCCAGGAUGAUGCUUCUGGAUG
rnacentral:lncRNA from 1 species